AGACAUGGGUGAAAGAAGUGGAGACCGUCGCUAACAAGGCACACUACGUGCUGGAUUAUGAUGGAAGAGCUAAGAAAACUUGCUUCUACGGGUGGCUUCCCAACCCGAAGGCACGUUAUCGUCUUGGCAACGAGUCGAGCAAGAUGAUCAAGGAGAUCAAAGAUCUCAUUGAGCAGGUUCAAUUUGAGAGGGUUUAUGACGAGAAUUCCCCGCCGGGGCGUGUUGGCGGUGCUCCCAACGAGAAUUCGUCGGCUGGUGACGGGGGCAAGACUAUCUUCAAAUCGCAAGCUUCCACCUUUCAGGACUUAAUGAAAGCCCUGGAUGAUGAGAAGCUAAAAGUGAUUGGCAUCUACGGGCAUGGAGGCGUGGGGAAGACUACGCUGCUGAAGGAAGUUGAGAAGAAACUCAAGAAAGAGGGGAGACCCUUCCACAUGAUUGUCAAAUCAAAUGUAUCGCAGACUCCGGACUUGAAGAAAAUCCAAGAUAAUAUCGCUUACGCCUUCAGUCUAAAACUGAAGGACGAGCCAAGCGAAGUAGGAAGAAGAGAUCUUCUGUGUCGGAGAUUACAGAGGGAUCCGAGAGAGAAGGUUCUCAUAAUGUUGGACGAUCUGUGGGAUGAACUUAAUUUGGAGGCAAUCGGAAUUCCUUCUGGAGAUGAGAGUAGGGGAUGUAAGUUGCUGCUGACAUCGAGAUUUAAAGAUGUGCUAGAGCAAAACAUGCAUGCAGAUAGAACAUUUCGUCUUGAAGGUUUAAACGACGACGAAGCUUUCAGGCUAUUUGAAAAGAUAGUUGGUGACAAGCUCGAAGACGAGGAAUUGAAAUCAAUAGCAGCUCAAGUGGUCGAGAAGCUCGCAGGUUUGCCUCUUUUGAUUAUCUCCAUCGCAAGCACUUUGAAAUAUAGCCGUGUGUCUGCAUGGAAAGACGCAUUGAUAAAAAUAGAGGACUCAAAUAUAGAAACCAUAGUAAAGCUGAGUUAUGACCAUCUGAAGAGUGAGGACGCCAAGUCCUUAUUCUUGCUCUGUGCUCUUCUUGGUGGGACCAUUCAAGUCGAACUUCUGCUGGGACUAGGCAUGGGGUUGGGCUUGUUUGAGGGAUUCAAUAACACGGUAGAAGAUUCAAGAAAUAGAUUGAAUACUAUGCUCAAUAGCCUUCGUUCCGUUUGUUUGUUGCAAGAUGAUGGUGAUGACAUGGAGACUGUGAUCAUACAUGAUCUUUAUAGUGAGGUGGUCGUCUCAGCUCCAUUUAGAAGUCAGAAUUCCUUAAUGAUGAACAACUAUUGUGUUUCGUGGCCAAAAGAAAAGCUUGAGAAAUGUUGGGCAAUAUGCCUUGUUAAUGAUUACGGUGAUAGCCUCGCUGAAAAAAUGCGGUGUCUGUUUCCCGACUUGAAGAUAUUCGUGUUGUCUCAGAUAGGGUUGUUCGAGGCACCUAUACACCGACAUGAUGUGAGAGAUUGCUGUGGACUUGAUUUCACAAGCAUGGAGCAGCUCCAAGUCCUAUAUCUUCGCUUCAUACAUAUCACCAAUUUACGUUCCUCGAUUGGCACCCUUAGGAACCUCCACUCAUUAUACUUAGACUAUUGCAUUGUGGACGAUGUGGCAAUUCUUGGCAAGCUCAAAACAUUGCAAAUUCUCAGCUUGGCAGGAUCUCAAAUUUCUAAGCUGCCUGAAGAAAUCGGGGAACUUAGGAAUCUGAGAUCGUUGAAUCUAUAUGAUUGUGACUCGCUUAUGAUAAUCGAGCCUGGUGCCUUGAAAGGCUUAGUCCACUUGGAAGAGUUAUAUAUGAGGGGAAGCUUUAGUCAAUGGAUAGUCGAUGAUGAAAUACCAACGGAAUCGUAUAAUGGUAGGCUUGUUGAGUUGAAGAGCUUGAGAAAGCUAGCCUCUUUGGAAAUAUCGAUUCAUGAUCCCAUCGUACUCUUAAAGGAUGAUGACCUGCCAUUUGGGACCCUGAUCAGAUUUUGGAUCAACAUAGGAAAUACUUACGGAAGGGGAUUUCGUGGUUUGAGAACCAUGAAACUCCAAUUGGAAGGAUGCGAUGGUAUUCUCUCAAAAGAAUGGGUUCAGAAAACUCUGCAGAAAACUCAACACUUAUAUUUGGAUGGAUUGGGAGAGUUCAAGGAGAAUGCUCAUGAGUUGUGCAUUCAAGGAUUUAAACAACUGAAGCAUCUCGACAUUCAGAACAGCCCCUCAAUCAAGUACAUCAUCAGUUCAUUAAAUGACCUUCCCACUGCAUUUACGGAUUUAGAGUCUUUGUUCCUCGAAAAUCUUAUUAAUCUGAAGAAGAUAUGCAAUGGCCUGGUCACACCAGAUUGCUUCCACAAAUUGAAAGUUGUGUGUAUCGAAAAGUGCCACCAAUUGAAAAAUUUGCGGUUCCUCUCAAAGAUGCAAAGACGUGUACAUUUGGAAGAGAUCAAAAUAUGUGAAUGUGACUCAUUACAAGCCAUUAUCACAGGUGAUGCAGGAAAAGUAGAAGUUGAUGUUAACGACAUGAUUGAGUUACCUAAUGUACGACGUCUAGAUUUGCGUAAGUUACCAAAAAUGACAAGCUUUUGCACUAGAACUGAGGAUGCUCCAAUUCAGGUAACUUUUUCAUUUUCUGGGUAUAAAUUUCUUUAAUUCUUAAUCUUGCAGACAAUACCUAGAUUAUGCUAUUAUAGGGGGAUUUAGGAUAAGAUGAUAUUGGUGUUCACCGAGCCUCAGUGAAUAUUGCAUUAUUUUGAUUAUUUGUACAUCUUGAAACACAUAAAAAAAUCCUUUCAAAGAAAACACAGACCAUACAUUUUUAUUUACAUUCAACUGUAGCUAGGGGAAGCCUUUUCCUAUGAUUUUUUUUUUCAAUUUGUUUCAGUGUUAGAUAAUUGCACUAAUUAUUUGGGCUUUAGCAUGGGUUUAUACUAUGACUAAUUGAUUACUUAUUUAACAUUUUUAAUGAGAAGAAAAAACAUUAUACAUAAUGAAUCUUAAACGAAUGCACGAAAUUCAACAAUUUCAAAAUGAAGAAAGUGAGAGAAUAAAUAAAUAGAAGGCGAACUAGUAGCCACAUAACAAAGAAAGUCCACAUAAUUCAUGUUUCACCUACACGCAAGUUAGCAAUUGAUUCUAACACGUCAUGCCAAUCUCACCAUGUCAACGUCGUUCUGCUUCUCUCAUCCCUUCGUCUCAAUUAAGUUUUUGACAUUCUUAAGAGACAUCAAACUCAUUCAUAUAUUUAAGUUUCUUUUGUUUCGCUGAAAAUUCAUUGUUGCUGAAAAAUGUCUUCCUGGCGAUUCAUUUUUCUUGUUUUCUUGUAUUUGGUUCUGCUGAAAACACAAUUUGAGAGAAACUAACCCAAAUAGAUCAUAUUUACCUGUUCAUAAUGAAAAGCAAUAAGUUAACAAAUGAUUUAUUAAAAAUUUAACUCCGACAUGAAUUUGUCUUUAAUUUUGAAGGUCAAAAUAGAAAAACAAAAGAAAAGAUAACAAUUACGAUGACAGUUGUUUUGAAGAUCAGUAGAUGAUUUCAAAAGAAAAGAGAAAAAAAAAUUAUGGCCAUAACUUUGAAGAUCAGCCAAAUCAAAGAUAACAACUAUGAUGACACGCGGGAGCAACAUGAUAGUGGGGACGAUAUCCUCCUGAAAAUGAUUUUGCUUUUUACGGAAGAGAAAUUCAUUUUCUUGAAUUUUAGCCUGAGAGUUUCAGUCAUUUUCUAGUAUCCAAAUACAAGAAAAUUCUAAAAGCAUUUUUCUAAAAAUAGAUUUACUUGCAACUUACCUUUAAUGAGUUUGAUUGUGGCGCUUUGUUAGGUUUCAUUGCCUCGCUUGGAAUCCCUAGUAAUGGUUGGACUCCUUGGCCUAGAAAAGAUACUCCACAGUGAACCCUCAAUAAAAUUCAGUGGAUUGAAAUCACUAAAGAUAGAAGAAUCUAAAUCCACAUUGAGUAUUCCGAAAGAUUGGAUACUAAAGCUACCAAAUUUGGAGUCAAUGGAAAUUGCGGGCUCUCCAUCAGCAGAAGUAGUUUUCGACCUAGAGGAGCUGAAAGUCAUUGGAGAAGUUGAGAUUCUCUCUCAGCUAAGUACAUUGGUGUUAUCUAAGUUGUCAAACUUGCGGCGCAUGUUGAAACAAGAUGUACAAUUACAAGGAAUAUUGAUAUUUCAAAACUUGAAGGAGCUCUCUAUCCGUGAAACGGGGCUAUCAUUUCUCUUUUUGGUGUCUGUGGCUAAAUGUCUUAGAGAAAUUAGAGACAUUGAAGUGGAGGACUGUCCAAAUAUGAAGACGGUGAUUGUGGAUGAAGAAGGAACAUAUGAUAUUAUAGAGUUACCACUCCUGAAGCGACUAUCUAUAACACGUUGUCCCAUAGAGAAAUUCUUCUCAUAUCCUCAUGGAAAGAAAGAGUCAGUAACCACUACUUCAGAUUCACGAGAUGCUUAUUUCGACUCCUUCUUUGAUCAAAAGGUACAAAUCCCUUCUCUUAAGAUUAUACCCAUAAUAGCCAUAGGCACAUGCUUUGCAAGGCAAGUAAUCAAAUCUGUUUGAAGAUCUUUAUUUGGAUUUAUUAAUUAAAAUGUGUUUAUAAUUUAUUACUAUUUGUUAGAUAGAUGCCACUAAUGGAAAGUUCAUUCUUCCACCACAUCAGAUAGAUUGUUGGGAUUUAGCCAAUUUCAUAAAAUUUUCAUAGCUACAAUCUGAUGAACAACUCUUAUGAGCAGGUUAGUUUGCCGAGCUUAGAGGAGUUAAAGCUUAAGUCAGAAGGAUCCUUCAAAGGAAUAUGGCAUAGUGAACUUAUGGAAAAGUCCUUCUGCAAAUUAGCCACCCUCUCCAUUGGAUGUUGCUCUAAGCUACACAACGUCUUCCCUUCCACAAUCAUAGGGAGAUUGCACAACCUAACAAUUGUUGAGAUUGAAGACUGUCCCUCUUUGGCAUCAUUGUUUGAUUGUGGGUCCAUUGAUGCAAAUACUGCGCAAACAACUAUAUUGCUCCCCAAAUCAGAAGUAAAGACGGUGAGGGACACAGGAAAGUUGAAAUGUACAAUGAAGAGCGACUCCCAAAUGAUUUUGGGUUUUCCUAGUUUAAAAAAAGUCCGUGUUUGUAGUUGCUCCAACCUAAGAUAUCUCUUCCCCAGUUGUAUGGCCACAACUCUAGAGAAACUUGAGAGCCUAUGGAUUAGCAAUUGCGAACAGAUGAAGGAAGUGGUCCCUAAGGAGACAGCCAAAGGGGAUGAUGAAUCAUUACAACCAUUGUUCAAUGAGAUGGUUUGCUCUAUCCCUUACUAUGAUCAUCCAUAUUCUUGCAUUUCAUAUUUUAGAAUGAUCCUCAUUUCUCACAUUAUCCUCAUACAGGCUAGAUUCCCCAAUAUAAGAAAACUACAAAUUGAAGGCGCUAAGUGCAAAGAGUUAUGGAACAAUCGAAUUCCCAAUGAUUCCUUUUGCAAAUUGGAACUUCUUCGAGUAGAGCACUGUGACAAUCUCCUAUUAUUGCCCCAUCUCACAUGUGGAGGAGACUGCAACUCUGUCUCGUCUUCCUAGAAGUGAGAUCAUGCCAUUUGAUCAAGAUCAUAUACGAAAGUGAUGGGACAAAUACAAAGAGUGGUAAAAUGACGAGGCUGGUUUUGCGAGAUCUCGAAAACUUGAGGCACAUUUGGCAAUCCGAUGGUUUCCCAAACGUCCCGUUCCCAAACUUGAGAUACGUAGAGGUUGUGAGGUGCUCCCGUUUGGAAAUGCUUUUCACAACCUUCACAGCAAAAUUUCUCGGGCAAAUCAAAGAGUUGGUAGUAGAGUCAUGUGAAGAUCUAGAACUAAUUGUUGGCCAUGAAGAAUGUGAAGAAGCGGCCGGUACGACAAUCAUCUUCUCCGAGUUAACUGCUCUUAGACUUUUCGAGUUGCCGAAAAUCAGGAGAAUCCUAGCUGAGAAAUACUCUGGGAAAUUCCCAUCCUUGCAAGUCUUUUGUAUGGUAAGCUGUGGAAUGGGGCCAGACCGAGGCCUUGAUGACUGGGAAAGGUACCAAGCCCACAAGUGGUUUGACUUCAUGAAAUAUGGGUUUGAAGAAUAAUCAUUUCGGACUUCUGCAACGGAAAAUGGUGUUUGUCAAUAUAGAAUAACGUGUCCGGUAAUAUGAUAUCAUGUUUCUGCGUUAUCUUGUAUAGUUCCCACAAAGUCUCUUGACUAUUUCCUUCAAUAAUCAUUGCUCUGGUUUGUCUCCUGUCCCUUGGAUCUAAGGCCGUGCUAAGGAAGGUCACUUGUUCAUUCCGACUGAGAAUGUAGAGUUGCUAUCAAUGCACGAUUCUAAUAAAAUGACUGUCUAUUGAGACAUGGUCUCUUAACUGACAAGCAUGUAACAGUUACUAGUGAGUCCCAGUUACUUUCUCUAAAUUUCUAAAGAGUCUUUCAUGGACAGUAACGAGUGCAUUGUUUCCAAUUUGUAACUGACAACGAGUACAUUAUUAAGCAAAUGACAUAUUCAAAUAUUUUUCAUCAAAAAUGACUAUCAUGAACAAAAUAAUUCUUUUUUUUUUAAUUCAAAUUUAUAAACGUGAAUAUUUUCUUAUUUUUGCUAACUAUUUACUACUUGAUGAUUGGAUAUUUUAAAAUGUGGUGUUGAUGAUUAGUAACUUAGAAAGUUACUCUUGGUAUUUUCUCGUUCAUAUAGUCAAUUUUACUUGUCAUUAACAAGAAAUUUCGCCCUAAACUCAUUAAUAGUGAAGACAUUUAGUAAGGAAAAAGCACUUCUGAUAUAAUAUAUUACCAAGAGAUUCUCUGCCUAUAUUUUACUCUUCUCUUGAUAAUGCUCUUCAAAUUUUAUUUGGAAAAGAAAAAAGCCGUUUUAUUAAAUAUGAAUGCAUUUAAUGUGCAAAAAUCAAUUAUACUGUUUUAUAAAUAUCAGAUUUCAGGCUCUUUCAAGAAUUUCACAAAAUAGAUGAACUCCAUACACACGAGUUUACUGACUUAAGCACACUUUUAAUAAUUUUGUCUCAUGAGUAAGAUCAAAACAGGUUUCUUCUCUCUCGAUCGAAUUCACUGGCUAACAAGGCCUCAUCACGUGGCCCUCAACAGAAUUCACUUGCUCUCUUCCUUUCUCUCUCUACAUCUAACGAUCUGAGUCGAUUCCCUUUCGAGAUCAGGCUCGGCGCGCUCUGCGGAGUGGGGCCAGAACAUAAACAGAGCCACCUUCGCACACGCAAAAGGAGCUCCACAAAUUCUCUCUAGCCCUGGUUGAAGGGACUCGUGUGAUUUUUGAGCAUUUAUAAGUCACUCUCUCUCGGAGAUUUCUUUCGAAUCCUUGCCUCUCGCUUCGUUGCUGAUCGUCACCGCUUCCCGAUCGCCACCAGUUCGGUCUGUAAUGCCGAAGUUCUCGAACUUUGGUCACGACUGCCUGCUUCGACGAUUCCAAUUUUGGAUGUUGCCUCUGUUAUCUCCUUACUCGUAUCCGAUGUCAAUUGCUGUAGCUAAUCGUUCUUCAUUCAACUAAAUCACAUUUGCUCUGUUUUCCGUUGCUUCUUAUACGAAGCAGAGGCUGAGUGCUAUUGUUACCGUCUGUGCAAAACGGCUUCGACUGAGGCUGUAUUGAUGAUUGAACUUGCUGACUGCCUUUGUGAUGAUUUGGAUGCGAAUCACCUGUUUGACGGAAUUCUGAACUUAGUCGGUUUGUAUUUUGAUUCAAGUCUUGACCGAGAAUUUCCUUCAUUACUAGAUUAUUGAUCGAUUUCGGUCAUAUAAGCGCAUAUGAGGUCUGUUUUUUCAUUAAAAAUCGUAGGUAUUCAAUUUUGAACUUGCUUUGGAUCUGCUACAACCUGUCGAUACAUGCUGAUUCGUAACUAUUGCAGCCCUGAGCUGAUGUCAUUUGGUCCUUGAUAUUGAUGUUAUUCCACCCAAGUAAGCAUGUUUAGUGAAUUUCAUGUUCCCCUGAAAGGAAUUUAUGUCAUGAAUGAAAUAAAUUCUACCGGGAAUUGAUCCUUUUAUGUUGACCGUCUUAAAAUCCCUGAUUUAGUGUGUGUUUGAUUCCAAUUUGAGGCUAGUUUGGUUAUGGGAUCGUAUAUGCCCAUGCUAGGAAAGCAUUAUGGUGAAUCUCAUGCCGAUUUGCGAGAAUUGGGGUCAUCACCAAACUUGAAUAUGUUAGAAUGAAAGUAUUGCGUGCUGACCAUGCUUGCUUUGCAUAAAUUCAGUAUUAAUUUGCCCCUUGAUUGAUGCCAUUUUGAUCAAGUAGACUUAUAUGCGCUGUAGGAAGAUAUGGCUUCAUUUUCAUGUUGAUUACUCAUCAAAAGAUCACAAUUUGCUGUCUCAUAUGCUCUGUUACAAUUAUGAAUGUCUGCUGGAAGUUGUGGAAUAAGCAUAAUUAGAUGGAUAAGAGAUAUGGUGUGUGCAAGUUCCUUGUCAAUUUCACAUGUUCAGAUGGCAAUUGCAUGAUUAAAUUGAUGUAUGUAUGCUUGCUAUUGCCAUGAGAGUCUUGGCCUGAUUAUUGAAUUAGAGAACUCCAAUGUUAACUGAACUUUAAUUCCAUGAUUCUUGCGAUUUCAAAGCUCGGGACAUCUAUUAAAUAAUUUGAAGAAUACUGACUUCGUUUAAAGGUGAUAUGGUAGACUAGCCAGAUUUGAGGAAAUCUCUCAACAAAACUGGUCACUGAGGCCCCAUCAAAAUAUUGCAUGGACGACACUUGCCAACAGAAUCCAAAUAUUCUCUCCCUCUCCUUUGACGCUCACCAUUUAAGGCUUAUUUAUAAGAGCUAUUUCUUAAACCUGACUGAUCCUUCAAUUUCAUGCACUUGUGCCAAUAUACUGUGCACAACACCAAUUGCAACCUAUUGACGCUACUGGAAAUAUCUUCGGGGAAGCUAGAACUCACAUUUGGUUGUGAAUUCCAAUGCGGCUAAUGAAGGGAUAUAUCUCUCUGUCCUUUCCUUCCUCAGAGUUCGCUGGCCAGUGCUGUUCAGAAUGAUGUUUCAAAUAUAUGUUUCUCAUUUCGUUGGAAUGCUCAUGAUAGACUGAUAGUCAUCUGCGUCAACAGCACUAAAGGAGCACGACAGAAGAUUAUCGCCAGUAGGGUGAGGGAAGCUUGGUCACCAGCGAUAAUUUAAUCACCUAUCCAAUUGUCAACAGUCCCAAGGACUAAAAUGCCACGGUACUCAAACUUUGGUCAUAAUUGCCUGCUUCGACGAUUCCAUUCCUUGACAUUGCUUUUGUUAUCUCAUUACUCUUAUCCGAGGUCGAUCGCUAUAGCUAAUCAUUCUUCAUUCAACCAAACUGCAUAUGCUCUGUUUUCCAUUGCUUUAUGUAUGAAGCAGAGGCUGGGAGCUGUUGCUCCCAUCUAUGUGAAAAUGGACUGUGAUUGAGGCUUUAUUAAUGAUUUGAACUUGCUGCAUUUCCUUUGCAAUGAUUUGGAUGUGAACCGUUGCUUUACUUUUGCAUCUAAGCUCCCUAGCUGAAAUGUAUACCACAUGUUUGAUGAAGUUCCUGAACUAAAUAAAUGUGUAAUUCCAGGUCUUGACUGAGAAUUUCAUUCAUUACUAGGAUUUCAUCAAUUUUGGUCAUAUCAGCCUAGUUGUGUUCUGUUUCUUCAUCGAAAAUCAUAGGCAUUCCAUUUUGAACUUGCUUUGGAUUUGCUGGAACCUUGUCAAUACAUGCAGAUUUGCAGCUGUUGCGGCCUUGGGCUAAAGUCCAUUGAUCCUUCAUUGGAUGCUAUUCCACUCAAGUAAGCAUGUGCAGUGACAUAAGAUUGUGUUACGGUAAAUUUCAUGUUUGCUUGGAAAAGAUAUUAUGUCAUGGAUGAAUUAAAUUAUACUUGAAAUCAAUCCUUGGAUGCUGACCAUGUCUUGGUAUCCCAUGAUUGGGUGUGAGUUUGAUUCCAACUUGAGGCUAGUUUGGUUAGGGGAUCUUAUAUGUUCAUGCUAGGAAAGUAAUAUGGUGAAUCUCAUGCCAACUUGAGGCUAGUUUGGUAAUCGCUUCAAUUUCAAGUCAAUUUGUCAUCAAACAAUCACGAUUUGCAGUCUUGUAUGCUCUGUUACAAUUCUGAUUGCUGCUGGAAGUCGUGGAUUAAGCACAGAUUAGAUGGAUUUUGUCUCAACUUGCUUAUUUUUUUUAUUGCCCGUGGGCAAGUGAUAUCACGUGUUCAGAUGGUGCUAGUUGGCUGUUAGUCCCACAAGAAUGAAAUCAAGGACUGCAUAUCAAAACAGAUAUGUAUUAACAAAGGGUCUCAAUUCCCCAAAAAAGCACAAACUUUAGGUUGACUCUCUGUUCUGAGUUAAACUUUUUUUUGUCUAGAAAGAAUCAACUUCCACUUAAGUCCCAAAUUUGAUCCCUGUUCAAUUGCUGUCCAAAAUCACUGUUGAAGGUCUAACAUGGCAGUCAGUUGUAAAUCCAUGUCAGCUAACUACUCACCAAAAAGAUGCUUUGUUGUUCUUAAAAUUUUGGAAAAAUCGAAACAAUUAUAGGUGGAUUCUUCAAUUCUGCAGACAAAAGUCUUCAAAUUUUGUGUUUGUGAAUCUUCAAUUCAUCGAAUAGACUCACGCUUGAGAUAGUUGGUUUGUUGAGCUUUUAACAAACCAAUUCUGAACUCUGCUGGUCUCGUGAUCCAAAGACAGGUGCUCGACCGAAGACAGCAUCUUCUGCAGGAUCAUUCUCAGUGAAUCGCCUGCAUUCAAGGUAUUUGAUUGAUUUUGAUUCUGGUUCUUCUGAAUCGAGGAUGGAUAGCUAUCUUCUUCAAUGUAAAAGCUCAUUUCAAUUCAUGGUUUUGCAUCUCAUGCGUUAUUCUUACUGAAAGAUGCGAGCUUGAUGUCCUGCUAGGUUGGCAAUCAUGUGCGGAAGAAUUACAUCCACAUAUUGUUCUCAUAUUUUGCCUAUCCGAAAACUCAAUGGAAUGGUGACUCUUCCACAUUGCACUGUUUGUCGUGCAUCAUUAAGCAUUGCUGAUGCGGCUAUGUGUUUGACAAACAUUUUCGGAAUGUAUGACAGAUGACGGCUAGAAUGAUCAGAUCCUUCUUCAUUCAUUUGAUCUUUUUGUACUUUCAGCUCUGUGAGGAUGGAAAGUGUCUAUGCAUAUUGAUUCGAGUCUUCUAAGCCAUGGGUAGGGUGUUACUCAUCCACCAUUCUGCAGUAGAUGACCCCUUGAAAUUAUUGUCCUUAAACAAGGAUAAACUGAUUAGGCAAAAAUGUCAUUUUUGCUCUGGUGAUUAACUUCUCCAUUGUUUAGCGAGGACUUCUUAUAUAGUCUCAUCUAAUCACUCACUCCAGAUUGUGUAACCUUGCUUCAUAAACAACAAAUUGAGAUGAAUUAAUGUGUCUAUACGUGAAGUUUAGAUUUGCACAUGAAACUAUGUUGCAGUAAGAAGCAGAUGCUGCCAUGUUGUUAGCUUGGAUCCUAGCAGUUGUUCUCAUGGCCUAAAGAACCCACAUCGUUAAAAAAAUUCUACCUGCAGAUCAGCUUAGAUCCUGACAAUUGAAUGUAAAUACUAAAAGAGAACAUUGAAGAGAAGAGGGUUUUGAUUGUUAUUAAUGCAAACUGUCCUCUCGAGGAAUUUCGCACUUUUGUUUUUUCAUAAACCAACUUCUGUUCUUGAAAAAUCUUUUUGCGAUGUAAGACUGUGCGAACUCACUCAUCUCAAUUGUAACCUGGGACGCAGUGCUUCGUCCACGAUCUCCUGCGAAUCUGUGGCUUUCUCCUGCGAAUCUGUGGCUUCGUCCACGAUCUCCUUCGGCGGCCGGCAGCCGGCGGUCGUCGGCAGCCGAUGGGCUUCCGGCGGCGGCCGGCGGUGACGGUUACAUUGUGCCUCUCAAUAGACUUUGUGAAGGUAUUGAAGUGCAAUAGACAAUCAAGGACAGUUGCGUCGUAGAAGGAAGGAAAAAUAAUACAAAUAAUUCAUGAACUUUGGUCCAAUAUACAAUGUCGUCUUUGAGCUUUUAAUUUGUUUAACUUGGUUCAUGAACUAUUGGUAAAUGUCAAUGUUAUCCUUGAACUUCUAAUUUAUUCAAUGUGACCCUUAAACUAUUGGUAAAUAUUUAAUAUAGUCAUUCUGUUUGUUAAAACAACAAUACGAUGACAUGGAUUAUUAUAUUAUAUGCUGAGUUGGAUUUUUAAAAUUAAUGAGUCAAUAUAUCCGUCUUUUAUCGUCUACUUUAAAAAAAGGAAAAAAAACAAAUUAGGGACUUCAAAUAUCCCACGUGCAAAUUUCUUUUCCUAAUUUGAGACAAAUAUUUUAUGUGGAUAAUCCAUAUAUAUAUAUAUAUAUUGUCUACCAUUCAUAUUUAAUGGAAUGGAAGUCACGUAUUCCAUUAACUUGAAUUAACGAAAAGAUGACAUUAAAUAAUUUGAUAUAGUUAGGGAAUUAGAUUGAACAUUUAUUAGUAACUCAGAGUUCAGGAGUACAUUGAACAUUUACAAAAGUUUAGAUACCAUAUUUAAUAAAUUAAAAGUUCAUAAGUAACAUUGCAUAUUGAAUCAAAUUUUAAGGACUAUUUUUGCUUUAUUUUUCCUUAUAAGGAAAGUGAAAGUAGGAACGUCCUCUUUGGUUUCUUUGCAUCUAGCAAGGUGCUUCUCCUCCGUGAACCACCACUUGCAUGCACGACUGACGUACCACACGUUUUCCAGUUGUCUUGUAGAUGUUUCAAGGAUAUUUACCUUAUUAUUUGAAGAAGAAUAUCAUGUCAUCAUGAACAUAGUACAAGACAAUAUAUAUAUAUAUAUAUAUAUAUAUAUAUAUAUAUUUGCAUUAAAUCUUUACUUAUCAAAGGCCAGCGAGUUAUUUCUCGAUUGAUGAAAGAAAUGGGCAAAAAAAUUGGGAAACUCCAGUUGAAUAGAACCCGGUAUGUGUUGAUCAAAUAUUGAUCCUUUUGAAAUGAUAUGGGGUCGAAGUCCCAUAGAAUGUGGUGGAAGACUAAACAAGGAGCCGUAAAGGGAAGGUGGUGGGGGGAAAGAGAGAGAGAGAGAGAUUGAGAGAUUUCUUUAGUGCAAGAUGAUUGUUUCAUAAUUUUUCUUUAGUGCAAGACGAUUCUUUCAUAUUUUUAUUUUCCUUUAUUUAAAGGUUCCAAAGUGAAGAAAGGAUACGAUGGUUGAAGGAUUUUUUUUUUCUCGUCUUUCAGUUUAGAUACUUGGCUUCCAUGAUAGAGGAUUCUUUUUCCCUUCGUUUAAAGGUUCCAAAGCGAAGAAAUGAUGAGACGGUUGAGGAAUUUUUUUCUCAUCUUUUAGUUCAAAUACUUGGCUUCCACGAUAGAGGAUUCUUUUCUUCCAGCCUAGGGAUUCUUCCUCAAAUUAUUCUAAUUAUUAUUUUCUUCUUCAAAUUCAUCAUCUCCUUCCAACGCUAAAUCCAAACCCCAUGUCUCCCACCACGCUGACAUCUUAAUGAGCCACAGAUUAAACUAAUUCCUGCCGGUGAAGAUCUCUAACUCAAAUUUUCUAGAAGCCAUAGCGAUAAUUGCAUACAGACAAAAUAACCCUAGGCUUUGAUACUAGUUUUAUAACUAAUGCGCAAACAAGAACAAAUGAAAAUGACUUAAGUAAAAAAUAAAUUGCAUAAAUAAAACCUGAACGCAGCGGAUUUACUUUGUCCAAUGGUAAAACCUACUUUAUGGGGAAAGUUAACAAGAUGGUUUCAUGAUAAUCGGCGAAAAAUGGAUUACGACCGCUCAAUUACACUCACUCAUAAGUGUUUCUCAAUCAUAGAGUUUCACAAGAAUCAGUCACAAGAAAUGAGUUUUCUCACACUCUCAGCUCUCUCGGAUGAUGAUUCUCAAUAGUCUCUAUGUCUCUCACAAGCUUUUAUACGUAUUAAGCACACUCAACAUGCUCAAAAGACCAAACUCACCAAUAAAAUAGUUAUAUGCAAAGAAAUUAUCAGCCCGUAUUUGAUGACAACAUUGAUUUCAUCAUCAAUAAUGAAAAGAGUUCUUGUGAGAAAUUAAUGUCCCUUGUUGCAUCACCCACACUCCGAUUGGCAAGAGUCCAAUUUGGAUUUCCUAAUAUGGCCUGAAUUGCUUUGCAAUUAAAUUAUGGGUUGAAUUUCAAUCAAUCAGGAUUAACUUUGAUUCAUAAUCAACACAUCACAACGUCAUGGCCGAGUGCACUUGAGGAGGCAUUUGAUCUCAAGCAUACUCGGCUUGAGGUUUACCAACCCAAUCUACAGGAAUAUUCAUACAUAUUUUAAUGCUUAUUCAUGAAUCAUAUGUAUUCUUAGGGGUAGUUCCUCUCUGAGGCAGGUAUUUCUUUCAGUUAAUGAGUUUGACUAAGAUAUAAGUAGGUGCGAAUAUUUUCAUUAGUGGCCUUGUUAGUAAUUCCGGUUUUUUUGGUCCCUGGCCAACUAUUUUGUCAUCCGGUGACAACAUGAGUCAAUCUUGAGUUAUGUUGUCUACCGUCGCGGUUCCACCUCUUGUAGAAAUCUACUUGCAAGGUGCUUUCAGUGGUCCCUUCUCUGAGAACCAUCACUUGUGUGCUCGGCCAGGGUACUGUAUGUUUUCCGUUAGUUCUUGUAGAUGUUUUAAAUACAUUUAUCCUAAUUUUAGAAGAAGAAUAUCGUGUCGUCGGGAACAAAGUAUAAGACACUGUAUGGUUCGUCACGUCAAAUUUUUACUUACCAAAGGCCAGAGUUAUUUCUCGAAGGGAGAAAUGGCAAAAAAAAAACAAAAAACAAAAGCGACAAUCCAGUAGGAUAGAACCUGCUUCAUAUUGACCCGAAAUCCGAUCUCGCCCAUUUGGCGCGUCGGAGUCGUAGAAAUCACGAUGGAAGAUUAAAAGAGCAGUACAAGUGAAGAGAGAGAUUGAGAGAAAAAGAGAGGCGGCCGAGAUUUCUUUCGUGAAAGAUGAUUAUUUCAUAUUUAUCUUUUCCUGUUUCGAGGAUACUUUUUCGCUUUAUUUAAAGGUUCCAGGGAGAAGAAAUCAUGAGACGGGAGGAUUCUUUCAUUUAUUCCCUUCAUGUUGAGGAUUCUUCCUCACCUUUCAGUUCAGAUACUUGUCUUCUAUGACAGAGGAUUCUUUUCCUCCAGCAUGGGGGAUCCUUCUUCAGAUUAUUCUUUUCUUGGCCGAGGAAAAAUGAGAUGGUCUUCACGACCUUUCUUGGCCAACACCUUCGUAUAUAUUUUGGGAGUUUCACCCCAUCUCAUUCAGACAUUUGUCGCAUUUCCUAUCUCGAAUUUUCACCGUCCUUCACUGUCUUCUUCCAGCCACUAGCUCUCUCUCUCUCUCUCUCUCUCUCUCUCUCUCUCUCUCUCUCUCUCUCUCUCGUGUUCAUUGUAUUCAUCCUAUUGAACUUUUCCUCUUCUUCAGUCGUUUCGUUUUCGGGUUCCAUCACUUCAGCCUUCCUAAGCAUAUAUAAAUUCUUAACUUUCAUUUCUCUCCAAAGAGGAAGGCAAAAAAAUCAGAAAGAUAGAAAUAAAAAAGCGGGAAAAUGGCGGAUAUUGUUCUGUCUAUAGCUUCCAAAGUGGCGGGAUACCUGGCCGCUCCAAUUGGUCGUCGAUGCGGCUACCUGAUGUUCUCCAACAGCUACGUUGGCCAACUGAAGGAAGAACUUGAGAAGCUGGAUGACGCGAGGGUUGGGCUGCAGCGCUCGGUCGUUGAUGCUGAAAACAACAUGAGGGAGAUAAAACGCGAAGUUAACAGAUGGAAGAAUGAUGCAGAGACUGUUGCCAACAAGGCGCGCGGCAUGCUGGAUAACGAUGGAAGAGCCAAGAAAACUUGCUUCUGCGGGUGGCUUCCCAACCCAAAGGAGCGUUAUUGUCUCGGCAGGGACGCGAGGAAGACAGCCCAGGCCAUCCAGGCACUCAUCCCACAAGGUAAAUUCGAGAGGGUCUACUAUGAGAGUGAUCCACCGGGGCGUGUCGCUGGCACUCCUGAUGUGAAUUCGUCAGCUGGUGAUGGGGGCGACACUAUUGUGGACUCGCGAGCUUCCGUCUUUCAGGGCAUAAUGAAAGCUCUGGAUGAUGAGAAGCUAAGAGUGAUUGGGGUCUACGGGCCUGGCGGCGUGGGGAAGACUACGCUAUUGGAGGAAGUCGAGAAGAAACUCAGUAAAGAGAAGGGACCGUUCCACAUGAUCGUCAAAGCAAAAGUGUCGCAGAUUCCUGUCUCGAAGAAUAUCCAAGAUGAGAUCGCUGACGCCUUGAAACUGGAUCUGAAGGACGUGCGAAGCAAACGCGGUCGGGCAAAUCGUCUGUUGGAGAGAUUACAGCGGGAUCCAAGUGAGAAGGUUCUCAUAAUAUUGGAUGACCUAUGGGGGGAACUUGAUUUGAAAGCGGUUGGAAUUCCUUCAAGAGACAUUAGCGGGAAAUGCAAAUUGUUGCUCGCAUCAAGAUUUGAAGAUGUGCUGAAGCAAAAGAUGUGUGCCGAUGAAACAUUUUUUCUUGGAGGCCUAAACAACGACGAAGCUUUCGGGCUAUUUGCAAAGACGGUCGGCAACAGGCUCGAAGACGAUGAGGAUUUGAAAGCAAUAGCGGCUCGAGUGGUCAAGAAGCUUGCAGGUUUGCCUCUUUUGAUUAUCUCCGUUGCAAAAACCUUGAAAGAAAGCCCUGUGUCCGCAUGGAGAAUCGCACAGAUAGAAAUAGAUGAGUCAACUAAAGAAAUACAAGAAACGAUAGUGAAGUUGAGUUAUGGCCAUUUGAAGAGUGAGGACGCGAAGUGCUUAUUCUUGCUCUGCGGUCUUAUUGGCGGGACCAUUCAGGUCGAACUUCUAUGGGUAUUAGGCAUGGGGUUGGGCUUGCUUGAAAAAAUUAAUGAGACAAUACAAAAUUCAAGGGAUAGAUUGAAUAAUAUUCUGGAUAGCCUCCAUUCCAUUUGUUUGUUGCAGGAUGGAGGCGAUGAUAAGAAACAUGUGACCAUACACGAUCUUUACAGCGAGGUGGUCAUCUCAGGUGCAUAUAGUGGUCAGGAUUCCUUAAUGAUUAACAACAAUUAUGGCUCAUGGCCAAAGGAAAAGCUUGAGAAAUGUUGGGCAUGCCUGGUUAAUGUUGGCAGUGAUAAACUUGUUGAACUAAUGCUGCGUCAGUUUCCCCACGUGAAGAUACUUAUGUUGUCAGAACAAAACAAUAUGGGAGAUUGUAGUAGAAUUGAUUUCACAUACAUGGAGGAGCUUCGAGUCCUCUAUCUUCGCUCUAUGCAUAUCACCAGUUUACCUUCCUCGAUGGAAAUCCUCGGGAACCUCCGGUCAUUAAGCAUAAAUUGCUAUGUGAGGGAUGUGGCAAAUCUUGGCAAGCUCAAAGCACUGCAAAUUCUUAGCUUCGAUGGGUCUAUAAUUUCUAGACUGCCUAAAGAAAUCGGGAAACUAACCAAUCUAAAAUCGUUGAAUCUGAACCACUGCUACUGGCUUANNNNNNNNNNNNNNNNNNNNNNNNNNNNNNNNNNNNNNNNNNNNNNNNNNNNNNNNNNNNNNNNNNNNNNNNNNNNNNNNNNNNNNNNNNNNNNNNNNNNNNNNNNNNNNNNNNNNNNNNNNNNNNNNNNNNNNNNNNNNNNNNNNNNNNNNNNNNNNNNNNNNNNNNNNNNNNNNNNNNNNNNNNNNNNNNNNNNNNNNNNNNNNNNNNNNNNNNNNNNNNNNNNNNNNNNNNNNNNNNNNNNNNNNNNNNNNNNNNNNNNNNNNNNNNNNNNNNNNNNNNNNNNNNNNNNNNNNNNNNNNNNNNNNNNNNNNNNNNNNNNNNNNNNNNNNNNNNNNNNNNNNNNNNNNNNNNNNNNNNNNNNNNNNNNNNNNNNNNNNNNNNNNNNNNNNNNNNNNNNNNNNNNNNNNNNNNNNNNNNNNNNNNNNNNNNNNNNNNNNNNNNNNNNNNNNNNNNNNNNNNNNNNNNNNNNNNNNNNNNNNNNNNNNNNNNNNNNNNNNNNNNNNNNNNNNNNNNNNNNNNNNNNNNNNNNNNNNNNNNNNNNNNNNNNNNNNNNNNNNNNNNNNNNNNNNNNNNNNNNNNNNNNNNNNNNNNNNNNNNNNNNNNNNNNNNNNNNNNNNNNNNNNNNNNNNNNNNNNNNNNNNNNNNNNNNNNNNNNNNNNNNNNNNNNNNNNNNNNNNNNNNNNNNNNNNNNNNNNNNNNNNNNNNNNNNNNNNNNNNNNNNNNNNNNNNNNNNNNNNNNNNNNNNNNNNNNNNNNNNNNNNNNNNNNNNNNNNNNNNNNNNNNNNNNNNNNNNNNNNNNNNNNNNNNNNNNNNNNNNNNNNNNNNNNNNNNNNNNNNNNNNNNNNNNNNNNNNNNNNNNNNNNNNNNNNNNNNNNNNNNNNNNNNNNNNNNNNNNNNNNNNNNNNNNNNNNNNNNNNNNNNNNNNNNNNNNNNNNNNNNNNNNNNNNNNNNNNNNNNNNNNNNNNNNNNNNNNNNNNNNNNNNNNNNNNNNNNNNNNNNNNNNNNNNNNNNNNNNNNNNNNNNNNNNNNNNNNNNNNNNNNNNNNNNNNNNNNNNNNNNNNNNNNNNNNNNNNNNNNNNNNNNNNNNNNNNNNNNNNNNNNNNNNNNNNNNNNNNNNNNNNNNNNNNNNNNNNNNNNNNNNNNNNNNNNNNNNNNNNNNNNNNNNNNNNNNNNNNNNNNNNNNNNNNNNNNNNNNNNNNNNNNNNNNNNNNNNNNNNNNNNNNNNNNNNNNNNNNNNNNNNNNNNNNNNNNNNNNNNNNNNNNNNNNNNNNNNNNNNNNNNNNNNNNNNNNNNNNNNNNNNNNNNNNNNNNNNNNNNNNNNNNNNNNNNNNNNNNNNNNNNNNNNNNNNNNNNNNNNNNNNNNNNNNNNNNNNNNNNNNNNNNNNNNNNNNNNNNNNNNNNNNNNNNNNNNNNNNNNNNNNNNNNNNNNNNNNNNNNNNNNNNNNNNNNNNNNNNNNNNNNNNNNNNNNNNNNNNNNNNNNNNNNNNNNNNNNNNNNNNNNNNNNNNNNNNNNNNNNNNNNNNNNNNNNNNNNNNNNNNNNNNNNNNNNNNNNNNNNNNNNNNNNNNNNNNNNNNNNNNNNNNNNNNNNNNNNNNNNNNNNNNNNNNNNNNNNNNNNNNNNNNNNNNNNNNNNNNNNNNNNNNNNNNNNNNNNNNNNNNNNNNNNNNNNNNNNNNNNNNNNNNNNNNNNNNNNNNNNNNNNNNNNNNNNNNNNNNNNNNNNNNNNNNNNNNNNNNNNNNNNNNNNNNNNNNNNNNNNNNNNNNNNNNNNNNNNNNNNNNNNNNNNNNNNNNNNNNNNNNNNNNNNNNNNNNNNNNNNNNNNNNNNNNNNNNNNNNNNNNNNNNNNNNNNNNNNNNNNNNNNNNNNNNNNNNNNNNNNNNNNNNNNNNNNNNNNNNNNNNNNNNNNNNNNNNNNNNNNNNNNNNNNNNNNNNNNNNNNNNNNNNNNNNNNNNNNNNNNNNNNNNNNNNNNNNNNNNNNNNNNNNNNNNNNNNNNNNNNNNNNNNNNNNNNNNNNNNNNNNNNNNNNNNNNNNNNNNNNNNNNNNNNNNNNNNNNNNNNNNNNNNNNNNNNNNNNNNNNNNNNNNNNNNNNNNNNNNNNNNNNNNNNNNNNNNNNNNNNNNNNNNNNNNNNNNNNNNNNNNNNNNNNNNNNNNNNNNNNNNNNNNNNNNNNNNNNNNNNNNNNNNNNNNNNNNNNNNNNNNNNNNNNNNNNNNNNNNNNNNNNNNNNNNNNNNNNNNNNNNNNNNNNNNNNNNNNNNNNNNNNNNNNNNNNNNNNNNNNNNNNNNNNNNNNNNNNNNNNNNNNNNNNNNNNNNNNNNNNNNNNNNNNNNNNNNNNNNNNNNNNNNNNNNNNNNNNNNNNNNNNNNNNNNNNNNNNNNNNNNNNNNNNNNNNNNNNNNNNNNNNNNNNNNNNNNNNNNNNNNNNNNNNNNNNNNNNNNNNNNNNNNNNNNNNNNNNNNNNNNNNNNNNNNNNNNNNNNNNNNNNNNNNNNNNNNNNNNNNNNNNNNNNNNNNNNNNNNNNNNNNNNNNNNNNNNNNNNNNNNNNNNNNNNNNNNNNNNNNNNNNNNNNNNNNNNNNNNNNNNNNNNNNNNNNNNNNNNNNNNNNNNNNNNNNNNNNNNNNNNNNNNNNNNNNNNNNNNNNNNNNNNNNNNNNNNNNNNNNNNNNNNNNNNNNNNNNNNNNNNNNNNNNNNNNNNNNNNNNNNNNNNNNNNNNNNNNNNNNNNNNNNNNNNNNNNNNNNNNNNNNNNNNNNNNNNNNNNNNNNNNNNNNNNNNNNNNNNNNNNNNNNNNNNNNNNNNNNNNNNNNNNNNNNNNNNNNNNNNNNNNNNNNNNNNNNNNNNNNNNNNNNNNNNNNNNNNNNNNNNNNNNNNNNNNNNNNNNNNNNNNNNNNNNNNNNNNNNNNNNNNNNNNNNNNNNNNNNNNNNNNNNNNNNNNNNNNNNNNNNNNNNNNNNNNNNNNNNNNNNNNNNNNNNNNNNNNNNNNNNNNNNNNNNNNNNNNNNNNNNNNNNNNNNNNNNNNNNNNNNNNNNNNNNNNNNNNNNNNNNNNNNNNNNNNNNNNNNNNNNNNNNNNNNNNNNNNNNNNNNNNNNNNNNNNNNNNNNNNNNNNNNNNNNNNNNNNNNNNNNNNNNNNNNNNNNNNNNNNNNNNNNNNNNNNNNNNNNNNNNNNNNNNNNNNNNNNNNNNNNNNNNNNNNNNNNNNNNNNNNNNNNNNNNNNNNNNNNNNNNNNNNNNNNNNNNNNNNNNNNNNNNNNNNNNNNNNNNNNNNNNNNNNNNNNNNNNNNNNNNNNNNNNNNNNNNNNNNNNNNNNNNNNNNNNNNNNNNNNNNNNNNNNNNNNNNNNNNNNNNNNNNNNNNNNNNNNNNNNNNNNNNNNNNNNNNNNNNNNNNNNNNNNNNNNNNNNNNNNNNNNNNNNNNNNNNNNNNNNNNNNNNNNNNNNNNNNNNNNNNNNNNNNNNNNNNNNNNNNNNNNNNNNNNNNNNNNNNNNNNUCGAUACUUCAGAACUUGAAAAAGCUCUUAUCAACAAUACAGGACUCUCAUCUCUUUCCACUGUCUGUGGCUAAAAUGUCUUAGAGAAAUUAGAGACAUAAAGUGGAGGAUUGUCCGAAUAUGAAGGCGGUGAUUGUUGAUGAAGAAAGGAAGAGAUGAUGGGAUAGAUGAUAUUAUAGAGUUCCCAUUAUUGGAGCGACUAUCUAUAAGCCACUGUCCCACGGAGAAAUUCUUCUCAUAUCCUCAUGCACAAAAAGAGUCAAUAACCACUACUUCAAAUUCACAAGAUACUUAUUCGGAUUCUUUCUUUGAUCAAAAGGUACGAAUCCUUUCUUUAGAGCUUACGCCCAUAACAGUCAUAAGCACGCAAUUGGUGGGGCAAGUAUUAAUAUUUUUUUGAAGAUUUUUUUAUUUGUUAUAUUAGUUAAAAUGUUUUUAUAAUUUAUAGCUACACUUGUUAGAGUAAGGCCAUUGGUGAAAAUUCUAUCCUCCACCGCAUUAGACAGAUUGGUAUAAGAUUAGACCAAAUUGUAAAAAAUUUCAUAGCUAUGAUCUGAUGUACAACUCUUAUGAGCAGAUAAGUUUACCAAACUUGGAGAAGUUAAUACUCGACUCGCUAGGAUCCUCUCGCUGUGGCUGUGGGCUCGGCCUCGCCAUUGUUGGGCGAGGCAUAUGGCAUAGUGAGCUUCCCAAAAGUUCUUCCGACAAAUUAGCCAACCUCACCCCGAAACAAGAUUUGCAAUCACAAGGAACAUCAAUAUUUCGGAAUCUGAAGGUGCUCUCUAUCAAAAAUACAGGGCUAUCAUUUCUCUUUUCGGUGUCUGUGGCUAAAUGUCUUAGGGAAAUUAGAGAGAUUGAAGUGGAGGAUUGUCUGAAUAUGAAUGCGGUGAUUGUUGAUGAAGAAGGAAGAGAUGAUGGGAUAGAUGAUAUUAUAGAGUUCCCAUUAUUGGAGCGACUAUCUAUAAGCCGCUGUCCCACGGAGAAAUUCUUCUCAUACCCUCAUGGAAAAAAAGAGUCAAUAACCACUACUUCAGAUUCACAAGAUACUUAUUCGGAUUCUUUCUUAGAUCAAAAGGUACGAAUCCUUUCUUUAGAGCUUACGCCCAUAACAGUCAUAGGCACGCGAUUGGUGGGGCAAGUAUUAAUAUUUUUUCGAACAUUUUGUUAUUUGUUUUAUUAGCGAAAAUGUUUCUAUAAUUUAUAGCUACACUUGUUAGAGUAAGGCCAUUGGUGAAAAUUCUAUCCUCCACCGCAUUAGACAGAUUGGUAUAAGAUUAGACCAAAUUGUAAAAAAUUUCAUAGCNNNNNNNNNNNNNNNNNNNNNNNNNNNNNNNNNNNNNNNNNNNNNNNNNNNNNNNNNNNNNNNNNNNNNNNNNNNNNNNNNNNNNNNNNNNNNNNNNNNNAGCUGAGAGUUAAUACUCCACUCGCUAGGAUCCUCUCGCGUGCUGUGGGCUCGGCCUCGCCAUUGUUGGGCGAGGCAUAUGGCAUAGUGAGCUUCCCAAAAGUUCUUCCGACAAAUUAGCCAACCUCACCCCGAAACAAGAUUUGCAAUCACAAGGAACAUCAAUAUUUCGGAAUCUGAAGGUGCUCUCUAUCAAAAAUACAGGGCUAUCAUUUCUCUUUUCGGUGUCUGUGGCUAAAUGUCUUAGGGAAAUUAGAGAGAUUGAAGUGGAGGAUUGUCUGAAUAUGAAUGCGGUGAUUGUUGAUGAAGAAGGAAGAGAUGAUGGGAUAGAUGAUAUUUUAGAGUUCCCAUUAUUGGAGCGACUAUCUAUAAGCUGCUGUCCCACGGAGAAAUUCUUCUCAUAUCCUCAUGGAAAAAAAGAGUCAAUAACCACUACUUCAGAUUCACAAGAUACUUAUUCGGAUUCUUUCUUAGAUCAAAAGGUACGAAUCCUUUCUUUAGAGCUUACGCCCAUAACAGUCAUAGGCACGCGAUUGGUGGGGCAAGUAUUAAUACUUUUUUGAAGAUUUUUUUAUUUGUUUUAUUAGUUAAAAUGUUUUUAUAAUUUAUAGCUACACUUGUUAGAGUAAGGCCGUUGGUGAAAAUUCUAUCCUCCACCGCAUUAGAUAGAUCGGUAUAAGAUUACGCCAAAUUGUAAAAAAUUUCAUAGCUAUGAUCUGAUGUACAACUCUUAUGAGCAGAUAAGUUUACCAAGCUUGGAGAAGUUAAUACUCCACUCGCUAGGAUCCUNNNNNNNNNNNNNNNNNNNNNNNNNNNNNNNNNNNNNNNNNNNNNNNNNNNNNNNNNNNNNNNNNNNNNNNNNNNNNNNNNNNNNNNNNNNNNNNNNNNNNNNNNNNNNNNNNNNNNNNNNNNNNNNNNNNNNNNNNNNNNNNNNNNNNNNNNNNNNNNNNNNNNNNNNNNNNNNNNNNNNNNNNNNNNNNNNNNNNNNNNNNNNNNNNNNNNNNNNNNNNNNNNNNNNNNNNNNNNNNNNNNNNNNNNNNNNNNNNNNNNNNNNNNNNNNNNNNNNNNNNNNNNNNNNNNNNNNNNNNNNNNNNNNNNNNNNNNCAUUAUUGGAGCAACUAUCUAUAAGCCACUGUCCCACGGAGAAAUUCUUCUCAUAUCCUCAUGCACAAAAAGAGUCAAUAACCACUACUUCAAAUUCACAAGAUACUUAUUCGGAUUCUUUCUUUGAUCAAAAGGUACGAAUCCUUUCUUUAGAGCUUACGCCCAUAACAGUCAUAAGCACGCGAUUGGUGGGGCAAGUAUUAAUAUUUUUUUGAAGAUUUUUUUAUUUGUUAUAUUAGUUAAAAUGUUUUUAUAAUUUAUAGCUACACUUGUUAGAGUAAGGCCAUUGGUGAAAAUUCUAUCCUCCACCGCAUUAGACAGAUUGGUAUAAGAUUAGACCAAAUUGUAAAAAAUUUCAUAGCUAUGAUCUGAUGUACAACUCUUAUGAGCAGAUAAGUUUACCAAACUUGGAGAAGUUAAUACUCGACUCGCUAGGAUCCUCUCGCCGUGGCUGUGGGCUCGGCCUCGCCAUUGUUGGGCGAGGCAUAUGGCAUAGUGAGCUUCCCAAAAGUUCUUCCGACAAAUUAGCCAACCUCACCCCGAAACAAGAUUUGCAAUCACAAGGAACAUCAAUAUUUCGGAAUCUGAAGGUGCUCUCUAUCAAAAAUACAGGGCUAUCAUUUCUCUUUUCGGUGUCUGUGGCUAAAUGUCUUAGGGAAAUUAGAGAGAUUGAAGUGGAGGAUUGUCUGAAUAUGAAUGCGGUGAUUGUUGAUGAAGAAGGAAGAGAUGAUGGGAUAGAUGAUAUUAUAGAGUUCCCAUUAUUGGAGCGACUAUCUAUAAGCCGCUGUCCCACGGAGAAAUUCUUCUCAUACCCUCAUGGAAAAAAAGAGUCAAUAACCACUACUUCAGAUUCACAAGAUACUUAUUCGGAUUCUUUCUUAGAUCAAAAGGUACGAAUCCUUUCUUUAGAGCUUACGCCCAUAACAGUCAUAGGCACGCGAUUGGUGGGGCAAGUAUUAAUAUUUUUUUGAAUAUUUUUUUAUUUGUUUUAUUAGUUAAAAUGUUUUUAUAAUUUAUAGCUACACUUGUUAGAGUAAGGCCAUUGGUGAAAAUUCUAUCCUCCACCGCAUUAGACAGAUUGGUAUAAGAUUAGACCAAAUUGUAAAAAUUUUCAUAGCUAUGAUCUGAUGUACAACUCUUAUGAGCAGAUAAGUUUACCAAACUUGGAGAAGUUAAUACUCAACUCGCUAGGAUCCUCUCGCCGUGGCUGUGGGCUCGGCCUCGCCAUUGUUGGGCGAGGCAUAUGGCAUCUAGGAUGUGAGCAAAAGUUCUUCCAACAAAUUAGCCAACCCCACCUCGAAACAAGAUUUGCAAUCACAGGGAACAUCAAUAUUUCGGAAUUUGAAGGUGCUCUCUAUCAACAAUACAAGGCUGUUAUUUCUCUUUUCAGUGUCUGUGGCUAAAUGUCUUAGGGAAAUUAUAGAGAUUGAAGUGAAGGAUUGUCCGAAUAUGAAUGCGGUGAUUGUUGAUGAAGAAGGAAGAGAUGAUGGGAUAGAUGAUAUUAUAGAGUUCCCAUUNNNNNNNNNNNNNNNNNNNNNNNNNNNNNNNNNNNNNNNNNNNNNNNNNNNNNNNNNNNNNNNNNNNNNNNNNNNNNNNNNNNNNNNNNNNNNNNNNNNNNNNNNNNNNNNNNNNNNNNNNNNNNNNNNNNNNNNNNNNNNNNNNNNNNNNNNNNNNNNNNNNNNNNNNNNNNNNNNNNNNNNNNNNNNNNNNNNNNNNNNNNNNNNNNNNNGAUUUUUUUAUUUGUUUUAUUAGUUAAAAUGUUUUUAUAAUUUAUAGCUACACUUGUUAGAGUAAGGCCCGUUGGUGAAAAUUCUAUCCUCCACCGCAUUAGAUAGAUCGGUAUAAGAUUAGGCCCAAAUUGUAAAAAUUUUCAUAGCUAUGAUCUGAUGUACAACUCUUAUGAGCAGAUAAGUUUACCAAGCUUGGAGAAGUUAAUACUCCACUCGCUAGGAUCCUCUCGCCGUGGCUGUGGGCUCGGCCUCGCCAUUGUUGGGCGAGGCAUAUGGCAUAGUGAGCUUCCCAAAAGUUCUUCCGACAAAUUAGCCAACCUCACCCCAAAACAAGACUUGCAAUCACAAGGAACAUCAAUAUUUCGGAAUCUGAAGGUGCUCUCUAUAAAAAAUACAGGGCUAUCAUUUCUCUUUUCGGUGUCUGUGGCUAAAUGUCUUAGGGAAAUUAGAGAGAUUGAAGUGGAGGAUUGUCUGAAUAUGAAUGCGGUGAUUGUUGAUGAAGAAGGAAGAGAUGAUGGGAUAGAUGAUAUUUUAGAGUUCCCAUUAUUGGAGCGACUAUCUAUAAGCCGCUGUCCCACGGAGAAAUUCUUCUCAUAUCCUCAUGGAAAAAAAGAGUCAAUAACCACUACUUCAGAUUCACAAGAUACUUAUUCGGAUUCUUUCUUAGAUCAAAAGGUACGAAUCCUUUCUUUAGAGCUUACGCCCAUAACAGUCAUAGGCACGCGAUUGGUGGGGCAAGUAUUAAUACUUUUUUGAAGAUUUUUUUUAUUUGUUUUAUUAGUUAAAAUGUUUUUAUACUUGCCCCCCCCACUGCUUAGAGUAAACCCGUAUGUGAAAAUUCUAUCCUCCACCGCAUUAGACCUAUCGGUAUAAGAAAGCAUCCAAAUGUGUAUAAUGUGAAAGCUAUGAUGUGAUGUACAACUCUUAUGAGCAGAUAAGUUUACCAAGCUUGGAGAAGUUAAUACUCCACUCGCUAGGAUCCUCUCGCCGUGGCUGUGGGCUCGGCCUCGCCAUUGUUGGGCGAGGCAUAUGGCAUAGUGAGCUUCCCAAAAGUUCUUCCGACAAAUUAGCCAACCUCACCCCAAAACAAGACUUGCAAUCACAAGGAACAUCAAUAUUUCGGAAUCUGAAGGUGCUCUCUAUAAAAAAUACAGGGCUAUCAUUUCUCUUUUCGGUGUCUGUGGCUAAAUGUCUUAGGGAAAUUAGAGAGAUUGAAGUGGAGGAUUGUCUGAAUAUGAAUGCGGUGAUUGUUGAUGAAGAAGGAAGAGAUGAUGGGAUAGAUGAUAUUUUAGAGUUCCCAUUAUUGGAGCGACUAUCUAUAAGCCGCUGUCCCACGGAGAAAUUCUUCUCAUAUCCUCAUGGAAAAAAAGAGUCAAUAACCACUACUUCAGAUUCACGAGAUACUUAUUCGGAUUCUUCUUAGAUCAAAAGGUACGAAUCCUUCUUUAGAGCUUACGCCCCAUAACAGUCAUAGGCACGCGAUUGGUGGGGCAAGUAUUAAUACUUUUUUGAAGAUUUUUUUAUUUGUUUUAUUAGUUAAAAUGUUUUUAUAAUUAUAGCUACACUUGUUAGAGUAAGGCCGUUGGUGAAAAUUCUAUCCUCCACCGCAUUAGAUAGAUCGGUAUAAGAUUACGCCAAAUUGUAAAAAAUUUCAUAGCUAUGAUCUGAUGUACAACUCUUAUGAGCAGAUAAGUUUACCAAGCUUGGAGAAGUUAAUACUCCACUCGCUAGGAUCCUCUCGCCGUGGCUGUGGGCUCGGCCUCGCCAUUGUUGGGCGAGGCAUAUGGCAUAGUGAGCUUCCCAAAAGUUCUUCUGACAAAUUAGCCAACCUCACCUCGAAACAAGAUUUGCAAUCACAGGGAACAUCAAUAUUUCGGAAUCUGAAGGUGGUCUCUAUAAAAAAUACAGGGCUGUUAUUUCUCUUUUCGGUGUCUGUGGCUAAAUGUCUUAGGGAAAUUAGAGAGAUUGAAGUGAAGGAUUGUCCGAAUAUGAAUGCGGUGAUUGUUGAUGAAGAAGGAAGAGAUGAUGGGAUAGAUGAUAUUAUAGAGUUCCCAUUAUUGGAGCAACUAUCUAUAAGCCGUUGUCCCACGGAGAAAUUCUUCUUAUAUCCUCAUGGAAAAAAAGAGUCAAUAACCACUACUUCAGAUUCACAAGAUACUUAUUCGGAUUCCUUCUUUGAUCAAAAGGUAUGAAUCCUUUCUUUAGAGCUUAUGCCCAUAAUAGUCAUAGGCACGCGAUUGGUGGGGCAAGUAUUAAUAUUUUUUUGAAGAUUUUUUUAUUUGGUUUAUUAGUUAAAAUGUUUUUAUAAUUUAUAUCUAUACUUGUUAGAGUAAGGCCAUUGGUGAAAAUUCUAUCCUCCAUCACAUUAGAUAGAUCGGUAUAAGAUUAGGCCAAAUUGUAAAAAUUUUCAUAGCUAUGAUAUGAUGUACAACUCUUAUGAGCAGAUAAGUUUACCAAGCUUGGAGAAGUUAGUACUCCACUCGCUAGGAUCCUCUCGCCAUGGCUGUGGGCUCGGCCUCGCCAUUGUUGGGCGAGGCAUAUGGCACAGUGAGCUUCCCAAAAGUUCCUCCGACAAAUUAGCCAACCUCACCCCGAAACAAGAUUUGCAUCACAAGGAAUAUCAAUAAUUCGNNNNNNNNNNNNNNNNNNNNNNNNNNNNNNNNNNNNNNNNNNNNNNNNNNNNNNNNNNNNNNNNNNNNNNNNNNNNNNNNNNNNNNNNNNNNNNNNNNNNNNNNNNNNNNNNNNNNNNNNNNNNNNNNNNNNNNNNNNNNNNNNNNNNNNNNNNNNNNNNNNNNNNNNNNNNNNNNNNNNNNNNNNNNNNNNNNNNNNNNNNNNNNNNNNNNNNNNNNNNNNNNNNNNNNNNNNNNNNNNNNNNNNNNNNNNNNNNNNNNNNNNNNNNNNNNNNNNNNNNNNNNNNNNNNNNNNNNNNNNNNNNNNNNNNNNNNNNNNNNNNNNNNNNNNNNNNNNNNNNNNNNNNNNNNNNNNNNNNNNNNNNNNNNNNNNNNNNNNNNNNNNNNNNNNNNNNNNNNNNNNNNNNNNNNNNNNNNNNNNNNNNNNNNNNNNNNNNNNNNNNNNNNNNNNNNNNNNNNNNNNNNNNNNNNNNNNNNNNNNNNNNNNNNNNNNNNNNNNNNNNNNNNNNNNNNNNNNNNNNNNNNNNNNNNNNNNNNNNNNNNNNNNNNNNNNNNNNNNNNNNNNNNNNNNNNNNNNNNNNNNNNNNNNNNNNNNNNNNNNNNNNNNNNNNNNNNNNNNNNNNNNNNNNNNNNNNNNNNNNNNNNNNNNNNNNNNNNNNNNNNNNNNNNNNNNNNNNNNNNNNNNNNNNNNNNNNNNNNNNNNNNNNNNNNNNNNNNNNNNNNNNNNNNNNNNNNNNNNNNNNNNNNNNNNNNNNNNNNNNNNNNNNNNNNNNNNNNNNNNNNNNNNNNNNNNNNNNNNNNNNNNNNNNNNNNNNNNNNNNNNNNNNNNNNNNNNNNNNNNNNNNNNNNNNNNNNNNNNNNNNNNNNNNNNNNNNNNNNNNNNNNNNNNNNNNNNNNNNNNNNNNNNNNNNNNNNNNNNNNNNNNNNNNNNNNNNNNNNNNNNNNNNNNNNNNNNNNNNNNNNNNNNNNNNNNNNNNNNNNNNNNNNNNNNNNNNNNNNNNNNNNNNNNNNNNNNNNNNNNNNNNNNNNNNNNNNNNNNNNNNNNNNNNNNNNNNNNNNNNNNNNNNNNNNNNNNNNNNNNNNNNNNNNNNNNNNNNNNNNNNNNNNNNNNNNNNNNNNNNNNNNNNNNNNNNNNNNNNNNNNNNNNNNNNNNNNNNNNNNNNNNNNNNNNNNNNNNNNNNNNNNNNNNNNNNNNNNNNNNNNNNNNNNNNNNNNNNNNNNNNNNNNNNNNNNNNNNNNNNNNNNNNNNNNNNNNNNNNNNNNNNNNNNNNNNNNNNNNNNNNNNNNNNNNNNNNNNNNNNNNNNNNNNNNNNNNNNNNNNNNNNNNNNNNNNNNNNNNNNNNNNNNNNNNNNNNNNNNNNNNNNNNNNNNNNNNNNNNNNNNNNNNNNNNNNNNNNNNNNNNNNNNNNNNNNNNNNNNNNNNNNNNNNNNNNNNNNNNNNNNNNNNNNNNNNNNNNNNNNNNNNNNNNNNNNNNNNNNNNNNNNNNNNNNNNNNNNNNNNNNNNNNNNNNNNNNNNNNNNNNNNNNNNNNNNNNNNNNNNNNNNNNNNNNNNNNNNNNNNNNNNNNNNNNNNNNNNNNNNNNNNNNNNNNNNNNNNNNNNNNNNNNNNNNNNNNNNNNNNNNNNNNNNNNNNNNNNNNNNNNNNNNNNNNNNNNNNNNNNNNNNNNNNNNNNNNNNNNNNNNNNNNNNNNNNNNNNNNNNNNNNNNNNNNNNNNNNNNNNNNNNNNNNNNNNNNNNNNNNNNNNNNNNNNNNNNNNNNNNNNNNNNNNNNNNNNNNNNNNNNNNNNNNNNNNNNNNNNNNNNNNNNNNNNNNNNNNNNNNNNNNNNNNNNNNNNNNNNNNNNNNNNNNNNNNNNNNNNNNNNNNNNNNNNNNNNNNNNNNNNNNNNNNNNNNNNNNNNNNNNNNNNNNNNNNNNNNNNNNNNNNNNNNNNNNNNNNNNNNNNNNNNNNNNNNNNNNNNNNNNNNNNNNNNNNNNNNNNNNNNNNNNNNNNNNNNNNNNNNNNNNNNNNNNNNNNNNNNNNNNNNNNNNNNNNNNNNNNNNNNNNNNNNNNNNNNNNNNNNNNNNNNNNNNNNNNNNNNNNNNNNNNNNNNNNNNNNNNNNNNNNNNNNNNNNNNNNNNNNNNNNNNNNNNNNNNNNNNNNNNNNNNNNNNNNNNNNNNNNNNNNNNNNNNNNNNNNNNNNNNNNNNNNNNNNNNNNNNNNNNNNNNNNNNNNNNNNNNNNNNNNNNNNNNNNNNNNNNNNNNNNNNNNNNNNNNNNNNNNNNNNNNNNNNNNNNNNNNNNNNNNNNNNNNNNNNNNNNNNNNNNNNNNNNNNNNNNNNNNNNNNNNNNNNNNNNNNNNNNNNNNNNNNNNNNNNNNNNNNNNNNNNNNNNNNNNNNNNNNNNNNNNNNNNNNNNNNNNNNNNNNNNNNNNNNNNNNNNNNNNNNNNNNNNNNNNNNNNNNNNNNNNNNNNNNNNNNNNNNNNNNNNNNNNNNNNNNNNNNNNNNNNNNNNNNNNNNNNNNNNNNNNNNNNNNNNNNNNNNNNNNNNNNNNNNNNNNNNNNNNNNNNNNNNNNNNNNNNNNNNNNNNNNNNNNNNNNNNNNNNNNNNNNNNNNNNNNNNNNNNNNNNNNNNNNNNNNNNNNNNNNNNNNNNNNNNNNNNNNNNNNNNNNNNNNNNNNNNNNNNNNNNNNNNNNNNNNNNNNNNNNNNNNNNNNNNNNNNNNNNNNNNNNNNNNNNNNNNNNNNNNNNNNNNNNNNNNNNNNNNNNNNNNNNNNNNNNNNNNNNNNNNNNNNNNNNNNNNNNNNNNNNNNNNNNNNNNNNNNNNNNNNNNNNNNNNNNNNNNNNNNNNNNNNNNNNNNNNNNNNNNNNNNNNNNNNNNNNNNNNNNNNNNNNNNNNNNNNNNNNNNNNNNNNNNNNNNNNNNNNNNNNNNNNNNNNNNNNNNNNNNNNNNNNNNNNNNNNNNNNNNNNNNNNNNNNNNNNNNNNNNNNNNNNNNNNNNNNNNNNNNNNNNNNNNNNNNNNNNNNNNNNNNNNNNNNNNNNNNNNNNNNNNNNNNNNNNNNNNNNNNNNNNNNNNNNNNNNNNNNNNNNNNNNNNNNNNNNNNNNNNNNNNNNNNNNNNNNNNNNNNNNNNNNNNNNNNNNNNNNNNNNNNNNNNNNNNNNNNNNNNNNNNNNNNNNNNNNNNNNNNNNNNNNNNNNNNNNNNNNNNNNNNNNNNNNNNNNNNNNNNNNNNNNNNNNNNNNNNNNNNNNNNNNNNNNNNNNNNNNNNNNNNNNNNNNNNNNNNNNNNNNNNNNNNNNNNNNNNNNNNNNNNNNNNNNNNNNNNNNNNNNNNNNNNNNNNNNNNNNNNNNNNNNNNNNNNNNNNNNNNNNNNNNNNNNNNNNNNNNNNNNNNNNNNNNNNNNNNNNNNNNNNNNNNNNNNNNNNNNNNNNNNNNNNNNNNNNNNNNNNNNNNNNNNNNNNNNNNNNNNNNNNNNNNNNNNNNNNNNNNNNNNNNNNNNNNNNNNNNNNNNNNNNNNNNNNNNNNNNNNNNNNNNNNNNNNNNNNNNNNNNNNNNNNNNNNNNNNNNNNNNNNNNNNNNNNNNNNNNNNNNNNNNNNNNNNNNNNNNNNNNNNNNNNNNNNNNNNNNNNNNNNNNNNNNNNNNNNNNNNNNNNNNNNNNNNNNNNNNNNNNNNNNNNNNNNNNNNNNNNNNNNNNNNNNNNNNNNNNNNNNNNNNNNNNNNNNNNNNNNNNNNNNNNNNNNNNNNNNNNNNNNNNNNNNNNNNNNNNNNNNNNNNNNNNNNNNNNNNNNNNNNNNNNNNNNNNNNNNNNNNNNNNNNNNNNNNNNNNNNNNNNNNNNNNNNNNNNNNNNNNNNNNNNNNNNNNNNNNNNNNNNNNNCUUGUCAUUUUUUUAGUCACUAGAGUCUCUAUCUAAAUCAUGAUCAUGCAUGUCAUUCUACUACUCGUAUUUCUCAAUUUUCAGUAGUUCAAAUUACCUCAAUACCAUGAGCCACAUUGCUUUAGAAUCGAAUGUGACUAAUUUACAUAUCCGAUCAUGUUGUAAUCGUAUGAGGAAGAGUGGUGGGCAAUCUGAGGAUUUUGCCGCCCACCUGAGGAAAUGUUUCGAAACUGGCCAAAGGACUGACUUUACCUUCUUUGCUCAGAUGGAUCGGACAUUGCAUCAGGUGGCCUCUCAGUUCCUUGGGACUAUGUUGGCCCUCAUCCGCAUAAGCCCUCCAGUUCCGUUUGGCUAUUUUGUUCGCUCUCUUCAUGCGUUCAGUGGUUUGUGGCUCCUAGGAGCUGUCCUCUAAAUCUCCCAAGUACUCCACCCAAAGCGACAUCCUAUUACCAUAAGCCUGCACAGCAUCAUUAAAACAUUAUUAGUCACAAGCUUAAGUUUUUGAUAAAUGUCGAUGCACUCACUGGGUGUUCAGCUAGUACCUGCUAUUAAAUAGCUGUAACCACAUGGAAAUAUGACGUACUUGAACUUCAUACACAACUCCAUAGUUGUGCCCUUUGAAUCCAAAAUCAGUGGUAUUAGCUAAUGCGCAAUUCUCAGUGGGACCCACAUGCACUCUACAUCACGCGGCCCUUUGCAGAAUUCUCUGCCUCUCUUCCUGUCUCUCUACAUCUAAUGAACUGAGUCGCUUCCCUUUCAGCUCAGGCUUGGCGCGCUCUGCAGCAGGGAGGGCAAAACAGAAACAGAGUACCUUCCAACACGGAAAAGGAGCUCAGCAAAUACUCUCUAGCCCUCGGUUAUUCCUUUGAUCUUCAUUCCCUCUUCAUUGUCCUCUCUGUCACCCUCCAUCCACCAACAGCCGCUGCCACACCUCCAUUGCUGGCCACCACAGGACAUGUCACGCUGAGAAGGGGCAAGAACAAACAGCGAUGAUUAGAGGAACUGGGUGAUUUUUUAGCAUUUAUAAGGCUGACAAGAACAGAGGGCGAGUUUAAAUUGACACCGUAGACUGAUGCUUCAACGAGGAUUAUCACCGUAGACAAAUGAUGUGGACAAACAUGAAGAGAUUGUUCAGAUGGAGCAUGUUCUUUUUACUGAAGGCAACGGGAAAGAUAAAGUUGGAUUUUUGAUUUGGAUCCCUCUUCCUUGGUGGCUCUUAUACCAUGGAAAUAUUUCUAUGAUUUGCAAGCGAGAGGGAGAGAGAGAAUCAACAAAUACUACACCUUUACUCAAUAGCCAAAUAAAAGAGUAUAUAGUAGCUCCACUUAUAAAGAUUGAGAGACAUUAACAAAGCUCCGAUUACCUUAUUUGUGACCACCUGCUAAUUGCCGACUAAUAUUCAUAAUUGUACUUCAACACAAAUCACAAUUGGAGCAAAUACUUGACAGUGUUUUUGCAUGUUUUUCCAAGAUGUUACUGCGUCACUUUCAAAGAAGUAUACAAAACUGCACAAAGAGGGAAUACGGAAUUCAUACUUCAAGUGGAGAGUUGUGGCAGCCUAGGCUUUUUUUGCAGUCUACCGGUCUCUUGUCUUUUAUCACUUUGUCACAGCUUCUAGUUCUACUGGUCUAAAUUCAUGGGGAAAAACGUUCGGCCUCUGGGAUGUCAGCACGAUGGUAUUUGCCUGUGUUGUCACUAUCAACUUACGCCUUCUUUUGAUGUGUAAUACAAUUAAAUUAUGGCAUCAUAUUGCUGUCAGUAGGUUGUCAAUGGGUCCUGAACGGAAGGAAAUUUUGUUAAUACAAUUACAGAUAUGUUUCUUAAUACUGUAAAAUGAAGUUUUUAGACUGUUCGAGUUUCUCCAUUAUUGUGAGAAUCACAAGCAUACGAUCUUUAGGAUUCUCCCUUCCAAAAGUCGUACCCAUCCCUAAACGGAAGGAAAGGGAGGGAUAUGAUGAUAACAGACUUCUGGACUCCUUCCAGACGCCAAGAGUAUCGCACGUUCCAGAGCAGUAGGAAAGCAGCUUACAUUAAUUCUGUUCGUGCAUUUAUGGGCUAGUUCUAGCCCAACCGCGAAGUCCUAAAUGCUUUUCUGGAAACGUUUUCUUAUAUCUUCCUGUUCAUUGUUUCUUGUCAAAGCUUGCUUCACAAAGGAGGCUCGCCUUUUAUUCCCAGACACGCUGCUCAUUUCUUGCAUUGUGACUGCUUAUAUGGCAGCAAUAAGGAGUUCCUUUGCCUGUUCAUUAAUUCUCUGGUCGCAUUUUCUCUGGUUGAGUGGGAGAUGUGUUAACAGUUACGUUAUUUUAGGUGCUACUCUGGGAGCCAUCGCUGGCUGAAUCCCGAAGUUGUUUGAGGAUGACAAACUGACCAUGCCUCUGUCGAAAAAGUCGGGUGGUUUAUUAGGAAUUGCUAAAAGUGUGAUCGUUGAAAGCACCUCAUUAGUUGAAGAAGGAACAUUUUCUCAGAGUUUUAUAACUGAUUCUAACCGUGUCUUAUGAUCCCCUUCCAACACAGAAGUAAUUAUGGACUUGGCUCGGUCCUUGCAUAAGUACCAGCGGCUCUGUACUCGAUCAUUCAGUCUUAUGCAGGGGAAAGGCAGAGGAUAUCUGUUGGAGCAGUAUCCUAUUCUAUUCUGGAAGCAAAAGCCGUUGCAAGAAUCGCAUAUAAUCACCUUAACGAUGGACGAAAUAUCUCACGAGGAGCUGAUGAACUUGGCCAAGUUUCUGAGACACUUGACUGCUGGGAUUCGUCCAACCGCUCUUCAUUACCAUCGCCGUCAUCAUCAUUCUCAAAAACCAGCUAUAUCCCGUGCUUUUUCAGCGAGAGCCCAGGAAGGUAUGGUGGGUCUCGCAGGACUAUAUCUAUUCUUGUCUCCUUUGAACAGCAGCUCUGUACUUGCUUUUUCAGCAAGGCUUCUCAGGCUUGAAUUCUGGAUAUCUAAUCUGGUAAAGCUGGUCUUCGCUUGUGUCAUUUAAUGUCUGACGUGCAUCGGAUCUUCAAGCCUGAGAAGCCAUCCUUUAAUGUCCUCGAUUGCUGGUAGCGGAAUGUUUGCCCGGUUUGCACUGUCCAUAGAGACAACAGCGAAAAUCAUUCCCUCUAACCUCGCAGUUCUUUGGAGCAGCAAAAUGAGGGACUUCCAGACAAAACCAUCCAGGAAUCUCACUCCCAGGGACACUCGAGUUGUGCAAAUGCUUUAGAGCAACCUGAAAUUUCUUCUGCUAAAACACAUUUAAGGUCAAACUUUUUGCAUUCACGAUUGAAGAUACUGAACAAAGGUGGAGAAACGGAACUGAUGAGUAGUUUUCCCAAAAUGGGAGUUAUGAGUGAUCUUUUUCACUUUUUCAAUUCUUCUCUCCCAAGAGUAAAAGCCUCAGAGAUUUCAAUACCCGGAGACCAGUGAUGUCAACUAGAUUGCUGCAAUCAGUAAAGUUUAGCUCCUCCAAAUCAGUAGAAUUCAGAUGAAAGGCGCAAAUUUGAAAUUGAUUAACCUCCACGCGGGAUAGUUCUGGGGGAUGAUGGCGCCACGACGGCACCGAGUAGUCGAUCACCUCCGGAAGGCCCGGCGCUAUCUCCUCCCCUCACUCGAGGCCUUCUUCAUCGAGCCAGAGCCACGGCACGCUGCUGAGCACGUGCUCGUGGUAGAGGUGAUCCAUGAUGCCGUGGCGGGGGGGUGUCGGCACCGUGGGAGCUGAGGAAGACGUCGCAGAGGAAGCGAGAUAAGAACAUAGCAUCUUCCUCUUCGGGAUCUUUUGUCAGCAUCGUCGUCUUCGGCUUCUUGAUCGGCCUUAUGAAGGAGUCGCCAGUCUUUUGAAGGUGGUCAAUGCAGAGAUUGGGGCGCCACUUAACAAUGAGCAAAGAGCAACGAGCACCUUGCCGACGGAUUCGUGUUCCCUUUGAAAAGAGCGAUUUCCACAGCAUGGGAAAUGUGCUGUCUUAAUUUUUAAUUGACGAAUCAUGGCAUUCUCAUUAGUUAGGAUAAAUUAUCCAAAAAAUUUAAAAUUUAUUGUACGGGAAUCAAUCUAAUUUUAAGUUUAUGUAUUAAUUUAGUAUUAAGCAGUCAUAAAUAUUUCAAAUGUGUCAAUUUAAUCCUAAAUUUUUUUAAAAAUUAUAAAUGUAGUCCUUUCAGGUAAUUUUAGUUGGAAAUCUCUGACGUAGCAUUCUAGUCAAUACUAGACAUUCUAUGUGAAAGGCUCAUAUGAAUGUGGAAAAUUGUGUUUAAUUUUAAAAGAAAAAACAAUUUUUAUUUUUUUUUAUUUUUCUUAUCUUAUCUUUCUUUUUAUUUUAUUGUUUUCUUCACAAGGCCGGCAAGUCCACCGGUCACUGGCCGAGGGCCAGCAGCCCUACCACCCCUGUAAAGAAAAAAAAAGAUGGUAAAGAAAAUUAAAAAUUUUAAGAAAUUAAAAAAAUUCUUAGUAGUCAUGAUGGAUAGUUUAUGCCAUGACAUAGCAACAUGUGUCCUCGAUACGUAACCAAAAUUAUCACCACCACAAGGAUGUUCAUAUCUACUGCAGUUAAAUGUAGGAUAACAAGUGUUGUCAAUUUAGCUUUGAGUUGGUUUCGAUUUCAAUCCUUUAGACUAAAAUUAAUUAGACCUUGAGGCCGCACGCCUUGCACGUGCUGGUGUCGGAGAACGUCAGCACCUCCCUGCACCGACGUCUUCUUCUCCCUUGGGUCGCAGCCCCCGAACCUCUCUUGCCUCUGCAAGAUGACCUCUCUGGUCUUGAUCUGCACAUGAUUUGCUCGUUUGCGUGUAAAAAAUGUGUGAUUCAGGAUCGAAAAAUUAUUGAAGAAAUCUUUCUUUCCGUAUAAAUUUAUAGUGGAUUGGCCACCAAAAUCACAAACUCGAUUGCUUCAUGAUCCGACGGAAGCAAUCGAAGUGAUGAAUUACCUCACGACAACCGUCGCGGGUGGAAGAAGGAGAUCGAGGAGAUUGCCAAACUGGGAAAGCCCAUGUUCCUCCUCUUAUCUCUCUCUCUCUCUUGCAAUUGAUUGAGGCUGAAACCGUUUGAGUUUGAGGGAUAGUAUCAUGAUUUCGAGUUUGACGAAGGUUGAAUGUGAGUUGGAAUCGGACAUAACGAGGAUUUCUUAUCAAGGUAAACUUCGCAUGCUCUAUCUCUGCUGGAGGUGGGGACCGAGUGCUUGAUUCUGCAAGCGUGAAAUCUGGUUGAGCCCGAGAUUGUGCUAAUGAACUCAUACACGUUUCAAUGAUUCGGUGAUUGUUUGGAUGCGCACCUUUUCCUUAUCAUUGCAUUUAGGUGCCCCUACCGAAACGCUUACCCCAUGUUUGAUUGAAUUCCUAAACGGUAUUAGCAUGUGUAUUUCGCAAGCAUUCUUGCAUCGUGAUGGUUAUCUAGCAAUGGCGUGCUUAAACUGAGAGUUCUCCAGUUUAUGUGGCAUUAUUUUCCUUGAUGUUGGUUGAACUUCUAAAGUUGUGCUCAAUGCUCCCACAACUGAGAAUUUGAACAUGCCAUGUCGGCUUAAUUUACUAGCAAUUAUGUUAUCUAUAUCGAUCUAUGAUGUUUGUACGUGGCUAUUCUAACAUUCAAGACAAUUACCAUCCUUGUACUGGAAAUGGUGAAAUCCUUCUUCGAAAUGUGCAUCAUGUGUUGUGUACUUCAGUAAAUUCCUGUCCGGACUUCAUCCUUUGUUUGAUCUCGAAAGUAAUUGAUUUUGUAUGCUUGGAUGAUUAUGCCUUGCAUUCUGGAUCCGUUCAUUGAUACCUCAAUACCUUCUAUAUGUUAAUAAUAUUUGAUUCAUUUUUUUUAGGCGAAUGCAUGGCCUCUACCUGUUUGAUUUUCUUCGUUGACUGAAGAUUCUGAAGUUCAUUCCUUGAUGUCAAAACUGACAUUCGAUGGCCGAGUGCAUAGUGAGCUUUCUAUGCCAUGAUCGAAUGCUUUGCUUGAUUCUUUGUCCAUUUUGCAUUUGUAUACAAGUGCAGUUGUUGCUGAAUGAGUCUCAACUAUGAGAAUUGACUGUAGAACGCGGCUCAAUGCUAUUUUCCUGUGUUUAUGGGUAGACAGGCAUGCGGCAUGCUGAAAAACGACAAACAGAGCUUAAGAAAACUUGCUUCCGCGGGUGGCUUCCCAACUUGAAGGCACAUUAUCGUCUCGGCAGGGAGGAAAGGAGGACAGCCAAGGUCAUCUGCGCACUCUACUCGUGGAUUAAAAUAAUAAUCUAUUUCUUCUAAAGAUAAUUUUCUAGUUCACCACAUGCAAGACGACAUUUUAAAGCUUUGCCUUCCAAGGGCGUCCGAUUUGUUAGACCUCAACGAUUUUCUCUGGCAAAUCUAUUGCUGUUGGUAGUUUUUUUCAUAUAGUUAGUGAAAUCUUAAAUAGAGCAGUAACUUGAGAUAAAUGAAAUAACUUGUACUCGGCAUCCGCAAAUUUUAUUGUUCACCUUUAGUUUUCUCUAAAUACGUUGUUGAUUUCAGUACAAAUCUGGAUUCCCUAUUCAAUUUUUCACCUAUACUUUCAAUUUGCUUGGAAUUUUAGUUUCCUACAUUUCGACUCGAGUUGUUUAUUGUUUUGGAAAAAAAAAUUCAUGUAAUUUCCCGAAAACAAAUACCAAGUGUAGAAAACAGAGGUAAGAGAUGCAAAGGAAAUCUCAGUGAUUGAGGCUGGCUUUCUCUCAAUAACGAAUAAGACUCAAAUGGCUGACUUCAAAAUUUUCAAGUCCGAUUCCAAGGGAAGAAGGGAACUUUGGAGUCAAUUUCACUUGCAUAGCUCUUUUGCAUCAAAGGGAUUGAGUCAACUAAAACGUUCUAUUGACAUCCAAAUUUUUAUCAACGUUCUAAAUAUCCAUUUAUUUCGAAAAAAUAUAAAAAAUUAUAAAAAGAUAAAAAUAAAGGAAAAUAAAGGAAAAUAAAAAAAAGAAUAAUGAAUAAAAAUGGAUCAAAUAAAAUGAAUGAAUGAUGAAAAAUGAAGUCGUGUGGGCCGGCGUGUCUAGCCCACUUGGUUAUUUUCAGCUCACCCCUUAAAAGCGGGCUUCCCAUUCAGAAGGGAAGAACUUAUGUGAGUAUCUCAAUUUCAAUUCAAACAUGGGUUUGGUCCAUUUUCCUUCUUUUCUUUGGCCCACCAGAGCCUAAAAAAGAAGCCCAGCCCAUCACUCUUUCUUCUUGCGCGCGCGCGCGCUCGUGAGAAGAGCGUCUGUGACGCCAGGAGGAGAGAAGGUAAAGUGACGGUCACCGAAGAAAUGCCCGUGAGCGAGUGAUGAGAAAGAACCUAUGAAUCUUAAUCGACAUACUCGCUGCUCAACCCUGCGAAAGCGAGAUAUGUUCGUGCGAGAUAAUGGAACCUGUCGCGUCGUGUUUUGGUUGGAAAAUAGUGUCAAAGCUGAAUCAAAAACUUGCUCUCGUAGCUGCACAACAUGUGUUCGACAAAAUGCUCGAAUGAUGCACCGAAAUCCAUGUUAUCCGAUCGACGUUAAAAGUUUAGUUCGAGGCUUGAUCACGCAUAUGUUGUUGACGCACGUCUGCUUUCUUCGUUCUUUGCUAUGUUUUUGCUUGAUUUCACGGCCCACCUUUUGAUAUUCGUUAAUGGCCAUGCAAAACCGAACUUGGUUUGGCCGUGGCCGGCGAUAGGCAGACGGCGACGGCCGGAGAUGUAAUCUGGUGAUUUUGUGUAGUGGUGUGAGCUCCGGUGUCCGUAGAUGGCAUCUAGUUUAACGGGUUCAAAAAAUGGAGAAGAAGAUGAAGGUUGGGAGUGAAAAAUUGGCUUCGGGGAAGAAGAGGGGAAGAAAAAGAAGUGGUGCAGUAGAAAUGGACUUAAUGAGGAAAAAGACAAAAGAGAAAAAUAUUCAAAAUAUUUUUAAAAAAUUCGUUUUAUAUAUCCGCCGGGUCGGAUCCAGUAGAAGGGUCAGGUCACGGGUCGGAUCGGGUUGACUGUCCAAACCCGUUUCCCGAAUAUAAUAAUAAUAAUAAAUCGAAAAAACUAAAAAUUAAAAAUAUAAAAAAGUAAUUUUUAGAAAAUUCGAAAAUCAAUAAAAAAAAAUUAUAAUUUUAGAAAAUCAUUAAAAAUUUUGAAAAAAUUUGAAAAAUUCAGAAAAAUCACAAAAAUACAGAAAAUACUAGAAAAUCCAAAAAUCAAAGAUCAAAAAUUAGAAAAUUUCUAAAAUAAAGUAAAACCAAAAGUUGACAAGCCUUUAGGGCUUUAAAAUAAGGUUAUUAGUUUUGUGCUGUCUUUUUUAUUUUUUAGGGACGAUAUUAGGAUGCUUGUAUGCCUUCCUUUAUGAUUAUAAUUACACAUUUCAAUAUUUUAGGUGUUACUUUCCUAUUCUAGAAUGGUUAUGACAAAUAUUUGAUUUCUUUUGGAAAGGCUGCUAUGGCGUUUGUUAGCACAUAGUCAAUUUUCCAAAUCUAGAAUCUCUUAUUGCAAAAAGUAAGAUAUUCUCUAGUAUCUUACAUAAUUUCUUGCUGACCAAAAAGGUUAGUGGUGACUUAUUUGUCAAAAUUUAUGUAGGCUUAAUUGAUUUCAAAUAUGAACAUCCACUGUUGCGUGAGGUACGAGCUUAGGAGAGCCCGAGUUAAUGGAAGCUCGUCAACCUGAAGUUGACAAUAUCCCUAGACAUAACUCUCUCCCCUCAAAGGGUUAGGUCGCAACACCUACCAGUAAGUACAAAAUGGCACAAUUUAGAACGAUAAUCAUUGAUGCAUUGCGUCAUUUGAAAGCAGUUUCGCCUAGAUAGCAAACCGAUUGAAUAAGAAGGAAGCAAUAGGAAUGACAUCGGCUGGAGCUUGAAUUCGUGGAAACGAGCAGUGAUGGCAAUGGUCUGCAUUCGGUGUGCCUAAAGGUCUUUCUGGCAUAAACAUUGCUAGCCGAAGACAACGAACUUGACUACGAAUCUCUGUCUACUCCAAGCUCAGAGUCAAGGCAGAGUGAGCAUUCCUUUCUUUGGUCAAAUCAACAACGACGUCCUCGCAAGGUGGAGGAGGAGGAGGAGGAGGAGGGUAAAGAAGGCCAAGUUAGGGGAAAAAGCUGAAAUGUUGCAGUGAUGGGACUGAUGGGUCUGGGCCGCAGAUUAAAUCAGUGGGUUUGCUCUUGUGGGCAGCACCAAUUGGACCAACUUGGCCUUUUUUAUUUUUUUAUUUAUUUUUAUCUUUUAAUUAUACUCUUCUUCUUUUUUUUUUUGGUUCUUUUUACUACCAUUCAUUGUUUUUAUGCUUUUUUUUUUAGAAAAGUGUAUGCUCAAUUUGUCUACAAAAAUUUAGGGGUUGACAGCUUUAAAAAUAUUUACCUAAUAUUCGAAGAAGAAUAUCAUGCUGUCACAAACAAACAACAAGACAUUUUAUGUGUCGUUGCGUCCAAUCUUAACUUACCAAAGGUAGAGUAGUUUCUUGAUCGAUGGAAGAAAGGGGCCAAAAAUAUGGGACAAUCCAAUCAAAUGGAAUCAGGUAUGUGUUGAUGAAAUAUUGACUCAAUGACUUCAUUUAUGACUCGGAUUCAUAUGGACCCAAUUUGAUCUCGCCCAUUUGGUGGGUUGAAGUCCAAAAAAUCAGUGGAAGAUUAAAUAAAGAUUGGUACAAUGCAAGAGAAAGAGAUGGCUUUUUAUAGUGAAAGAUGAUUCUUUUGUGUUUUAUUUUUCCUAUUCAAGGAUUCUUUUCCAAUUUAUUUAAAGGUUCUCAAAGUGAAGAAAUGAUUAAACAUGGCAAAGAGUCGAUAAAGAAGCAAAAGAAAAGAAUAAAUAUGUUGAGAAUAACAUAGGUUUAAAUAAAACUAACGUUUAUAAAGUUUCACCUAAAAAAACCGACCAAGUGAUUGGUCAAGUGGUCCAAGACUUGAUUUGCAAGUCAAAGGUAGCGAGUUUAAUUUCCCAAUCUAUUAUCCAUUUUGGGAUAAUUAUGCGAAUAACUUGACGGAAUUAAUUUGAACAAUAUCUUGUGGCCAACACAUUCACCCGUUUGGGGUCAAAGAUUGUUGUGGGUUGGAGAAACUCCAAAUAGAAUUUCUAGCAAAAACAUUUGAGUCGCCGUUGAUGCCCCCUUGAUGAAGGGCUAUGACUCCACUUUGACGAAUUCCCACUUCCACCAUGAAGUCAAGACAAUUUCCUUCAUGCGCAAUGGCAUAAUCAACAACAAUCUUUUUCGACAAUAACAAUAAUAAUAAUAGACAAUUUUGUCUCCAUACUGGAAAAAACGCAAAUAUAUGGUGGAGUAGUUGUCACUGAGCAUUUGACCCUUGAGAUUUCAUUUGCUUCCAAUUAUAUAAACACAAAAUCUUUUUCUUCUCUCGAAUAAGUAUAAACUUUAUUUGGUAUUUCAGCACAUGAAGUUACAAUCGAUGUGAAAUUGCAACAAUCAAGUCAUAAAUAUAAAUAAAAUGUUGAUGAUAAGCUUUUAUAGAGGAUGAUAGUGUGAGACAGUUGAAUAAAACAUGUAUUUUGUAGGUAUUGUGGCUCGAAGGCAAUUUUAGUACAAAGAAAUGGUGUAGUGCCUUCCUUGUUUUUAAUUAGCGGAGCAUAGGAUUUGGGAGGCUUUUUUUUUUUUUUCAAAAAAUAAUUUUAGAUUCUUUGAGGUCAAGCAUAAUGAAGGACUCUUUUUUUUUUAGUGAUCAUGUAGAUGUUGAAAAUGAUCGGAUGACACACUGUACAACCUAUGCGCAUUGAAGACGGGCCAAGAGAUGCAAACGAUCUACAUUAUAGUAACUCAACCUUUUGCCUAUUAUCUCCAAUAAUCCAUCUGUUGGUAGUGAAGGUGGAUUUCAAUGGUACAAUUCACAUUUGAUAGAGUGAGCUUGUCAUGUUCCUCUAUAGAAAGAAUAGGAAAACAUGAUACUUUGGCCUUCCAUCACCGUAGAACAUCGACAUUGUCUUCCUCAAAUUUUUUAAAUGUAGUUCCCAUCAUCCUUGCCGAGAUAUUCAUUCACCUCACCAGCAAUCGGCAUCCAAGUGCUCGAGGCCUGCUCUUCUUUUUUGGGGCACAUGUGGCCCAAGAGCACGGGUCUGAAGUGGCACGAGCCAUUGGCCAUCCUAGCUAAAAAUCUAUCUGGGCUCAUGCACAGAUAUUAGAACAUUUUCUGAUAGUCGAGGAUCCUUCACUCAAAAAAGCGUUGCCAACACCUUCAUAGGUAUUUUUGGAGCUCCAAUCCAUCUCAUUCGAACAUCAAAUCACAUUUCCCAUCUUGCAUUCACUUUAUGUCCCUCCUUCACUGUCUCCUGUCUUUCACCGAAAGUAGUACCGGCAGCCUCGCAAAUAAUUUCGGAACCUCAGCCCCAUCAGACAUCUGUAAAAUUUCCCGUCUCGCAGUCACUCUGUGUCCUUUCUAUCGUUCACCGAAAAUUGAUGGUGACAGCUUCGUUGACGUUGUAGGAGCCUCGACCAAUCUUAUUGAGACAUCUAUCCACAAUUCGCAUCUGCCCAUUCAAUCCGUGUCCUCCGUCUUUUAUCCUUCACGGUAAUUUACACAUCUGUCACGUGUCCCAUCGCGAAACGAACGCGAGCCCAGAAGAUGCAAUAUGUUAUGGGCUUACUGAACUCGUCUUUUAAGGAAAGAACUCAUUUUGCAUUUCCCCUCGCUUUUCUCCCGACUUUCUGGAGGAAAAUAUCUUAUGGCCCCCCACAGGAAAAUCUUUCUCAACAGUUCUCUCCAUAUUCUUUUUUUUUUUUUUUGUCAGUCCUACUCUAUUCCUAUUCUACACUCACUCUCAGACUUUUGCCCUGCCUCUUGCAGGGCGUGGGAGUCGAAACCCACUCCUGAAACUUACACGUCCCCACCCCAUCCCUCCUGAGAAAGUGGAGAUUUGAACCCAUCACAUCCCCCUUCCAACAUGGAAGGGUGGCCACUGGGGCUCGUAUUCCUUGAAUCUUUAUUUUCCUCGCUUCUUUUCCCCUAAUUCCUGAAACCCGCUUCAUUCUACGGAAUGGCUCCAUCCGGAUUUAAUAAAACAGGUCUUGCUCUCAAAAGAAAAAUCAUGAUAGCAAACAUUUGGAGUGGCUCCUUGUCCAUAAACAUCAUCUUUCGUUUGAUGAGAAACUUGAAAUGUAAGAAUUCUCCUACAAGUGUUGAUGUCCUCGUUAAUAAUAAUGUGUCGACUUGACUACUAUAGUUGCAUGAAUAGACAUUCCUCAAAUAAAUGUCAAUAACAUUGGUAAGCUUCUAAAUUCAUCCACAAGUUUUUUCAACUUGGCAUUAUAGCAAAUCGUUUUUCUCUGGUCCAUCAAGCUAUGCUAAGAAUGAAGUAGAGAUGAGACGUGGAUGGUUUGCGCAAAGAAAAAAGUGGAUGAACAAGACAACAUCUUCGUCCUCAGCAAUGGUGCAUAGAGAUAUUUUGCAGAGGAGCGAGAGGUUCUUUUAAGUUCUUCUGUUGAUCGAUAUCUUGCAAUUAAUUAUCUUAUGUUAUCUGUUUUUAAAUAUUGAAAUUGAAUGUCAUGGCUACAUAUGGAUUAUGUACCUUUUUAACUAGAGAUUUUUGUUAGGUCCAUAGUUGAUAGAAUAACAACUCCAAUUGUGACACUAAAACAAUUAUACGUGCAUCAUGAUUAUUUGAUUAUGUCGAGUUAUUUAAAUUUUUUGGUCAUAUUUUUAAGUAUGUUUUCCCAUCGUUUAAAGCAGUUUUUGUUUUGGGUGAUCAAUUGAAUAUGUUUUUUUUUUUCCAGAAUUAAGAAGUUGCCUUUUUCAGAAUAUUUAUUGUUGUUAUCCGUAAAACAAUUUGUACAAAGUUGGGACCAAAUAUAUAAUCAUAUAUGGCUACGCACAUAUUAAGUCGAAGCUAGAUGGGACAACAUUGAGAGAGAGAGAGAGAGAGAGAGAGAGAGAGAGGAGAGUACAGUGGAGUUGGGUCCCCCGUGAGGUUGAAAAAUGAAAGAAUGCGUAGAGAAGCAAGAAGUGUAGAAGUUUGGGGAGAAAUCUUGUGUUUCUUCAGUUGUAUUCAAUGUACAAAUCUUAGUAAUUAUAAUACAAGAUGUACAUGAAGAAAAGGUAAUGAAAUAUUCUACAAAUCAAUCUAAUAUCUCAAUCUAAUCCCAAUUGAUAUAAUGUAUGAUUAUAAUCAAAUCGGAUUCCUGGCAUAUCUUCCAAAUCUUCAAGCAUAUCUUCCCACAGAAAAGCAAGAAACUUUAAUAACUACAACACGAUCCACAAUGUAUAAAGUCGCACUGUCUAUAUGCAUCACGAGGCUGACAUAACACUAACCUUCAAUAAUUGCAACGUGAUCCACGGCAAAAAAGCAACUUAACUUUAAGCCGUUUAAACUCUUAACCUCGCUUUGUUCUGUCUUUCUCCCUCCUCCUCCUCCUCCUCUGCAUUUUAGAGAGAGAUAUCAGUAGUAGCAUCGGAGGAACGAUUGUGGACAUGUGUGGUCGGUACUUGUUAGGGAAGGAGAGAGACACAAGGAUUUGGAGUUUGUAGAGAAUCAGAAAGAGGGUCAUUGAAUUGUUAACGAGUUGUAGUCAAUCAAUGCAAUCAUCGGGUUUUCUCUAAAAAUAUUAAAGUGAGGUUUUGAGAAAUAAACUAAGAAGCACUGACACUCUCCGGAAGCUUUCGUAUCAUGUCCGACACUCCGACACGUGUCCGACAUGCCCCGACACACUACGACUCACGAUCAACGAGUGUCGGGAAAUUUGACACGUGGUCAACUCUUCCUGACACUCUUCGACACGGGAGUCCAAAAUUCCGACACGCAACUCCGACACGAACAGGGUCAAUUUUAAAAAUUUUCAAUACUUGAGGGGUCAAAAUAUAAAUAUAUGAAAAAAAUAAUGAAAAUAAUAAAAAUAAAGGGGAAAGAAUAAAAUUUUCACUCUUAAGUUUCUCACUUAUAAGUUUUGACAUUCCCGUGAGUGACGAAGGAAGGCCCCUCUUCUCGCCGGUGUUGCUCCAUUGCCCCCAAAGACUUGAAGUUGUGAUUUUUUUUUUUAUUUUUUUUGCUUCUUUCUGCCUCUCAUAGGCGUCACGUGCGAGUUAUCGCUUUUGGUCACAUUUUCCAUGGCAAAUUUACUUGUUUCAUUUUCUUUUGGUUGUACUUUGAGAGUUGUCCUGAAUUUUCAUUUUUUUCAAAUCUUGUUUUGCAGAGGAGCUCCAAGCCAAUCUAUAUCAUGAACUCCGAACUCGGUCUGGAAUUAUAAGAAAUCUCAUUAAUUUCCGACAAGUGUAAGAAAAAGGAUAUGUUCCUUCAAAUUUACUCUUUUGUGUUUGCAAUUUUUGAAUUUCUCAUUCAAUCUCUGUCAAAUUAAAACAAUAAAUGAUAUUAACAAAUGUUGGAUUAAUAUGUUUAGUAUAAAUUAAUUCUAUGCACUUUUUAUUAUUAGUUAUUUAUUUUUGCAUUUAUAUAUAAAAAUAUAUAUUUAAUAUAUAACGUGUCGGAAUAUGUCGGAAUUAUCCAUUUUUUGAGAAAUAACGUGUCGACGUGUUGUGUCGUGUCGCAUGUCACGUGUCUAUGUCGGUAUAAGUGAUGAGUAUAAUUAGUAAUUUCUAUUAAAAGAAUGAAAAGGCGUUUGUCAUGGACCUUCAAUUUCUCUCAAUGGAGUUGUGUAUGUAGCUCAAAGCCUAUGCAUGUUCACAAGAUUGACAAAUUGUUGUCUUUUAAAUAUUAAUGGAGUGCCUAGAAGCAUCCAACAAAUCUCCAUCAAAUGUGGCGCUUCCUCCAUUUCAUACGGAUCGGAUAAUUAUCGAAGAUAAAUAAUUUUUAUUGAUACACCUGUAAUAAAUUUAUUUUUUUAUAUUAUUAUCUUUUGAAAAUGGGCAAGUUGCCACACUUGAUUUUUUCAUCUUGAUUUCUAUUCGAAGUUGAUUUUGGCAGCUUAACAAUCUACACUUGGGAGCCGAGCCCCCGUUCCCUUCUUUUUCUUUAAUUCUUGGGAAGGUUUGGUGAGUAUUUCUUCUAUAUUAUAAACUAUUAAUUAUUUAAAUUUUAACCUUAAUCUCAAAUUAUUCAUGUUUUUUUCGUGUGAAAAUAAAAUUAAAAUGUUGGGAAUGAGAAACUACUUCCAUUAAAGUUCACAUAUUUAAAUGAUGAGGCAUGACCAAUUAAAAUUUAAUGAUAAAAAUUUUGGGUCACUAGCUUGGAAGAAUUUAUGAUUUGAUGGUCGUAGCAUAAUCAGCUUAGAUAUUAAGAUUGAUGGAGAAACCGAGUGCAACUCUCAUGGAUCUUAUCUUCAUUAUGUUUUGUCAAAUAAAUUGGGGGUGCUAUUAGAGACGCAAUGCCUAUCUUCUGGAGGACUGAUGUAGGGGGCUGAACAUUUUCUUGUACUUUUCACAUGUCAAUUGUCGUACCGAGCAUCUAAGUAAAAGAAAGAUGGGACAAUUUGGUGGACAAUUCGGUGGAGUUGGGUCUGUACUUUUCACAUGUACGGAGCAUCUAAGUAAAAGAAAAAGAUGGGACAAUUUGGUGGACAUUUCGGUGGAGUUGGGUCUGUACUUUUCACAUGUACGGAGCAUCUAAGUAAAAGAAAGAUGGACAAUUCGGUGGAGCUGGGUCCCUCGGUGAUUGGCUGAGUAGCCUUUAUGUGCAUGAAGCCGUACUGCCCAUGGGCACCACUAGGUUGACAUAACACGAAACUUUAAUAAUUGCCAAGCGACCGCUGAUGGCCAAGCAGCAACUUCAUCUCCAUCCUGGUUAACUCUUAACAUCACUUUGUUCAAUCUUCCUCCUCCGAUGCGUUUUAGAGAGAGAGAGAGGGAGCACCGUCCGAACUGGCACGGCGCAUUGGCUAUCCUAAUUAAAAUCCAUUCGGGUUCAUGUACCAUUUUCUGAGAGUGGAGGAUCCUCCAUUAAAAAAAAUGUUGCCAGCAGCUUCAUAGACAUUUUUGGAGCUUCAGCCAUCCCAUUCGAACAAUCAUCACAUUUCUCAUCUCGUGUUCACUUUAUGUCCGUCCUUCACAGUCUUCUAUCUUUCACCGAAAGUGUUGCCGACAGCUUCGCAGAUAAUUUCGGACCCUCAACCCAUCAAUUCGGACAUAUUUUCCCAUCUGGCAGUCACUACCAAAAAUUGUGAGUGACAGCUUCGUUAAUGUUUUAUGAGCCUCGACCAAUCUUAUUCAGACAUCUAUCCACAUUUCCCGUCUCCCGAUUCAAUCCGUCUCCUCACUGUCUCCUGUCCUUCACCAUAAUUCAGACAUGCGCCCCCGUCGCAUCUCCAAAUGACCAAGAGUCCAGAAAAUGCAACAUGUUAUGGGCCCACUGAGCUCGUCAUUUGAGGAAAAGAAAGAGCUCCAUUUUGCGUUUCCCGCUAUUUUCUCCCCCCUUUCCGAAGGAAAAUAUCUUGCGGGCCCCCACAGGAAAAUCUUUCUCUAUAUUUCUCUUCAUAUUCUUUGAAUCUUUUAUUUUCCUCACUCUUUUUCACCCAAUUCCUGAAACCCACUUCAUUCUACGGAAUGGCUUCAUUCGAUUCUAUACAUACGGGUCUUGCUCUCAAAAGAAAAAUCAAGGUAGCAAACUUUUGAAGUGGCUCCUCAUCCGUAAAAAACAUCUUUUGUUUGAUGGGAAACUCAAAAUGUAAGACUUCUCCCAUAAGUGAAGAUAACAUCGUUAAUAAUAAUAAUAUGUAUAGACUCGGCUAUAGUUGCAUUAGUAGAUGUUACUCAACAAAAUGUCAAUAAUAUCAGCAAACUUCAACUCAGAUUAUGUCUUGCACUCUGCAUUAAAAAAUGAAGUAUAGACGAGAUGUAGAUGGCUUACAUAGAAAAAAAGUGGAUGAACAAGGCAACGUAUUUAUCCUCAGCAAUGGUGCAUGCAAAUGUUUUACAUAGGAGACAGAGGUUCUUUUCAUUUCUUUCAUUGAUCAAUAUCUUGUAAUUUUUUAUCUUAUAUUAUCUGUUUUUCUAUAUAGAAAUUGAAUAUCAUGGCUACACAUGGAAUAUAUACAUUUUUAACUAGAAAUUUACUUAGGUCCAUAGAAUAACAAAUCCUACUACGAGACUAAAAUAACUUUACAUGCAUGAUGAUUAUUUAAUUAUAUCGGGUUAUUUAAAUUUUUUUGUCAUAUUUAUAAAUAUGUUUUCCCAUUGUUUAAAGCAAUUUUUGUUGUAUAAAGCAGUUUUUGUUUUGGGUGAUCGAUCGAGUGUGUUUUUUUUUUUUUUUUUGGUGAGGAUGAUUGACCCAAUUAAGAGGUUGGUUUCUUUAGAAUAUUUGUCGGUCUUGUCCAUAAAACGAUUUGUACGAAUUUGGGACCAAACGUUUAAUCAUAUAUGGCUUUGCACAAAUUAAGUUGAAGCUAGUGGGACAACGUUUAAAUUGAUAGAGAGAGAGAGAGGAUAGUACGGUGGAGUGGGGUCCCUCGGCGUGGGGUUCAAAAAGCAUGAACUUUAAUAAUUGCAACACGAUCCACAAUGUAUCAAGUCAUACUAUCCAUCUGCAUCACGAGGUUGACAUGACACCCCAGUUAAAUUCUUAACAUCACUUUGCUUUGUCCUCCUCCGUUUUAUAGAGAGAGAGAGAGAGAGAGAGAGAGAGAGAGAGAGAGAGAGAGCAGGGAGCAAUGAUCGUGGAGGUGUGUGCCGUGUGGUCAGUACAUAUUAGGGAAGGAGAGAGACUCCCAAGGAUUUGGAUUUUACAGAGAACCGGAAAGAGGGUCAUUAAAUUGCUAACGAGGUAUGAUAAAUCAAUAGAAUCAGGUCUUCUUUAGAACUAUUAAAGUGAGGUUUUGAGAAAUAAAUGAUGAGCAUAAUUAGCAAUUUCUAUACAAAAGAAAAAUGAAAAGGCGACUUUCAUGGACCUUCAAUUUCUCUCAAUGGAGUUGUGUAUGUAGCUCAAAGCCUAUGCAAGUUCACAAGAUUAAUAGAUUGGUGUUCCUUAGAUAUUAACGGAGUGCCUAGGUCUCUUUGAGCAUCUUGUGAAUCUUCAUCAAAUGUAGCAAUCCCUCGAUUUUAUACACAUGAGAUAAUUACCGAAGACAAACAGUUUUUAUUAAUAUAUUGCUGAUAAUUUAUUUUUUAUAUUACAUUCUUUUGAAAAGGGCCAGUUGUCACAUUUGAUUUUACUAUCUCAGUUUCUAUUUGAUAGUUGGUUUUGGCAACUUAACGGUCUAAAUUUAGGAGUUGAGCCCCGUUCCUUUUAUACGACGGUUACUUGAGUAUCAUAAUUUUUUGUCAAUUAAGUGGGUGUCAUGACUUAAAAAAAUUUUCAUUUAAGUGUCGUGGCCUUCAAUUGCUCAUUUAAAGACUACAACUCCCAUCACAAGUGUCAUGAUGCUAGCACUAUUGGGCAACAUCUUUGAAAAGGUUAUAAUGCUUAAGUGAAUAUUUUUUAGAGGUUUCAAAAUAUUUAAAUGAUCGGAAAAAAUAAAUUUAUGAUACUUAAAUAAGCGUCAUAUGCAGUGACCUUUUUUCAAAAUUAACCUUGUAUAGCUAGGGUAUUACAGACUUCUACCUGCUAUGACAAUACAAUCACGAUAGCACUGCAAGAUGCUUUUGCAUGAAAAUGAUACAAACUUUUAUGAAGAAGAAGGGACGGGAAAAGCGUUUUGGUCAAAAUUGGUGGUCUCCACGUGAUACGACAGUAGAAAGCAUUAUUGCACUCAGCGGACUCUAUCGUUGUGCAACUUUAUCAAAGCUGAUACUUAAAACUGCUCAUGAAACGACUGAAAUUGGAGUGCAGCAUCUGAAUCGGAUUUGGACUCAUAGAGAUUGGGGCCUCGCCGCUGUUGAUAGCUGGAGCUGAGCACGUAUGAAAUGAUUGAGGCCUCGCCGCUGUUGAUAGCUGGAGCUGAGCACGUAUGAAAUGAUUGAUAGACAAUGAUAGUCAUAGACAGCUGGAUAAUUCUCGCAUUCUACCCGCGGUGGGGUCCGAAGGCAAUUUUAGUCCAAAAAGAAAGGGUGCAUCAUCUGAAUCGGAAUCUGGACCAUAGCUCGGUCCCAAGUGGAGAUUGGUGCAUCGCUGCUGCAGUGCUGCUGAUUUCCGGAGCUGAGGUCAGAUGUGUUAAACGAUUAAGCAUUAAUCAAAUGGGAGAAAAUAUUUGAGGUUCCCGACUGCCAAGCCAGCGUAUACCCCGACCAAUGAGGCAGUGACGCGUGGCUCGACGAUGCACUAGCGGCUCACUGGUUUUUCUGCACAAAGUAUAUUAUUUUCCCUUUUCCGCUUAAAAAAUUACAGUCAUUAAUAGAUCUGCUGCCGCUUUUUUCUCUCUCCUCUCUAAUGGAGUUGGCCUGCAUGCAUUAAAGGAGCUUUGUCUCUCGUCAUUUCUUUCCUUCUCACUUCAAAAUUUUGGGUGAGAACUCGCUCUCUGGUCAAAGGACGUUGCUCCUCCGCCUUGCUCUGGCGCCGGGUCAUCUUCGGUCUCUGCCCCAAAGCUCGUUGCUUCUUUGGCCUGCGUCGUUGUGUUCCUUCUCCGCCCUGCUCCGGUGUGGUUUCCCUGCGCAAGACGGCCAGGAAUGUUCUUGCUGUAAGUCGCAGACUUCAAGCGACAAGAAGUUCCAGCUCUCUUCGAUUCGGCUUCGGUUCUGCUACGUUCGCGGCUCGUACCAGUGAGUUGAUUCUUUCCCUGAUUUUUGUACUCUUCUCUUCUUUUCUUUUUCUUUGCUGUUUGUGCCUCUCUUUUUUUUUUUUUAGUUUUAGUUUCUUUUGUUGGUGGGUGAGUGUCCGAUGUUGUGAUUUUUGGGAGGUUGGUUUGUCUAGGCUAGCACUGAGUUUCAGUCCGAGGCGAAACGAAUGUUGGAAGUUUCCGGGAAACCGGGGAGAUUAGCGGAAAACAAAUGCUUAGUAAUAUUGGAGAUGAUGUCGAAGUAUUUCGUUGAAACGAACAGUCGGCACUUGUCUGAUUUUUCAGUUGUUGGCUUUUGUCUUCAAGUAUUUCGGUGUAAGUAAUUCGAUUGGGGAAAAUGGCGGAUAUUGUUCCGCCUCCCUCUUCAUAUAUACAUUCUUUAACUCUCGUUUCUCCGCAGAGAAGAGAAGAAAACCAGAAAGAAUUCAAAAAGGGGGAAAAUGGCGGAAGUCGUUCUUUCCAUAGUGUCAGGGUGCCUGGUGGCUCCGGUCAAUCGUCUUUGCGACUAUCUGAUAUCCUACGAAGGUGACGUUAGCGAACUUGAGGCCAAAGUUGCGGAGUUGGGCAUUGCGAGGCAAAGGGUGAAGGAUUCCAUCAAUUAUGCUCUAAACAACGCGAAGCCUAUCAGAGCCUAUGUCAAUGAAUGGGUGGAAGAUGUAGAGAAGGACACUGAUGAGGCGCGCCGUGUUCUGGAUGACGACGAAAGAGCUGAGAAAACUUGCUUCUAUGGGCGGCUUCCCAACCUGAAGGUGCGAUAUCGUCUCAGCAGGGAGGUGAGGAGGAAAGCCAAAGACAUCCAGAGACUCAUUGAUCAGAAUCCAUCCGGGCAGGUCUACGACGAUCCUCCUCUAGGGCUCGUUGAUGGUGCUUCCAACAUGAUUUCCUUGGCCGGUGAUCGAGGUGACACUAUCUUCGAGUCUCGAGCUUCCAUCUUAAAGGACAUAAUGAAUGCUCUGGAUGACGAGAAGCACAAAGUGAUUGGGAUCUAUGGGCCAGGUGGCGUGGGGAAGACUACACUGUUGGAGGAAGUCGAGGAGAAACUCAGGAAAGAGGGGAAACCGUUCCAGAUGAUCGUCAAAGCAGAAGUUUCGCAGACUCCGGAUGUGAAUAAUAUCCAAGGCCAGAUUGCUGACGUCUUGAAACUGGAUCUGAAGGACAAGGAAAGCCAACAGGGAAGAAGAGAUCUUCUGUGUCAGAGAUUACAGAAGGAUCCGAGUGAAAAGAUUCUCAUAAUAUUGGACGAUCUGUGGAAAGAAGUUAAUCUGAGGGCUGUCGGAAUUCCUUUGGGAGGCGAGAGCAGGGGAAACCAUGUGUUGCUCACAUCGAGAUAUAAAAAUGUGCUGAAGCAAAUGAAGUGUGGCCCUCAAAUAUUUCAUCUGGAAGGUUUAAAGAACGAUGAAGCUAUCAGGCUAUUUGAAAAGACGGUCGGUUACGGGCUCAAAGACAAGCAAUUGAAAACAAUAGCUGAUCAAUUAGUCAAGAAGCUUGCAGGUUUGCCUCUUUUAAUUAAUUCCGUUGCGAUUAGCCUGAAAGAUAUGCCUGUGGCCGCAUGGAGCAGUGCUCUGAAAACAAUAGACCCGUCACAUAUAGAAACUGUAGUGAAGUGGAGUUACAACCAUUUGAAGAGUGAGGACACCAAGACCUUAUUCUUGCUCUGCGGUCUUAUCGGUGGGACCAUUCAAGUUGAAAUCCUGCUGGUUUUAGGCAUGGGUUUGGGCUUGUUUGAGGAAUCAAGACUGACGAUGCAAGAAUCGAGGGAUAGAUUAUAUACUAUGCUUGCUGAUCUCCGUUUCGCUUGUUUGUUGCUGGAUGGUGACGAUGACAAAAAAAAUUUGACCAUUCAUGAUCUUUACAGCGAGGCAGUCGUCUCAACUCCAUUUAGAGGUCAGAAUUCCUUAAUGAUGAAUAGCAAAUAUGGCUUGUGGCGAAAGGAAAAGCUUGAGAAAUGUUGGGCAAUAUGCCUACCUGAUGUUGGUAUAGAUAGAGUUGCUGAACUAAUGAGGUAUCAGUUUCCCGACUUGGAAAUACUCAUGUUGUCUCAACCCAACUAUUCGCGUCGGAUGCUUCAAGAUACGGCAGAUUGCUCGGUACUACUAGAUUUCAAGUCCAUGGAGAAGCUCCAAGCCCUAUAUGUUCGCUCCAUCCAUAUCGCCAGAUUACCUUCGAUUGGAAUUCUCGGGAACCUUUACUCAUUAUACUUAGACCAUUGCAACGUGGAUGAUGCGGCAAUUCUUGGCAAACUCAAAGCUUUGCAGAUUCUCAGCCUUGAAGGGUCUGCGCUUUCUAGGCUGCCUAAAGAAAUCGGGGACCUGACAAAUCUAAGAUCGUUGAAUCUAAGCUAUUGCGACAAGCUUCGGACAAUUGAGCCUGGUGUGCUGGAGCGCUUAAUCAACUUGGAAGAGUUAUAUUUGCGAGGAAGCUUUGAUCAAUGGAUGGGCAAGGAUGGAAUACCGUCGGAAUCGUGUAACGCCAGGCUUGCUGAAUUAAAGAGCUUGACAAAGAUAGCCUCUUUGGAAAUAUCGAUCCCUGAUCCCUCUGUACUUUCGGAGGAAGAUGACUUUCCAUUUGGGAAUCUGAUCAAAUUUUCAAUCAACAUAGGAAAAGCAACAGGGGGUAUAAUUGAAGGUUUGAGAACCAUGGAGCUCAAAUUGGAAGCAUGGGAUAUUAUUCUUUCAAAGGAAUGGGUUAAAAAAAUUCUGCAAAAAACUCAGUACUUAUAUUUGGACGGGUUGAAUACUCCCGAGUCAAUUGCCAACAGCCCCUCAAUUGAGUCAAUUGCCAAUUCAUCUAAUGGUCUCCCUCUCACCGGUUUUACAAUUUUAGAGUCUUUGUUCCUCAAUAAUCUAAUUAAUCUAGAGAGAAUAUGUAAUGGCCUUGUCGCACCAAAGUGCUUCAGCAUAUUGAAAGCCGUGACUAUUGAACAGUGCCACCAAUUGAAAAAGCUGUUUCCUAUGGUGCAGGAGAAGUAGAAGUUCUUGUUGAUGACACAGGAGGAGAAGAAGUUCAUAUUGACAACAACCCCUCAAUUGAGUCAAUUGCCAAUUCAUCUAAUGGUCUCCCUCUCACCGCUUUUACAAUUUUAGAGUCUUUGUUUCUCAAUAAUCUAAUUAAUCUAGAGAAGAUAUGUAAUGGCCUUGUCGCACUAAAGUGCUUCAGCAUAUUGAAAGCCGUGACUAUUGAACAGUGCCGAUUGAAAAACCUGUUUCCUAUGGUGCAGGAGAAGUAGAAGUUCUUGCUGAUGACACAGGAGAAGAAGUUCUUGAUAUUGACAACUGCCCCUCAAUUGAGUCAAUUGCCAAUUCAUCUAAUGGUCUCCCUCUCACCGCUUUUACAAUUUUAGAGUAUUUGUUCCUUAAUAAUCUAAUUUAUCCAGAGAAGAUAUGUAAUGGCCUUGUUGCACCAAAGUGCUUCAGCAUACUGAAAGCCGUGACUAUUGAACAGUGCCACUGAUUGAAAAACCUGUUUCCUAUGGUGCAGGAGAAGUAGAAGUUCCUGCUGAUGACACAGUUGAGUUGCCUAAUCUAGGUCGUUUGAAUUUGCGAGCGUUACCAAAAUUUACGAUCAUUCAUACUGGCGCUGAGGUUGCUCCAAUUCAGGUAACUUCUUUGUUUUCUCCCUAUGUCAGUCUAUGUUAUUGAAAGGAUAUAAAUUUCCUUAAUUCUUAAUCUCACAAAUUAUACCUAGAUUAUACUAGCACAGGGGAUGAUAAGAUGAUAUUGGUGUUUGCCGAACAUUAAUGCAUGUUGCGUUAAAUUUGAUGCACAUUUUGAUUCACAAAUAAACAAUCCAUUUAAAGAAAACACAGACCAUACAUUUUUAUUCACAUUCUACUAUAGCCAGAGGGAAGCCUUUUUCUACGACUGUUUUUUUCCUUUAAUUUUAUUUUCAAUGUUUGACAAUUGCACUGACUACCUGGGCUUUAACUUGGGUUUUUACUAUGACUAAUUUGUUACUCAUUUAAUAUUUUUAAUGAAAAGGAAAAACACUGUAGCGAACGGGAAUGGAUCUUGAACUAAUGAACGAAAUUCAGCAAUUUCAAAAUGAAGAAACUGAGAGAUCAAAUGAAUGGAAGGCGAACGUUGAACCACGUAACAUCACAUAAUCCAUGUUUCACCUACAUGCGAGUUGCAAUUGAUUCCCCAACGUUACCGUGCUGUCGUCGUUUUACUUCUGAGAUUUCUUUCGUCAGCUACUUUCAGGGAUAUUUCCUUCUCCAUUCUUUCAGGCACGACGAAAGAUCUACACAUUUCGCGAUCAAUUGAGUUUUAAAUAUUUAGUUUUGAUCAAUUGAGUUUUUGACAUUCUUAAGUCAAGCCCAUUCAUGUAUUUAGGAUUCAUUCGUUUCAUUGAAUAUUCAUUGUUGCUGAAAAAUAUUUUCUUAGUAUAUCGUGUUGCUAUAAAUGAAUUGUUUUCUUGUAUUUGGUUAUGCUGAAAAUGCAAAUCGAGAAAGUGUUUUGUGAUGUUAAAAGGAAGCCUCUUUCCACGACUGAUUUUUUUAAUUUUUUUAAUUUUUUUAAUUUCAACAUUAGAUACUUGCAUUGCUAACUUGGGUUUCUAUUGUGACUAAUUUAUUACUUAUUUAACAUUCUUAAUGAUAUGAAAAAAUAGUGUGCUGAACGAAUGAAAGCGAGAAUGAAUCUUGAAUGAAUAAAUAAAAUUCAAUAAUUUGAAAAUGAAGAAGGGGACAUACGGAGAUUCAAUAAGUGGAUGGCGAGCAAAAAGUCAUGUAACAAAGAAAGUCCCAAUAAUUCACCUCCCGCCUAACUUGCAAUUUGCAACUAAUUCCGACACGCCAUGCCAAGUUGCCAACGUCACCGUGUCAACAUCACUGUGCAGUUGAGCAUUGACAGCAUGAUAGCAGUGAGGAUUUCCUCGCUUUUCACAGAAGAGAAAUUCAUCCUUUUUUUUUUUUUUAAAUUUCAGCCCGAGAGUUCCACUUAUUUUCUCAUGAAUGUAGCUUUACUUGUAACAGACUCACCUUUAAUGAGCUUCAUUGUGGUGCCACAUUAGGUUUCAUUGCCCCACUUGGAAAUCCUGACGAUGGUUGGACUCCUUGGCCCAGAAGAGACACUCUACAGUGAACGUUCAUUAAAAUACAGCAAUCUAAGAGUGCUGACUAUAAGGGAGUCUAAAUCCUGGUCAAAGAGUAUUUUGAAAUUAGAUUGGAUAUUGAAGCUGCCGAAUUUGGAAUCGAUAAAUAUUGAAGUCUCUCUAGCAGUAGAAGUAGUUUUCGACCUAGAGGAGCUCGAAGUCAUCGAAGAUGUCGAGAUUCUCUCUCGGCUAACUAAUUUGACAUUAGAAAGGUUACCAAACCUACAGUGCGUGUGUAAACAGGAUGUAAAAUUACAAGGAAUAUCGAUACUUCGAAACCUGAGGGACCUCUAUAUCUAUGAAACAGGCCUAUCAUUUCUCUUUUCGGUGUCUGUGGCUAAAUGUUUAAGAGAAAUUAGAACCAUUACAGUGUCAGGCUGUCCAAAUAUGAAGGCGGUGAUCAUGGAUGAAGGAAGAAAUGAAGGGACAUAUGAUAUUAUAGAGUUCCCACUAUUGGACUAUCUAUCUAUAGAUAAAUGUUGGAUGGGGAAAUUCUUCAGAUAUCCUUGUGAAAAGAAAGAGCUAGUAACUACUACUUCAUAUCCACAAGAUGCAUACUCCGAUUCCUUCUUUGAUCAAAAGGUACAAAUCCCUUCUCUUGAGAUUAUACCCCUACUAGCCAUAGGCACAUGCUUUGUUGGGGAGUGUAAUAAAAUAUCUUUGGAGACUUUUAUUUGGUCUUAUUCGUUAGAAUGUGUUCAUUAUUUAAAAUUACAUUUGUUAUAGUAAGGCCAUUAGUGAAAAAUUCAUUCUUCCAUCGCAUCAAAUGUAUUGUUAAGAUUAGGCCAAUUUGUCAGAUGUUUCAUACCUAUGAUCUAAUGUAUAACUAGGUUAAUUUACCAAGCUUGGAAUUUUUAUGGCUUCAUUCAGUAGGAUCCUUCAAAAGGAUAUGGCAAGAUGAACUUCCCAGAAGUUCUUUUUGUGAAUUAGCCACCCUCAUCCUUGAAAAUUGCUUUGAGCUACUCAAUGUCUUCCCUUUGACAAUCAUAGGGAGAUUGCAUAAUCUAAAAGAAGUCAGAAUUUCAAACUCUCUCCCCUUGGAAUCGUUGUUUGACUAUAGGUCCUUUCAUAUUAUCAUGUACUAGAACGAACAAGGUAAUAAAUUGGUCCUACUUUUCCUCCUUUCUCACAUUAUCCUUGUGCAGGUUACAUUUCCUAAUAUAACAAAACUGAAAAUUGAUGGCAUUGAGUGCAAAGAGCUAUGGAACAAUCAAAUUCCCACCAAUUCCUUUCAGAAGUUGGAAUCUCUUGAAUUGAGAAACUGUGACAGUCUCCAACGUAUUGCCACUUCUGAUAUGUGGAAGAAGCUGCAGCGCUGUCUCAAGAAACUCGAAGUGAUUUCAUGCCGUUCGAUUCAGAUCAUAUACGAAGGUAAUGGGAUGGAUAUAGAGACUAGUGAAUUGAGGAGGCUGGUUUUGAGGAAUCUCCGAAACUUGUGGUGCAUUUGGCCGUAUGACAGUCUCCCAAACAUCCCGUUCCCAAAUUUGAGAGAAGUAGAGGCCGAGAGGUGCCCUUGUUUGGAAGUGCUUUUACCUACCUUCACUGCGAAAUUUCUCGGGCAAAUCAAAGACCUGGUGGUGGAGUCAUGUGAAAAUAUGAAACUAAUUGCUAGUCAUGAAAAAUGGGAAGAAGCGAACGGCACCACAAUCACCUUCUCCGAGUUAACUGUUCUUAGACUUUUCGAGUUGCCGAAAUUCAAAAGCUUCUUACCUGAGAAAUACUCUCUGAAAUUCCCGUGCUCCAAGGACUUCCCAUCCUUACGAGUCUUGAGUAUAGAAAGCUGUGGAUCAAAGCCGGACCAAGUCCUUGGUGUCUGGCCUCGCCCUUACUUCCUUCCCCACGAAUGCCAUGGGAACGAAGAUUCCGCAUGCCAUAUCAUAUGACUUGAGGUAUUCCUUCAAUAUUUCAUCGCUUUGGUUUGGCUUUCUAUUCCUUGGAAUCGAAAAUCAGUUUGUAUUAGCUAAGACACAAUUCUCGGUGGGACCCACACGCACCCUCUCUCUUCCUUUCUCUCUCUCUCUAGCUUUCUUUCUUACUCUCUUCAACUAACGAUCUAUCGAUUCCCUUUUAUCCCAUCCACCAGCAGCCGCCGCCGAGAGUCCAUCGCUGGCCACCACACGACGUGGCACGCUGAUAAGGGACAAAGAAUAGAGAGCAUUGAUCGAAGGCUCUCAGUGAUUUCAAUUGAAUCCUUUCCUCUCACUUCGCUGCUGGUCGUCACCGCUUCCCGAUCACCACCCGUUCCGCUGCCGCGAAGAAGUUCUGUAAUGCCGGAGUGCUCGAACUUCAAUCAUGGCUGACUGCUUCGACGAUUCCAUUCCUUGAUGUUGCUUCUGUUAUCUCCUUACUUAUGUCCGAAGUCAAUUGCUAUAGGUAAUCGUUCUUCAUUCAACUAAACCACAUGUGCUCUGUUAGUUACUGUCUGUGUGCAAAUCGUAAGUGAUUGAGGCUGUAUUAAUAAUUUGAACCGGUGCUUCUCAGCCGAAAUGUGUACCACCUGUUUGAUGAAAUCCCUGAACUAAGUCGGUGUGUAUUUUUUAUUCAGUUCUUGACCGAGAAUUCCUUUGAUUACUAGAUUGUUGAUCUAUUCUGAUCUAUUCUGGUCAUAUAAGCGUAUUUGAGUUCUAUUUCUUCAUAAAAAAUCACAUGUAUUUAAUUUCGAACUUGUUUUGAAUAUGCUGAAACAUUGUCAAUAUAUGCUGAUUCAUGACUGUUGCGGGCCUGAACUGAUGUCAAUUGGUGCUUGAUUUUAUGCUAUUCCACUCAAGUGAGCAUUGUGUAGUGAUAGAAGAUUGUAUAAUGGUGAAUUUCAUGUUUGCUUGGAAAAGAAAUUAUGUCAUGAAUGAAAGAAAUUCUACUGGAAAUCAAUUCGUGGAUGUUGAUCAUGUCUUGAUAUCCCUGAUUUGGUGUGCAUUUCAUUCCAACUCAAGGCUAGUUUGUUUAUGGGGAUCAUAUAUGUUCAUGCUAGGAAAGUGAUAUGGAGAAUCUCAUGCCAAUUUUGUGAGAAUUGUAGUCAUAACCGAACUAUAAUAUGCUAGAAUCGAAGCAUUGCAUGCUGGUGAUGAUUGCUUUGUUUGAAUUUGGCAUUACUUUGGUCUUGGAUUGAUGCCAUUUUGAUCAAGUAGACUCAUAUGCACUUGGAGGAAGAUAUAGCUUCAAUUUCAUAUCAAUUAGUCAUCAAAACAAUCGUGAUUUGCGGACUUGUAUGCCCUGUCACAAUUCUGAACUUGUGCUGGAAGUUGUGGCUUAAGCAUGAAUUAGAUGGAUUUUGUCUUAGCUUGGUUGCCUUUUUUAUUGCCCGUGGAUAAGUGAUAUGUGUGUGCAUGAUUAAAUUGAUGAGAUGUGUGCUUGAUAUUGCCAUGAGAGUCUUGGCCUAGUUAUUAACUUAGAGAAGUCUGAUGUUAAUUGAAGUUUAAUUCCAUGAUUCUCGUGAUUUCAAAGCUUGGAGCAUCUAUUUUUUGUAAUAUUGAAUAUUUUGAAGCUGACUUCAUCUAAAGGUAAUCUGAUAGACGAACUAGAUUCUAGGAAAUCUCUCGACAAAGUCAGUCAUUGAGGCCCCUUGAAAUAUCACAUGGACGACACUUGCCAAUAAAAUACCAAUAUUCUCUCCCUCUCCUUCUAGGAUCACCAUUCAAGGCUUAUUUAGAAGAGCUUUUGCUUAGAUCUAAUUGAUCUUUCAAGUGCGUGCAUUUGUGGCGACAUACUGUGCACAACAUCAAUUGCGACCUACUCAUUCAUGAUGUCCUUUCCUUCCUUGGAGUGUUCACUGGCCACUGCUGUUCAGAAUGGUAUUUCAAAGAUACGGAUUUUGUUUCCUCCCUCCCCCAUUGCGAAUUCUACAGGGCAGGGAAGACUAGUCACCAGCGCUACCAGUACCCUGCCCUUGAAAUCCAUCAGGACCCUGCCCAUAUGUUCCACUAGGAGUAGGUGCAUAGUUCCAAUUGUCUUUUCUAUGAACCAUUCUGCACUAAAGGUGCAAAGCUCCAUCUAUCUCCUUGCAGCGGGUCCCUUUGUUUGCUGAUAGUAAUUGUUGUUAUGACCCUGUCGACUGUAGUUUCCCUGAUAUGAAGGCAUCGGAUCUCCCCUCUGUCCUUGAUAUGGAGCCCUGCUGCUAGCAGCAUAAUCCAUAUUGCUCAUUGGCAGGGGAUUUCUUCUUUCAUCUUGUCCUGGGGGACCAUAACUUUGCUGAUGAGAAGAUAAUUUUAUUGAGGGCUCCCUUGUCUAUUUGCCAUUUGACCUCCUUGCCCGUCAUAUCUAGGUUGGUCAUAGUUUCUAUUGCGAUCUCACAUUCUCCUGCCCAGCCUCCCAUACUGGACAAGUGGUGGUCUCUGAGUAAUUACUCCAUUUUCAUACUUGUCGCCUAAUGAUUCAGUAAGUUAAACAAAGCCAGCGGUGCUGCAGGGCCACAAAUCAUAGACAUAUUGGAAAGUUGAACUGAUGGAAUUAGAGGAUGAAUGGACUAAAUGACUGAAAAAUUUUGGCAAAGAUGUAUGGUAGAUGAUCUUAUGUGGAGCCAAGUCAUACCUCUGUAUCCCUUGCUUUGGGAUCAAUGUAAGAAGCAGAUAAUAUAAAGAUGACUUCAGGUAGAUCUGUUUAUAGCUCAAUAAGUCAGUGCACAACAAUGAUGCGAUUAUUAAUCAUUAAUUGAUUGCAAUGGGAGACUUAUCAAAGAUACUUGCCUUUGAAUUGCUUUGAUUUUGCUUCAGUCAUCACAGCCUGAAACCCCAGAUUGGUGGUCGUGCUACUAGCACAAAUUCUCUUUUUUGCUUCCUCCAAACUGAAGCACGAGUGUCAAAUGUCAUCUCAAAUUUGCAAUGUAGAUCAUGCCACGGUUGCCUUAGGACAUAGAUCUCAUGAUCAGGAAAUAACAUAUCCAUGUUAUUACAGUGCUAGAUGUAAACAUUAGCUUAAUUACCGCAAAUGUGGGGUUGUGCAUGUCAAUUUUUAAAGAUGGUGUCAAGAUCGCUAUAGAGCCGGUGCUCAAGAGAGUCGUAUUGACCAUCGCAUUGGUCCAACCCACCAAUGAAAGCCGUUAUUUUGUGGUUGUUUCCCAAGACAAUCUAUGUGUAUCGAGAACAAGUACACAAUAAGAAAAUUUUUUUUGAUGCAAAAAAGUUGAAUCUUUUCCCUCUAAGAAGUUUAUGCCAUAAAUCUCGAAUGGAAAACAAUUAGCCAAUAAGAACUUGAUGAACCAUAUAUAUUUAUCUUAACGUUCACACCAUAACAUCAACUCAUCCGAAGCAUUUUAUACAACAAUGACGUCGCAUGUCAUGCCCACAACUUUAAUUAGUAGGGAGUAUCUAUCUAAAUCACAACUUGCUUUGUCAUGCCCAUGAAUGAUCAUUCUACUCAUAUUUCUCAAUUUUGAUUGUUUAAAGUACUUCGAUUUAACCCAAAAUUACUCGAAAAUUUUGGUAUAUAUCGUUGCAUUUGCACACUCUCAAAAUCGAAUGCGACUAAUUUACAUAUUCGAUCAAGUUGUGAGAGCAUUGGGAAGAAUGGUAGGGGACCCAAGGAUUUUGCCACCCACAACAGGAAACGUUUCGAAACCGGCUCGUUUGCACUGAUCUUGCUUGUGAUGUUCAAUGCCAGCUCCAUCGGCACUGAAUUGUUUGCACGUGCUUGUCAGAGCCAAAUCAGGCAUUGGUUGCCAUCAAAACUUGAACUCAAGAAAUUAAAUAGGCCGAAAUGAAACUAGAAAAUGGAGGAAAAAAUCAAAAUUUAGAAAGUCCAGAGAGUCAAAGUCUCGAAAAUAUAAUAUGCAGGAACUUUGUAAGGUGCUCAUCAUUCCAUAAUAGUACCAUUUGAAUCAGAAUUCAGUUUUAACGUCCAAUAUGGUGAGUUCUAGCUAUUAUUAGGUGAUACACAAUUCCCAGAGGGAGCAAAGUCUGAAUACUCCUUACCAGAGGGGUUGUUGCUCUUUCAACUCAGUCAAUCAAAAUGCAUAGAAAUGGUGCAUCUCAUACCUGCAUUUUUGUAUGAUGGCCAAUGAUAGGAAGAGCCAAGAAAAUACUGGUUUUCAACGUAAAUGAAACGUUGUGCCGAUCUAAUCACUUUCACUGACGCCAUGGGAAUGCUCUUGUCUACUUUCAAGUUUUUUCAGCAUAUAAGAUUCUGCAACCAUGAAGUAAUUGAAAGAAGCAACAUUAUCAAUCUGGGCUUCAAUAUCUAUUCAAAAACACUAGAGAUUGUGCAUAAGAAAGAAGAGUAACUUUCUAAUGUAAGGAGAACUUUUCAAGUGAUACAUGUAUAACAGCCAGUUGUAAAUCUACUAGCAUGGCAUUAGCAGCUUAAACUUAAUUACUUUUUAGCUUCUUCAAUGCUAUUUGGCAAUCCCUUUACAAAUCCCGAAUCAAUUGAUCUAAAGACCUGCGCCAACAUAAAAUAGAAAUUAAAGAUGAUUGUUACCCUUCAUUUUGUUUCCAAUUGAAGUCCCUCAAAAAAGCCAAUUAAUUUUACAUAAAUUCUCCGAACCUGUGCAUGCCAAUUUUCCAAGUUGUCUUCGUCCCUGACUUUUACUUUUUUGUUGCCAUCGGGGCUUGUCGAGGGACAAAGUAUCCACAAAAUCCUGUCGAGCCUUAACAGAGCAUUCUCAUGCCAACACUUGACAUAACUUGUGCCACUUCGCCGCCUCUUUCCAUCUCUAUUCGAAAUCCUUCAAUAUGUCAUACGCAGCUUGUCCCUCAACUUUGCAAUGUAGAUCAUGCCACGGUUGCCUUGGGACAUUGACAGUGGACUACUGUAAUCACAAAAAAGAAGAAGAAGCAAUAAACACAACAUUAGAAAAUAACACUUAGAAAAUAACACAAACAUGUGUUUACGGUGCUAAAGGGAAACAUUAGCUUUAUUACCGUGAAUGUGGGGUUGUGAAUGUCAUUCUUAAAGACGGUGUUAAGAUCGCUACAAAGUCUAUGCUCAGGAGUGUCAUAUCGGCCAUCACUUAUGUCCAACCCACCAAUGAAAGUCAUUAUUUUGCGGUUGUCUCCCGAGGCUUGAGUGUCAAGAACCAUGCACUUUUGGUGGUGCGUGUAUAAGGUCCCCACCACCUGGACUACAAAAGACCCAUACACCAACAAAUUAAACCAAACAUUUUCGUAGAUUUAUGCCUGAAUUCAAACGAAUGGGCAGCCUCUCCAAUAUUAUAAAAUUCCCUACUAGAACUAUCGUAAAUGCAUGAUGAUCUAGGAUAGAAUGAGACAAAUCAAUAAACUUCUGUAGAUUGUCUGCUAAAAGGAAAAAAUUUCCUAUGAAAUUAUACCUGAUUGAAAUAAUCAGGUAAUAUAUAGCAAAAGCAAUGCUUUUGAUGCAAUCAAACGAAGAGAUUUUGAUUAAGAAUCAACCUAAACGUCUAAAGAUACAUACCCGUUGCUUGAAUAUGCUAAGAUUGGUGCUUGCAUAACAAGGACCAAGCACACAGCGGAUGCCAGAGUGUUGAAGAAACUUCUUUGUCUCUACAUCGUGAUCUAGGCCACCGGUAUCUCCACAACCCGAAUGAGCUUGGUCCCAAACACAUCGUUGUCCUCCACAUGGAACUCCACCUUCAAGAUUGGUGCACCACGGAAUGUAGAACCGCUAGUCCCACUUCAAGAUUGGCGCACCACAGGAAUGUAGAACCGCUAGUCCCAUAGGGUUCUCACAGUUUGGGGUUGUUAACACUUGAAUUUUGCUGAGAAAGUAUGAAUAAUAAUAAGGGUAAUUUUGUCAUACGCCUAUUGAUACUUGAAUUUUCCUAACCAUUCAAGUGUCCUUUUUUUUCAAAAUAGAUAUAAAGAAGAAGAAAGGAGAGAGAGAUUAAAAAAAUGGAAAAAAGAAUAUUUUUUUUUUAAAAAGAAGAGAAAAAAAAAGAAGGAUAUAAAAAUAAAAUCGAGUGGGCUGGUGUUGUCCAGCCCACUUGGCAAUUUUCGGCCUUUUCAUUCCCAACCCCUCUCUUUCAGCCCAUUUCUUUUAGUUCGGUUAUUUUCUUUUGGCCCAUGAGUCCAAUUCACUCUCCUUGGCCCAUCUCUUUUAUCUUUUCCUUGGCGAAGCCAUCCUUGCCGACCAAAUUCGCGUGGCCUGAAAUUCGGGACACCAGGUCAAGAUAUCUUAAUUUUGACUUCUUGUAGAGGUUAAUUUGUCUAGUUAAAUGAUAGAUCACCUCUCGAGAGAAGCAACGGAGAGCGAGAUCGGAAAAGGAGGAACUGGUUGAGUUGGCCGCUCAAGCUGAAGGGCUGGUUGCGAGGGAUGGUGGCCGCGCGGGACACGGCAAAAUUUGCGCCAUUGCUGAUAUUUGGGCCCAAUGAUUCCAAGUAUAGACUCAAGAAUCUUGUGUUCAGGCUCUCACCUAUUUUGGAUUUUAUGCAAAUCUCAACAAAAUCUCAUAGUGUGUACUUAAGGCAAUCCUAUUUUAAUAGAUACACCAAAAAAAUUUCGGCAUUUACAUGAUUUGGUCCUCUAACUUUUAUUCAAUGAAGUCGCCUAAUUUUGUGGAUUUAUGCAAUUUGAUUCUUAAAGUUUUAUCUUGCCUAAUCGAGUAAUGAUUCCUAUUUCUAGCUCAAAUAAUUUUUGUAGACCUAAAAUUAACAUUACAAAAAAAGGUAUAUAUAUAUAUAUAUAUAUAUAUUUUUUUUUUUUUCAUGUGUUUUCUUCAAAGAACAUCAAAAGAAAGGGUUUGAACUAGUGCUCAUCAUGCAUUGAAGCCCCUCCUCCCUUGGGAGGACGCCUCGGGAAAUCACAGGAUAAAGAGAGUGAGAACUCACAUAGAAAAUCAAUGGUCAACCGCCCGUCACACAGCCGGCCGGUGGCCUCAUGAAAGAAGGCGCGCCUGUUGGGCAACGUGACGUCGAUCCCGAGCCCUGCCGACCAGCCGCCGGUGUCCGAGUUGGAGUCGCCGAAGUUGAAGAUGACGGGCUUCCUCUUGCACGGAGAAGCAGCCGAGCUUGGAAGGCCAAGACAGAGUCCAAACAUCACAGCGUAGCACCUCAAAGCACGGAGGCUGGGAACGCAAGAGGCCCCUCCUCUCUUCUUCGCCAUUUUCUUUCUGUCCUCCGCUUUCUUUCUUGUCGCUAGAUUGACUGUAAAAGUGCAAGAGAGAAGUUGUUCAUGUAAAAAUUCAGAGGGGUCUAAGUUGUGGAUCUCGAGACCGGGCAUAACGGGCUCUUGCAAUUUGGUCCCAUCCCUUCGUGGAAAUCCCACCGGAGACCAUCUAGAAAAGAACAUAUCUUGGGAGUUCGUUUUCUUUUCUGACUGAAAUGGAGGAGCAAAAAAUAUCGACUAGUCAAAAUCUAAACGAGUUGGUCCAUGUUGACACCUAAUUUUUGCCCAAAAAUAUUUCAUUCCAGCAUAUAGAUUAUCUAGGUGUUUAAUAUCGUGUUUUAAAUGAAAGAUGUUUUUCCUAUAAAAAAAUAAUAAUAAUUUAAAAAAAAGAAAAAAAAAAGAAAUCGAAAAAAAAAAAGAAGAAAAAAAAAAGAGAGAGGAGACGAGAAGAAGAGGGGAGGGCUCGGAAUCGUUCCCCAAGGAGGCCCUCAGAAGCAACUCCAGAAAAGCAAACCCAGAAAAAUUCCAGAUGAACCUCCAGAGAGAAAAGAGAAAUUUUCGCAAACUUGCAGCCAAAAUUAGCCAAAACCUUAAACUAGAGAGUGAAACUUCACUCAAAGAUCUUUCCAUCCAUAGGUCGCACGUCCAAAAUGGAGAUCGGGAAGGCCUCCUAAAGCCCCCCGAAACAGUGCCCUCCUGGCGGGCCAAAGAAAGUCCGAAAAUUUUUCUAAGUGUUGAGCCCGGUUGGUCACGAGUGAGGAAAGCCAGUGUUUUUGAGAAAGUUGAGAGACAAAUGAGGAAAAUCUUGACUUUCAAACCAAACUAGAAUACAUAUAGUUUGGUGUGGUGUCAAUUUUUCCAACAAAAUACGUCUUGAAGUCUAAUGUUAGAGGUCAACGAAAACCUUCAUUGUCAGUUUAUUUUUUUUGCAGAUCUCAUUUCCAGUUGAAGAAGCCAACUUCCACAGGCCCCCGAGGAUAAUUUGUCGGUUUCAUCGGCCAAGAACCACUUGAAAAGGAAACUAGGAAGUAAGGUAAGCAUCCUAGAUAUACUUAUUUUCGAGUUUGAGCAUGUUUUGAUCAUGAAAAUCAAGAGGAAAAGCAGCCCGGAAAACUGAUUUCUGAGGUUGAAAUUUCUUCCAAGUGUUUGAAAUCUCUUCAAGAGUGUUGCAUGUGGGCUUCUUGGAGAGGUCGUUUUGAUGUUGUUCGGUGGGUCAUUCUCUGUGAUGUUUAUUGCAUUUGAAAGCUCAUGUUACCUACUUUCACUCGGAUCAAGUAAGGUUUCCUUUAGAUCUCAUAUGCAAUGAGUGUCGGGGCUUGAAUAUGGGCAUGUAACCUGUUUGUUUGACUUGGGUUCAAACCCAAAUUUGCAAAAUCAGUUCAAACCUGUGUAUUUGAGGAUGAUUUUAGCUUGGUUCUAGUGUGUUUUUAGCUAUGAUUUCUAUCUAAUCUUGUUCUUUGCAUGUGGUAGUAUGAUCUUAAUACUUUAGUUCCACAUGAGAUUGCUUAUGAGUGGAGAUUGAAGGCUGCAAACAUGGCUCAAGGAGGCUAUUGGGGCUAGUUUAAUGCACACCAAGUGUUCGACAAAAUGCCCAAACUAAGCUUCGAUCUUGAAAAGGUUGAUUUGAGCUUGAUUAUUGUGAUAUUCAUGUGCUGUGUUACUCCAUGUUAGCAUAGAUCGGUUUAAGGAAUUAUUAUUAUUUUAAAAAAAAAAUAAUUAAAAAAAAUAGAAAAAUAUGAAAAUUUCAAAAAAAAUAUCAAAAAAUGUUAGAUAGCAUCAAAUUAGGAUAUAAAUGACAUAUAUGAAAUUUUCCUAAUUUUAAAAGGUCAUUUUCCUAAUUUAAUGCUAUUUUGGUAUUUUAUAGCCAUUUUUGUAAAUAAUCCAUUUUGCGUAGAUUAAAACUAUUUAAAGUAAUUUCAUGCAUAUAGAGUAAUUUCAUGCAUAUUUGAAUUCUCAUUUUGCUCAUGGGGGUCCUGUCCCGGGGCGUGAUAACAAGGCCAUGUAAUAUUAUUUGCCCGACUUGUAUCGGGUUUACUUUUUCCGCGUUUAUUUUCAAGCUAUUUCAAUUUCUUGGAUAUUUACUUACGCGCCGCUUUUCAUUAUUUUGAGUGUAAAUUUCUCUUCUAAAUUAUGUUAGGAGUAGUCUAGACAUUAAAAAAAAAACUACAAAAACAUUUGCAUGGACACUUAGUGGUUUCAUAAAGAUUAUAAUUCGUAAUCAAGAUUGUAUGGCCAUUUAGAUAAACAACCUUCCAAUUUAGUGGUACCGCAAGGGCGCUAAUAGAAACAUUGGCGUAAACAAGUCCCCGUUCCUAGAAAUCUCUGGUUGCGUAUGAAUCGAGACAACACUCCCGUGUCUUGAUUGGUUUCUAGCCGACCCCAAUAGGCUAGUGGCGACUCCUAGAAUUACAUAGGUUGUUAAGAACUAAAAAAACGAAUCCAACGUCGCGCGGGGUAUGGGCUUGGGAGAGCCCGCGCCUAAUCUAGGGCCAUUGGUCCACCUCUUUAGGCAAAUACCCCUAAACCUUCUUCUUUUUCCCCGGACGGAAAAAAUGAGGUCGUGACAGCUUGGCGACUCCGCUGGGGACUUGGUUGCAAACCUUAGAGGACUUAGGCCGUAAUAACUUGGUUGGUCGUUCACUAACAUGGUCUUCAUUUGAUAGCGCAUGUCAAAGUCGCGUGGAAAACAAGGUUAGCCCGCUAACAAUGUGUUAAAUGUUUUUGUAGGUUUGGAGUAAUAAGGGGUGGAGUGUUUGUUAACCCAUCUCUUUUGUAGGGAGGCGUAGGAAUGUAUGCCUAUAUGGAUGAAAUUGAAGUGUUGUUUGGAUAUCAAUUGAUGUGUGUGCAUUUAUACUUAUCUUAGCACUACACAUUUACACACACCACCCGCGAUCUAAAACCCCGAUCGCAUUAGGAAGCCCAUAAAAGGUGCCAAAAGAUGGAACCCGUGCGGGGAAUGACCCAUGGUUAUCCACUUUUGGUCCCACUCAUUUUGAUUAAUGAUAAAGAGAACUGUCCGACGUAAGUGCGGAGUGGGGAAAACUCUUUUGAUCUAAUCAAAAUGGGGACCUUAAGCCUUUAGAAUUCCGCCUUUAUGCGUCAAACCUCACAAGUUUACAUCCGCAUGUCUAUGUGAUUUUAAAAAAAAAAAGUCUCUUCACCCAUUGUAAGUAUGAUUUCUCUAUCUACUUGCUCACCUCGGAUUGAAAUUUUCAUUUUUUGGAGAUUCGCGGAAAUCAAUGGAAUGCCCUUGAAAAUAUAGACUUGGCAAUCACUUUUGAUAAAUAAGCAUUUCAAAUACCUAUGAUCUACUAAACAUAUGUUUUUGUUUAAAUUUUCAAUUAUGAACUUAAAGUCACAUUUUGUAUAGAAAUUCUUCCAAAUCAAGAUUACAUUUUGGGGCAUAGAAUUAAAAUCAAAUUUUCAAUAAAACUCUUUAUUGGUCACAUUUCAAAAUUAAAAUUCAAAUCCCAUUUUAUAUAUUGAUUUUUCAAAAUAAAAAUCACCUCACCUUUGCAUGAGUGAAACCACAAAUUAAUUUUUUAAAAUCAAUGCCCCAUUUGUGUAUGAAACUUUUGGAACAAAGUGGGCUUUCAAUUGAUAGUCGCGGAUCGAUCUUUUAAUGAAAUCUCCUCUUACUAAUAAAAUCUUGACGAAAUACCAAAUUCUCGUAAGUGGAUACUACGGAGAAGGUAUCGUCGCCUUGAUUUCAUUGUAAGAGGCGGCUUUAUUGAAAGAUCAAUUUUUCAUUCAUAUACUGACAUAAUCUUCCUUUCGCAGGUCAUGCGUGACAACCAUUCCUUGAACUCCUCUUGCUUGACCAUGCCAAAUGUGGACUUUAAAGCUAGGAUGAGAAUUGUGCUUAUUAUGCUCCUCUACAAAAGAGCUUCUUGUACUUUAUCCUUGUCAUUAUUCCUAUUAGGAACCGUGUUUUGUGUUUUGGGUUUUGAUUGUGGACCCAAUCAAAUGCUUUUGUAAAUCAUACAACUCACAUUUUUUAAUAAUGAAGUUAGAGUUCAUAAAAGUUAUAUUCUUUAAAACACUUGAAGUGUUUCAAACGGACCUUCUGGGCUGAGUUUUAUGCCUUAGCUUCAAAUGUUUGAAAAUGAGUUUCAAGAACUUGCAAAAUAUUUUAUCUCUUCACUUAAUCGCUUUCACAGGUUGAUUUGCAGAAUGAUGCUUUGAGGGGGUAAGGUUGUAAUCGUUCCAAUAGGAAUUUCUUAUUCAACAACUAACUCAACCAUCCAUUUUUGCCAAAUAGGUAAAAUGACGGUUUUGUUCAAGGCUGACAAAAGCGCGGGCCUUUCCCUAACCAAGCAAUUCAUGAGAUGCACCCAUUCAUGCUCAUUUAUGGGCAUAAGUGGUUGAGCCAUGAACUAUAGAAAUAUUUUCGCAGCAUAUGAAUUCAAACAUUGUGAUUAAAUGUGAAAAGAACCGUCAAAGCCUCAAAGAUCACAAAUCUACUGGCCUAACGAAGUUCCACAUCCUGGAUGACCUCAUACUAAUUUGACAUUCCUUGUGGAAGAAGAAAUAUGUAGACAUUCUUUGGCAUCAAACUACUCCAUUGGUUGCAAACAUGAAAAGCAACUGCAAUCCCUACACUUCCAAUGGUGUCUUGGCAUCCAAUCCUAUAUGAAGAUAAUUAUUGGUGGUCUGCAAGACAACACUUCAAGAUGUAGAUGUACACAAGCAAGAAUCCGUCAUCAAAUGUUGCCUUCAAAUAAAAGAUUUUAGUGAGGCAAAUUACUGGCAAGCAACAAGAUUACACAGGGAGGACAACCUGGUCCAGAAUCACACGAUCUCUGAAAGAAAAGGAUUGUGAAGUGGGAAAUGCAUUGACGCAGCAAAAAUGGCGAAAAAUCACCUAGCCUAAAAGGGGGGUAUGCGGGAAAUUGAGUAAAGCAUGAAGGGCUCAAAUGAAACAGAGAUUCAUCAAUCCAACAUGAUGGAGCUGCAUAUGGACAAGUUAUCUAACCCAGUGUGGCAUGCAUUUGACCAUAAGGACAAUGUCUUGCCUUCUUCAACAAAGCUACAAUGAGAUGCUGAAUUGCCCGACUUUGAAAAAGGGUGUACUUCGUUCCUAAACCUAAUGUACCUAAGAAUAGAAAUAAUACAUUGUCUCCAUAUGUGUAGGAAAUUUUAAUUGGGGCAGAUGGCCACAAAAUGGAUCGGGGGCACGCAAUGCCUGAGUCACUCGACUUCUAAAAGGGGAAAAUUUCAAAUGGAAUAGACAUUUGCCAAGUGAAUUACUGCCAAUCAUGAAAGCAAAUCCCUCUCCAUAGCCAAGGAAACGAGAUGGAAUGCAGUCAUCAUAUAUGCCGUAAAAGGGAGUAUAUCGUUCCUAAAAUGAAUCACGUCGAGUAUGAAAAUAACAUAUUCGUCUCUUUUUCCUUGCAGUUGAUGAAUGGGGCAAAUCACUUAAAGCAGAGCAAUUCUCACCCAUGAGCAAGAUGAAACAUAGUCAAUUGAUUCAGCACAAAAAGGGAGUACCGUCCCUAAAUUAGUCCAAUUCAACUGUGGAAUAUAAGUAACAUGCCCCAUUUCUUGUAGGAAAAGGUGCACACUGAGCACUGAAGCAACACCUUAUACCAAGAAGGCAUGCUAAGGCCCAACCAUCCAUUUUGAUGGAAUAAAUGGAGUAAAAACAUCUAAGGAGCAAUGCCCUCACAUAUCGAAACAAGGAGUACCCUCUCCUUUCAUCUUUGACGCCCACUCAGAAUGAGUGAAUUUGAUAACAUCUAAAUGGCCUAUUUGAAAGCAAGAUCUUCAAGGAAAUGUUAACACCUGAGGAGCAAAAGCACAUGAAGAGGAAACACAAGACAUUUAAAGUCAGCUGCAGGAGAAGGGUAAUUCAGUAUCGUUUCCAAAAUGCCCCUCUCUAACUUCAUUAUUUGACGUAGUUCCCUUGUUUGACAGGAAGCGUUGGUGUUCGAGGAACAAACUCGAUAAAUUGAUUUAAGCAUAAUCUAUAUCGACAAAGUAAGCAUGUGGAGUUAACACAUGACAAAGUCACCUAAGUUGGCUUAAAAUAUGCGUCGUUCUAGAGCCGGUUCAAUUAAAUAAAAAAAGAAGCGCCCCAUAGACACUACUAGCGCUUCGGCCUGGUGGUAUGGGAAUGAAUGAACGGUCCGAGAGGUACGGGGUUCGAUCCCCAGAAACGGCAACGAGGUUGCCAUGUAAAAAAAUAAUAAAAUAAAAAAAAAUUUUGCAUCUCUUAUUUUUGCAAAAAGAAGAAGAUGCUUGAACUAAUGAGACCAAAGACCUGAGAUUCUCUUCAAGCCUUAAAACAGUACGUUCAUUCCGCUAUUUGCCGCCAAAUGGUGAAAUUAACCAAGGGUAAUGUUGUAUCGUUUCCAAUUUUACAAUCCCUAAGGAUUCAUGUACUAACACAUUCCCUUUUGUUCUUCGUAGGGUCGCCUGACUACUAAGACACAGGUAAGUGCCCUUCUCCUCAAAAUCAAAUGGAAAAUAAAUGGAGAAUUUCCAUCGCAAAAAAAAGAACAUUUAGUGUUUUUCUAGAAACAAGCGCAAAAAAUGGAAAUUAAAGAAACAAGUUUUCCACAAGGUUUGCAAAAAUCUUUUUUACCUUUAAAUUGUCCAUCCACCCGAUGGAUCACUCAUUUUGAAUCAAAGUUCUCUAUGGAGAUUAAUCCACUCAGAUGAUCUCAACAAAAAUGAAAGGCGAUGUUGCUUAUGCCAAGCGAGAAACACUUAGGAUGAGGAAAGGCAACCCAUUUCCAAACAUGUCCUUUAAACACUCUAGAAUUCGAGUGAAAAAGAAAGCUUGUGUUGUUUGAGGUCAAUGAAUUCAUUCGCAAGCAGUACAUAGAUCAAGAUGAUAAGAGGCAUUUCUUUCCUCUAUCAUACACACUACAGGUGACAAUAGUUAGCCCAUUUGAGCCUUUUAAUGUGAAGAAUUUUCUGCAAAAUACCCCUGUCAAGAACCACCCCACGAUGGGGGCAAUUAUGGAGGUUUGGGUUGACAUUAUUUGGAGAGGAAAGAUGAGAAAGGUUUCUUUGCUCUCACUUGCAUAAAUCUUUUUGUGGUAACUUUAGGUGAAUUCUUAUGGAAGCUCGAAGCAUCCCAAGGUGAAGAAGAGCAUUCUUUUCUCUACCCAAACACCGAUACCCUUUGCUUAAACCAAGUUGAGCUUAAUCGUUCAUUUCCAAAACUCGAGUGUUGAUUACCUCCCCACAUUGGGGCAAGGCAUAUGAUUUGCCAAGGCAAGUGAUGUUUACAUGAAAAUGCGGAAAGCAUCUCGAAAGUCCUAAGAGUUUAAAAAGUUCAAAAGAGCAAAAGUCAAAUGAAAAUUAGGGGGCAUGAAAAAGCAGUAUGCCUGGUAAAAGCAAGGCUAAUGCCCAUCACAAAAAAAUUGCAUCAAGAAGAAUGUCUCCGUGAAAAAAAAAAAAAAAAAACAAAAUGCUUAUAUCAAAAGGAGAUCACUGCAAAUGCAAAAGUCAUGAGAGGAAAGAGCAAAGCUCUUAUUUUGCGAUGAUUAGUCAAAGGACUUUCGAGACAAAUUCGAGUGCUUUCAAAAAAAGGGAUGAUACGGUAAUGAUGCCAUGAUAAUCACCAACUCUCAAAUCCCCCUUUGACAAAAAGUUCUAAGCCUUUUGAGCUAAGCCUUUUGAACCUUUCCUCGAACCAACAUUACAACCUACUCCCGAAUUCUCUUCAGAUUGGGAUGAUUCAAAGUGGAAAUAAGGACUUCCCAAAGAAGAUGCCGCUCGAAGAAGUGAGAGUAAGGUUGUCUUAUCUCAUCUUAAGGUUUCUUGACUUGUAAACCUGGCGGAGAUGUCGAUCAAUGAUUAAUUCAUUUUAUAGCCAAUGAUGCUUAUCCAUUGCUAAAACCAUGACCAAACCUGCACUACGGUCCUUCUAAAAGACCUCUUUGAUUGGUCAAUGUGUACUUAUUGCGAAUGAUCCAAAGCCUUGCACACUGGAAGAGUGAGGUUGAGUGAUCAGUUUAUUUCCCACAUGAAUAGAUGGGAUCAAAUAGCCAUUUUCUUGAGAAUAUGCGAGAAGCCCUUUCUGACUAGGGAUCCUUGCUUGGCAUACUUAACAAACCUUUCUCAUAAGUCAAGGUCGUUUCGACAAGGACUUUUCUCCCAAGAGAAUUUGACGAUUAAUGAUAUCAUUCGAGCGUGAUGACAGUUUUGCGAGUUUGUCAAGUUGUCGGAAUUAGUUUGAUUUGUUUAUGCAAUCAUUGUUUUCUCAUUACCAAUACACUUUUGAUAGUGUUUAUAAUGACAUGUUGAAAUUGACCUCAUCUAGUAUGCUUUCGCUACUAGAAUACUUGUUAUAAUGAAUACUAUUUAAUGUGCAGUAUCCAUUUCAGAACAUUCUCGAAUGACAGGUUCCUCCAGUAAAACCACACAAUUUCAAAGGGUUCAUGGAUUAGCCUUAAACCAUGCAUUUUCAAAGGGUUCUCGGUUAUCCUUAAACCUUGCAAUUUCACACGGUUCAUGGGUUAGCCUUAAACCAUGCAAUUUUCAAAAGGUUCUUGACUAUCCUUAAACCUUGCAAUUCUAAAGGUUCACACGGUUAGCCUUAAACCAUGCAUUUUCAAAAGGUUUUUGGUUAUCCUUAAACCUUGCAAUUUCAAAGGGUUCAUGGAUUAGCCUUAAACCAUGUAUUUUCAAGAGGUUCUUGGUCAUCCUUUAAACCAUGCAAUCCCAAAGGGUUCAUAGGUUAACCUUAAACCAUGCAUUUUCAAGAGGUUCUUGGUUAUCCUUAAACCUUGCAAUUCACAGGGUUCAUGGGUUAGCCUUAAACCAUGCAUUUUCAAAAGGUUCUUGGUUAUCCUUAAACCUUGCGAUUUCAGAAGUUCUUGGUUAUCCUUAAACCAUGCAAUUCUAAAGGGUUCAUGGGUUAGCUUUAAACCAUGCAUUUUCAAAAGGUUCUUGGUUAUCCUUAAACCAUGCAAUUUCAAACGGUUCAUGGGUUAGCCUUAAACCAUGCAAUUUUCAAAAGGUUCUUGGUUAUCCUUAAACCUUGCAAUUCUAAAGGUUCAUGGGUUAGCCUUAAACCAUGCAUUUUCAAAAGGUUCUUGGUUAUCCUUAAACCUUGCAAUUUCAAAGGGUUUAUGAGUUAUCCUUAAACCAUGCAUUUUCAAGAGGUUCUUGAUUAUCCUUAAACCUGGCAAUUUCAAACGGUUCAUGGGUUAGCCUUAAACCAUGCAAUUUUCAAAAGGUUCUUGGUUAUCCUUAAACCUUGCAAUUUCAAAGGGUUUAUGGGUUAGCCUUAAACCAUGCAUUUUCAAAAGGUUCUUGGUUAUCCUUAAACCUUGCAAUUUCAAAGGGUUUAUGGGUUAGCCUUAAACCAUGCAUUUUCAAAAGGUUCUUGGUUAUCCUUAAACCUUGCAAUUUCAAAGGGUUUAUGAGUUAUCCUUAAACCAUGCAUUUUCAAAGGGUUCUUGGUUAUCCUUAAACCUUGCAAUUUCAAUAGGUUCUUGGUUAGCCUUAAACCAUGCAUUUUCAAAAGGUUCUUGGUUAUCCUUAAAUCUUGCAAUUUCAAAGGGUUUAUGAGUUAUCCUUAAACCAUGCAUUUUCAAGAGGUUAUUGGUUAUCCUUAAACCAUGCAAUUUUAAAGGGUUCUCGAAUUAGCCUUAAAUCAUGCAUUUUCAAGAGAUUCUUGGUUAUCCUUAAACCAUGCAAUUUUAAAGGGUUCUUGAAUUAGCCUUAAAUCAUGCACUUUCUAGAGGUUCUUGGUUACCUUUAAACCAUGCAAUUCCAAAGGGUUCAUAGGUUAGUCUUAAACCAUGCACUUUCAAGAGGUUCUUGGUUAUCAUUAAACCAUACAAUUCCAAAAGGUUCACAAGUUAGCCUCAAACCAUGCAUUUUCAAGACAUAAUUUCAAAGGGUUCAUGGGUUAGCCUUAAACCAUGCAUUUUCAAGAGGUUCUUGCUCAUCCUAAAAUCAUACAAUUUACAUGGUUAGUGGGAUUGCCUUAAACCGCACGGUUAGUGGGAUUGCCUUAAACCACACGGUUAGUGGGACUGCCUUAAACCACACGGUUAGUAGGACCGCCUUAAACCACAAGGUUAGUGGAACUGCCUUAAACCACAAGGUUAGUGGGACUACCUUAAACCACACGGUUAGUGGAUCUGCCUUAAACCACAAGGUUAGUGGAACUGCCUUAAACCACAAGGUUAGUGGGACUGCCUUAAACCACACGGUUAGUGGGACUGCCUUAAACCACACGGUUAGUAGGACCGCCUUAAACCACAAGGUUAGUGGGGAAUACCUUAAACCACAAGGUUCGUGGGACUGCCUUAAACCAUACGGUUAGUGGGACUACCUUAAACCACACGGUUAGUGGAUCUGCCUUAAACCACAAGGUUCGUGGGACUGCCUUAAACCACAAGGUUCGUGGGUAUAUCCUUAAACCACACUUUUCAAAUUGUUCACAAGUACAUCCCUAGAUCACGCUCUUUACAUUAAGCUUACUUGCAUUUUCAUUUUUACAAUUACAAAAAAAAAAAAAAAAAACAAAACAAAAAACAAAAAACCAAAAAAUUAGGCGUCACCUUAUCUUUGAAAGAAACCUCUUUGAGCUUCCUUCCAAAGAGGGGCAGCUGUUGACACCUAAUUUUUGCCCAAAAAUAUUUCAUUCCAGCAUAUAGAUUAUCUAGGUGUUUAAUAUCGUGUUUUAAAUGAAAGAUGUUUUUCCUAUAAAAAAAUAAUAAUAAUUUAAAAAAAAGAAAAAAAAAAGAAAUCGAAAAAAAAAAAAAGAAAAAAAAAAGAGAGAGGAGACGAGAAGAAGAGGGGAGGGCUCGGAAUCGUUCCCCAAGGAGGCCCUCAGAAGCAACUCCAGAAAAGCAAACCCAGAAAAAUUCCAGAUGAACCUCCAGAGAGAAAAGAGAAAUUUUCGCAAACUUGCAGCCAAAAUUAGCCAAAACCUUAAACUAGAGAGUGAAACUUCACUCAAAGAUAUUUCCAUCCAUAGGUCGCACGUCCAAAAUGGAGAUCGGGAAGGCCUCCUAAAGCCCCCCGAAACAGUGCCCUCCUGGCGGGCCAAAGAAAGUCCGAAAAUUUUUCUAAGUGUUGAGCCCGGUUGGUCACGAGUGAGGAAAGCCAGUGUUUUUGAGAAAGUUGAGAGACAAAUGAGGAAAAUCUUGACUUUCAACCCAAACUAGAAUACAUAUAGUUUGGUGUGGUGUCAAUUUUUCCAACAAAAUACGUCUUGAAGUCUAAUGUUAGAGGUCAACGAAAACCUUCAUUGUCAGUUUAUUUUUUUUGCAGAUCUCAUUUCCAGUUGAAGAAGCCAACUUCCACAGGCCCCCGAGGAUAAUUUGUUGGUUUCAUCGGCCAAGAACCACUUGAAAAGGAAACUAGGAAGUAAGGUAAGCAUCCUAGAUAUACUUAUUUUCGAGUUUGAGCAUGUUUUGAUCAUGAAAAUCAAGAGGAAAAGCAGCCCGGAAAACUGAUUUCUGAGGUUGAAAUUUCUUCCAAGUGUUUGAAAUCUCUUCAAGAGUGUUGCAUGUGGGCUUCUUGGAGAGGUCGUUUUGAUGUUGUUCGGUGGGUCAUUCUCUGUGAUGUUUAUUGCAUUUGAAAGCUCAUGUUACCUACUUUCACUCGGAUCAAGUAAGGUUUCCUUUAGAUCUCAUAUGCAAUGAGUGUCGGGGCUUGAAUAUGGGCAUGUAACCUGUUUGUUUGACUUGGGUUCAAACCCAAAUUUGCAAAAUCAGUUCAAACCUGUGUAUUUGAGGAUGAUUUUAGCUUGGUUCUAGUGUGUUUUUAGCUAUGAUUUCUAUCUAAUCUUGUUCUUUGCAUGUGGUAGUAUGAUCUUAAUACUUUAGUUCCACAUGAGAUUGCUUAUGAGUGGAGAUUGAAGGCUGCAAACAUGGCUCAAGGAGGCUAUUGGGGCUAGUUUAAUGCACACCAAGUGUUCGACAAAAUGCCCAAACUAAGCUUCGAUCUUGAAAAGGUUGAUUUGAGCUUGAUUAUUGUGAUAUUCAUGUGCUGUGUUACUCCAUGUUAGCAUAGAUCGGUUUAAGGAAUUAUUAUUAUUUUAAAAAAAAAAUAAUUAAAAAAAAUAGAAAAAUAUGAAAAUUUCAAAAAAAAUAUCAAAAAAUGUUAGAUAGCAUCAAAUUAGGAUAUAAAUGACAUAUAUGAAAUUUUCCUAAUUUUAAAAGGUCAUUUUCCUAAUUUAAUGCUAUUUUGGUAUUUUAUAGCCAUUUUUGUAAAUAAUCCAUUUUGCGUAGAUUAAAACUAUUUAAAGUAAUUUCAUGCAUAUAGAGUAAUUUCAUGCAUAUUUGAAUUCUCAUUUUGCUCAUGGGGGUCCUGUCCCGGGGCGUGAUAACAAGGCCAUGUAAUAUGUUUGUAUCUCACUGAUUNNNNNNNNNNNNNNNNNNNNNNNNNNNNNNNNNNNNNNNNNNNNNNNNNNNNNNNNNNNNNNNNNNNNNNNNNNNNNNNNNNNNNNNNNNNNNNNNNNNNNNNNNNNNNNNNNNNNNNNNNNNNNNNNNNNNNNNNNNNNNNNNNNNNNNNNNNNNNNNNNNNNNNNNNNNNNNNNNNNNNNNNNNNNNNNNNNNNNNNNNNNNNNNNNNNNNNNNNNNNNNNNNNNNNNNNNNNNNNNNNNNNNNNNNNNNNNNNNNNNNNNNNNNNNNNNNNNNNNNNNNNNNNNNNNNNNNNNNNNNNNNNNNNNNNNNNNNNNNNNNNNNNNNNNNNNNNNNNNNNNNNNNNNNNNNNNNNNNNNNNNNNNNNNNNNNNNNNNNNNNNNNNNNNNNNNNNNNNNNNNNNNNNNNNNNNNNNNNNNNNNNNNNNNNNNNNNNNNNNNNNNNNNNNNNNNNNNNNNNNNNNNNNNNNNNNNNNNNNNNNNNNNNNNNNNNNNNNNNNNNNNNNNNNNNNNNNNNNNNNNNNNNNNNNNNNNNNNNNNNNNNNNNNNNNNNNNNNNNNNNNNNNNNNNNNNNNNNNNNNNNNNNNNNNNNNNNNNNNNNNNNNNNNNNNNNNNNNNNNNNNNNNNNNNNNNNNNNNNNNNNNNNNNNNNNNNNNNNNNNNNNNNNNNNNNNNNNNNNNNNNNNNNNNNNNNNNNNNNNNNNNNNNNNNNNNNNNNNNNNNNNNNNNNNNNNNNNNNNNNNNNNNNNNNNNNNNNNNNNNNNNNNNNNNNNNNNNNNNNNNNNNNNNNNNNNNNNNNCUUUGAGUGAAGUUUCACUCUCUAGUUUAAGGUUUUGGCUAAUUUUGGCUGCAAGUUUGCGAAAAUUUCUCUUUUCUCUCUGGAGGUUCAUCUGGAAUUUUUCUGGGUUUGCUUUUCUGGAGUUGCUUCUGAGGGCCUCCUUGGGGAACGAUUCCGAGCCCUCCCCUCUUCUUCUCGUCUCCUCUCUCUCAUCUCUUGAAAGACCUUGCUUCAGUUAUCUUAUCCCCCGAAUUAAGGGAUUUUUGGUCAGCCUUUUGUCCACCUACCAGGCCUGUCAACCGGGCUACUCAACCUACUCUUCUGACUUGGCCAAUUUUUUAACUUCUGCAGCUGUUGAGUGUGCAGGUUUUGCUGCGAUUUUCCGGUGCUGUCAGACGCUUAUCUCUGGCCAAUUUUCGUCCACUUGCACUACUAUAUACGGUCUUCCAUCACGUGCAAAGAUCGGGCUGGUUGGGCAGCUGAGGAAGAUAUGGUGGGGCCACCAAAUUGCUUACUCAGCAACUCCGGAUUAAGACCAACUCGUGGACUAAGUUUUGGCUGCUGAUUUGAGUGCUUUAAUCCACUAAUUUGGCUGAGUUUUUUGAUCAAUUAGAAAGCUCAUGUAUAUUAGUUUAAGAUCUUGAUCAUUUUUCGCAAUUAUCUCCACCCAAUUUUGCAAGAAAGUCCCUCAAAGUUAGCCAUUUUCUUGCCCUAAAAUGCCAAAUUCAAUGCAAUUAGGUCCUUUUUGGCUCAAUUUGAUAGAUUCUACUUGGCCCAAAUUCAAUUUCAACUUAAUUGAUGACUAAGAUGAUGAUUUAAGGGCUCGGGCGCAAAUUUUGCAAAAUUUACGAAUUGGUCCCUCGACUUUUGGAAAUUGCAUUUUGGCCCCAACUUGUCAUUUGGAUUCCAAUCUGACCUCCUAGGCUUGGCUAGUCACAUUUAGAUCGUUGGCCCCAACUUGCUCUCUCUCUCUUUUUUUUCUUCUUUUUUUUUUUUCGAUUUCUUUUUUUUUUUCUUUUUUUUAAAUUAUUAUUAUUUUUUUAUAGGAAAAACAUCUUUCAUUUAAAACACGAUAUUAAACACCUAGAUAAUCUAUAUGCUGGAAUGAAAUAUUUUUGGGCAAAAAUUAGGUGUCAACAGUCCAUGAGUCGUAUUCAUUUUCAUUAGAUGAAACACGUGACUGUUGACUAAGUAGUAUUGACAUCAAUACGUGACACGACAUACCAACACAUCGUUUCUAAAAAAUCAGAGAAUUUCGAUAUGUUAUAUAUAUAUAUAAUCAUUUUUAUGAUUAUUUCAAUCAAAUUAAUUUAAUUCAAAUUCAUAAAUAAAUAAUAUAAAAAAGUCUAGAAUGAAUUUACACUAAAAACAUUAAUAUGCUAUUUAUUAAUAUCUUUUUGACAAAUUCAACUCCAUUCCAAUAAUUUAUAAAAUUUAAAAGGAAAAAAACAAGUAAUUCACAUUCUGGACUCACGUGUUAGAUAUGUCGGAAGAGAGAGAAAAAACUUGGUGGUGAAUUAUGUAUCACAAGAAGUGAAAGUCAGAAAAUAAGAUAAGACUAGGUUUUUUUUUCUUUUCCAAUUUAUUAUUUUUUAUAGUUUUUUACAUAUAUAUUUUGACCCAUCAUUUAUUGAAAAAUUUUCAAAUUAAUUUCACAUAUUAGAAUCACAUAUCAAAAACUCGCAUGUCAGAAUUUCAACUUGAGUAUUAGAAAGAGUUAGGAAAAUUAACUAAGUGUCGGAUUUUCCAACACAUAUUGACCGAGUGUCAAAAAGUGUCCAAAAGUGGUGGAGAGCAUUUGACACGUGUCAAAGUAUCCAACACAAUACAAAGACUUCUAGAGAGUGUUGAUACUUCCUAGACUAUUUACAUGGUACACCUUAUAUUUGUUAUUUAAAAAAAUAAAAAUAGGUAAAAAUGACAACAACAAAAAAAAGAAGCUAUAUGGUAAUAAAAAAAUCAUAAAAAAAAGGAAAGUGAAAAUACUGUGAGUUCAUUUUCUUUUCCGAUGACCUCAAUGGGGAACAAAAAUCAUUGACUAAUUGAAAAUUAAGCAAGUUGGUCUAGGAACUGUGUUUAUUCCAAUUAGACGAAACACGUGAUUACAUUUAAAAAAAUGGUAAAAAUGACAAAAUAUAAAAAAAGGAAGGCGAAAAUACUGCGAUUGUUGACAAUUUAAAUUGUCCCAUCGAGGAUCAUCUAGAAAAGAAAAUGUCUUGGGAGUUCAUUUUCUUUUUCGAUGACUUCAAUGGGGAGCAAAAAUCAUUGACAAAUCAAAAUCUAAGCAAGUUGAUCCAUGAACUGUGUUCAUUCCCCUUAGACGAAACACGUGACUAUAGACAUAUUAUUUUUGUUACAUAAAAAUAAAAAUAAAAAGGUAAAAAUGACAAAAAAAAUGUAGUAAAAAAAUAAAAAAAUAAAAACGAAAAUACCGUGACUACUGACAAUUUGAAUUAUCCCCAUUGAGGAUCAUCUAGAAAAGAAAAUGUCCUCGGAGUUCAUUUUUUUUUUUUGAUGACUUCAUUAGGGAGCAAAAAUCAUUGACUAAUCAAAAUCUAAGCAAGUUGGUCCAUAAACCAUGUUUAUUACCAUUAGAUGAAAUAUGUGACUGUUGACACAUUAAUUUUUUUUUUACAUAGAAAUAAAAAAAAUGGUAAAAACAAAAAAAAAACCUAUAUAGUAAUAAAAAAAAAAAGUAACGCGAAAAUACCCAAAAAAAAAAGGGCUGUAGUACUAAGCAUGGAUAAAUAGAAGAGAGUAGAGAAUUUUUUUGAUAAAAAUUAAUAUAUAAAAAAAGAAAAAUAAUAAAAGCACUAAUAAACCUUGGGUGGGCCAUUUAUACCAAGCCCGUUUUCUUUAGUAAAAUAUUCAGUCCAACUUCCCGAUUUUCCUUAUUUUCUUUCAGCCCACAAUUUGAGCCCAAAAAGGUGAGAAACAGAGAUUGAAAAAAACUCGCAAAACUCGUCCGAUCCAGAGUACUUCGCCCGAGUUUCUUUGAAUUUGGCCGGAAAUAGCUUCGAGUCUUUUGGUCGCCGAUCGCCGUGUCUGUCCACGGCCGAGCGACCUAGAUACUUUCUGAAGCCGUUCGUCCAAUCGACGAUCUUGUGGAGCUCAAUUACCUUGAUCCUUCGUUCUCAGUCUUGCCCAGGUAAGGUGAGCUUCCCCUUUCUCGAUCAUGCUCUGUCUUAGCCCUGUCUUUCAAGAGCCCGAACUCGAUCGGCAAGUUAAUAAGUAAAUCAUGAUAAGCUGGGAUCGACUGGCUGUGGCAUUGAUCUAAGUCUCUGUAUACCAUGAUUAGGCUAAGAGUCGCUAGAAAAUCAAAUUGGAAAAUCAUUGUUGAAGUUACACGUCAUGCGUUCGAUAAAAUGCAUAAGUGAGAUUUCGAAAUAGAUUGUGUGCGAUUCACUUUUGACUUUAUUUAGUCUGAAUUUGAUCCCUUUUCAUUGAAUUGCUUGCUCAUACUGAUGUUGUUGACUCGUUUUGUUCUUUUUAUGUUGCCAUUUACACAUCAUCGAGUCGGCCAUGGACGAACUUCUUGCCGGAAGAUCCAUACCCUUAGCCGGAGAAGUCGUGGUUAGAAGCUGCGGUAGUCGGUCCUUUCUUUUUGUCUUGUGGUAAUGCUUCUGAAGUGGUUACACUGGGCCUUUUAUUAGCUGAACAGUUGCUUUUGCCAGUUGCUGUUGCCACUUAACAACCUAGGCCUACUCUAAUUGAAAAUGAAAAAAAAAAAUUGCGAAAAAAUAAUCCCAAAAAAAAAUUGAGAUUUUUGUUAAGUAAUCAAAUAAGCAAAAAAUACUAAUCCUUGGGUCGAUUAAGAUCCCCUAUUUUUCUUCUGGUCACCAGCUCUACCAAGACCACCCCAAAUGAAUACAUAAUAAUUUUUUUAGUGAGCUUCUCAUCAAAGGCAUUCACCAAACUCAAGUAGUUGCAUUACGUAGAUUAUAUCAGCAAAAGAUGACACAACGAAUAUAUGCUCGGAGGCGAAACAAAUGCACUCAAUCAUUAGUGAUGUGAUGAUCGCUUUAACUAAUUCAAAGGCAUCCACAUACGAUCUCCCCCUCUCCCCCUCCUCUGUGAAUAAGAAUUCAAUGUCUGAAGAGGGAAUUUUUUAGUGAACACUGGCUUGGUUUCAUCCAAUAGAGGACCAUUAGGACCAUUGUGGUAUUUCUACUCGUUGUCGAUCCUUCCGCUAUAACUUCCAACAUCAGCCUGCUAAUUGACAUAGAAUUCACGUCUACAUGCAUGUCCCCUUCCGGGAUUCAAAGCAUUUUCUCCAACACGUAAAUGAAAAGAAAAAAAUUACACAUAUACUAUAUCGAUUCAAUACUAUUUGAAACUAUCUACACAAAUAGUCUUUAAAACAAUUAACAAUUUUAAUAUAAUUUUAGUAUUUAACUUUAACAAUAGGCACUUUUGUUUAGUGCAUACCUAUAAAUGUUUUUUAAUUAACAUGUAAUAAUCAUUUGACAUUAAAUUACUUUAUCAAAGUCUUUCCUUGUGAUAUGUGAGAUCUUGACUUAGGAUCCUAUCGAAUACACAAUAAUGCAGCAUGGCACAUGCAUGAAACCUCUUCCUCUAAAAAUUGAUCUCCCAAGCGAGGGUCGAUCAGUUCAUGAAUUGUGGACUCAAAUGAUAAGCUUGUCUAUAGAGAAUAUUAGUUAAAUAUAAGAAGAGUUAUGGUCCUGAAAACCGAAACUUAGACAAGUUGAGAAUAGAUUGAAAAUUCAUUCAUUUCAUAUUCACUUUGUCAAACACUACUAGCCAUUAGGUUGAUUAAGAUCCACGAUAUUUCUUCCGAUGACAUGCUCUACCAAUCCACCCUAAAAUAAUAGUAAUAAUAAUAAUAAGAAAAAUAUAACAAUUUUGUUAGUGAGCUUCUUGUUAAAGGCAUACUUCGGACCUAGGUGGUUGCAUUAAGUAGACUUGCAUCAGCAAAAGAUGUCAUAUUGAAUAUAUGCUUGAGAGGAAACAAAUGAACUCAAUCAUCAGUGAUGAGAUGACCACUUUUGCUAAUUCACUAAGUAUCCGCCUAUGAUCUCUUUCUCUCCCAACUCCUUCACAAAUAAGAAUUUAAUAUUCCAUAGUUUCAUCCAACAGAGAAUCACUGUAGUAUUUAUACUCGUCACAGAUCCCUUCCGCUAUGGCUUCCAACAUCAACAUGGCGAUCAACAUGGAAUUCGCAUCUAUGUGUAUGUCCCUUCCAAAAUUCAAAGCAACGCGCAAAAGAAAAGUGAAAAAAAAAUAUUUAUUCAAUACUAAUUUGAAAUUAACCAAAAAAAAAAGUCUCCAAAACACCUAACAAUCUCAAUAAAUUCAAGCAUCUAACUUAAGAAGUAAACACUGUUGUUCAAUGCAUACCUACAAAUUUUUCCUAACUAACACGUGAUAAUCAUUUGGCAUUAAAUUGCUUUACCAAAGUCUUUACUUGUGAUAUGCGAACAUUAUCUUGAUCCAGGUUGUUAUUGUGGUAACUCUAGUGAAUAUGGUAUAUUUUAUAUAGACACCACUUAUAAAUAGUAAAAUAAUGCUAAGGGAAGUAACAAAUGAAGUCAUGUUACAAGAGAUAUAAAAUUCAUAAACCUGUUGAUGAUUAGCCCCAUUAAUGGUGUGCCAGUUAGGGUAGUUUUGUACCCGAGUCCUACCAGACUCUACUUGGGGGAGACAUCGCUCUUUGAAAUGUGAUGGCAGCUAAUGGAUCAGCUAUGAACAUUUUUACAUCUACAUGGACUUAUCUCGAUUUUCAUUUUCGAGUUCCCUUUCUUCACGUGGAGCGGUGGCCAUGUUGUCGGGAGAUUUUUUUCUUUCAUUUUUUUUUUCUUUUGAACGUUGUACUGGGAGUCUCUUGCUUUUCACAUCCUUCUUUAUUUUUUAUUUUAAUAUAUAUUUUCUCAAGAGAUUCUUCAUCAAUUCUUGCUUGCUUCCUUUAUGUUACUAUUUCAUUCCUUUUCCUUUUUUUUUUCAUCAUUUAAUGUAUAAGAAUAAAUUGUUAUAAAAUGCAAAAAGAAGUUCAAAAAAAUAUCAGAACAGUCUCUCCACGGCGAAAGUUUCUGCAUUGCGAAAAAAUAUUUCAAAAAGCUCUCUCUCUGCUGAGGGCAUCAUCCGUCUAGUUGGUUCCUCCUGCCAUAGACAAUCCAUGUGAAGGCAAAGAGAGAGAGAGAGGCGAAAACUUUCUAAAAUAUUUUUUCGCAAUGCGGAAGCUUCCACCUUGGAGAGUCUAUUCUAAUAAAAAAUUCUUUUUUGCAUUUUAUGACAAUUCAUUCUUAUACAUUAAAUGAUGAAAAAAGGGAUGAAAUAGUAAAUAAAAGAUGCAACCAAGAAUUAAUGAAGAAAUCUCUUGAGAAAAACAAAGAUUCAUGUGAAAAGCCAAGAUACUCCCAAUACAACGUUCAAAAGGAAAAAAAAAAACAAACAAAAAAAAAGUCUUUCGACAACAUGACCAUCGCUCCACAUGAAGAAAAGGAACUCAAAAAAGAAAACUGGGAUAAAUCAUAUAGAAUGCAAUCAUGAUCAUAGCUGUGCCACUGCCUGCCAUCACAUUCCAAGAAGCGAUAUCUCCCCCAAGCGGAGUCUAGCAGAACUUGGGUGCAAAAUCACCCUACCUGGCAUGCUAGGGCAUCUAAUUAUCAACGAGCUUAUGAAUUUUAUAUCACUUGUAACACAAUUUCCUUCAUUACUUCCCUUAACAUUAUUUUACUACUUAUAUGUAUUGUCUAUUUAAAAUAUACCAUAUUCACUAAUGCUACCAUGAUAAUGACAUAGAUCACAAUAAUCUUCGCGUAUCAUGAGUAAAGACCUUGAUAAAUUAAUUUAAUGCCAAAUGAUUAUCACGUGUUAGCUUGGAAACUUUCGCUAGAUUUGAAUAGCUAAACUUAAUACUCUCUAUGCACAUAUUGUAGUGGCCUUUUCCUCAUGUUAAUUAUUAGAUUGUUGAUCAUGAAUGGCUAGCCUAACUUAACAAUCUCAUCAAAUUGUGUACAUGUGAAAGUGUGGAAGAAUAUUUGGUGGAGAAUAUUGACAUACCAAAUAAGUUGACAUUGGCAGACACAAAAAAUUAAAUAUUAACAUACCAAAUAAGUUUAACUUGGCAGACAAAAAAAAAGAAAAGAUGCAUGAUGUUUCUCCAUUUUAAUUCCUAAUUAUGAUUUGUGGAAAGUGAAAUUCAAAAAGAAAAAAAAACAGAAUUAAACAUUGGACUAGGAAAAUAAUGCGAAUGCGAAAUAUUCUCCAUGCCAUUGCUAGGUACCUUUACCAUUAAAACUCAAUCAUGGGCAAGAUGUCAACAUAGCAAACUAGAGAUACAAUAAUGCCACCUAGCAAGAACUGAUUGAAUCCUAACAUAUAUAACAUCAAUUCUAGGUUCCUUAAUGUUGCGACCUACCCCUCCCAGAAGGGAAUAUAGGAGGUGUUGCUGAAUUCGAGUCAACGGCUUUCAAUUUGACACAGAUUUGACACAGGUUCUCCCAAACCCAAUCUUGCAUGACAUAACUCAUUUGAAUUCCAUAUAAAAAGUUACCACUAGCCAAUUGAGAUCGAUGAGAAAUUAAGUGAAAUAUGAGGGAAAUAACUAGAGAUCUUGGAAACGGAGACUUGAUUACAUUAAUUAUAAAACUGAUGCCCCAUUCAUAAUGUAAACUUAACUAUUUGCUAACCAAGGUGUAAGGACAGCCUAUUGAAGAUUUUAAAAUUCAUUCUAACCAUUCUAAAAAUAGAAAUUACCAUCAAUAUAUAAAGAGGCACAAUCAAAUAUAAUUUAAAUGAACAAUGUAAGCAAUAACCUAGUAUCGUCUCUAAAAAGACAUCCAAAAAAUCUUGUGGUGAAGCGGCUUGUUCAAUUAGGAUUCAAUUUUUUCAAGGAUUUUCCACUUUUUAAGCAAAAACUAUUUAAAAGCUAAAUUUUAGGCUUAUUUCCAAGGAUUUCCGAUUUUUCUGAAUUUUUUAAUUUUUUUUAUGAAAUUUCUGGAUUUUCUGGAUUUUUAUUUUUUUUAAUUAUUCUUAUGUUUUAUUAUUAUUAUUAAUUUUUUAUAUUUUUAAUUCAGAUAAGGACUUCGGGCUGGCUCCGGUCCACCAAGCCCAUUUGUUGAAAUUAAAAGGCACUAAGCCCACCUGCUAAAAAAAAAAACGCAGCCCAAGCACCUCUAUGAGUAAAACCAGCCUGAAUCUAUUAGAACCACUUAGGCCCAAGGUUCGUCAAGUCUAAUUAAUCCCGAAGUUCAUUAAACUAAACUAAGCCCACUUACACCGAUCCUCUUUUCUUAUCUAAUUUUUCCCUUUUUUUUUCUCUCUCCUUUUUUUUUUUUCUAUUUUCCAUUAUUCUUUAUUUUCUCUUCCCUUCCACUGUUCCAGUGCGUUUGGAUGGGCAUUUAGAAAGCCCAUCCAAGCCCCAAAGCCCUUUCACCCUAAGGGAGGGUGUUUGGCAACCAUUCCCAAGGGGCUUUCAGGUGAAAGUUUGCCCUUGGGAAUGCUGAAAGCUCAAGGCUGGUGGCUGGUGGAGACCAGCCUUGAGCAUUUCAGCAUUUUCGGAAUGCUUCGGCUUCCAUUUAAUGAAAAUAUUAAGUUCCCUAUUCUACCCCCAAAAUUUUCGUGAAAACCCACCGUUGCCCAUUUUGAAAACAAAAAAACCCCUAAUCUCAUUCGCACUCCUCUCUUCCAUCGCCUUCUCUCUCCACCCUCCCCCACGCUCUGCACCCUUCCCCAUCGCUCUCUCACUGCGAGCUCGACUGUCGUCCUCCGAUCCGCCGCCGCCGGUCAGUGGCGCCGCCGCCGACGAAGACGACCGCCGCGAUCGAUCGACCGAGAGGCUAGUGAGAGGCCGGUGAGCGGCGCGCGAGGUCGGUGGAUCCCCGAUCGGGAAUGUCUUGGGUGGGAUGGAACCGGACGUCCGAGAGCUUCCACCUGGCGCUCGCGUAUGGCACCGCGGAGGAUCCGGGCCACGCCGGCGUCGAGGAUCCGACGCGCGUCGGUCUCGUCAACGGCGUCGUCGGGAUCGGGGUCGGGGUUGUCGCUGGGGUUGAUGUCGCCGCGGCAUUUUUUGCUAACUGUUGUCUCUCUCUCUUUGUUCUGUUUGAUAUCCCCACCAGGCGAGAAUGCCAAGUCUCGGGGGCUCUCGAUCGAGAAGAAGAUUGAGUUCCUGGAGAGUUUGACUGGAGGGGUGAGUGCAUUGAGUGAUGCGUGGAUGCGGAAUGACCUUAUGGAACUUCAUUUAAUUGCUAUCCAUCAUAAUCCCAUUCCUGCUUUGGGGUGUUCAUUCACCUGUUUACAGUAGGUUCUUUAACUCAUGCUGCCCAAAUUUGUUGAUGCCCUGAUUUGCUCCUUAUUUGGUGCUAUAUGUAUGCUUAAUCUAGCAUCCCAGUUUGUAUUAUGUUGCAACAAAUUUUUUGCUAUCAAAGUCAUACGUGCCAGUUACGAGUUAUGCACUGGUUUUUUGUGUUCUGUUUUUCAACAUGGAUGUUUAUUCAUAUAGCUGAUACUUGCUAGAAUGAGUGGGCAAUGAAUGGGUAUAGAGAAUACAUGUCAAUUUUGUGUUAUGUUAUGCAACCUGGAUGUUCAUGGGCAACUUCACAAUGUUUUGUUCCUGUUAAGGAGGGUCUUUCUUGUGAAAAUCGGUUCUGUGUUUAACGGGGGAUUAUGUGGACAGAUAGGCUUGGGGUUUGGAGACUUUCUUGCUCUUGUUGGCUUAGAAGUUGAGUUGUGAUGCUGCAAAUGCAUGUAUCUCUUGAUCUACAUGUACAAUGUGUUAUGGGCAUGGAAGUUGCACAAGAAAGGGGAGCUAAUGAUCUUAGUGGUACAUCUCUGGAUGGGGAACAUCAUAGGUAAGAGGCAUGCCUAUUCAUGAAGAUUGGUCUUCUUUGAACACAGGGUAUACCAGGGCUUCAAACAUCCAUGUUGACUGUCGUGAAGAUGCUAAUGAGCUUAGCUGAGGUUAAUGACGGUGAAAUAUCGACACCUUGUCACUUUCAAAAUUCAUGGAUCUAAUUGCUGAUGAAGGUCUGAGAGGUCACUCAAAGGAUUCAUCCUCCACUUCAUCUGGGGAGUCAAGCAGACCAGACAAAUCAUCUUUGUGGUCAAAAGACAUGGCAGCUUAUGUGCUAUAAUGACCUUUAAUUCUAUCUAUGACAGGAGCAUUUGAACUUUUAUUAUGUACGCUUUGCAUGUAAACAGAGAAUAGAUAUUUGAGAAACUGUGUUGUAUCAAGGUUUGUUGUACAUAGUAUUCUAGCUUGAUCAAAUGGCUCUAAGUUUAGGAAAUAUUUAAGGAUGUUUGUAAUUUUAAAGGAUAAUAAAUUUAUUUCCUCGGGGCAGAUGUUAUUCCAUUUAUUAUAAUAAAGGUUUUUUUUUUUUUUAAAUUAAGAAAGAGACCACUUUGAUGUGAAUUUUUUCCAUUUGAUAUUUUUUAGCAUUGUCGUCAAAAUUUAAAUUAAAAGAAGUUGCAUGCAUUAUUUUUGUCAAUUUUAAACAUAUAAAAACUAAAAAGCUAAUAUUAAUCACUCAAAUGGGCUUUCUAAAUGUGUUUUUUUACCAAACAGCAUUUAUCUCAAAGUUGCUUUUCAAAGCAGAAUUUACCAAACAGUCUUUGCAUUCCCUCCAAAGCCCUUUAGGCUAAACUGCUUUGCAUUUUCUCAAUGGGCUUUCCAAAUGCCGAACCAAACGCACCCUUCGUCAUCUUCUUCCGAGAACGACUUCUUCCCUGCGAAUAUCCCCUUCAACCGAAUCCCACCAUUUUCUCAUGAGCCCUCGCCGGCGCUUAGGCCACUGCCGAGCCACCACCCCGUGUCGAUCGCCUAACCCGACAACGCCAGUCACCACCGGCCAUCACUCUGUCGCCGGUCGUCCCUCGCUGGCCAUAACCAAACCUCACCGGCGACGUCAAUGUCACCGAAACACGUGAUACAAAACGGCAUCCAUUCUAACAGAACGUGCACGCAAAUGAGUGGAUAGGAAACUAACCAUGGCGGCCUCUAACCGCGGGCUUCUCCGGCUGAAAGAAUGGCAUCUCCGGCGGCGAGGCGUUCACGGCCGACUCGAACGAUGAGGAAUAUGCCACCAAAAAAAUCGAAGAAAAAGCCGAUUCAGUCUCAGUUUAAACGACUCAGCCGGACCCAACUGAUCAGACUUUUUGAAACCAAAGCACCCACAACCGACGACAAACGAUGAGAAACCGCAAAGGUCUCGCCUUUUUCUCCACGGCAAUCCCACCCAGAAUCCGAAAAACUCAAACUUUUCAAUUUUCACGCACGGACAAGACAAAGACAGAGACACCCAUAUUCAAAAAAAAGCGUCCGUGCAAACAGAGACGGUACCUUGUCCAGACGAUGACGACCCAGCGGGGCCGCGAGGGUCGAGGGGGUGAUGAUGGUGGCGGCGGCCGGAAUCGAUCUCGAUCUCCGUCACGGCCGCCGCCGCCUCGGGCGGCCCGGCCGUUUCAAUCGUGGGCAUCACCGCAGCGAGUGACGGGAAAGCGAGAGCUUUUCUUGAGCGGCGACGGUUUUUUGCGUUUGAUAGCAAGGAGCCGACGGACGGAACCGUUCCCUAGCCUACUUAAAAGACACGUAGCGGGCCAAGAAUUUUGCUAAAAGAACGGGCCAAAUCAAACCGCCCCGCUUGAUUUUUAUCAAUUUUUUUUUGUCGUUUUAAUACUAUAUUUUUUAAUUGUUUUACCAUUUUCAUUUUUAUAUUUUUGCAAAAUGGACGGAUGUCCGCAAUGUCACGCACGCUCCCAACCCCGCCGUUGCCGUCCCUCAUGUGGCGGAUGUGGCGGCUCUCGAUGAACAGAUUGCACCUCGGAGGGUUUGCGAAGCCACGCACCAAGGGCAGCACGGCACAGGCCGAUGCGUCGAUGCAUGAUGCUAUGAGGGACGUGCACAACGAUGAGUCGGGGUUGUAAUGACGACUAAUGAGGGAGUACGUUAUGUAAGGAGCAAGAGCCCCAUCUAUGAAGAGCUCCACUAACCUCAUAAAAUAGAUAAGAGACCCAUCAAAAUUUGGUAAUUUGGCUGCAAUACGUGAUUGUUUUCAUUUAGUAGUAUGACUAUCAAACCAAUAUCGUGUGUAUAAUCUACAGGCAAAGUGUCUGAUUUAUAUAGCAACGAUUGUAUCUAUAGCUAUGUCGCAUUGUUAUUAUGUUGAGUAUUGUAAUUUGUGUGUUUGGUAAUACAUGUUUUAAAUUCGCUACACUUCAAAAUUGGUUGAGACAACUUUCUAAAAGUUACUUGAGAUGGAUGCAAUCGUGAAAACUUGUCAAACAUUUUAUAAAGCCGCAAAAUUCCUUUUUAUAGUUUGUAAUUAUUAUAAGCUGAACCAGGCCAAUUUUUCCAGUAGCCUUGCGAUAAUAGACUAAUAGGGCUCAAACCCACAGCUUCGGCUUGACGAAAGAUUUUCAGUUCAAAUAGGGCUCAAACCCACAGCUUUGGCUUGACGAAAGAUUUUCAGUUCAACUCAUUCUUUCUUUCUCUUCGAAAAGCCCCAUUGGUACAAUAAUGACUAUCUCACUAGAAUGAAAAAAUUUAGAAAAUUGAAGGAUUGUUCCUAUAUAAGUUUGUUAACAUGUUUCGUCAUUCCAAAUCUCUCUCUCUCUCUCUCUCUCUCUCAAAAAUAUGCAUGUGCACAUUUAAAAUUGAGAAAUGCAAUAAAAUUUUUAAAACUUAUUAAAUUGGUACAAUGUAAACUCUCCAUUUUGUUUAAUUUGAUUAACAGAAAAUACCGACAUGAUUUUUUUAUUCAACAUUUUUAAAACACAUUGUCUCUACCAAGCGCAACAUUUAAAAAAAUUGAAAAUAUUUAAAUAAAAGAAGGAGAAAUAAGGAAAAAAUAGAUCAUCGUAAGAAAGAAAGAGGAAAACUUCGGGGUUCAAUGUAACUUCUCCAAAUUUCAUCUUCUCAACCCUUUUUUGUUUUGAAAUCAUGAAAGCAAAUCCAGAUUCAUUUGGCAAGCAAAAAAUCUAAAAUCAAAAUUAGAGAAAUAGGAAGGAGCAAAAAAAAAAAAAAGCAUACAGAGCACAACAAACAAAGAAAUAGAUAGAGAGAUAAAGCGAGAGAGUAUCAAACAACUAAAUUCUACAUGCCAUGGCCAUGAGCGUGAAGAAAUCUGUUGAAGUUUAAGCGAUUGAAAGAACUCUAGAAACAUUUGAAUUUAGAACUUCCUACUCUAGUACCAUGUGAAAUUUUGUUUGACCAUUGCCAACUCUUCUAAAAUCUUAAGCAAUUAGAUAAAUGUGUGAUUUAAUAUUUAAAUAUUUUAUUAUUAGAUAUAGGCACUGUUUAAUAGUUAAUUAGUCUUUCACUCCCCCUAGCAUGUUAAAUUAAACUUAGCAUGAGGUGGAGUGAUAGAAUAUUUGAAUAUUAGACCAUAUAUUCAUCUAAUAACUUAAAAUUUUAAAAUAGUUGAUAGUAGUCCUACAAAUUCUCACAUGAUAUUAGAGCAUAAAGUCAUAAGUUUAAAUCUUUCUAGGCCUUAUUUGCCUCCCUAAUUAAAUUUUUUCAUGCUUAGUACUAGGCAAAAGACCAACUAAGCAUGAGGAGAAGUGCUAAAAUAUUCAAAUAAUAAAUCACGCAUUCAUCUAAUAAUUUAAAUUUUUUAAAUAGUUGGCAAUGCUCCCAUAAAAUGUGAUAUUUAACAUUUAAAUAUUCUAUUAUUACAUGAAUGCACAGUUUAAAAUUUACCUAUUAUCUCACUUCCCUUGCCAUGUUAGUGGAAUAGUUGUUAGUGGUACCGCAAAAUCUCACACUUUAUCAUAAAAGAUUGAGAAGAUGAUCCGAAGAAGUCGACAUUCAAGCCAUCGAACUUUUGCUCUUUCUUUUUUAUGAGGUUCUUUUAAUUUUUUCUUUUACUCUUUUCUCUUUUUCUUUGUUAAAUUUUUUAAUUUUGCUUUAAUGCAUCACUUGUAGGCAACAUGUAUCUUCCAGAAAGUAACAAAAAAGCCACAUCACAUUUUUAUGUUAGUUAAAUUAAACAAAACUAACAUAGAUAUUUAAAUAUUGUAUUAUUAGAUGAAUGCACAGUUUAAAAUUGACCUAUUAUCUCACUUCCCUUGCCAUGUUAUUGGAAUAGUUGUUAGUGGUACCACAAAAUCUCACACUUUAUCAUUAAAAAUUGAGAAGAUGAAGAUCCGAAGAAGUUGACAUUCAAGCCAUCAAACUCUUGCUCUUUCUUUUUUAUCAGGUUCUUUUAAUUUUUUUCUUUUACUCUUUUCUCUUUUUCUUUGUUAAAUUUUUCAACUUUUUUUUUUCAUGCAUCACUUGUAGGCAACACGUAUCUUCCAAAAAGUAAUAAAAAAGCCACGCCACAUUUUUAUGUUAGCUAAAUUAAACAAAAUUAACGUAGACACUUUAUUAUGCCAAUCUAAUAAAAUUUUUAAAAUUUUUUAAAAUUCGAUUACAUUUUUGCGAUAAGUUUAAAAUUUUUUGAUACACUUAUCUCUUUAAAAUUUCAGAGUCGCCCAAUAUGGAUCUAUUUGACCGAAUGUUAGUAUAGUUUGUCACCAUCGGGGUACUAUCGACAUCAUAGAGUACUCUACAUGUACAGUCGCCGUAUGCUGAUAUUUCUUAGGGAGACAUAAUCAAAAACCAGAAAUGAACGACUCGAGUUUGACUCUUAACACUGAAAACACAUCGCCGUCUCACACCAACCCAAUCUAUUGAAAAAGCAAGGUACAAAAGGUUUAUUCGACCGUUUUCCACCACCACUUUCAUUGAAAACCCCAAAAAAGAAGGGAAAAAAAUCCACGAAGCUACUCCUAUAAGAAGCCAGCUCCAACAUUCCGCAAAUGCACCGACCAAUUCCCCAGCAUCUGAAGAUUUUUGUACUUGUGCAGUUCCUUAAUCACCCUCCAAAUCAGAAAAAAAAAACACAGAAUAAUGGCUAUGAAAUUUGGAGGAGCGAUGGAGCUUGUCGUGACAGCUUCGGAGAUGAUGGGUGCUUCAGUGGCCUAUCCCGGGUGGUACGACCACAACGGCCACGCUUGGCCUCCAAAGCAAGAUGACAGUACUGCCGAGGUCCCUCCCAAGAUUCAAGAAGGUCGUCGUUGAAGGGUCGGAGAAUUGGCAUUUCGGAUUUGGUUACAGCGCCUGGGCUCACGAGAACGGCCCCUUUUAUGUCAACGACACUCUCGGUAAGUCGCUACUAUGACUCAUUGAUUCAUAUCUGGAUUCAGCAUCUAUUGUGCCCCAUUUUUGUCUGUGUAAGUUUGUUCUUAAUUUUUUAUUUAACAGUUGAUAUGAGAGAUUCAUAGAUGAUCUUGAUGGUAUUAGAAUCGAUGCAAAUUCCUCCUCAGGCAACAUUAUCUUCUAGACAUUCACUUACUAUGAGACUUCGAUAUAAUGCAAUCUCACGCAUAUGAAGUAGAAGUAGAGUGCUGCGGAUAAUUACCUGGUAAAACAAUUGCUUUCAUUUGGAUAAGUUGUUAUGGCAUUUGUCAGCACAUUGUUGACACCUAAAAUUUUAAUUAGGUUUAAUUAGGUCUUAAUUUCUUUUAGAUAACAAAAAACCAAAUAAAUAGCAAAAACAACAAAAAAUAGUAAAAACAAAAGAAAAGAAAAACAAAAGCCCCCCCCCCCAAUUUUCUUCACGUGGGUUUUGUGCGGCUUGGCCCCACCCCCCUUCUUCCCUCUUCUUCUUCCUCGCUCCAUCUUUCUCCGCCUCUGUAGUUCACGCGCGGUGGCCGGCGACGCGCGCGAAGGACGGCCUACGGCCGAGGGGAGUAGGCCGACGUCGGCCGGAGAGGAUAAGAUCAGGCGCCAUUAAUGCCGAGCGAGCUUCGCUGGAAAGCUCGAUGGGACACCGGUUCGGCCGAGCGGAACCGGUGGGUAAGCCGGAGGCCGGCGACCGAACCCCUCCGUCGACCGGAGUUCCUUCGCCUAUAAAUAGGUGGCCGCAAACAUCGUCGGAGGGUGUGGCGAGCUCGGAAAUCCUUCACUGAGAGACAUCGGGAGGGGUUGAAGGGCGAGCGCAAGAGAGAGCUCGAGUCGCGAGCUUGGCCCACCUUCCACCGAGAGACUUCGGGGAAGGUAGGCGGCGAGCGACCUCGAGAAGGUCAGAUCCGGCCGGUGGAGGCUCGGAUCUGGCCUGAGUGAGAAGAAGUCAAGGCCGAGGAAGGUCCGGCCGAGAUCUGCGAUGCCUCAGAUCUGGAGUUUUCGUGCCGCUGUACCGCCGACGCGUGCUCAGAGUUGGCUGUAGGGUGGUUGUGGUGCCCCCCCCCCCCCCCCCCCCCCCGUGAAGCCCGUCGUUAAUCGAAAGGUAAAAGGGCCGUCGCCGUAUUCCGCCGUCGCCUUCGCCGUUCAUCGCAUGCGUCGUAUGCUGCCGUCGUCGUUGUCUUUGCGAUCGCCGUCACCACCGCGCCGUCGCCGCCGUCGCCGCCGCAAUACCCCGGUUUCCCCCUUGGCGCCGCGGAUUCGCGAACCCUAGGGUUUGCGAUUUUCCGGGUCGCCGAGUCGGAGCCGGGUUGGCAAGUCGGGUAGGGUUUCCGCGGUUUUUGGGCGGCGGAAGACCGGGUCGCGAUUCGGAUCCGGGUCGGGUAGGGUUCGCAGGGAGCCGGGUCGCGGAGCGGGUCGUGGACCCGGGUCGUCGGGCCGGGCCGGGUGUCCCCGAACGCCCGGCCACGGCGUCGUUUUAACAAAAUAGAAAAAUAAAAUAAAAUAGACGAAAAAAAUCUGAGUUGGGCCCGCGUUGCGGGCCCGUCCGCGUGCGGGUCGCCGACCCGGGUCGGACCCAACCCGCGGAUCCGACCCGGGUCGGUUUUAUUUUAUUAUUUUAAUAUAAAAUGAUAAAUAUUUUAUUUUCAAAAAAAAAAAUCAAAAAGUAUUUUAUUUUCAAAAAAAUAUUAAAAAAUGUUUUAAUUUCCAAAAAAUCAAAAAAUAUUAAAAAUUGUUGAAAAAUGUUUUAUUUUCUAAAAAAUCGAGAAAAAUCAAAAAAUAAUUUAUUUUCCAAAAAUAUUAAAAAAUAUAAAAAAAAAUAUUUUAUUUUCCGAAAAAUAAAAAAAUCAAAAUAUUCCAUAUUUUCCAAAAAAUGCCAAAAAUCCAAAAAAAAAAAGCCAAAAAAUUCAGAAAAAGCCAAAAAGACUUGUAUUUCACCAAAAAACCCAAAAAAAUCCCUUUUGUGUCCAAAAAAUUAGAAAAUGACUCAAAAAAAAAUGUUUUUCCUCCAAAAAAUGCAUGGAAAAUCUCUCAAACAUCCAAAAAGCCUUAGGGUUUAAACAAGAUUAGGUACCGAAAGGGCAUUAGUGAUUAACUAGUGUAAUCAAGUCCUCGAUCCUAAUUUCUCUGGUUGCGCAGGAGCGAGUAUUUCUCCCGAUACUUCGCUUGGGUUUCUAAUCGACCCACUCCAAAUCGAUUAGUGGCGACUCCAUUUUAAAAAUUGAUUUAUAGGUUAAAAACUCAAACUAUUAAAGUCGUGAAUUGGUGGACUUGGGAGAGUCCGGGCAUAAUUAAUUAGCCGAGCCAUUAGCCUCCUUAGGCGUUUGUACCCGAUUGCGGGCGCCGGAAAAAAGAGGUCGCGACAGCUUGGCGACUCCGCUGGGGAAUUAUGAGGACUUAGGCCAUUUUAUCUUUGUUUAAAUGCUUUGCUGACUUGGCUUUUUUUCUUUUAUGCAGGGUAAUAGCUUAAAGUUUUUUUAUUCUGUUAAAAUAAAAUGUUUUUGUGAUCAUAAACUGUUGUGCAUGCUUUACUGUUUUAAACACUACACAUGGCACACACAACCCGGCCGCCGGACCUGGGCCGCCAUAGGAUUUCUAGGAUGGUGUUAAGAAAGAUACGACCUCGAACGCGAGACUGCGAUGUAGAGGUUGCCUUUCUUUUCCCCGAAUUUCUUAGCCGAGGUUAGGAGGAUAUGCUGCUAACGCGAGACUGCGACGGGCGGAUAUCCUUUUAAUCUCACCAAGCCUUCUGAGUUAGAAAUCGAGCCGCACACCCCAUAUGCAUGUCUUUGUGCUUGCCAUUUUAUUUAAAAGCAAAGUAUUUUUUUUAUUUUUACUUAGUCUUUUCUGGCUCAUGGCGAAAUAGGGUCAGGUUGUGUAUUUCCCUUCCUUAUAUGCGAUGGGAAGAUUUGAUAUCCAGUUCAUUCCCACCCCAAAGGGAGAGCUUCUCAGAUGGUGGAAGCAGUUAGAUCAACUCGGCCAAGAGUGUGUCAAAUCAAGAAUCGGUCAUCUCCUCCCAUUGCUCCAAAUCAAUAUCCACUCUGGGGUCAUGCAAGCACUACCACAUUUCUGGUGCCCUGAAGCAUCCACCUUCAUGUUCGGCAAAUUUGAACUGACUCCGACCUUAGAAGAGUACAGUCUCGCCAUAGGAAUGCCCCUGGGAAGCGAGCUUGUCAAGCCAAUCGGCAUUGACCCUGUGGUUAGUCUAUCACGGUUUCUAAAAAAUCAUUCGGUAAGAGAAAUUGUUCAAGCCAACAAUAAUGCUUUUCCGCUAUCAUCUUUAACUGAAUGCUUUGAAAAACAGUCAAUGACCCAAAAAGCCAAGAUCUUCCUCUUAGCAUUCUUUGGUUUUAUUAUCUUUCCCCAUCGAAAGAAUGCUAUAGAUCCUUCAAUCACAUGGGUGAUAAAUCAAGUCAUUGUUGGAGCAGGAUAUGUGAAUAUGGUUUUAGCCGAAACGUUUUUAUCCCUUAAUCGUUUUAAGGACCGAAAAGAAAAAAUCAUGAGGGCCGCUCCAGAAAUUUUACAAAUGUGGUUCUUUUCCCAUAUCAAAGGAUUUGGACACCUCAUGCAAAUAUUUGAAAUCAACGAGUUUAAACACCCAUUGCAAAAGUUUCAAAUCUUGGAAAAAUAUUCUCCCAAUGAAGAGUAUUCUCGAUGGAUUAACUUGCUAAAAAACCCGGUCCCUGAGACAUUCCUAUGGCGAGCUAAAUGGUUCACUGCAGGAGAGGCGCGCUUUGCGCUUAAUUAUUACAACCCCAUCCCGUUGCUGGGCCUCUCCGGAGCUACCUCAUAUUAUCCAUAUAGAGUGGCUCGUCAGUACAGGGUCCUCCAAGAAAUCCCGCCACCGCUCAAAUCAGGACUGUUCCGAAUCUUUUUCACCCGUACAGACUACAACUACUUGGAGGAGAUCCGCAUAAUUCAGAACGCAUGGAGUAGAUGUCACACUGAAAGGAUUGUUGUGCCCAGAAGGUUAAAGGGGCAAGAAAAAGUUCAUCAUGCAUCAACAUUCUACAUCCUCAACCAUAUAAUUCCCAAGGAGCUGCGACCAGUAAUCCCCGAUAUAGUUGAUAAACUUACCCUGCAAGGGCGAAUCGAAUCUCUUGAAAAGAGCUUGGAGACCAGCAAGAGACACGUAUCGAAGUUAGUACGAAGAAGCAAGCGGCUUCACAAGACUGGAGCUUCCCAUCACAUAUAAAAUGGGCAGCGGGACUUUUGAUGUGAAUAUUCCUAAUGUUAAUAUCUAGGGUCGUUUUGACUUGUGUAAAAAGCCCUUUUGGCAUUGUAUAAAUCUCCUGUUAAUAAAUAAAAAUGACGUGACCCUUGCCAUGGGCCAGUGUUCCAUACGUUUAUUGGCUUACGUUCUCUCCAUUUUCUUUAUGCAGGUAAUCACAAUCAUAGUCGUAUUCGUCAAAUCCAAAAGAUAGAAUGGCCGAAGAAAAUGUACCAAGCCGUGUCGAGAUUAUGGAAAAUGAAAUGAAGCAAGUCUUCAAUGUGCUUCAGCAACUCUCAAAGCAGAUAGAUUCCAUCCAAGGAAAAUUAGCUCCCGCCCCAGCCUCAAUCGAAGUAUUGUUACCGCAAUCGUCUACUCGAGGUGAUCAAGGAAGAGAUACUGAUGAUAACAUGCCCGAAUUAGAAGACGAUACGCACCAAAUCGUAGUCGAGAAAGCAAAGCCCAACAGUUUGUCUAAGACUGAACAUGACAAACGCCUUGAGAAGCUUGAAGAGAGGCUAAAGCAAUUGCAAGGCCUUCAAGAUCCUACUCCAACAGACCUCUCUAUCUACUCUAAGGUCAAAAUGCCGGAAAAAUUCAAAAUGCCUGAGUUCGAGAAGUACGAUGGCACGACCUGCCCAAGAGCUCACUUGCAGAUGUACUUGGUUCGAAUGACCCAGUACGUUAAUAAUGAACCUUUAAUGAUCCAGUUGUUCCAGUCAAGCCUGAUAGGUCCCGCCCUGAGGUGGUACAUAAAAAAGAACAUAAACCUCAUCGAGACAUGGAGUGAAGCAAGUGAAGCAUUCCUCAAGCAGUACAAAUUCAUAAUGGACAUUACCCCUUCUCGUGAGGAUCUUGAUCGCACGGAGAAGAAAAAGCAAGAAUCUUUCAAAGAAUAUGCUAUUAGGUGGAGGAAUCUCGCCGCCCAGAUCAGUCCCGAGCCAACUGACUUUGAAUUGAGAAAAAUGUUCAUUAAAACCCUCCCUUUUGAAUACCGCAAUCGGAUGGUGACUACAAUCGCUGAAUCAUUCAAUCAACUCAUUCCAGUGGGAGAGCAGAUUGAGACAGGUUUAAGGGACGGCUGGUUCACUGAGCCUGCACCUGUCAGCAGAAGGCUCAACAUGAAAAAAGAUAAAGAAUCCUUGAUUGAUGUCAAUGCCACGUACACUGCAAACACCGGUCAUCUCCCGACUGUUCAGACAAACACAGGCCAGCAACAGACUAAUAGCCGUCCACCCCAGCGCUACAACAACCGAAGACAAUUCACUCCGCUUCCUGGAUCUCCCUCCCAGGUUUUGGCAAUCCUCCGAAACAAGAGCCUCCUUUCAACUGAGCCGAGACGACCCAAUGCUGAAAACUUCUCCAGCUAUGACCCGUCCAAAAAAUGUGACUAUCACAUGGGAGAAGUAGGCCAUUCAACUGAUGAGUGUUUCGUCCUUAAGCAUCGAAUCCAGAACCUGCUAGAUACUAAGGCUUUCCCAUUCCAAACCGCGAAGCCGAAUGUUCAAAGCAAUCCGCUCCCUGAUCAUGCUAACAAAGUAAACAUGAUAUUCAGUUUCGAAACCAAUCAGAUCAGAAAUGUCAAUGCACAUAUGACUGACAUCUAUCGAGGGCUAGUAGAAACCGGGUAUUAUCCGGAUGAUGAAAUACUACCCUUUGCAAUAAUGGAGGAAAGGGUAUUAAGAAUGAUAGAGGCCGGAAUAAUCGUGUACGCCAGCCACACCAGCAUAGUUUCUACCAUAUCGCAAGUCCUCAUCAACUGGGAGGAAGAAUUUGCCGCGCUAAAUGCGGAAAAGGAGAAGAAUGACUCAACCUCACCUGAGAGCGUCUUUGAAAGGAAGGAAGCCAUUGUUCAAGCAUCAACAGCAGAAACAGCUAUAGUCAUUGAGAUUCCCCAACCUUACAAAUACAAAUACAACAAUGCGGUACCAUGGUCUUAUGACCUUGAUGUUGGUUUGGUUACAAGAUCUGGGCGAACCUAUGCUCAAGCAAAUACUCAGUCUGCUAAGCCCGUCACUGACGAAGAAGCCAAGGAGUUUUUGGCCAUUGUUAAGGCCAGCGAAUAUAAUGUGGUAGAACAGUUACGAAAAUCACCGGCACAGAUUUCUCUACUGGAAUUGCUUCAGACAUCUGUCAAGCACCAGAAAUCCCUCAUGAAAGUAUUAAGUGAAGUACAUGUCCCUGAAACUAUUGAGCAUGACAAACUCGAGGAAUUUGUCAGUACCAUCCUUCUAAAGGAUCAAAUGGCGUUUUCUGAUGAAGAGAUUCCCGAGGAGGGUAGAGGACACACCAAGGGCCUUUACAUAUCGGUCAAGUGCAACGCAUCUCACGUCGCUCGAGUGUUGAUUGACAAUGGAUCUGCUCUUAACAUAUGUCCAUUAGCGACACUCUGUCGCCUUAAAAUAGAGAGAUCAUGGAUCCAGGUACCCAAGACUUCUGUUCGAGCAUUUGAUGGAACAAAGAAGGAAACAGUGGGAGAGAUCGAGCUCGAUAUUCAAAUUGGCCCAACCGUAUUCAGAAUUUUGUUCCAGGUGAUGGAUAUCCCCACUGCAUUCAAUUUCCUCUUAGGGCGCCCAUGGAUACACGUCGCAGGAGCAGUACCUUCAAGCCUCCACCAAAGUGUGAAGUUCGUGGUUGGAGGAAAACUUAUCACGGUCCGAGGAGAAGAAGAUCACCGCAUCUACCACGAGACGGCCAUUCCUUAUGUUGAACCUAGUAACAAGAGUGAAGCUAGCUAUCAAUCGUUCGAGCUCGUGUCUACUAUACACGAAACUCGAGGGACUUUGCCCCUCGUCCCCGAGAUAUCAAGUGCUGCAAUCAUGGUAGGAAAAAUCAUGGUAGGACACGGUUUCCUUCCAGGACAAGGGCUUGGUAGGAGAGGCCAGGGCAUUCGUCAGCCUAUUGAAGCUCGGAGAAGACCCUAUACUGUCGGUUUGGGAUAUUCCCCAGAUAGAAAAGCAAAGAAAAAAGCCCGCCUUGUAUAUCCCCGUCUCGAGGAAACUUUCCCGGGCCCAGCCAGAUGAUGCAUGAGAGAGAGUGAUACUCAAAAUGGUUCAGCCCCGAAACGUGAACUUGCCCAUGAACNNNNNNNNNNNNNNNNNNNNNNNNNNNNNNNNNNNNNNNNNNNNNNNNNNNNNNNNNNNNNNNNNNNNNNNNNNNNNNNNNNNNNNNNNNNNNNNNNNNNGGAGACAUUUUCAUAGGUGCCAUUGAGAAGAGCAAUUAGAAGAGACAUGCGAUAACUUCUCGUUCAUCCAGCUUCGACACCAAGUCGAAGAAUUACGCGAGACUGUACACCAUUUGACAGAAAACUUCGCUCAAGCUACUCGUGCAUUCCGUUCUCGUCACAAUGAGGAGCUGGUGGUAAAUGAAGAGGACCCUAUUAACACAACCUGGCAAGGGGCACGGCUACCCUUAUCCCCAAGAAGCACUCGGCCAUAUUCGCCCCUUCCUAAAUCAAUGUCCAUUAUUUUCCCCAUCCUCCUCGAGCAAGGGCUAAUCGGCAGAGAAUUGAACCAUCCUACCCCUGAGUACUUCCUUGAUUAUGAUCCAUCCAAGCAAUGUGAUUACCAUUCAGGGGAAUUAGGACACUCGCUAGAUGACUGCACCAUUCUGAGAGACAAGGUUCAAGAUCUUUUGGAUGCUGGGGUAUUCACGUUCCGCUCUCCAUGGCUGUGUUUCGGCAAUGAUCACCUCCUCGUGGUACCUAGCACCCGUACCAUGUUCCCUGAGCAUGCUAAGGAGGCGCAUAAAGGAGAGGCAAUCAUAGACACUUUGGGUCAACCAAGUGGUAAAUUUGACUAUUAUGUCAAUUAUUCAAUUCCCCAAAGUUUCUAUGAUCAUCAUCACAACAUCGUCCCUGAUGGAUGGGGAGACGUGGAUGAUCUGAAAUCCACAAAGUCGGAAGCACAAGGAGACGUGGCUGGCAGCUGGUAUGAAGACUUCUUUGUGGGCGCUAUUAAAGAAGGACCGUCAGGGGAAAUGGGUGCAGGCCCACUCGAGUAGAAUCCUUUUUAACUCCUCUGCAUACUCCCCUACUUGGGAGCUUGUACAUAUUUUUUAAUUUCUGGCUUGUUUUCAACAUCAGUUCCGCUCAAGGAACUAUUUUUUGAAAUCACCCUGUAAAUCCAUCUACUAAUAAAUAAAGUUGAAAGCUUUUUGAGGGCAUGAGGAGACACACCAAACCGGCCCGUUGAUGAUAGCCAGCCGUCAAAUCAAAGAAGAAAUCUGAGGCCCGGGUCUCCUCAUGUUUCCUUGUCUUUAAAAACAAUUUAUCACCUUUUCAAAAGAAAGAAGCAUGCAUGCUACUAACCUUAUUUGUUUCCUAUCUACUCUAUGACACAGGAAUAAUAUAACGGCAGGCGAGGGUAUGGGAACGGUCCAAACCAGCACCACAAGUAGCCAUGAUAGCAAUUCUGAUGACUCAGAUGAUGAUUUUGAUGAUUCCGACGAAAUUCAAUGGAAUUGGAAGCGCCACGAAGAAGCAAGGCCCCCUACUACCGAAGACACCAUCAUUGUCAAUUUAGGCAGCACAGAAGACCCAAGGGAAAUAAAGAUUGGCGCGAACCUUCCUGAAGAAGAAGCCACAAGCUUAAUUGCCCUCCUAAAGAGAUAUCAAGAUGUAUUCGCAUGGUCUUAUGCCGAUAUGCCAGGCCUUGAUCCAAUGAUCGUGGAGCACAGCUUGCCAACCAACCCUGAUGUGGCCCCUAAGAAGCAGCGGCUAAGAAGAGCUAAGCCUGAAUUGUCAAAAAAGAUUGAAGAAGAAGUAAUGAAGCUCCUGGCAGUAGGCUUCCUCGAAGUCUCGCAAUAUCCUAGUUGGGUGGCAAACAUUGUACCAGUAAAAAAGAAAGAUGGUCGAAUCCGGAUUUGUGUCGACUACCGUGAUUUGAACAAAGCAAGCCCAAAGGAUGAUUUCCCACUACCUCACAUAGACGUUCUUGUGGAUAGUACUGCUGGAUUCAAACUUUUCUCUUUCAUGGAUGGGUUCUCAGGAUACAACCAAAUAAAAAUGAAGGAGGAAGACAAGGAAAAGACGGCAUUCAUUACUCCAUGGGGAACUUUUCACUAUAAGGUCAUGCCUUUUGGCCUGAAAAACGCUGGAGCAACUUAUCAACGUGCCAUGGUCACCCUUUUCCAUGACAUGAUGCAUAAAGAAAUUGAAGUAUAUGUCGAUGACAUGAUCGUCAAAACUAGACAUGGAGAAGACCAUGUGAAGACCCUGGAAAAAUUAUUCGAUCGACUUCGCCAAUUCAAGUUGCGCUUGAACCCAGCAAAAUGUGUGUUCGGGGCAACUUCUGGCAAAUUACUUGGAUUCAUUGUGAGCUGUAAAGGGAUAGAAGUGGACCCGUCAAAAACUAAAGCAAUAUUUGAGAUGCCUCCUCCCUCGACUGUAAAAGAAGUCCGGAGCCUCCUGGGAAGAUUAAAUUACAUUGCGCGAUUCAUUUCCCAGCUUUCUGAAACUGCAAAACCUUUCUUUAAACUUCUCAAGAAAGAUGCACAAAUCGAAUGGGAUGAUGACUGCCGACUGGCAUUUGAAAAUUUAAAGCGGUACCUGAUGAAACCCCCGGUUUUAGUACCCCCGACUCCAGGACACCCUUUGACCCUCUACCUUACCAUCAACAGUGAAUCCCUAGGUGCAAUGUUGGCACAGAAAGGACCCCAUGAUGGGAAGGAGCGAGCCAUUUACUAUUUGAGUAAAAAAUUCACCACAUCAGAACAAAACUACUCCAAAUCAGAAAAGACCUGUGCUGCAUUGGUAUGGGUGUUGCACAGACUCCGGCAGUAUACCUUGCAUUACCAAACAUUCCUUGUAACUGAGAGUGACCCAAUCAAGUACUUGCUUGGUCGCCCGGCCUUGGUGGGAAAAUUGGCCAAAUGGCAAAUCCUAAUCUCAGAAUUCGAUAUCCAGGUGAUGUCGCAAAAAUCAGUUAAAGGUCGGGUGAUUGCUGAUAUGUUAGCAGAUUGCCCUAAAGAAGUACGCGAUGAUCAUUCCCCAGAUGACCGAAUUUCAACAUUAGAAGAGGACACAUGGACUAUGUUCUUUGAUGGAGCUGUAAAUUUGUCAGGUUCAGGCACUGGGGCGGUCCUGAUAUCCCCAAAUGGGCAGCAUUAUCCUGUGGCUGCGAAAUUGAUGUUUCCAUGCACCAACAAUAUAGCCGAAUAUGAAGCAUGCAUCCUCGGCCUACAAGCAGCUAUUGGAAUGGAAGUGUCAAAACUGAAAGUGUUCGGUGACUCCGCCUUAAUUAUCCUCCAGACUGUGGGCGAGUGGGAGACAAGAGACGCCAAACUAGUACCUUAUCACGACUACUUGGAAGAAUUGAUAGAAGAAUUCCAGGACAUCUCAUUUGAAUACCUACCUAGAAUUCGUAACCAGUUUGCUGAUGCGCUAGCAACACUAUCAUCCAUGUUACAAGUAGCGAAGGGGUUAGAAGUAGAGCCUUUGAAAAUUGAAGUCUUGACAAGACAGGCCCACUGCAUGACUAUAACUGAAGAACCCGACGGGAAACCCUGGUAUUACGACAUCAUGAAAUACAUCCAGAAGCAGGAAUUCCCUAAAGAAAGCACUCCCUCUGAUCGAAAAUACCUUAUGAAAAUGGCUUCGAGGUUUUUCGUCAGCGGUGAAAAUUUGUACAAAAGAUCAUAUAACUCAGUCUUGCUAAGGUGUGUGGAUGCAAAUGAGGCCACACAAAUAAUGCAAGAAAUACAUGGGGGAGAAUGUGGCCCUCACAUGAAUGGACGUAUGUUGGCCAAGAAAAUAAUGAGAUUGGGUUAUUACUGGUUCCCCUUAGAGAGCGAUUGUGCUCACCAUGUGCGAAGCUGUCAUCGUUGUCAGAUCCACGGGGACAAGAUAAAUGUCCCUCCAACUGAAUUGCAUCAGUUAUCUGAGCCGUGGCCAUUUUCAAUGUGGGGCAUUGAUGUAAUUGGCCCAAUCAAUCCAAAGGCAUCAAAUGGGCACCGGUUUAUUUUGGUCGCAAUCGACUACUUCUCAAAAUGGAUCGAGGCCGCAUCCUAUGCAAGCGUAACUGCACGAAACGUUAUGAAAUUCAUCAGACGUGACAUAAUCGCCCGUUAUGGCGUACCGGAAGCUAUCAUCACCGACAAUGGGUCGAACUUAAACAACAAGUUGAUUGAUCAAUUGUUUUCUGAGUUCAAAAUCCAACAUCUGAACUCGUCCCCUUAUCGUCCACAAAUGAAUGGAGCCGUGGAAGCCGCCAACAAGAACAUCAAGAAAAUCCUAUCCAAGACAGCUGAAAACUACCGCGACUGGCAUGAGAGGUUACCCUUCGCACUAACAGCAUAUCGAACUUCGAUUCGAACCUCCACUGGGGCAACGCCUUUUUCCCUGGUUUACGGCAUGGAGGCGGUUUUGCCUGUAGAAGUAGAAAUUCCUUCCUUGCGAAUUUUAUCCCAAGCAGGAUUGUCCAAGGAAGAAUGGACACAACAAAGGCUUGAGCAACUAAAUAUGAUCGACGAAAAACGACUGAAAGCCCUCUGUCAUGGUCAGUGUUACCAACAAAGGGUAGCUCGAUCGUUCAAUCAAAAGGUGCGACCCAAGCACUUCGAGGUAAAUGAGCUAGUCUUGAGAAAGACGCUGCCAAUCUUUCCAGAGCCCGGAGGCAAGUUCGCCCCUAAUUACAAGGGUCCUUAUGUAAUAAAGAAGAUACUCCCUGGAGGAGCCUUGAUUCUGACUGAAAUGGACGGGCGGGAAUUCUCCAAACCAGUUAAUUCCGAUGCUGUAAAAAAGUACUACCCUUGAAAGAUGUUUAUUGUCUGGCAUUGCUAAGCACCUCUCUAUCAGAAUGAAAAUGCUUAUGCACCUUUAUAUAUGAGUGAUGUAUUUACACCAUCGUGAAAAAUGUGUGUUUGACUCAAUGGAGAAAAAUGAAUGGUGAUGACCAGUCUUUAAGGAAGUGUCAUAAAUCAAGAAGUGAACUCGAUGGCAUAACUUGAACAAAUCAACAUUACCCAGGCAAACGCAUAAGAGUAAUCCCUGUCAAUUUUGCCCAGCUCGAUGUAAAGGAUGCGUCAUUCAGGAACCAGUCUGGUUAAAAGAAGCCUUUUAUCCCAGUCAACAAUCUUAGAAUAUGGAAACCUCACUUCUUGUUCCAGACACAUGCACUUGCAAGAAGUAAUUGCCAUUAGAGAAUUGGAGGUUUUGAUUGUCCAUCUCAGAUUCCAUAAAAGCUUGAGGUACAUGACUUUGCCUGAUCAAAGGCAGAAGGAAAAAUUCCACAGAAGGAAGGCAUUAAAGAUGAAUCAACGACAAUCAAUCAUGCAUACAGGGCCACCAAUGAGGAGGGCUAAUCGAAGGAAAGAUUGAACUGUGUCAAGAUAAGGAGUCCAUCAUCGACAUUGAAAUAGCCUUAGGAAUCAACAAAUACAAACUCUGGGAAAGGGAAGCAUCCGAAUUCAAGAGCCAAACUUGAUGGUUAGGUUUGGCAAAUCAACAUUGGCCAAGCUAGUACAUGGAAAUGACCCACAUCGAAUUCACCUGAUUUCGUGUAAAAUGACGUGUCAUCCAGGAGCCAAUAUUCGACCUAACGAAGCAAGGGAUGUAGGACUUCGUGUCCCCCUCUCACUUCAGGUUCACCCAAUCGUCUGCAAACCAGUGAAGGGUAAAGUUGUAUCGCUUCCAGUUAUUCAACUCUUGAAAAAGUUCAUGACUAACACAUUCUCUCUUGUUUGUUACAGGAUCACCUGACUGUCAAAAGCAAGGAUAACAAAUCAAUAAGAGGCAUGACAAACUCUCCCAAACGAAAUGGCGUCCUGAGUAAUUGCCAAAGCAAAUGACAGAGAUCCUUCAGGCCUCAAUUCACCUUUAAUUUUGGCCCUGUUGAUUGAUCCAUUUUCUCUUCUGCAGGGGCAACAACAGAGUGUCCGAUCAGAUCCCCAACCCCGACUGAUCCUUCAUGUGUCAUAUCCCUAAUCAAUAGGGACAAUUAUCGACACCCAAUUGCAAAUAACCCUUUUGAUGUUCAAAAUCUAACAUAUUUGGAAACACCAUUAUGUUAGCCCCUAAAGUUGUCAAUAGGGUCUUUUUUACGAGUCAAAACCAUUCACUUGUUUUGAAGAGUUCAAACUCCAUCACAUUUAAAAUACUGCAUGCCUUUUCCAGAUGAAUUCUGCAUGAUGAUUUUGGCUGUCUAAAUCACUGAUUCCACUGAGGAUUAUCAGAAUAGACAGCUAAGUGAAGAAUACAAGAUUAAUUGAGCAUGCUGAAUAAGGCACGUCAGAACGACGAAAGGCAAGCCAUAUCCUAUACACAGUCCCCCAUCUAUACACUUGUGAGAUGAGUGCAGAAGAUUCCAUGGCUGCAGGGUAAAGAGUUCUCUCGCGAAUGGUACGAUAACCAAAAUAGUGAGAGGCAUUCCAUUGCUCACCCCAUUGAGCCCCAUACAUUGGUGAAGCUUCUCUCAUAUCCCCGUCAAAGAACCACCCCACACUGGGGCAAGUCGAAAACAAGUCAGCAUCACAAGGUGAGAAGAGAGAUAGAAAUUUUCUUGCUCGCACUUGCAUCAAUCUUUGGGUGUCUUUAUUGCAUAUGAACACUCGCGUUAAUUUAAGUGCCCUAGAGUCAUGAAGAGCAAUUCUUUCUUUACGCACUUGUAUUCAUUGUACAACCCAAGUGAGUCUGUAAUUUUACCCUCACAUGGAGGCAAAACAGAAGUUAUUGCCAUAGCCCAGAGCGCCUAUUGAAGAUGAAGACUCAAGAGUCUAAUAACGGUGCUUCGAUUGAACUUGCCUAGACUAGUUCCUCCAACGACAAGAAUGAAAAAACAUGGGUAUAAAAAAGCUGUGUACCUGGUAAGAGCAAGGUCAAUGCCCAUAAAAGAAAAACUGGAGUAAAAAUAGGGGCAUGAAAAAAGCAGUGUGCCUGGUAAAAGCAAGGCCAAUGCCCCCCAGUCAAAAAUGCAGCCAAGAAAAUGUUGCUGUUGUGGUCCAUAGAACCUCCAUUUGACAGUGAGAAGAAAGACUGGUGACAAAUGCCAAGGCAAUCACCAGCUCUACAUUUUUACACAAGAAUCAAGCCUACGUUGCAUGCCAUUGUAAAAGUCUCUUCAGACUAGGGGCACUUCAAUUAACGUAGGAUUUCAUAUGUCUAUAAGCAUCGCUCGAAGAAGUACGAGCAAGAUUACUCUAUCUCUUUUCGCAGGAUUCUUGACUUGUAAACCCGGAGAUGAUCGUGCAGCAUUUUCGUCCAUCAGCUUCAACCUUGAUGGUCCCCUUCGAUGAGUCACUGACCAAGACUUCAUCACAGUUUCAACAAAGACCUCUCACAUUGGUAAAGUCGUACCGUUUGCGAGAAUACUCGGACCCCUGCUGACAUGAUGACAGUGAGAUAGUGUGGUCCUUAUAAAUCCUGCAUCAAUGGUCAGGAUAGCCUUUUCCAUGAGAGUGAGCGGAAAGUCAUUUCAGACUGAAAGUCCCUCAUCUGGCAUGCUCAAGACAUCUACAUUAUAAAUGAAGGUUGUCUUUCAAAAUCUUCCCCAGUGGAAAUCAAAAGAUGCAGAACUGACAAAAUUAUCAUGCAUGAAUCUCAUUUGAACUCAUGAAUUUACAGCAUAUACAAUCAUGUGUGCAUACUGUGCAAAUAACAGACACACUCUUAGAGAUCAGAGAUAUUGCCAGUAAGCAUAUCUCUAUCCCCAUUUGUCUUAAGGUACCUAUCACUGUUCAGGUACUCUCUUCUUGACACUCGACCUAUUCGAGUCAUCCCUUGAGUUUGGGUGCUUGCAAUUGUCUCAGUAUCCCAUUGUCUUUGAGUACCGGCCACCGUCCGGAUACUCCUUUUUCCUGACACUCGGCCUAUUCGAGUUGUCCUCAAAGUAUUGAUACUUGUGACUGACCAAGUAUCCCUUUAUUGUUAAAUACCUACUGCUGUCUAGGUAUCCCUGCUGUCUUUGAGUACCGGUCACCGUUCGGAUACUCCAUUUUCCCGACACUCGACAUGUUCAAGUUGUCCCCAGAGUAUUGAUACUUGUGACUAACCAAGUAUCUCUUGGAAUACCUACUGCUGUCUAGGUAUCCCUAUAUCGUCAAGUACCCACCAUUGUCCGGGUACUUCCUUUUCAUGACACUCAACUUGCCCAAGUUGUCCCCAAAUAAUAGCAGCUGUUCAAGCAUUCCAUUGCUUUGUGUGCCUGCGCCUACCCAGGUAUGCUUUCUUACACUUGGACUACUGAGUGUCCAGGUUGUAUCAUUAAAUACUGUGUCAUCCAAGUAUUCCAGUACUUUGUACACCUGUGGUUAUCUAGGUGUGUCCACCCCUUUUAAGUGCCUGCGGCAAUCCAGGUAAGCCUCGUGCUACAUUCAAAUUCGCUUUACCAGGAGGUGAGAAACCUUCAUGAAUAUGCGAGGCACGUCCUCAAUAUUCCCAAUUACCAGGAGGUGAGAGACCUUCACGAAUAUCUCAGGUACGCCCUCGAUAUUCCCCUUUACCAGGAGGUGAGAAACCUUCAUGAAUAUGCGAGGCACGUCCUCAAUAUUCCCAAUUACCAGGAGGUGAGAGACCUUCACGAAUAUCUUAGGUACGCCCUCGAUAUUCCCCUUUACCAGGAGGUGAGAAACCUUCAUGAAUAUGCGAGGCACGUCCUCAAUAUUCCCAAUUACCAGGAGGUGAGAGACCUUCACGAAUAUCUCAGGUACGCCCUCGAUAUUCCCCUUUACCAGGAGGUGAGAAACCUUCAUGAAUAAGCGGGGCACGCCCUCGACAUUCCCAUUACCAAGAGGUGAGAAACCUUCACAAAUAUCCAAGGCAUGUUCUCAAUAUUUCCAAUUAUCAAGUACCCUUCGGUACUUGUGAUCAUCUAGGUAUCCCCAAAUAGUUUGUACCUAUAAUCGUCCAGGUACCCCUUCGAUACUUGCAAACGUCCAGGUAUCCUCCAAGAGUUCGCUCUUGUGAUCAUCCAAGUACCCGUCCAUUGCCUAUGAUCAGCCAAAUACCCAUUUCAACGCCUGCAAAGGCCCAAAUAUCCUUCAUGUUAGUACUUGUGAAUAUCCAGGUACUCUUUGAUAUGUUUGUGAAUGUCCAGGAAUCUUCUAAAAUCGAUGCCCUGAAAAAGGUCGGCGCAUCCUCCCGAGAAAGGUCGGGUUCCAACUGGUGUCUUCGACAGAAGUCAGACACCCCACGAAUCGAUGCCCUGAGAAAGGUCGGUGCAUCCUCCCGAGAAAGGUCGGGUUUCAACCAGUGUCUUUGACAGAAGUCAGACACCCCAACAAAAUAGAUGCUCUGAGAAAGGUCAGCGCAUCUCCCGAGAAAGGUCGGGUACCAACCGGUGUCCUCGAUACCAAUCAGGCACCCACAAAUGAGAUGCCCUGAGAAAGGUCGGUGCAUCUCCCGUCAAGGCGACCGAAGAAAGGUUCGGGUCCUAGACAAAUCAUGGAUUGUUUUAACAGGCGACCGAAGAAUGGUUCGGGUCCUGGAAGAGCAAUCUCCCGUCACGGCGACCGAAGAAUGGUUCGGGUCCGAGACAAACCACUGAUUACUCCAACAGGCGACCAAAGAAUGGUUCGGGUCCUGGAAGAGCAGUCUCCCGUCAAGGCGACCGAAGAAAAGUUCGGGUCCUAGACAAAUCAUGGAUUGUUUUAACAGGCGACCGAAGAAUGGUUCGGGUCCUGGAAGAGCAGUCUCCCGUCAAGACGACCGAAGAAAAGUUCGGGUCCUAGACAAAUCAUUGAUUAUUUUAACAGGUGACCGAAGAAUGGUUCGGGCCUUGGAAAAGCAACCUCCUCAUAUCACCAGGUAAGAUGACGCCUUGAUACUUACCAAAACUCGGGGUUCACACCCUAUCUCACUCACUCCCGGUAAGUAACUACAGGUAUCUUCUUAUCUGUCUUAGUAUAUGCAAUGUUAUAUUGCUCUCUUUCUGCAUAGAACAAUAGGUUCCAAAUAAAAUAUAAUCUACUACGCAUGCAUAGACAAAAUUUAGGUAUCAAGUUUGUCUUUGAAUGCAACCUCUGCGAACUCACCUUCAAAGAGGGGCAGCUGUUGACACCUAAAAUUUUAAUUAGGUUUAAUUAGGUCUUAAUUUCUUUUAGAUAACAAAAAACCAAAUAAAUAGCAAAAACAACAAAAAAUAGUAAAAACAAAAGAAAAGAAAAACAAAAGCCCCCCCCAAUUUUCUUCACGUGGGUUUUGUGCGGCUUGGCCCCACCCCCCUUCUUCCCUCUUCUUCUUCCUCGCUCCAUCUUUCUCCGCCUCUGUAGUUCACGCGCGGUGGCCGGCGACGCGCGCGAAGGACGGCCUACGGCCGAGGGGAGUAGGCCGACGUCGGCCGGAGAGGAUAAGAUCAGACGCCAUUAAUACCGAGCGAGCUUCGCUGGAAAGCUCGAUGGGACACCGGUUCGGCCGAGCGGAACCGGUGGGUAAGCCGGAGGCCGGCGACCGAACCCCUUCGUCGACCGGAGUUCCUUCGCCUAUAAAUAGGUGGCCGCAAACAUCGUCGGAGGGUGUGGCGAGCUCGGAAAUCCUUCACUGAGAGACAUCGGGAGGGGUUGAAGGGCGAGCGCAAGAGAGAGCUCGAGUCGCGAGCUUGGCCCACCUUCCACCGAGAGACUUCGGGGAAGGUAGGCGGCGAGCGACCUCGAGAAGGUCAGAUCCGGCCGGUGGAGGCUCGGAUCUGGCCUGAGUGAGAAGAAGUCAAGGCCGAGGAAGGUCCGGCCGAGAUCUGCGACGCCUCAGAUCUGGAGUUUUCGUGCCGCUGUACCGCCGCCGACGCCGUUGCUUCAGAAGGUUGCUGUCGCGUCCCCCCCCCCCCCCCCCCGUGAAGCCGUCGUUAAUCGAAAGGUAAAAGGGCCGUCGCCGUAUUCCGCCGUCGCCUUCGCCGUUCAUCGCAUGCGUCGUAUGCUGCCGUCGUCGUUGUCUUUGCGAUCGCCGUCACCACCGCGCCGUCGCCGCCGUCGCCGCCGCAAUACCCCGGUUUCCCCCUCGGCGCCGCGGAUUCGCGAACCCUAGGGUUUGCGAUUUUCCGGGUCGCCGAGUCGGAGCCGGGUUGGCAAGUCGGGUAGGGUUUCCGCGGUUUUUGGGCGGCGGAAGACCGGGUCGCGAUUCGGAUCCGGGUCGGGUAGGGUUCGCAGGGAGCCGGGUCGCGGAGCGGGUCGUGGACCCGGGUCGUCGGGCCGGGCCGGGUGUCCCCGAACGCCCGGCCACGGCGUCGUUUUAACAAAAUAGAAAAAUAAAAUAAAAUAGACGAAAAAAAUCUGAGUCGGGCCCGCGUGCGGGUCGCCGACCCGGGUUGGACCCAACCCGCGGAUCCGACCCGGGUCGGUUUUAUUUUAUUAUUUUAAUAUAAAAUGAUAAAUAUUUUAUUUUCAAAAAAAAAAUCAAAAAGUAUUUUAUUUUCAAAAAAAUAUUAAAAAAUGUUUUAAUUUCCAAAAAAUCGAAAAAUAUUAAAAAUUGUUGAAAAAUGUUUUAUUUUCUAAAAAAUCGAGAAAAAUCAAAAAAUAAUUUAUUUUCCAAAAAUAUUAAAAAAUAUAAAAAAAAAUAUUUUAUUUUCCGAAAAAUAAAAAAAUCAAAAUAUUCCAUAUUUUCCAAAAAAUGCCAAAAAUCCAAAAAAAAAAAGCCAAAAAAAUUCAGAAAAAGCCAAAAAGACUUGUAUUUCACCAAAAAACCCAAAAAAAUCCCUUUUGUGUCCAAAAAAUUAGAAAAUGACUCAAAAAAAAUGUUUUUCCUCCAAAAAAUGCAUGGAAAAUCUCUCAAACAUCCAAAAAGCCUUAGGGUUUAAACAAGAUUAGGUACCGAAAGGGCAUUAGUGAUUAACUAGUGUAAUCAAGUCCCCGAUCCUAAUUUCUCUGGUUGCGCAGGAGCGAGUAUUUCUCCCGAUACUUCGCUUGGGUUUCUAAUCGACCCACUCCAAAUCGAUUAGUGGCGACUCCAUUUUAAAAAUUGAUUUAUAGGUUAAAAACUCAAACUAUUAAAGUCGUGAAUUGGUGGACUUGGGAGAGUCCGGGCAUAAUUAAUUAGCCGAGCCAUUAGCCUCCUUAGGCGUUUGUACCCGAUUGCGGGCGCCGGAAAAAAGAGGUCGCGACAGCACAUAAUCGAGUAGGUACUAGAGGGGAGUUAGUCUUAAGGCUAACAUAAUCAAAUUCUCAAGUCUAGAAUAUCUGGUUAUAAAAAAAUAAGAUAUCCUCCCGUAUUUUACUUGGGUUCUAGUAGACCGAAAAAGGCUAAUGACGACUCCUUUGUCAAAAUUUGCAUAUGCUUAAUUGAUUUAAAAUUUAGUCUGAUGUCGUGCGAAAUAUGAGCUUGGUAGAAUCCGAGUCAAUAGAAAGUAUGACAAUACCCCAAAACAUAACUCUCUUUCCCCCAAGGGGUUAGGUCGCAACACCACCUAUUAAAAACAUAAUAACACAAUCUAGAACGAUAAUCAUUGACGCAUUGCACAUAACAGUAAUCAUCGAUGUGCCGUUUUGAUACUAGCAAGAUCAUCUAAAAGUAGUUUCGCCUGGAUAUUAAAACGGCCGAAUAAGAAUGAAGCAAUUGGAAUGACAUCAGCUAGAGCUUGAAUUCUGGAAACGGGUAGCGAUGGCGAUGGUCUGCAUCUGGUGCGCCCGAAGGUCUUUCUGGCAGAGACAUUGCUAGCCGGAGACAACGAACGUGACUAGGAAUCUCUGUCUACUCCAAGCUCAGCAUCAAGGCAGAGCAAGCACUCCUUUCUUUGGUCAAAUCAACCGCGACAUCCUCACAGGGCGGAGGAGGAGGGGAAAAGAGAAGGCCAGGCCAGGGGAAAAAGCUGAAAUGUUGCGGUGAUGGGGCUGAUGGGUUUGGGCCGUGGAUCAAAUAAAUGGGUUUGCUCUUGUGGGCCGCGCCAAUUGGCUUUUUUUAUUUGUUAUUUAUUUUUAUCUUUUUAUUAUUCUCUUUUUUUGUUCUUUUUACUACCAUUCAUUGUUUUUAUGCUCUUUUUUUACAAAAAUGUAUUCUUAAUUUGUCUACUGAAAAUUAGGUAUCGACUGUUUCAAAAAUAUUUACCUAAUAUUCAAAGAAAAAUAUCAUGCUAUCAUGAACAAACUACAAGACAUUGUAUGUGUCGUUGCAUCAAAUCUUAACUUACUAAAGGUUAUCGUAAUUUCUUGAUCAAUGGAAGAAACGAGCCAAAAAUAUAUGACAAUCCCAUCGAAUAGAAUCAAGUAGGUGUUGAUGAAAUAUUGACUCAUCUCAAAUGACUUCAUUUAUGACUCGGAUUAAUAUGGACCCUAAUUCGAAUCUCACCCAUUUGGUGAGUCGAAGUCCUACAAAUUAGAAUGGAAGAUUAAACAAAGAUUGGUACGAGGGAAGAGAAAGAGAUGGCUUUUUAUAGUGGAAGAUGAUUCUUUUGUGUUUUGUUUUUCCUGCUCUAGGAUUCUUUUUCAAUUUAUCUGAAGUUUUCAAAGUGAGAAAUGAUUAAAUAUGGCAAAGAGUCAAGGAAAAAGCAAAAGAAAUGAAUAAAUAUAUUGAGAAUAACAUAGAUUUUAAUAAAACUAAUGUUUAUAAAGUUUCAGUUGAAAAACCAAUCAGAUGACUAGUCAAGUGGCCCAAGACUUGAUUUGCAAGUCAAAAGUCACAAGUUUAAUUUCCCAAUCUAUUAUCCAUUUUGGGAUAAUUAUGCGAAUAAGUUGGCAGAAUUAAUUUGAACAAUAUCUUGUGGCAAACACAUUCACCCGUUUGGAACCAAAGAUUAUUGUGGGUUGGAGAAAAUCCAAAUAGAAUGUCCAGCAAAAACAUUUGAGUCGCCAUUGAUGCCCCUCGAUGAAGGGCUGUGACUCCACUUCGACGAAUUUCCACUUCCACCAUGAUGUCGAGACAAUUUCCUUCACACGCAAUAGCAUAAUUAACAAUAACCUUUUUCAACAAUAACAAUAAUAAUAGACAAUUUUGUCUCCAUACCAGAAAAGAGGCGAAUAUAUGGUGGAGUAGUUGGCACUGAGCUUCGCCCCUUGAAAUUUCAUUUGCUUCCAAUUAUAUUUUUCUUGUCUUGAAUAAGUGUAAGCUUUAUUUGGUAUUUCAGCACAUGAAGUUACAAUUGAUGUGAAAUUGCAACAAUUAAGUCAUAACGAUGAAUUAAAUGUUGAUAAUUAGCUUAUGUAGAGGAUGAUAGUGUGAAAUAACUGAAUAAAACGUGUAUUUUGUAGGUAGUGUGGCUCGAAUGUAAUUUUAGUAUAAAGAAAUGGUGGAGUGCCUCACUUGUUUUCAAUUAGCGGAGCAUAGGAUUUGGGAGAAUUUUUUUUUUUAAAAUAAUUUUGGAUUCUUUGAGGUCAAGCAUAAUCAAAGCAAGCAUUUAUUUAUUUUAGUGAUUAUUUGGAUGUUGUAGAUGAUUAAAUAAUGCACUGUACAACCUGUGCGCAUUGAGGACGGGCCAAAAGAUGCAAACAAUCCACAAUCUAGUAACUCAACCUUUUGUCUACUAUCUCUAAUAAUCCAUCCGUUGGUAGUGAAGGUGGAUUUUGAUGAUACAGUUCACGCCGAUGGAGUGAGCAUGUCAUGUUCCACCAUGGAAAGAAUAGGAAAACACAAUACUUUGGCCUUCCAUCAUCAUAGAAGGUCGACAUUGUCUUCCUCGAAUUUUUCAAAUGUAGUUCCCAUCAUCCUUGUAGAGAUAUUCAUUCACCUCACCAGCAAUCGGCCUGGAGUGCUUGAGGCCCGCCGUUCUUUUUUGGGGCACAUGUGGCCCAAGAGCACGGGUCCGAAGUGGCACGGCCCGUUGGCCAUCCUAACUAAAAUUUAUCUGGGCUCAUAUACAAAUAUUAGAACAUUUUCUGAUAGUUGAGGACCCUUCCCUGAAAAUAAGUGUUGCUGACACCUUCAUAGAUAUUUUUGGCGCUCCAAUCCAUCUCAUUCGAACAUCAAAUCACAUUUCCCAUCUUGCAUUCACUUUAUCCCUCCUUCACUGUCUCUUGUCUUUCACCGAAAGUGUUACCGACAGCCUCGCAGAAUAUUUCGGAACGUCAACCCAUCGGACAUCUGUAAAAUUUCCCAUCUCGCAAUCACUCUCUGUCCUUUCUAUCCUUCACCGAAAAUUGAUGGUGACAGCUUCGUUGCGGUUUUAGCAGCCUCGACCAAUCUUAUUUGAGACAUCUAUCCACAAUUCGCAUCUGCCCUUUCAAUCCGUGUCCUCCCUGUCUUCUAUCCUUCACGGUAAUUCAGACAUCAGUCACGUGUCCCAUCUCGAAACGAACAAGAGUCUGGAAAAUGCAAAUAUGUUAUGGGCCCACCGAACUUGUCUUUUAAGGAAAGAACUCAUUUUGCAUUUCCCCUCACUUUCUCCCGACUUUCCGGAGGAAAAUAUCUUGUGGCCCCCCACAGGAAAAUCCUUCUCAACGGUUCUCUUCGUAUUCCUUGAAUCUUUAUUUUCCUCGCUUCUUUUUCCCCCAAUUCCUGCAACCGGCUUCAUUCUACGGAAUGGCUCCAUUCGGAUAAGGUCUUGCUCUCAAAAGAAAAAUCAUGGUAGCAAACAUUUGGAGUGGCUCCAUAAAUAACAACUUUCAUUUGAUGAGAAAAUCAAGAUAUAAGAAUUCUCCCACAAGUGUUGAUGUUCUCAUUAAUAAUAUUAUGUGUCAACAUGACUACUAUAGUUGCAUGAGUAGACAUUCCUCAAAGAAACGUCAAUAACAUUGGUAAGCUUCUAAAUUCAAAUUAUGUUUUGCACUCGGCAUUAUAGCUUGUCGUUUUUUUCUGGUCCAUCAAGCUAUGCUAAGAAUGAAGUAAAGAUGAGAUGUGAAUGGUUUGGGCAAAGAAAAAAGUGGAUGAACAAGACAACGUCUUUGUCCUCAGCAAUGGUGCAUAGAGAUUUUUUGCAGAGGAGCGAGAGGUUCUUUUAAGUUCUUCCGUUGAUCGAUAACUUGCAAUUAACUAUCUUGUAUUAUCUGUUUUUAAAUAUUGAAAUUGAAUGUCAUGGCUACAUAUGGAUUAUGUACCUUUUUAACUAGAGAUUUUUGUUAGCCCCAUAAUUGAUAGAAUAACAACUCCAACUGUGACACUAAAACAAUUAUACGUGUAUCGUGAUUAUUUGAUUAUGUCAGGUUAUUUAAAUUUUUUGGUCAUAUUUUUAAGUAUGUUUUCCCAUAGUUUAAAGCAGUUUUUGUUUUGGGUGAUCAACUGAAUAUGUUUUUUUUUUUCUUUUUCAAAAUUAAGAAGUUGCCUUUUUUAGAAUAUUUGUUGUUGUUAUUCGUAAAACAAUUUGUACAAAGUUGGGACCAAAUAUAUAAUCAUAUAUGGCUACGCACAUAUUAAGUCGAAGCUAGACGGGACAACGUUGAGAGAGAGAGAGAGAGAGAGAGAGAGAGAGAGAGUACAGUGGAGUCGGGUCCCCCAACGCGAGGUUGAAAAAUGAAAGAAUGCGUAGAGAAGCAAGAAGCGUAGAAGUUUGGGGAGAAAUCUUUUGUGUUUCUUCAGUUGUAUUCAAUGUACAAAACUUAGUAAUUAUAUAAUACAAGAUGUACAUGAAGAAAAGGUAAUGAAAUAUUCUACAAAUCAAUCUAAUAUCUCAAUCUAAUCCCUAGUUGAUUUAGUGUAUGAUUAUAAUCAAAUCGGAUUCCCGAAAUAUCUUCCGAAUCUUCAACUAUAUCUUCCAACAAAAAAUCAAGAAACUUUAAUAAUUGCAACACGAUCCACAAUGUAUAAAGUCGUACUGUCUAUAUGCAUCACGAGGCUGACAUAACACUAACCUUCAAUAAUUGCAACGUGAUCCACGGCAAAAAAGCAACUUAACUUUAAGCCGUUUAAACUCUUAACCUCGCUUUUGUUAAGUCUUUCUCCCUCCUCCUCCUCCUCUGCAUUUUAGAGAGAGAGAUAUCAGUAGUAGCAUCAGAGGAACGAUUGUGGACGUGUGUGAUCGAUACUUGUUAGGGAAGGAGAGAGAUGCAAGGAUUUGGAGUUCAUAGAGAAUCGGAAAGAGGGUCAUUGAAUUGUUAACGAGGUGUAGUCAAUCAAUGCAAUUGUUGGGUUUUCUUUAAAAAUAUUAAAAGUGAGGUUUUGAGAAAUAAGUGAUGAGUAUAAUUAGUAAUUUUUAUUAAAAAAAUGAUAAGGCGUUUGUCAUGGACCUUCAAUUUCUCUCAAUGGAGUUGUGUAUGUAGCUCAAAGCCUAUGCAUGUUCACAAGAUUGACAAAUUGUUGUCUUUUAAUUAUUAAUGGAGUGCCGGGAAGCAUCCAACAAAUCUCCAUCAAAUGUGGCACUUCCUCCAUUUCAUAUAGAUUGGAUAAUUAUCAAAGAUAUAUAUAUACACCUAUGAUAAAUUUAUUUUUUAUAUUAUUAUCUUUUGAAAAUGGGCAAGUUGCCACACUUGAUUUUUUCAUCUCAAUUUCUAUUUGAAGUUGAUUUUGGCAGAUUAACAAUCUACACUUGGGAGCUGAGCCCCCCUUCCCUUCUUUUCCUUUUAUUCUUGGGAAGGUUUGGUGAGUAUUUCUUCUAUACUAUAAACUAUUAGUUAUUUAAAUUCUAACCUUAAUAUCAAAUUAUUCAUGUUUUUUUGCACGUGAAAAUAAAAUUAAAAUAUUGGGAAUGAGAAACUACUUCCAUUAAAGUUCACAUAUUUAAAUGAUGAGGCGUGACCAACUAAAUUUUAACGAUAAAAUUUCAGGUCAUCAACUUGGAAGAAUUUAUGAUUUGAUGGUCGUAGAAUAAUCAGCUUAGAUAUUAAGAUUGAUGGGGAAACUGAGCGCGACUCUUGUGGAUCUUAUCUUCAUUACAUUUUGUCAAAUAAGCUGGGUGCUAUUAGAGACGCAAUGCCUAUCUUCUCGAGAAUUGAUGUAAGGGGCUGAACAUUUUCCUGUACUUUUCACAUGUCAAUUGUCGUACCGAGCAUCUAAGUAAAAGAAAGACGGACAAUUCGGUGGACAAUUCGGUGGAGUUGGGUCCCUCGGUGAUUGGCUGAGUAGCCUUCACGUGCAUGAAGCCGUACUGCCCAUGAGCACCACUAGGUUGACAUAACAUGAAACUUUAAUAAUUGCCAAGCGACUGCUGAUGGCCAAGCAGCAACUUCAUCUCCAUCCUCAUUAAACUCUUAACAUCACUUUGUUCAAUCUUCCUCCUCCUCUGCGUUUUAGAGAGAGAGAGAGAGCACCGUCCCAACUGGCACGGCCCAUUGGCUAUCCUAAUUAAAAUCCAUUCGAGUUCAUGUACCAUUUUCUGAGAGUGGAGGAUCCUCCAUUAAAAAAAAAAUGUUGCCGACAGCUUCAUAGAUAUUUUUGGAGCUUCAGCCCAUCCCUUUGGACAAUCAUUCACAUUUCCCAUCUCGUGUGCACUUUAUUUCCGUCCUUCACAGUCUUCUGUCUUUCACCGAAAGUGUUGCCGACAGCUUCGCAGAUAAUUUCGGAACAUCAAUCCAUCAAUUCGGACAUCUGUAAAUUUUCCCAUCUGGCAGUCACUCAGUCACUACCAAAAAUUGUGAGUGACAGCUUCGUUAACGUUUUAUGAGCCUCGACCAAUCUUAUUCAGACAUCUAUCCACAUUUCCCGUCUCCCGAUUCAAUUUGUGUCCUCACUGUCUUCUGUCCUUCACCAAAAUUCAGACAUGCGCCCCCGUCGAAUCUCCAAAUGACCAAGAGUCCAGAAAAUGCAAACAUGUAAUGGUCCACUGAGCUCGUCAUUUGAGGAAAAGAAAGAGCUCCAUUUUGCGUUUCCCGCUAUUUUCUUUCCACUUUCCGAAGGAAAAUAUCUUGCGGGUCCCCACAGGAAAAUCUUUCUCUACCAUUCUCUUCGUAUUCCUUGAAUCUUUUAUUUUCCUCACUUCUUUUCACCCAAUUCCUGAAACCCGCUUCAUUCUAUGGAAUGGCUUCAUUCGAUUCUAUACAUACGGGUCUUGCUCUCAAAAGAAAAAUCAAGGUAGCAAACUUUUGAAGUGGCUCCUCAUCCGUAAACAACAUCUUUUAUUUGAUGGGAAACUCAAAAUGUAAGACUUCCCCCAUAAGUGACGAUAACAUCGUUAAUAAUAAUAAUAUGUAUAGACUCGGCUAUAGUUGCAUUAGUAGAUGUUACUCAACAAAAUGUCAAUAAUAUCAGCAAACUUCUCAACUCAGAUUAUGUCUUGCACUCUGCAUUAAAAAAUGAAGUAUAGACGAGAUGUAGAUGGCUUACAUAGAAAAAAAGUGGAUGAACAAGGCAACGUAUUUAUCCUCAGCAAUGGUGCAUGCAAAUGUUUUACAUAGGAGACAGAGGUUCUUUUCAUUUCUUUCGUUGAUCAAUAUCUUGUAAUUUUUUAUCUUAUAUUAUCUGUUUUUCCAUAUAGAAAUUGAAUAUCAUGGCUACAUAUGGAAUAUAUACAUUUUUAACUAGAAAUUUACCUAGGUCCAUAGAAUAACAAAUCCUACUACGAGACUAAAAUAACUUUACAUGCAUGAUGAUUAUUUAAUUAUAUCGGGUUAUUUAAAUUUUUUUGUCAUAUUUAUAAAUAUGUUUUCCCGUUGUUUAAAGCAAUUUUUGUCGUAUAAAGCAGUUUUUGUUUUGGGUGAUCGAUCGAAUGUGUUUUUUUUUUUUUUUUGGGUGAGGAUGAUUGACCCAAUUAAGAGGUUGGUUUCUUUAGAAUAUUUGUCGGUCUUGUCCAUAAAACGAUUUGUACGAAUUUGGGACCAAACGUUUAAUCAUAUAUGGCUUUGCACAAAUUAAGUUGAAGCUAGUGGGACAACGUUUAAAUUGAUAGAGAGAGAGGAUAGUACGGUGGAGUGGGGUCCCUCGGCGUGGGGUUCAAAAAGCAUGAAGCUUUAAUGAUUGCAACAUGACCCACAAUGUAUCAAGUCAUACUGUCAAUCUGCAUCACGAGGUUGACAUGACACCCCAGUUAAAUUCUUAACAUUACUUUGCUUUGUCCUCCUCCGUUUUAGAGAGAGAGAGAGAGAGAGCGCGCGCAAGGAGCAAUGAUCGUGGAGGUGUGUGGUCAGUACAUAUUAGGGAAGGAGAGAGACUCCCAAGGAUUUGGAUUUUACAGAGAACCGGAAAGAGGGUCAUUAAAUUGCUAACGAGGUAUGAUAAAUCAAUGGAAUCGGGUUUUCUUUAGAACUAUUAAAGUGAGGUGUUGAGAAAUAAAUGAUGAGCAUAAUUAGCAAUUUCUAUACAAAAGAAAAAUGAAAAAAGGCAACUUUCAUGAACCUUCAAUUUCUCUCAAUGGAGUUGUGUAUGUACCUCAAAGCCUAUGCACAUUCACAAGAUUAAUAGAUUGGUGUUUCUUAGAUAUUAACGGAGUGCCUAGGUCUCUUUGAGCAUCUCGUGAAUCUCCUUCAAAUGCGGCGGUCCCUCGAUUUUAUAACAUUGGAUAAUUACCGAAGACAAACAGUUUUUAUUAAUAUAUUGGUGAUAAAUUUAUCUUUUAUAUUACAUUUUUUUUGAAAAGGGCCAGUUGCCACAUUUGAUAAUAUCAUCUCAAUUUCUAUUUGAAUGUUGGUUUUGGCAACUUAACGGUCUUAAUUUGGGAGUUGAGCCCCGUUCCUUUUAUAGGACGGUUACUUAAGUAUCAUAAUUUUUUGUCAAUUGAGUGGGUGUCAUGACUUUAAAAAAAAUUCAUUUAAGUGUCAUGGUCUUCAAUUACUCAUUUAAAGACUACAACUCCCAUCAUCACAAGUGUCAUGAUGCUAGCACUAUUGGGCAACGUCUUUGAAAAGGUUAUAAUGCUCAAGUGAAUAUUUUUUAGAGGUUUCAAAAUAUUUAAAUGAUCAGAAAAAAAUAAAUUUAUGAUACUUAAAUAAGCGUCAUACGGGGUGACCUUUUUUCAAAAUUAACCUUGUAGGGCAUUACAGACUUCUACAUGCUAUGGCAAUAUAAUCACGCAAGCACUGCAAGAUGCUUUUGCAUGAAAAUGAUACAAACUUUUACGAAGAAGGGACAGGAAAAGCAUUUUGGUCAAAAUAAGCGUUAUUGCACUCGCCGGACUCUAUUGUUGUGCAACUUUAUUAAAGCUGAUACUUAAAAAGAGCUCAUGAAGCCACUGAAAUUGGAGUGCAUCACCUGAAUCGGAUUCUGGACUUACAGAGAUUGGGGCCUCGCCGCUGUUGAUAGCUGGGGCUGAGCACGUAUGAAAUGAUUGAUGGACAAUGAUAGUCAUAGACAGCUGGAUAAUUCUCGCAUUCUAGGAGCGGUGGGGUCCGAAGGCAAUUUUAGUCCAAAAAGAAAUGGUGGACUGGAUUUUUUUCGAACCGUUAAAUUGAGGUUCUCCAUUGAGGUGCAUCAUCUGAAUUGGAGAUCAUAGCUCGGUCCCAAGCGGAGAUUUGUGCAUCGCUGCUGCAGUGCUGCUGAUUUCUGGAGCUGAGGUCAGAUGUGUUAAACGGUUAAGCAUAAUCAAAUGGGAGAAAAUAUUUGAGGGUCCCGACCGCCAAGCCAGCGUGUACCCUUACCAAUGAGGAAAUGACGGGUGGCUCCACGAUGCGCUAGCUGCUCCACUGGUUUUUCUGCACAAAAUAUACUAUUGCCCCUUUUCUGCUUAAAAAUUUACAAUCAUUAAGGGGUGCAUGAUAAUCAAAAUUUCUGUUUCAGAAACAAUUUUUCUAUUCCAGACCUGUUUCUGGAAUAGAAACCUGUUUGAUAAACCUACUUAGUUUUUCUAUUUCUGGAGUAGAUUUCUAUUCCAAAAAUUGAUUUGGAAGAGAAAUAAGAAGUAAAAAUUUUCUACUUCUGAUUUCUGGAAGAGAAAUCAGAAAUAAUUUCUCCCACUAAACCCUAAUUUCGGUGAGUCCUCCCUCAUCUCCUCUACGUCCCUGCCUCCUCCUCCUCUGCCUCUCCUCAUUUUAUUAAAAAUAAAAAUAAAUAAAAAUAAAUAUAUUCAUUUUAUUCAUUUAAAAAUAAAUAAAUUAUUUUUAUUUAUCAUUUUAUUUUUAUUUGCCUUGAGUGUUCUGCCAAAUAAUUAUUUUUUUUAAAUUUUUGUUCAUUUUAAAAUAAAUUUAUUCGUAAAAUAAAAUAAAAUAGAAUAAAUAAAAUAAAUUUAUUUUUAAGGAUAUUUUUAUUUUAAAAUAAAUAAUAUUUUUAUUUUAUUUUUUAUGAUUUAUUUUAUUUUAUGAUUUAUUUUUUGUUACUAAAUCAUUUUUAUUUUUAUUUUUUAUAUUAAAGGUCGUCGGUUGUCGCCACCGCCGUCCGAAAGAAAAAAAUUUUGUGUCGUUAUCAAAUGGUUAUUUUUGUUUAGAAACUCUUCUAGAAAUAGAAAUAGAUUUUCCAAAAACUAUUUCUAGAACAGAAUGGUUGUCAUGAGCGCCCUAAUAGAUCUGCUGCUUUCUUCUCUCACCUCUCUAAUGUGAGUAGGCCUGCAUGCAUUAAAGGAGCUUUGCCUCUCGUCAUUUCUUUCCUUCUCACUUCAAAAUUUUGGGUAAGAAUUCGCUCUCUGGCCCAAAGCACGUUGCUCCUCCACCUUGCUCCGGUGCCGGGUCAUCCUCGCUCUCUACCCCAGAGCUCGUUGCUUCUUCGGCCUGCGUCAUUGUGUUCCUUCUCCGCCCUGUGUUUUCCCUGCGCAAGACGGCCAGGAAUGUUCUUUCUGUAAGUCGCAAACUCCAAGCGACAAGAAGUUCCAGCUCUCUCCGAUUCGGCUUCAGAUCCACUACGUUCGCAGCUCAUAACAGUGAGUUGAUUCUUUCCCUGAUUUUUGUGUUUUUUUUUUUUUUUUCAGUUUUAGUUUCUUUUGUUGGUGGGUGAGUGCACGAGCUUGGCUAUCGAGUCGGCAAUUUUUCCCGUGAGUGUCCGGUGUUGUAAUUUUUGGGAGGUUGGUUUGUCUAGGCUAGCACUGAGUUUCAGUCCGAGGCGAAACGAAUGGUUGUAAGUUUCCGCGAAACCGGGGAGAUUAGCAGAAAACGGAUGCUUAGUAAUAUUGGAGAUGAUGUGGAAGUAUUUCGUUGAAACGAAUAGUCGGCACUUGUCUGAUUUUUCUGUUUUUGGCUUUUGUCUUCAAGUAUUUCGGUGGAAGUAAUUCGAUUGGGGAGAAUGGCGGAUAUUGUUCCGCCUCCCUCGGCAUAUAUACAUUCUUAACUCUCGUUUCUCCACAGAGAAGGGAAGAAAACCAGAAAGAAUUCAAAGAGGGGAAAAUGGCGGAUGCCGGUCUGUGUGCAGCUUCCACAGUGGCAGGGUGCCUGGUGGCUCCGGUCAAUCGUCUUUGUGGCCAUGUGAUUUCCUACGACAGCUACGUUCGCAAACUUAACGGUGAAGUUGAGAAGCUGGGUGACGCGAGGGAUGAGGUGCUGCAUUCCAUCGAUGAAGCUCGAAACAACACGAAGCCGAUCAAAGCCAAGGUCGAGAAAUGGGUGAGAGAAGUGGAGACCGUCACUAAGGAGGCGCGUGACGUGCUGGAGUACGACGGAAUUGCUAAGAAAACUUGCUUCUACGGUUGGCUUCCCAACCUGAACGUGCGAUAUCGUCUCGGCAGGGAGGCAAGGAAGAAAGCCGAAUGCAUCCAGAGACUCAUUGAUCAGAAACCAUCCGGGGAGGUCUACGACGAUCCUCCUCCAGGGCGCGUUGAUGGCACUCCCGAGGAAAUCGGUGAUCGAGGUGACACUAUCUUCGAUUCUCGAGCUUCCAUCUUAGAGGACAUAAUGAAAGCUCUGGAUCACGAGAAGCACAAGGUGGUUGGGGUCUACGGGCCUGGCGGCGUGGGGAAGACGACACUGUUGGAGGAAGUUGAGAAGAAACUCAGGAAAGAGGGGAGACCAUUCGACAUGAUCGUCAAAUCGAAAGUGUCGCAGACUCCGGACUUGAAGAAUAUCCAAGAUGAUAUCGCUUACGCCUUGAAACUGGAUCUGAAGAAUGAGCCCAGCGAAGUCGGAAGAAGAGAUCGUCUGUUCAAGAGAUUACAGAAGGAUCCGAGUGAGAAGAUUCUCAUAAUAUUGGACGAUCUGUGGAAAGAAUUUGAUCUGAAGGAGGUUGGAAUUCCUUCGGGAGAUGAGAGCAAGGGAUUCAAGUUGCUGCUAACGUCGAGAUUUAAAGAUGUUCUGGAGCAAAUGAAGUGUGAUACUCCCAUAUUUCAUCUUGAAGGUUUAAAGGACAAAGAAGCAUUCAGGCUAUUUGAGAAGACGGUCGGUGACAGGCUCAAAGACGAUGAAGAAUUGAAAGCAAUAGCACCUAAAGUCGUCAAGAAGCUUGCAGGUUUGCCUCUUCUGAUUAUCUCCGUCGCGUGUUGCUUGAAAGAUCGGGAUGUGACCGCAUGGAGAAUCGCUUUGACAAAAAUAGACCAGUCAAAAAUGGAGACUAUAGUGAAGUUGAGUUACGACCAUUUGAAGAGUGAGGACACCAAGACCUUAUUCUUGCUCUGCGGUCUUAUUGGCGGGACCAUUGACGUGGAAAUCCUGCUGGUUUUAGGCAUGGGUUUAGGCUUGUUUGAGGAAUUCGGAAGUACGAUACAAGAUUCAAGGGAUGGAUUGAAUACUAUGCUUGAUGAACUCCGUUCUGUUUGUUUGUUGCUGGAUGGUGGUGAUGACAAAAACAAUGUGACCUUAUAUGAGCUGUUGUAUGAUGAUGACUACAAGAACGAUGUGACCAUACAUGAUCUUUACAGCGAGGUGGUUGUCUCAACUCCAUUUAGUGGUCAGGAUUCUUUGAUGAUGAACAGCAAUUAUGGCUCACGGUCAAAGGAAAAGCUUGAGAAAUGUUGGGCUAUAUGCCUAGCUGAUGUUGACAAAAGGAGAUUUGAUGAACUAAUGAAGUGUCAGUUUCCUGAUAAGAAGAUACUCAUAUCGUCUCAACCGGGAGGCUGGCGUUGGAAACAAGAACACGAACGUGAAGUGGGAGAUUGGUUGAGACUACUAGAUUUCACAUACAUGAAGGAGCUCCGUGGACUAUAUUUUCGCUCCAUGCAUAUGGCCAGUUUACCUCCCUCAAUUGGAAUCCUCGGGAACCUCCACUCUUUAUACUUAGACUGUUGCGAUGUGAAGGAUGUGGCGAUUCUUGGCAAGCUCAAAGCAUUGCAAAUUCUCACCGUCGCCGCACGGUCCACCUUUUCUAGGUUGCCUAAAGAAAUUGGGGAACUCAUAAAUCUAAGAUCGUUGAAUCUAAGCAAAUGCUACUACCUUAAAACAAUUGCGCCAGGUGUCCUAAAUCGCUUAACCAACUUGGAAGAGUUACAUAUUUACCACUUUUCUCAAUGGAUGGGUAAUGAUCAAAUACCGUUAGGAUCAUGUAAUGCUAGGCUUGCCGAGUUGAAGAGCUUGACAAAGCUAGCAUCUCUGGAAAUAUCGAUUUCUAAUCCCAUCAUACUCUUGGAGGAUGGUGACCUACCAUUUGAGAACUUGGACAAAUUUCGGAUCAAAAUAGGAAAUGCUAGGGGGUGGAAAUAUGGAGGUUUGCCAACCAUGGGGCUCGAUUUAAAAGGGUGCGAUAGUAUUCUUUUGAGAAAAUGGGUUAAGAAAAAUCUGCAGAAGACUCAAUACUUAUAUUUAACCGGGUGUAGUGAUUUCAAAGAGAGCCCUCGCGAAUUGUGCACCCAAGAAUUCCAAGAAGUGAAGCGUCUCCACAUUGGAGACAGCCCCUCAAUUAAGUACAUUGUCGAUUCAUCCAAUGACCUCCCUCUCACUGCUUUUGGAAAGUUAGAGUCUUUUUCCCUUGAUAAUCUUAUUAAUUUGGAGAAGAUAUGCCACGGCCCCAUAGUGCUAGAGUGCAACAAAUUGAAAGAUGUGAGGGUCGUACAAUGCAACCAAUUGAAAUACUUGUGGCGUCUUUCAGAUGUGCAGAGACUUGUACGAUUGGAAGAGAUUAACGUGUCUGAGUGCAGCUCAAUGCAAUCCAUUGUCACACAUGAUGCAGGAGAAGAUAUAGUUUCUACCAAUAACAGAGUUGAGUUGCCUAACGUACGUCGUCUGCGAUUGCAUGAGUUACCAAAUAUGACAAGCUUUUGUGAUACUUCAAUUCAGGUAACCUUUUUUUUUUUUUUUUUUUUCAUUUUCCCCCGUCAAUUUGUUCUGUUAGGAUGAGAUGAUAUUGGUUUUCACUCAACGUUGGUACAUAUUGCAUUUAACUUUGACUAUUUGUACAAUUUGAUUUAGGUUUUGAUUUACAAAUAAAAAAUCCUCUCAAAUAGAACACAUACCAUAUUAUAGUUAAAGGGAAGCCUCUUUCCAUGACUGAUUUUUUUAAUUUUUCAAAAAAAAAUGUCAACAUUAGAUAAUUGCAUUGCUAACUUGGGUUUCUUCUGUGACUAAUUUAUUACUUAUUUAACAUUCUUAAUGAGACGAAAAAAUAAUGUACUGAACGAAUGAAAGGGAGAAUGAAUCUUGAAUGAAUAAAUAAAAUUCAAUAAUUUCAAAAUGAAGAAAGCACCGUCCAGAGAUUCAAUAAAUGGAUGGGGCCACGUAACAAAGAAAGUCCCCAUAAUUCAAGUUCCACCUAACAUGCAAUUUGCAACUGAUUCCAACAUGUCAUUCCAAGUUGCCAACAUCACCGGAUCAACAUCACUAUUAAUUUGAGCUGCAUUAAUGGCAUGAUAGCAGUGAGGAUUUCCUCAUGAGAAUGAUUUCGCUUUUCACGGAAGAGAAAUUAUUUCCUUUUUUUUUUUUUUGUAUUUUAGCCCUAGAGUUCCACUUAUUUUCUUGUGAAAAUAGCUUUACUUGUAACAGACUUACCUUUAAUGAGCUUCAUUGUGGUGCCACAUCAGGUUUCAUUGCCUCACUUGGAAUCCCUCAUAAUGGUUGGAUUCCUUGACCCAGAAAAGAUACUCUACAGUGAACUUUCAUCAACAUAUAGCUAUCUAAGAUCGCUACUGAUAAGAGCCUCUAAAUCCACGUCGAAGAGUAUUCUAAAAUUAGAUUGGAUUUUGAAGUUGUUGAAUUUGGAAUCAAUGUCACUUGGGAGAUUUCCAUCAGCAGAAGUAAUUUUUGACCUGGAGGAGCUAAAAGUCAUCGAAGAUGUCGAGAUUUGCUCUCGGCUAACGAAAUUGACAUUAGAGGAUUUACCAAACCUGCAGUGCAUGUGGAAACAUGAUGUAAAAUUACAAGGAAUAUCGAUAUUUCGAAACCUGAGGGACCUCUUUGUCUAUAAAACGGGGCUGUCAUUUCUCUUUUCGGUGUCUGUGGCUAAAUGUUUUAGAGAAAUUAGAGUCAUUAGAGUGUGGGACUGUCAAAAUAUGAAGGCAGUGAUUGUGGAUGAAGAAGGAAGAAACGAAGGGACAUAUGAUAUUAUAGAGUUCCCACUACUGGAGCAUCUAUCUAUACGGCAAUGUCCAAUGGAGAAAUUCUUCCUAUAUCCUCAUGUAAAGAAAGAGCCAGUAACCACUACUUCAGAUUUGCAAGAUGCUUACUCCAAUUCCUUCUUUGAUCGAAAGGUACAAAUCCCUUCUAUCGAGAUUUUACCCAUAAUAGCCAUAGGCACACGCUUUGUGGGGGGUGUAAUAAAAUCUCUUUGAAGAAUUUUAUUUGGUUUUAUUAGUUAGAAUGUGUUCAUUAUUUAUAAUUACAUUUGUCAUAAUAAGGCCAUUAGUGAAAAGUCAUUCUUCCAUCAUAUCAAAUAUAUUGCUAGGAUUAGGCCAAAUUGCCAGAUGUUUCAUAGCUAUGAUCUAAUGUAUAAUGAGUAGGUUAGUAUGUCAAGCUUGGAAUUUUUAUGGCUUCAUUCAAUAGGAUCCUUCAAAAGGAUAUGGCAAGAUGAACUUCCAAGAAGUUCUUUCUACGAAUUAGCCACCCUCAUCCUUGAAAAUAGCGCUGAGCUACUCAAAUGUCUUCCCUUGACAAUCAUAGGGAGAUUGCACAAUCUAGAAGAAGUCAGAGUUUCAAAUCGUCGUUUGACUGUAGGUUUUUUCGCAUUAUCAUGUAUUAGAACAUACAAUGUAAUAAAUUUAUCCUAUUUUUCCUCCUUUCUCACAUUAUCCUCAUGCAGGUUACAUUUCCUAACAUAACAAAACUGCAAAUUGGUGGCCUUUUGUGCCAAGAGAUAUGGAACAAUCAAAUUCCCACCAAUUCGUUUCAGAAGUUGGAAUCUCUUGUAUUGACGAAGUGUGACAAUCUCCAAAGUAUUGCUACUUCUUAUAUGUGGAAGAGGUCGCAGUGCCAUCUUGAGAUCCUAAAAGUGAUUUCAUGUCGUUCGAUCAAGAUCAUAUAUGAAGGUGAUGGGACGGAUAUAGAGAGUGGUAAAUUGAGGAGCCUAGUUUUGUGUGAUCUUGAAAACUUGAGGUGCAUUUGGCAGUCCGACAAGUUCCCAAACGUCCCAUUUCCAAAUUUGAGAGUCGUAGAGGCCGUGAGAUGCCCUCGUUUGGAAAUGCUUUUCCCUACCUUCACUAUGAAAUUUCUCGGGCAAAUCAAACAGUUGAUAGUGGAUUCAUGUGAAGAUAUGGAACUAAUUGCUGGCCAUGAAAAAGGGGAAGAAGCGACCCACACAACAAUCACCUUCUCUGAAUUAACUCUUCUAAUGCUUGUCAAGUUGCCGAAAUUCAGGAGCUCCUUCUUACCUGAGAAAUACUCUCUCAAAUUCCCAUGCUCCGAGGACUUCCCGUCCUUGCAAAACUUGAGUGUAAAAAGCUGUGGAGCAGAGCCGGACCAAGUCCUCGGUCACUUGGGAGUCCAAUUAAUUCGAAGCGGGGACAUAUAUUCAAAGUCGGACCAAGUCAUUGGUCAAUGGGAAUUCGCCAGUACGGAACGAGAACGUGGCAUGCCAUUUCAUGAGACGUGAGGUAUUCCUUCAAUAUUUCAUUGCUUUGGUUUGGCUCUCUGUUCCUUUGAAUCGAAAAUCAAUUUAAAUUAGCUAAGACACAAUUCUCAGUAGGAGCCACACGUACUCUACAUCACGUGGCCCUCUCUGUUCCUUUCUCUCUCUCUAGCUCUCUUUCUUUACUCUCUUCAACUAACGAUCUAUCGAUUCCCUUUUAUGCUCAGGAACCGUGCCUUCUGGAGUUCCCUUGAUCUUCGUUCCUUGUUCAUUCUCCCUCUCCGUCGCCCCUCCAUCCACCAACAGCCGCCGCCGAGAGUCCAUUGCUGGCCACCACCCGACAUGGCACGCUGAGAAGGGAGAAAGAACAGAGAGCAUUGAUCGAAGGCUGUCGGUGAUUUCGAUUGAAUCCUUUCCUCUCACUUCGCUGCUUGUCGUCACCGCUUCCCGAUCACCACAUGUUCCACUGCUGCGAAGAAGUUCUGUAAUGUCGGAGUGCUCGAACUUCGGUCACGACUGCCUACUUCGACGAUUCCAUCCCUUGAUGUUGCUUCUGUUAUCUCCUUACUCCUGUCUGAUGUCAAUCGCUAUAGGUAAUCGUUCUCUAUUCAACUAAACCAUAUAUGCUCCGUGUCUGUGUGCAAAUCGAUUGUGAUUGAAGGGUUGUAUUUAUGAUUUGAAGCAGUGCUCCUCGGCCGAAAUCAAUGUAUGCUACCCGUUUGAUGAAAUUCCUGAAUUAAGUCGGUGUGUAUUUUUUAUUCAGUUCUUGACCGAGAAUUCCCUUGAUUACUAGAUUGCUGAUCUAUACUGGUCAUUUAAGCAUAUUUGAGUUCUGUUUCUUCAUACAAAAACCAUAGGUGUUCGAUUUCAAACUUGUUUGGAAUCUGCUGGAACCCUGUCGAUACUUGCUGAUUCGCCAUUGUUGCGGCCCUGAGCUGAUGUCGAUUGGUCCUUGAUUUUAUGCUAUUCCACUCAAGUGAGCAUGUGCAGUGAUAUAAGGUUGUCUUAUGGUGAAUUUCAUGUUUGUUUGGAAAAGAAAUUAUGUCAUGGAUGAAUGAAAUUCUACUGGAAAUUGAUCCAUGUAUGCUGGCCCUGUCUUGAUAUCCCUGAUUGGGUGUGCUUUUGAUUCCAGCUUGAGGCUAGUUUGGUUAUGGGAUCAUAUAUGUUCAUGCUAGGAAAGUAAUAAAAUGAAUCUCAUACCAUUUAGCAAGAAUUGGGUUCAUCUCUGAACUUGAAUAUGCUAGAAUGAAGUAUUGCAUGCUGACCAUGAUUGUUUUGUUUAAAUUUGGCACUAAUUUGGUCUUUGAUUGAUGUCAUUUUGAUCAAGUAGACUCAUAUGCACUUAUAGGAAGAUAUGGCUUCUAUUCAUGUCUAUUCAUGUCAAUUAGUCAUCAAAAGAUCACAAUUUGUGGUCUUUAUGCUCUGUUACAAUUUCGAACAUGUGCUGGAAUUUUUAUCUUAGGUUUUUUCCACAGAAUUUUUGUCUUAGUUUGGUUGCCUUCUUUAUUGCCCGUGGAUAAGUGAUAUGCAUGUGCAUGAUUAAAUUGAUGAGAUAUGUGCUUGAUAUUGCCAUGAGAGUUUGAUUGAAUUUUAAUUCCAUAAUUCUCACGAUUCCAAAGGAAACCUUUAAUGGUACACAUAUUUUGAAGGUGAUCUGGUAGACUAAGCCAGAUCUGAGGAAAUCUCUCAACAAAGCUGGUCAAUGAGGACCCUUGAAAUAUUGCAUGUAUGACACUUGCCACCAAAGUACAUGUAUUCUCUUCAUUUCCUUCGACACUCAGCAUUCAAGGCUUAUUUACAAGAGCUAUUGCUUAAAUCUAAUUGAUCCUUCAAGUGUGUGUGUUUGUGCCAACAUACCGUGCACAACACCAAUUGCAACCUAUGUCCUUUUUCUCGGAGUGUUCACUGGCCACUACUAUUUAGAAUGAUGUUUCAAAGAUACGAUUUUUGUUUUCCUCCCUCCCCCAUAGAAUUCGCAAAAGCAUGUCCAGCACUACCAUUAACCUGCGCUUGAAAUCCAUUAGGACCCUGCCCAUAUGUUCCACCAGGAGUAGGUCCCUAGUUCCGAUUGUCUCUCCUAUAAACUAUUUUGCAAUGGAGGUGCAAAGCUCCAUCUAUCUCCUUGCAGCAGGUCUCUCUAUUGAUGAUAGUAAUUAUUUUUUAUGACCUUGCUGAUUGGAGGUCCCCUGAUCUGAAAAAGUUGAAUCUUUUUGUCUAAUAUGUUUAUGCUAUAAAUCUCGAAUGGAAAACACUAAGUCAAGAAGAACUUGAUGAACCAUAUGAAUUUAUCUUAAUGUCCACACGAUAACAUCAAGUCAUCCAAAGCAUUUUAUACAACAAUGGCAUCAUGUGUCCUUUCCACAACUUGCUUUAAUUAGUAGAGAGUAUCCAUCCGAACCACAACUUUGUCCUGCUCAUGAAUGCUCAUUCUACUCAUAUUUCUCAAUUUCAGCUGCUCAAAACACUGCUGUUUAACCCAAAAUCACUUGAAAAUUUUGUUAUAUACCAUUGCAUUUGCGCACACUCAGAAUUGAAUGCCACUAAUUUUACAUAAUCAAUCAUGUCGUGAGAGCAUCAGGAAGAGUGGUGGGCGAUCCAAGGAUUUUGCCACCCACAUCGGGAAACAUUUCGAAACCGGCCAAAGGACUAACUUUACCGUCUCUGCUCACAUGGAUGGGAUACUGCAUGAGGUGGCCUCUCAUUUCCUUGGGAUUAUGUUGGUCCUCAUCCACAUAAGCUUUCCAAUUCCGUUUGGCUAUUUUAUUCACCCUCUUCACGCAUUCAGUGCUUUGGGGUUCCCUAAAGCUGUCCUCUAAAUCUUCCAAGUGCUCCGCCCAAAGCGACAUCCUAUAACCAUAAACCUGCGCAGCAGAAGUUAACAUUAGUAGUCACAAGCUUAAGGUUUUGAUAUAUGUCGCUACCCUCACAAGGGUGUCUACCUAGUACCUCUAUUUAGAUAAGAGGCUAAUCCGAUGUACUAACCUGGCCAUGCGGAUGCCUCUUUUUCCCAGCCCAAAUGUGAUGCGGCUGAUAGGCCCCCAUCGCGAUUUCAGUGUCUCUUGAGCCAUCUAGAGAUCUUUGGUUGAUAUUUGCCGAUCCCAUGAUCACAUACUCAUCAUCUACUAUCAUCCCUUUGGCAUGCACAUAUAUCAUGAACCUGCGAAACUUUUGAACCGAAGCCUGCAUGAAUAGAAACGACAGCAUGUUUCAAAGCAGAAGUCUUUUUACCACUCGUUCAAAAACCAUAGCUCUUAAUGACUAUUUUUGUUUUAAGGAAAAAUCCAUGAAAAGAGUAUAGACAUAUACCAAGGCAUUAUUUUCGGAUUGUUGAUUCAUUGCUUGGGAUGAAGACUGUGUAGAGGACAAGGGCUCCUGCUUGCCAAGGCAAUAGAAAUUCAAGUAAUCUGACGGAUGGUACUUGUGUGACAACCCGGCUUUUUCGAGAGCCUGGGCUAUAAUUUUGUACAUCAUCGUCAUGGUUUGUCCCUGUCCACAUUAUCAAUCCACAAAUAUGAGAGUAGUGAAUGUUUAUCUCUUGGAGAAAAAUACUAAAUGACCUGAACAAGGUCGGGUCUCAAAUUUUCCCCUUUGAGUAGCUAGGUUUGUUCUGCUUGGAUCACUUCCUUUUCUGCUUAACUCUGUUCAAUGUGUUAUUUAGCUUCAAUUUGCUAGGACGUUAUAUUUAUUGAUAUACCGUUAUCGAAAUGCAAGUGUCAUCGCUAUUUGUUUGCAAGAUGAAAGAGUUUAUCCUUGAUAUGACCUGCCAUAAGAGAAUUUCCUGCACUGCAGCACUAGUAGGGACACCCUCCGGCCACAUCGGUAUCACUAUAUACACGCGGAAGCACUUGUUUUCACUGAUCUUACUUGUGAUCUUCAAUGCCAGCUCCAUCGGAACUAGAUUGUUUGCACCUGCUUGUCAAAACCAAAUCAAGCGUUGUUCGCCAUGAAAACUUGAACUCGAGAAAUUAGAUAGGCCGAAACAAAACUAGAAAAUGGGGGAAAAAAUCUAAAUUUAAAAAGGUUUUGACCUUAGAAAUAUAACAUAUUGAAUCAGAAUUCAAUUUUAAUGUCUUAUACAGUGAGUUCUAGCUAUUAUUAGCUGCUACACAAUCCCCAGAGGAAGCAAAGUCUAAAUUCUCUUUACUAGAGGUGCUAUUGCUCACUAAACUCAAGUCAGUCAGAAUGAAUAGAAAUGUGAAACUUAUACCUGCAUUUUUGUAUGAUGGCCAAUGGUAGGAAGAGCCAAAAAAAUACUGGUUUUCAAUGUAGAUGAAGUGUUGCGCCGAUCUAAUCGCUUUCACGUAAGCCGUGUGAAUGCUCUUGUCUACUUUCAAGUUCUUUCCGCAUAUAAGAUUCUGCAACCAUGAAGAGAUUGAAAGAAACAACAUGAUCAUUGCAGGCUUCAAUCCAUAUUCAAAAGCACUAACGAUUGUGCAUAAGAAAAUAGAGUGACUUUCUAACGUGAGGAAAACUUUUCGAGUUACGCAUAUAUAACAGCCACUUGCAAAUCUACCAGCAUGGUAUUAGCAGCUAAAACUUACUUGCUUUGCAGCCUCUUCAACGCUCUUUGGGAAUCCCUUUACAGAUCCCGAAUCAAUCGAUCUGAAGAUCUAUACCAACGUAAAAUAGAAAUGAAAGACGAUCAUUACACUUUGUUUUGUUUACGAAUGAAGUCCUCAAAAAUGGUCAUUAAUUUUACAUAAAGUUUCCCAACCUGCACGUGCCAAUUUUCCAGGUCAUCUUCGUCCCUAACUUGUACUUUUUUGUCACCAUCGGGACUUGUCGAGGGACAAAGUAUCCAUGAAAUCCUGUCAAGCCUUAAGAGAGCAUUCUCAUGCCAAUGCCUGACGUUUUUCAGCUUGAACUCGCGCCACUUCGCCACCUUUUUCCACCUCUGUUCGAAAUUCUUCAAUAUGUCAUACGCAGCUUGUCCCUCAACUUUGCAAUGUAGAUCAUGCCACGGUUCCCUUGGGACAUUGACAGUGGACUACAGUUGUCACCAAAAAAAAAGAAAAGCAAUGAUCAAAUGAUUGGAAAAUAACAUUUACAUGUCUUUACAGUGCUGAAGGUAAACAUUAGCUUAAUUACCAUGAAUGUUGGGUUGUGAAUGUCAUUCUUAAAGACAGUGUCAAGAUCGCUAUAGAGUCUAUGCUCGGGAGUGUCGUAUCGGCCAUCACAUAGGUCCAACCCACCAAUGAAAGCUGUUAUUUUGCGGUUGUUUCCCAAGGCUUGAGUGUCGAGAACCACACACUUUUGGUGGUGCGUGUACAAGGUCCCCACCACCUGGACUACAAAAGAUCCAUACACCAACAAAUUAAACCAAACAUUUUCGUAGAUUUAUGCUGGAUUUCAAUCGAAUGGGCAGCUUCUGCAACACUGUAAAAUUCGCUAUUAGAACUAUCCUAAAUGCAUGUCAUUAGGUUAGAGAACACAUGAUAUGAUCUAGGACAGCAUGAGACAGAUCAAUAACUUCCGUGGAUUGUCUAAUGAAAAGAAAACAUUUCCUAUGAAAUUAUACCCGAAUGGAAUAAUCAGGUAAUAUACAGCAAAAGCAAUGCUUUUGAUGCAAUCAAACAAUGAGAUUUUGAUUAAGGAUCGACCUAAACAUCUAAGGAUACAUACCUGUUGCUUGAAAAUGCUGAGUUUGGUGCUUGCAUAACGAGGAGCAAGCACACAGCGGACGCCAGAGUGUCGGAAGAACUUCUUCGUCUCUUCAUCAUGAGUUUGCAUCACUCCAUCCUGCACUAACAACAUGACACAUGCCAAGUCUCAAUGAUGAGAGAUCUCAAUAAAGAACUAUCUUUUCCUAAGUUGAUAAACGUACAGAUUUUCUGUCACAAAGAGCAUGGAUUUGAAAUUUGGCCAAAUGGUGGGUUGCACCAUAAAUAAGGAUACUUAUCCAAGAAAGAGCCAUGAUAUAACAUAUUCUCCUUUUGCAUUUUGUAAAGGCUAACUGAAAGAAAGAACUAUUAAAGGUCAAGAUUUUGAUUAUUCCAGCCUUUGUGUUAAAAAACAGAAAACUUCUUAUCUGUAAAUAUUCAUUAAGCCAACACUAAAAGUAAGAAAAUCCUUUACUAACUAUGCACCAUUGAUAAAAGGGUGAUCCUUAAAUGCGAUGCUGGUAGAAUAAAAAAUGUGUUCGCAUACGGCUCUCAUCACCAUUGAUGCAUUAGUCAUAACUUGAACCACUCUACUGCACCGGCCCAACAAAUCAAUAGGGUUGGAAGCCGUGGGCGGACAAAUUUUUCUCGACCCAGCAGUAUUCCGAUCAUUUCGCAAACCAUAAAGACAUUUCCAUGUUUCAGCAAUGUAUUACAUGUAAGCAUGGUUUAGUAUUACCAUCUUCAAGAGGAACUUGUCGUGUGAAGUCUUGUCGUCCCAAACAAGCACGACCACUCGGACACCUUCCUCGGACUUGUACUUUAGGAGCUCCCCUAAAGAGAGCUCUCCUCCAUUCGGCAAUUCCCUUGUGGGCUCUCUCACAAGCCUCACAGGAUGAUAAAUGGACCAACCAAUGAUGUAGAUCAAGUGGUGGGCCUCCAAAAUGGCAUGGCAUAUGUCCUCCCAGCACCUGCCUUGCUCAUAAAUCUUCCCAUCAUCAAGCAAAAUCUGAGGCAGCUUGCCCUUUGGGACAUGAGCAUCUUGGUACAGUGUCACAUCCCCACCUUUCCUAAGUGGAAAAUAUGUGUUUGUGACACCAACAUAGUUUGGCCCAACCCCAACACCAUCCUUGUAUAAGGGGUUGUCACUGACUGGCCUGAAUUGGAUUGAGAUGUGAAGUUCCGGGUAGGGCUUGAGAGGGCUCCCGAAGUUGCCGAUUAUCGGGAACCAGUCAUUAAUCAUGUCGCUGGAUACGAUCUUGGCCACUGGUAUCUCCACGACCCCGAUGAGCUCAGCCCCAAACACAUCAUUGUCCUUCACAUGAAACUCCACUUUCACAACCGGAUGCGCCACGGGAACGCAAAACCGCUCGUCCCACAGGGGGUUCUCGCAGUUCUGGAUCACCCGGGUCUGGGCAACCGUGGCUCCCGCCAGGCAGACGGAUACGUAGGGGUCACUCGUGAUCAUUGAGUUCUUCCCUGAGGAGCGGGCAGGGACGGGCCGCUGCCCGUGUAACGCAGGCACGCAGGGUGGCCCGAUCAUGGAGCAGCACUGCCUUAUUCUCUCCGAGGCCAGGUCCAUGUUUGGGAGGGAUUUGGCCUCCGCUAUGUACAUGUCCAAUUCGCCGUGCAAGAAGAUUGGCCCUGUUGUGACGUUAAGCCCAUUGAGUUUUCCCGGUUCAGUGUCUGCGUUCCCUGGGAUUUCAUCCUCGUUGCCCACUCUUCUUUGCGCCGGGUGCCAAUCUUCCAUCUUCUCAAGCAUUUCUUGAUCACCUCAAUUUAACCCAAAUUUGGGCAGACUUUCGCACCUAAUAAAAGCUGAUGCGGUCUGCUAAAUUGAAACUCAGUUGCUCUAAAGGAAUGUACCGAUUUGUUCGCUUAAUUUCUGAAACCCUCAACGAAUUCGGUCUCUGCAGAAUUAGGAUCCGCAGGUGCUCCUUGCUGAAAAUCACACGGAAUUAGGGUACAUUAUUUUUCUUGCGCAUGAGAGAAAAUGAUCCCAUUCGUAAGUUCAUUAAAAAAGGUACAAGAAAAUCUUUAAUAACUUUUCCAAAAAGAACAAAGAUUAACAGAUCUUGUAAUUCAAGGAAAUGACAAUCCUCAUAUCACAAUUGAUCGAUAGGUAAAAACAGUAUGCCCGGAAAUCUGAAGCCUUGGGGAAAUAGCUUGACGAGAAGGAAAAAGAGUGAAAAGGAGAGUUACCUGGUGUUGGAAAAAGCAAGGAGGACCCAGAAUUGGGAAGACGAAAAGACACCAGACAAUGGAAAAAGAGCUUUGCAAGGUUUUCGCUCGUUGGAGAGAGAAAACAGAGGGAAAUGGUCAAAAGACAACACCAGAGAGAGAGAAUACAGGAAAAAUCGAAAGCGAAGAUGGUGGGAAGCCUCAGAUGAUGAUGUGUAGACCAUCUUUAUCUCAAGGACUCGUCUUGGUGACUCCCUUUCUCAUGUGACCCGAUGAGGUACACCUUUCAAUUUUAGAUGGUUGAUGGGAAAGUAAUUGCGGGGAAUUAGGGGGUCGAUCGAAUGUCAUUCGAUUCAUCCUCUCUAGUCAUUAGCAAAACUUAAUUAAUUGACUUUGCCAUAGUCCACUGAAAAAGGAGAAAAAAAUCACAUAUGUAUAUGUGAGAUCUAGAGGAAAAAGGCAACAAGUUUCGUUGAACCAUAUCCAGGCAUUUAGUAAAGCAGCUUAUUCACCAGUGGUGCAAAAGAGUGACGAUCCAACGAGGUAUAUUUUGAAUAAAGUACACGGACUUGGCAACGAAAGUUAAGUCUGACGCAAGAAAUCCAAAUUUUCUGAAAGAAAACAAUUGCAUAAUCCAGCUCACAAUCGCAUUAAUUUUGGUGAGGGAGAUGGAAUAUCCAUUCUGUAGUGAUUAUUAUUGUUUCCAUGCAUGUUUGCUGAACUUGGACUCGCGUGCAUGCACACACACACACACAGGAAUCCAUCUCAUACCUCACAACUAUUUACAGAGAGAACCGACAGCGUAUAUGAAAAAUGACAUGAUCUAAAAUGAGGACUUAGUUCUCAACCUAGUUCUCAACCUACUAUCCUGACCAUGUGUAAUAUCGUGACUCCUGCAGGAACCACAUCAAAUCCUCUCGAGAGAAGUCAUGUAAAUCAACAUCUUUGCAAGCCUUGCCAUCCCAAGGACCCCAUUUGAGCUCUCUAAUAUCUCCUCUGCAGAAGACAGCGGUGUUGAGGUAUGUCAGAGGCAGCAAGAUGAGAAAAGCUCACACUUAACAGCUACAAUGUAACAAGUUAAGAUAUCCCCAAACGAAGCAAUGAGAUGGUCAUGGUCACGGUAAAAUUGACGAGAAGAAAAGCAGAUGCAAUACUGGACAACACUAAAAUAAUUUCUCUCUUUUCUAUCAUAUUUCCGGGGCAGAGCAAGAGGUAAAGAAUGGCUGUGAGCCUACCUACCCCAUGGAAAACAAAAUAACACAUCAGAUAGCAAAAUUCUCAUGUUAAAGACUGCCAUGCAGAAGUAUGCUUCCGCCCAAGAGGAAAAGAAAAUAUACAAAUAUAAUGAGAUUUGGAUGAGUAUGCACAAAAAAUCAUGCGACGGGACAAGUUCAUCUGUAUUUUAAUCACAGAAAAAAAUGGCUAAUUUCAAGGUCCAGCCCGCAACCAACAUUAAAGCCAAUGUCAUGACAGAUGCAGUGGAAGCAUGUAUCUCCAUCUAAAAACAAGAAAAUGUGCAUUACUUUGGAAUAGCAGCAAGACUAACUUCACGGCCCUUGUUCACAAAAGCAACCGCCCACCGUAAACUACUUAAGUUUACACACGACAUAGAUCAACCGCCCCCUUAUCCGGUUCAGUGAAGAAAUCUCGCUAAGCAUCCCACUUAACACCUCUCUCAAGAGUAAAAUAGCAACAAUCAAAACCAAUUCUUCAUAAUCUUAUGGCAGAUGCAUAGCAAAGUACUCAUUUGCCUCAACGCAUCACCCAAACUUGGCAUAGUUGAAAUCCCAUACAAUGAUAAUCAUUUUACACAUGGCUAACAAGUAAUGACUACCAUACUCUUUAUAUAUUACUCCACUCAAGGAUCUAUUUCAAUAGACUAUAAAAACUUACUUGCUCAAUUCCCCCUUGUCCUUCUGGUCUGUAGCUCCUCUGGUCUUGCUGCGUGCUCCACUGGUCUUCCUGCACAUUCUUUUGCCCUGGUGGUGUGAACCUUUGUCCUUCGCCAUAUCCCAUAUAAUUCUGUCCAUAACUGGGAUUCAUUCCUUGGCCAUGUGCAUUACCAGUACCCUGCCCUUGAAAUCCAUCAGAACCCUGCCCAUAUGUUCCACCAGGAGCAGGUGCACAGUUCCGAUUGUCGCUCCUAUAAUCAUUCUGCACUGGAGGUGCAGAGCUCCAUCUAUCUCCUUGUGGCAGGUCUCUCUGUUGCUAAUAGUAACUGUUGUUAUGACCCUGUUGAUUGUAGUUUCCCUGGUAUGCAGGUACCGGAUCUCUCCUCUGCCCUCGAUAUGGAUCCCUUCCGCCAGGGGCAUAAUUCAUAUUGCCCAUUGGCAUGGGGUUUCUUCUUUCACCUUGCCCCGAGGGAUCAUAACUUUGCUGAGGAGGAUAAUUUUGCGGAGCAACCCGCUGCAUAGGUCCUUGAUAACCAUAUUUGGGGCUCCCUUGACUGUUUGGCAUUUGACCUCCUUGCCGGUCUUAUCUAGGCUGGUCAUAAUUUCACAUUCCAAAACUUUCACAAUCUACAACUUGUUUCUACUCUACUUUUGCAUAUUUCAAUUAAUUAAUUAUUUAAUUGGAGAAGUCUACCUGACUGCUUGAUCCUAAUAUAUUGAUUAUGUAUAUUACCAAUGAGUUUUUCAAGAAUUCAAUUGAUUAAUGAUUUUAAUAGCUUGGAAAUUCAGUACAUCAAGUACAAAGUACUAAUAUUACAAUAGGUGAGGUAAUAGACUAGGGAACUCUUUAUUAUUCAUUGAUGCUCCUCUUCAUUUCACAUUAUCAUUGAUGGCCUCUCAAAUAUUUGUCCUUAUACAGGACGAUAACGAUAACUAUUUAUAAAAAUAGUUGUUCCAUCCAUCAUUGUGUUCCUUAACUUGGUUGUAUUUAGAUUUUUCUUUAUAAUGUAUGUUGUUAAUUGAGUAAGUACAUUUUUAAACUCAACACUCCUAACAACGAGGCAAUUUAUUGGUCUCGAUAAAAGGUACUCAAUUAAAACCUCCUUAAAUCUGAACUAUUUUUCGAGAGAGAUAUUUGUUGAUAUAAUUAGUCAAUAAAAAUUAGUCGCACGAAAUAUAAUUAUGUGACCUUUAUACAUGUUAUGGUGACUGCAGGAGGAGAACUUAAUGAACUUGAGUUUUGGACAUAAUCAAAGACAAAUAGUAUCGUCAACCAAAUCAGUUGUUCACAAAAUCCAGAGCAAAAUGGGUCGCCAACAAUAUACUCCUAAAAUUUGGAUGCCCAGGCUGAUUCAUUUUGGCUUACUUGUGCUAUUUUUAAUGCAUUUGUUUUUAUUUAACAUUUUAAAUCCUUUUUUUGAGAAAAAAAUCCCCAUCCUUACUGUUUUAACAAAAAAAAAAUUAUCACUUAGUUAUUUUCAAACUUUCCACUCUAGUUUGGACGCGUCUAACUUCCUAAAAAUAGCAUGUAAAUUUUAGUACUAAAGCAGAUAUUAAUAUUCUCAACCUUUCCUUUUUUAUAUUAAUAUUAAUAUUCUCAACAAUUUUUAGUACUAAAAAUUUUGUCAUGCGCAGCAGCAAGUACGAUGGAAUUUUUUAUGGCCUAGGCCCAUCACCGAUUUUCCCUUCCCUCUGGAAAUCGGUUAUGACAACAAUAACCAGAAGGAAAUUUUCGUCAUUUUAAAUCGGGGCACUUUCGUCAUUUGAUGAGAGAAAUAUAAAAGGGAAUUUUUGGUCUUCGUCAUUUGACGAGGAAGUUCUGGAUUCUGACUGAUUCUGCUUCGCGUCCCUAACCUCUCCCUCCCGUCCUCCCUAGCUUCACCGCCGGCCGGCCUUCCAUCUCCGACCACGGCAGGCGCACGAAGGAAGGCACACACUACACGCACAGGACAAACAAAGCUCGAUCCUGGAAUCGGAACUUCAAUUUCGUUGAUUCGAGCUUCACCAGAGGUGAAUCAACGUCGAUUCCAGUGUUCAUGACUUCGAUUGCGGUGUUCUAGUGAUCGUCUGGUUGCAGUUCCGAUCGUGUGCUGUCCUGACCGCGAGGCGCUCCUUCGGCUCGUUCUUUCGCUUCAGGGAUCGGUGGAAGGUUGCGUAAGUUCGAACCGCAUGGAAAAGGACGCCCCGUCUCAGUUGACUCCAACCAUCGCUUACGAAUCUUCUCUCCACCGAUUGAGCUAUUCAACUUCUCGCUCUAGUCCAAGCCCAAGAGUCGUCCUCGCGUCGAAUGAAUGUAAGGAUACUGCUCGGGAAGUGUUCGAUGAAAUGACCGAAAGACUCUAUCCGGUAUUUUGUCCCGUUGCUGGCCAUUAGAAUCAAUGCUAUAGUGAGGCUGUGCUCUCUGUCUGGAAGUCACUGAGCCACCACCAAAUCAUCAGGUCGUCUCUUCUCCAAUUAAACUUUGUUAUUGUCGUCGAUUUGUUAUAGACUCGCCUCUCUUGAUCUCCGUUCAGUUUUUAUUCUUUUCGCCUUUCAUUUGACUGCUCCGUCCGACCUUUGUUUGGUCGUCGUGCCAAGACACUUCUCGUCACCAAAAGCCAGAAGCGGGACUGCAACGGUAGGAGCCAAGGAGGCGCAGUCGCGAUCGCUUUCGAUAAUACCGGUUGCCUUAUUCGGACCUUCCUCUGUGUACACAUUCGAGAUGGCCGGAACGGUAUUUACUCGGGAGGUUAUACGUGCUCGCUAAGGCCAUAGCACUUCGUGUCGGCCGAAGCUUAUUCUAGGAUUCCAUUUAUAGAAAGGUUCUGUCGAUUUUGGUCCUAAAGUGGUGGUGCGCUCAAUUGUAUUUCGCAUUGCAAGUUGAAUGAUGAAACUCCACGAACUGGACCCCUGAUUUUUUGCUGGAAUGUGUUGGAAUUUGCCGAAUUUUUGUCGAGGUGUUGCCAGAAGAUUAUUGUUGUAGCUUUGCUAGAAUUCACUAAAAGUUUACUUGGAGUUGCCGUAAUUUGUUCGGAAUUGUUGGAACUCGCUUGAAUAUGCUGGAGUCUUGCUGAAAUAAGUUAGAAUUUUGUCAAAACAUGCCCCCUUGUCUUUAAAGAUACUUUUCUAGUUCGCCAACAUGCAAGACGACAUUUUAAUGCCACAACUCUCCUCAAGGGCAUCCCAUAUGUUAUAACUCAAGGAUUUUCUUGUGAAAAUCUAUUGAUGCUGGCGAGAAGAGGAGAGAGAGAGAGAGAGAAGAAAAGGUGGCGAAGCUGCUGGUAAUUUUUGUUUCAUGUACUCAGUAAAAUCUUUAAAUAGAAUGAUAACUUUAAAUAAAUUAAGUAACUUCCUUGGCAUCCGUAGGUUUUAGUGUUGGCUUUUAGGUUUUUUUUUUUUUUUUUCUAAAUAAAUUGUUUGAUCUCAAUUGAAAGUCUUGUUUCCCUAUUCGAUUAUUCACCUGUUGCUUUUGGUGAAAAAUUUCGCGUAAUUCUGUAAAAAGUCGGUCGCACUGCUAAUAUCUUUAUCAUGUUGAUUCUCCCAAUUAUUUUCGAUGAAUCUAUAUAAAAAUCAAAUCAGAAAUCUCAUCUUCUUACCCCCUUUAUUUGGAGAAAUCCCUUCGCACUCUUCCAUCAGGUGACAUACUGCUUCAGUUGCUUCCUUCAUUGUUCCUCUUAGAGCAUCAUAAUAAAAAAAUAAAAUAAAAAAUAAAAAAAAUUGUUGCACAGACUAUGUAGAAUUACAAAAGAAUCCAUCUCUAUUUCCUACGACUUCAUAGCACACAAAAUAUCUAGUGCUUCGGCGACAUCCCAAUUCUAACAACACCCAGAAACCAUUGCAUUCCAGGAGCUUGUAUCUCAGAACGGCGUAUCAUCAAACACCUGACGAGCAUUACCUAAGUAAUCAAUUUUGAGCAUACGUGUGAGGCUGAAGCUUGUGGAUCUGGGCUGGGUGUGAGAUGGGCAUGGUUUAAUGGGUCGUAUCAAACCGAAAUGCUUGGGGGAUUGGGCCGAAUUUAUCCUCUUUUUUUCAUUAUCAUUUUGUGCCGCGGUACUUCCCACUCCAAUUUCGGCUUUGAUGCUCUCAGAACCCAUUUUUUUACCACGUCAGUCACUCGUCUUCUCUUCGAAAUUGCCUCUUUCUUUGUCCACCGCAAUCUACUGCGGACCUGGAUUACAGAAGAAGUUUUACUUUUCAAAAUAGUGAUUAUUAAUGAAUUCACAGCUGUAAUAUUUAAUUUGUUUAUAGUUUUUGCUCAUUUGCAAGCUUCAAAAAAUUUGAUUGAUGUAAUAUUUAUUUUAUUAUAAUUGUUGCAUAUUACUUCUCCUCCAAGUCGAUACAAAUAUAUAAAAUAAUAAAACAAUUAUUGUUUUAGAGCCGUGUGUGGGACCUUCCUUUAUAAAUUGCUUAUGCCAAAGGCCAUCCCAUUAUGGGCACUAGUUAGGGCGAAAUAUUUAGUGGUUUCCGAUUGCCGGACCUAGACCUAAGAUGGGUGAUGGGACCUGCCAUGGCUGCACAUAAAAGUUUCAUGAAGUGGAAUUAAGGAAGGAAAAGCAAAAAAACGACGGCUAGAAACCUCACAUGCAGCCUGGAACCGACUAUCUAAGAGAGUGCUGAAAAUUAACAUAGGCAGGUCCUUUGUGGCCGGAGAUUCAAUGGGAAGCAUGGUUGGAGUGAGUCGCGGUGAGACUGAAAGGUUAAUUGAUAAAUUUGCAAAGGAGGUGAGUGAUAAGCACAACCAUAGAUUGCAAUUUGCCAUUCUGAGAAGUGCAGCCACUUAUCACCGAGUGCAAGGUCCUAAAGGCACAUUAUAACCAUAGUCAGAUAGAAAAUCAAGUGACAGACUAAAUUACCAAGGCUCAUUGUUGCAAAAUCCCUCCAAUUGGGUCCCUAAUCUCCUGCAAGUUUUAUCAAACCUCGUUUGCUUUGAGGCUAACAAGCAAUGAAAGCAGUUGGUUUCCUGGGAAAAAAAAAGAUUGGCAAAAUAAUAUAAAUAUUUUGUCAUUCUCACACACGUAGCUCAUGCAUGAUCUAAUCAUUGUCUAACGGCUAAAUCACGUAGCUAAUAACAAGGUUAAUAUACAUAAAUAUAAAAUUAUUUCCUAAAUCUCUCACAAAUCUUAAAUUUUAUAUUUAAAUCAUUCUCAUAUAGAUUUGACUCUAAAAAUGAUUUAACAUUUCCAAUUAUUUUUUCUCUAUAUAUUUGCAAACUUCUUUUUUUUUUUCCAAACUUUUUCCCUAUAAUCUCUCAACAAAACCGGCCUCAAAAGAUUGCAUCCACGACACUUGCCAACAAAAUACCGAUAUUCUCUCCCACUCCUUCGACGCUCACCAAUUUCUAGGCUUUGUUUAUAAGAGCUGUAGCUUAGACCUAACUAAUCCUUCAAGUGUGUGCGUUUGUGCAAACAUACUGUGCACAGCAUUAAUUGCGAGCCGCUCAAUCAUGAUGCCUUUCCUUCCUCCAAGCUACCAUCGGUCACUACUAUUUAGAAUGAUAUUUGAAAGAUAUGUUUCCUAUUUCAUUAGAAUGUUCAUGAUAAACAGAUAGUCAAUUCUCAUCACUAGUUAUUUUUGUUCCUUUAUUUUUAGUAUGUUCUACGAUUUGUUUCUUGGAGUUGCAACAACUUGACAUAGAGGAUAAUACUUACCCUAGGCAAUUGAAUUGGUGACAAUUGUUGACUACGCUUGACCCUGAAUUCCCACUUUCUGAAAUAAAUAUAUAUUUUCAUUGUAACGUCCAAAUGCGGACUUCAUUGUUCGCAUGACAGGGUAUGUGUCGCAUGAGAUGGAUGAAACGUUGAUAGAUUGAUGAGUUCUUGGCGCAAAUCGUUCCAGUCCUUAUUUGUCUCUUACUGGAUAUUUAUUUCUGUCAAGAAUAGACGUUGCCGAUCCCUAUUCUGUUGACAUUCUGUCCAUCAUUUUAUCGCUUCUUUCCAUGGAAUAUGAUAUAUCUUUUUUAAUUAUUUUAUGGGGGGAAGAUCAAGCGGUUUAAUAAUGAACAUUUAUGAUUAAAGACAAUGAGUGGACGGAAGGAUUAGAUGAGAAGAGGGGAGAGUUUUUAUCCAUUUACCUCUCUGUCAUUCGUCACGGAUUCACCCCCUGCCUCUCAUAUUUUCCUUGUCUCCGUCACCAUGUUAUGUCUAUUUGGUCAUGGAAUUUCAUUCUUGAAUCGCAUUAUUGUCCUUGCCUGAAAUGGAAAUAUACAAAAGGAUUGAGAAACAUGUCAUGUGAAGAUGCGAGAAUAGAUGGAGAAAUGAUGAAGUGAUAGGGGUCGCCGUUAUCGGCAUUUUGGUGCGAAUGAACGUAUGGAAGAUGUACAAGAGCGGUUCAAAAGAAGCUUUUGAGAAUCGAUCUAGAUUAUGGACAGUUUAUUUUAUUUCUUAAAUUUUUGCUGCAACUGGGAAACGCAUGGGGAUAUCAAGAUUGAUUGCACUAUAAAUUCGUUUUGUCGCGGUUAUCGGCAUUUUGGUACGAAUGCAAAUUCCUAUUCUUACUAGUUUAGCGUUUUGUUUUCUAUCGCUUAAAUAUUUUCAACCUUUCAUCUCUCAUCUAGACGUGUGUAACUUGUGAAAAAAAGAGCAUGUAACUUCACAAUUGUCAUGCGAGCCAUCGACUUAGUUUUAGAGCUGAAGUUGAAACUAAUAUUACGAAGCAAAAAAGAAUGCUUUGAGAAAUUAAAUUAAAAUCGUGAUCGACACUCUAGACUGAAAUUGAUUGUGGCUUGAAAUGAGAAGUACAAUCGGCAACAAUCUCGUGGAGAGGUUAAUGAGAGAGAGGAGUUGGUAAAUUCUCAAUGCUCUGUUUUUUGUCAUUCUUUUGUACAAAGUACAGGCUAAGAAUUCCGGUGGAGAUUUCGGCGAUAUAUCCUUCAAUUUAGGAUUUUUAAUGAUCUGUACUCAUUUUGAUGCUGUUGUGAUAAACUUGGAUUGCAAUAAUUGCUUUCAUGUUGCGAUUUGAUCUCUUGUUCGAACCGAUCACCAUAUGUUCGUUAAAAUGCCGAAAUGAAGUUCGUGUGCAAAUUCGAGAAGCAUUUUCAUGCCUUAGUCUGGAAUGAUGGUUGUAUAAUACACAUGGUCAAUUCAUUUGCAGCGUCUCUGCUUCCGGUGAGUUAAGCCUAUGGCUGAGACGUCGACAUGCCAUGACUACUCGAUUGUUGUUCAAAUCCAUCCGCACAUGCUGUCUCUGAUCCUGAUAUGUUCUUGUUAAUCAUUUUUCAGGAUGACCAAAGCAUGUCAACUUAUGCCAUAAGUAGCAUAGUAGAAUCUAGUGGUCAUGAAAUUAUUGGCAUCUGACGAGUUAUGUUCACUGGAUUUGGAUAUUGUUUUACUCGUGAAUCUAUCGGUAGGCUGAAAGGUCUUACGUUGCCUAUUUGUAUACAGGUUCAGUUGUUGCUGAAUGAGUCUCAACCAUGAGAAUUUACAGUAGAAUGCUGUGUUUAUGUUGCUAUGCAUUUCGGUUUUUGCAGCAUGAUGUUCUUCGAAAAUGUCCCCGCUGCAGCCACCUGUAGUAUUUGGUCCCAAGAGUUCCUGUUGUGUAUUAUCAGAGUUGUUUCCAAGUUAUUCAAGUCAUAUUGUCAAUUUACGUUGGAUAUCCGUGCUGAUUUUUAUAGAACUUUAAUGUGUUUUUUGCGUCAUAUGUUGGCUAGGAUUGGAUUUGAUAGAUCUUGGUUUCAUAUGCGGGUUAGUUUGGUAGCACACGAUGGUACAUGACGUGCAGAUGAUUUCUCGUCAUUUUUUAAUGUUUUAGUAGUGAUUUGGUUGAAUAAAUAAAGGUCACGUGCCAUUGUCCGAACCAUAGACUACAAGUAUCGGACUCGUUCUUAGUUAAAUAACAUGUCCCGGGUUAGUUUCUGUAAGUGGCCAUGACCCCGGGCUGGAUUCUUUAGUUUACCGGAUCAUUCCGUGCUUAUUUGUUAUAUGUUUCCUCUUGGAAUUUCAUUAUUGGUCGUCAUUAGGGGGAUAUUUAUUUGGUACCUUAGAAAUAGAAUAAAUCUUGGAUUUAGCUCAUGGGGAUUCUUGUCCCGGGACUCAAUAAUGAGGUCAUGUAUAUUCAUUACCUGACAUCAUAUCGAGUUUAUUCUAUCGCACUUUACCUUUAUUGCAUUGAUUAUGAUUGGUUACUUAUUGGUUGUGCACCCAUGCAAGUACAUCAUUUAGUGGUGUAUGAUAAUACGAUAGGCAAAGAUCGCAUGAACAAUAUAUUCGAAAGAUUGAGAAUCGGUAUUGAAAGGCUGGUCAUUAGAUAAUUAGUGUAAUUAAGCCCCGAUCUUAGACCAAUAAUUUGCAAGAGUGAAGUGUACUACUGCACUUCACUUGGCUCUUAAUUGACCCUAAAUAGAGUAGUGACGAUUCCAAUUAAAUAAAAUUUCUUUAUCAAUUGAAACUCAAACGUCACGAUAGUUAGGAUUUAAGAGAACUCACGUUGAACAAAAGCGAACACCUCGAACAAAGGCAUCGCUCAAUCGUUAUACCCGCCCCCUCUAGAUUCUUUAGAGAGGGUCGCAACAAUUUAUGAAAGGAAGCUUUCGAAAAUUAGUUAUGGUAAUACGUGUUAUGGUGACCAGAGGAGGCGGAUUUAAGGGGCUUCAUUUUUUGGCACAUUUUAAGGGGGUUCGCCCCAGUGGCUGGCUACCUUUCCAACUUGGAAUGGGGAGGUGAGGAGUUCAAAUCCCCACCUUCACGGGGGAAUUGGGAUGGGGGCGAUUUCAUUUCAGGAGUUGGUUUCGACUCCCACGCUUUGUAAGGAGGCAGGUCAAAAGUUUGAGAGUGAGUGUUCGAAUAAGAUUAGAGUAGGACCGACCAAAAAAAAAAAAAGAUAGAUGAUGUCGUCAAUUAAAUCUCGUCCAUGUGCUCCGAAACCAAGUGGGGUCGCCGACAAUUUGCUUUAGAAAAUUUGGAUGCCCAUGCCAAUUCAUUUGGGCAUUCUUGUGCUAUCUUUUUUCAUUAUUUAUUUUUAUUUAUCAUUACAGAUCUUUUUUUUUUUUAACAAAAGAUCUCCAUCCCCAUUGCUUUCAUGUUUUGUUUUCUAUCGCUUAAAUAUCUUCAACUUUCCUUGCAGGAUAGCCACCUAUUCAGCAUGUUUGCCUUGUUCUUGUGAUAAUGUACUUAAUGUUGUCAAUCGUGCGACACACAUAUUAUAUGUACCUUUAUCUAUGUGAACAGUAAGCUUGAGUUGGAACCUUAUGACACCUAUAUUCCAUUGGUCACUCUAAAUCCUUCUUAUUGAACCUUCAUUCUUACCGUGUUUAUUCUUCAGAGAUAAACUACAAUCGAGAGAGAGAGAGAGAGUCCAUGGUAAAUGAAGGCAUAUAAAUGAGGAAUUAAUGGAAAGGAAGUAAAUAGAGCUGAUAAUGAAAAAAAAAGGUGAUAAUUUUUUUAUCGAGUGAACUUCACCUUUAAGAUAAUAUAAAAAUAAUGGAACUCAUGAACUUGCCGAAUUUUUGUUGAGGUGUUGCCGCAAGAUUAUUGUAGCUUUGCUAGAAUUCACUAAAAGUUUACUUGGAAUUGCCGUAAUUUGUUCCGAAAUUUUUUAAACUUGCUUGAAUGUACCGGAGUCUAGCUGAAAUAAGUUGAAUUUUGUCAAAACAUGGCCGGAAUAUUUAAAGAUACUUUUCUAGUUCACCACAUGCAACAUGACAUUUUAUGCCAUGACUGUCCCCAAAGGCGUCCCAUCUGUUAGACCUCAAGGAUUUUCUCGGGAAAAUCUGUAAAUGCUGGUGAGGAGGAAAAAUGGGUGCCAUGGCAAGUGAAAACGGAAAAGAGAGAGAAAGAAAAAAAAAAAAAAGAUGGCGAAGCUGUAGGUAAUAUUUUUUUUCUAACUUUAAAUAAAUAAAGUAAGUAACUUCAACUCGGCAUUCGUUUCAGUGCUUCCAUUUAGUUUUUUCUAAAUAAAUUGUUGGUUCCAAUUAUAAAUUGCGUUGUCCUAUUUGAUUUUUCACCUGAUGGUAUUGGUAUUUCACGUAAUUCUAGAAAAAGUCGAUCACAUGGCUCAUAUAUCAUGUUGAUUUUCCCAAUUAUUUUUGAUGAAUUUUUAUAAAAAUCAAAUUAGAAAUCCCAUCUUCUUACUCCCUUUAUUUGGAGAAAUCCCUUUGCAUUCUUCCAUAAGAUGAUAUGCUUCAAUUACUUCCUUAUAUUGUUCCACUUGAUGCAUCAUCAAACUGAGCGAAAAAUGGUGAGUAGAUUAUGUAGAAUUACUAAAUAAACCGUGAGUAGAUUAUAUAGAAUUAUUGAAUAAUCCAUUCCUAUACUUGGCGACUUCAUAGCGGACAAACUAUAUCCAACGCUUUAGCGACAUCCCCAUUCUAACAUAUACCCAUAAACCAUUAUAUUCCACGAGCCUAUAUCUCAUAACAGCAUAUCAUCAGACACCUGACGAGUGCUAUCUAAGUAAUAAUGUUAAGUAUGCAUAUGUACUGAGCAAAAGGCAACGGAUACUUAGAUUCAUAACUCAGCUUCAGAAUUAAGUAACCGACCAUUUCUCCCUACAAUACAUUUUCUACAAAUUUGAUGGUGGAAGACUGGAUCGGAAGAUCGAAAUCCCUUCCUUACUUCCCAACUCCGAUGAAAUCUAAUGCGAUUUGGAGAGCACUGGUGGAAAAGGUGAGGAAAUAGCAUGUCGGAAGAGCGUCGUCAUGGUUCGCCUGUAGGCUCUGUGUCGCAAGGUGUGAGAUGGGCAUGGUUUAAUGGGUUGGGCCAGACCGAAAGACUUGGGUGAUGGGGGCCAAACUAGGCCCCAUUGGACUCUCUCUUCUUAUUUUUAUUUACUUUUAUUUAUUAUUGUUUUUGUAUCUCUUUACUAUUAUUUAUUUCUUAUUUUUUUCAGAAAUAUAUGUUUGAUGUGUCGAUAAAAAUUAAGGUGUCAAUAAUGGGUUUUGUGGAAUGAAGGGAGAGAGGGGGAGAGAGAGAGAGAUUAUGUAAUGUGCUUUACAAAUAGACUAAUAUAAUAAAGUUAUCCAUUAUCUUAGAUAGGAGGAAGAACAAGGUAAAAGCUAAGGAGAAAAUCCAUUAUGAGAUUGUGUCUAUUCCAACACUAAUCAUAACAAAUAUUAUAUAUUUUGAUCACUCUUAUGAUUGAAAAAGAGAGUAUAGAUACCCAUCAAAACAAGUUAUUUUGUCGUACCAUUUAAUAUUGAAAAGGUUAUAUGAUUUCAAAUAUUUUGAAGAUAAAUGUUUACAAAAAAAAUGUUUAUUUAUAUGAAGAUCAUAUUGAGGAUUAUGAUGAGGCUCGAAAGAUAUAAUAUCUCAUAAAUUACUUAUUUUUGACAAAUAGUAAUACCAAAUGGUGUUUAUUGCUUCAGCAAUCUCCGCCGAUUCCGAAGACUUCAACUUUUUAUUGCCAACAUGCAACAGUCUACAUUGUCAUCCAACGGUCCAAGACUCUUCAUGCUAAUCGAACUAUUGCAAGGUAUGAUGCACGGAAAAAGGGCAAUUAUCGUGAGCAUAAUUUCUGCAACUUUAUGUAGAAGUGCUUCUUGACUUGACUUGUCUUUUUUAUUAAUUAAAACAAAGAAUUAGAAAAAAGAAUCGGUGAGCAAUAAAAUGUUUCUUAGUGACACCCGGACCCCUGGAGUUUCAAAAGUUGGCACAAAGGAACACUUAAGUGCCAAAAGUUACGAAAGUGAUACUCGAGUGCCAAAAUAUGAGCAAAAUUGAUCAUUUAAGUGUCAAUCCGGCCAAAAUGUUGAAGUGGUGAUUUUCCGGUGAAGUAAGUGCAAAAUGGCGUCGUUUUGGUGCUGACAUGGUAAAAUAUUAAUAUAAAAAUUAAUUAAAUGAAAUUUAAAACUAAAUUUAUUUAAAAAUAAAAUAAAAAGUUUUAAAAAAAUUAAUUAAAAAAAAAAGAGAGGGAGGCGGCUGAGGGCUGAGCACUCAUCGCCGCUAUCGGGAAGGGCCGGCGAUGGAGUGGGGAGGGUCGGUUGGGGUCACCAAGCCCUGGCCAGGGGCCGAAAACCUCGGCUGUCCGGCUGCGAGGGCCCACGAGCCCUCGCCCCGAUCUAGGGCGAGGGUCACAGCCCUCCCCAGAUCCGGUGAGGGUUGGCGGCCCUCGCUCGGCCUAGCCAAGGGCCGUCACCUUCGCCUAGAUCCGGCGAGGGUUGCCGGUCGGCCAAGGUUGCCGGCCCCUGGCCAAUGCACGACAACCCCAGCCGACCCUCCCCCUUUGUCGCUGGCCCUUCUCGACGGCGGUGGCAAGGGCUCAGCCCUAAGCCGCCUCCCUUUUUUUUUAAUAUUUGUAUUUUUAUUUUUAAAUGUUUUAAAUAAAUUUAGUUUUAAAUUUAAUUUAAUUAAUUUUUUUACCACGUCAACACCAAAACGACGUCAUUUUUGCAUUGUCUAGCCACGUCAGCAUGUAUAACGACGCCGUUUUGCACUUAUUUCGCCGGAAAUUGCGCACGUCAGCAUUUUGGCUGGAUUAGCACUUAAGUGAUCCAUUUUGCUUCGAUUUUGGCACUUAGGGCGCGCAUGACAACCAUUCGGUUCUAGAAAUAGUUUCUGGAACAGAAAUAGAUUUUUCUAUUUUUAUUUCUAGAAGAGUUUUUAAGCAAAAAUAACCGUUUGAUAACGACACAAAAUUUCUACUCUAAAAAUAGAAAUUCGUUUGAUAACAACACAAAAUUUCUUCCUUUCGGACGGCGGCGAUGACGAUUGGCGACCUUUAAUAUAAAAAAUAAAAAUAAAAAUAAAAAUGAUUUAGUAACAAAAAAAAUAAAGAAUAAAAUAAAAUAAAAUAAAAUAAAUCAUAAAAAAAUAAAAUAAAAAUUAUAAUUUUAUUUUAAAAUAAAAAUAUCCUUAAAAAUAAAUUCAUUUUAUUUAUCCUAUUUUAUUUUAUUUUAUGAAUAAUUUAUUUUAAAAUGAAUAAAAAAUUAUUUGGCAAAACACUUAAGGCAAAUAAAAGUAAUUUAUUUUCAGAAGUAAAUUAUUUUUAAUAAAUUUAAUAAAUUUAUUUUUAAUAAACUAAAAAUAAAAUGAUAAAUAAAAAUAAUUUAUUUAUUUUUAAAUGAAUAAAAUGAAUAUAUUUAUUUUAUUUAUUUUUAUUUUUAAUAAAAUGAGGAGAGGCGGAGGAGGAAGAGGAGGCAGAGAUGUAGAGGAGACGAGGGAGGACUCAUCAAAAUUAGGGUUUAGUGGGAGAAAUUAUUUCUGAUUUCUCUUCUAGAAAUCAGAAGUAGAAAAUUUCUAUUUUUGAUUUCUCUUCCAAAUCAAUUGCUGGAAUAGAUUUCUAUUCCAGAAAUAGAAAAACUGAGUAGGUUUAUCAAACAGGUUUCUAUUCUAGAAAUAUGUCUGGAAUAGAAAAAUUAUUUCUAGAACAUAAAUUUUGGUUAUCAUGCACCCCCUUUAGUGUCACUUUCGUAACUUUUGGCACUUAAGUGUCUAUUUAUGCCAACUUUUGGCACUUGAAGUGAUCUUUUGCCGUUUCUUAGUUGGUAAAUCGUACUCUCCACUAACUAAUUUUAUAAUUUUUUCUCUAAUAAAGUUUAGAUUGCGAUAAAAAAAAAGAACCAACGAGCAAUAAUGAUGCUCCUUUGUUGGUAAUCAUACUCUCCACCAACUAAUUUAAUAUUUUUCUGCUAAUAAAAUUUAGAUUGUGAUAGCGCCUAGUCUCUUUUCAGAAGAUGGAUGCGCAGCUUCAAUGUCUUAUUUAAUUUGAAGGUCCUUACUCAAGUAUUUUUAUUGUCCAAUGACGAUGGUACAUGGAGAAAUUGUCAAUCAAUUCUAAAUAUUUUGUACGAAUGACAAUAACAUUUUAACCUUUUCAAUUUUCUCAAUUUAGUCCUAAACUUUUGUACGAAAUUACAAUAUAGUCAUUUUGGCUAAUUUUUAUCAGAACCGCAUAGGAUGAUCAAUAAUAAUUGAAUUGUACAUUAGUAAUUUCUGAUAAAAAUUGAUGAGAUGGACAACAUUGAACUUUGUGGAAAUGUUUAAGACUAAAUUAUCAAAUUGAAAAGUUCUUGAGUGAAUUGAUAUCGCUACAAUGUAUCUAAGACUUGUUGGAUAAUUUUUUCCUAUAGUUGUGGAGAAGAAACUUAUUUCAUUAGAAAAUUAGAAGACAACUACUGGAUUCGUGCAUAGUCACCGUGUUACAACUUUAAGGUUGAUUGAAGAUUAUAUUCAACUACUUAAGUAAAUAAUAUCUUGAGUGAGUCAAUUUAAGAAUAUGAUCCUCGAGUUGGGCCAAAUAGAUGAACCAUUGAUAAAACAACAACUUAUAGUGGCAGCAUACAAAUCUUUUAUUUUAACAAAUAGUAAACACUAAAUCUGACUUUUUUAUGCAACAAUAUUGCCAUUUCAUAAUCCAUAAUAUAUAUAGACCAUAGUAUUUUCGAAAUAUGAGUUUUACAAACUCAAAGAAGAUAUAUGCAACAAUAUUGCCAUUUCAUAAUCCAUAAUAUAUAUAGACCAUAGUAUUUUCGAAAUAUGAGUUUUACAAACUCAAAGAAGAUAUAACAUCACUCAUCUAGAUAUAUCAUAAACCAAACAACUAAGCCGACUCAAAUUAAUGAACUCGCUUUCCUAUCAUAUAAGUGAAAAAUAAUAUCAAAACCAAGUAAAGCACUAUCUCAACUAUAGCUCAGCUAAUUUAAGUUUAAACACUAAUAAAAUAACUCCCACGCAUCAACAAAUCGUUCACUCAAAGUGAUUAUUCAAAUCUAAACGCAACAAGGAACUUGCCUGCAAAAUACUAAAAUCUCACUCUAACAAAAUCGUUGCUUUAAAACAAUUUUUGACUAACCCCAUGGCUCCACGGCACCAUAAACCUCAAUUUCCCAUAUAAAUCUAUAGGUCAACAAUCAAAAAUCCAACUAAGUGGCAAAUUUCCUAAAAUUUCAAAUUUUAGCCCUAAAUUCAUAAAUAACUUUGAUUAGACGAGCAACAGGUGUGAGCACUUACCAAUUGUUGCAUUAUGUGUCUAGUCGAUUUAGCGAGGUCCCUUUGGUGUGCACAUGUGAAACCUUCUUCCUCUUUCUCUUUCAUUUCUUCUUCUUCUUCUUCUUUCUUUUCUUUUUCAUUCUAUUCCUGAACAUACGCUUCUGUCCUUCUCUUCCUUUCCCUUUUUUUUAGGGCCCACCACUUACUUAAAUAUUACAUUAUCAAUGAAUCCCAUCAAUAAAUACGCUAAUGGAAUGGAAUAUUAUAUCACGUAUCAAUAGUUUAUUCUAUUGAUCUAUCUCAUAUCAAAUUACAUGUCGAUGGUCCAUCCAUUGAUUAAUCUUUGCUCAAUAUCUAACUAUUGUCACGACAUAAUGCCUAGUAACAAUAUGACUAAGAUUCCCCCACUGACAAGAUCUCCAACUAUAAAGCCAGUGGCUCGACUUAGAAGGACAUCCUAAACCCGGUAUACAUAUCCACCAACCGCUCAAUAUCUCCAUUCAUUAAUAUGCAGAAAUUCAAUCCAUCUCAUAGUUCGCAAUGCAUUUUAUAAACCAAUCAUAAAACUUUUUGUAAUUCAAUUUAUCAAUUAAAAUAUAAUGUUUCGAAAUCUAUUUCAUAAACUCUCAAUAUUUCAAAGUACCUUGCACAAAAGAUAUCUCAAAUCAAUAUAGACUCAUUGCAUAAACCAUUCGUAACGCAAUACACAUAUCAUUUCGCAAUAUUUUUCUUAAAAUUAUUUCCAAACCAUUCAAAAAUUCUAACAAAUAGUAAAUGCUUGGUAUGACUUUUUGUGCAAUUUCGUAAUCCAUAAUAUAUACAUGAUUCAUAGUAUUUUCAAAAUAGCCUCAAAGAAGAUAUAACACCACUCAGCUGGAUAUGCCCUAAACCAAACAACAAAACUCACUCGAAGCAAUGUAUUUACAUUCCCAUCAAAUAAGCGAGAAAUAGAAUCAAAAUCAAGUAAAAUGCUAUCUCAACUACGGCUUGGCUAAACUAAACUUAAAUGCUAACAAAAUCACUCCCACACGUUAACGAAUUGCUUAAUUGAAAGGAUUAUUCAAACCUAAAUGCAAUGCAUAAUUCAUACGUAAAACCCUAAAAUCUUGCUUUAACAAAACAUUGCUCUACAACAAUUCUCGAUUAACCUUCUUCUACACCGUCCUGAAGAGUAAUUAGGACCAAUUUAGUUAUAUUUUCAUGUUCCAAAAACUACUCUAAUUGGACGAAUGAUAGGUACGAGCACUUAUCGGGUGUUGCGUUAUGUAGUCGAGUUGGCUUGGUGAGGUCUCUUUGGUGUGCAUAUGUAAAAUUCCCUUCUUCUUUGUCAUCUUUUCUUUUUUCUUUUUCAUUCUUUUCUUUCUUCUUCUUUUCUUGAACAUGGGCUUCUAUCCUUUUCUUCCUUUUAUAUAUUCCUUUUUCUUUAUUAGACAUUUCAGCCAUUCAUUUUAUUUAUUUUCUUUUUUUAGGCCCACCGUUCACUCAAAUAUUACAUUAUUAAUGAAUCUGAUCAUAAACAUGUUAAUGCUUUAUUUCAUUGAUUAAUCAUAUGUCAUACAUCAAUAGUUUACUCUAUUGAUCAAUCUCAUAUUAAAUCACACAUUGAUAGUCUAUCCAUCAAUUAAUCUUUUGCUUAAUACUUAACCAUGGUCACAACACAAUGCUCGGUGAUAGGGCAACUAAGAUUCCUCCCUUGACAAUGUCUUCACUUAUAAAACUAGUUGCUUGGCCUCGAAAGAUAUCCUAAGUCUAAUAUACAUAUUCAUCAACCCCUCAAUAGGCUCAUGGUGACAUUGAGCACCAAACCCCUAUCUUCCAAUAUUUAAAAAUUUAAUUCAUAAUCAAUCUUAUAAUAUGCAUUUCAUAAAUCAAUCAUAAAACUUUUGAUAACUUAAUUUAUCAAUUAAAAUACACUUCACAAGACAUUUCUCAUAAUAUUUUGAAAUCCAUUUCAUAAAUUCUUGACAUUUCAAAAUGCCCUCAAUAAAAGGUAAUUCAAAUCAUUAUAGACUCAUUGCAUAAACCAGCUCAUAACGCGAUACACAUAUCAUUUCACAAUAUUUUUCUUAAAAUCAUUCUCAAACCAUUCAAAAGUAUGAACAAGUAAUAAAUGCUCGAUCUAACUUUUUAUUCAACAACACUGCCAUUAUAUAUGUAUAUAUAAUCCAUAGUAUUUUUGGAAUAUGAGUUUUACAAGCUAAAAAAAGAUACUGACAAAAUUUGAAGUAAAGGGAAAAAUGGAGGAAAUGAUGUAUAAUUUGUAUAUGAUCGACAUAUCUUUUUACAAUAUACAAUCACCUAUUUAUAAUAAAGUGGAUGAUUUAACUAAGGAAAUAAUAAAAAGAGAUAAGGAAUCAAAUUCAAUCUUUGAUUGAUAUAAUUAAUCGAUCAUAAUUCUAGAUAAUUUUGGAUUGAUUGAUCGUGAUCGACUAUUGAUUCUUGCAUAUCUCCAACAUUUCUCCUCAAGCUAGUGGCUUAUAUAUAUCCAAGACGCUUAGCUUGCUUAGUAAAUAUGCAUGUUAUCUUUGAGAUAAUGGCUUGGUAAAGAUAUCGGGAGUUGUUCUGUGGUUCCAAUUCCAUUUGUCUUGAUAAUCCCUUCUUGAAUUUUACUUUGAGUGUAAUGGCAAUCUACUUCUCUGGAACAACACUUUGAAGAUUUCUCAGUGCAAGAGAAGAAAUGGUAACAUUGUCCUGAUCCUCUUCAUCCUCCAGAACAAGUGGUCUUCUUUUCUUGGAUGGAGCUUGGAUGGAGCUGUCAUGGGCUCCUUUCCUUUCCGCUUUGCCACUGAAGAACCUUGGUGUGACUUGAUAGGGGUUUUCUCUUUCAAUCGCUCCAAAGCUUUGUCCAGCUCUUUCAAAUGCAUAUUGGAAACCAUUUUCAGUCCCACUACCAUUUGAUCACAUGAUCAAACACAUAAAAUCCUAGGAGGCUGAAUGUUGAAACGUUUGAAAAGCUUUGUAACAAGCCCCGAGUAAGGAAGUUGCCCUCUGUCUUUUGCCAUCAUUCUGUACAUGUGAAACAUGAUUGUGUGAGGUAGGAAUAAAUUCUUUCUAGCGUUGAUGGCAUACAUCAACUUUGCUUCUGAGUUGGAGACGUCUGUCUUCAAGGUUGACUUGGGUCUGAGGCAAUUGAUCACAAUCUUGUGAAGCAAAAUGUUAGAGGCAUUCAUCCUCAAGUACGAAAUUCUUCCUUUAGCCAUUCCAUCUAGAACAAGCUCUAUUGUCGCACGACCAACAGACACACUAAUUGAUUGGAAAGCCCCUCGCUCCACUCCAAUCACAUCCGCCAAUGUGUCAAUGUCAACAAGAUAGUCCUGGUCUCGAAUGCUAAACGAAAAUCUAUUCGCAUCUAAGAAAUUGAGAUUAGAAUAGAAGUAAGCAGUAAGUUUUGGAUAUGCCUCAGUAGUCUCAAAACAAAAUUGCUCAAGCAGAAGUUUAGUGAAUUUCUCUCUCAGCUUCACAUUCACAGAAUCAAGAAAAUUAAAGUCUACACUCCUCGGAUUGAUCACCCCUCUUUUUAGCAACUUAGAGUAAAGUCGCAUGUGUUCAUCCGAGUGAAACAUAUUUGUCCUUUUGCUUCGAACAUUCACUGCAACACCCAUUCUAGGCUUGAAUUGAGUGUACAUUUUAUCAUCAUCAUUCCCAUUAGGCUGACUAAAACCUCCAACACGUGGAUCACUAGGAAUAUUCGCAAAUUCUCGAUCUGCCGACCCCGCAGGAGUAAUCUCCAAUCGUUCCAUUGUUUGCAAAAAGUGGGUUUCAUUUUGAUACCCUUUAUCUUUAAAAAAUUCAUCGAUAUAAUUCAAGAGAGUCCCUCCCCUUUUAAAGCAGAGUAAAUCUUAUACAUAAAAGCGGGCUUUUGAGAUCUUACGGGUUCUGCGUCUUCAAUGAUUUCUUCCUCCGAUCUACGAACACUGCCUUGAGGUCUAGUUUGAGGAGAUUGACGCUGUUGAGAAUGUUGUGAGCUCUGCUCUUGUCUCGGAGAUUCUUCUUCCUCGGUGAGGUCAAAAUGUGUAGGACCCUCACGCAUUUGCUGUGGUCCCCUAUUCGCAAUCAUUGAAGACUUUCUCUGGGAUGCUAUUCUCAUAGUUUUUGAGAGAUUUCAAACUCGAUUCGCGAAAAAGGUGAGAACUUGGAAGAUUAAACUAGAGAGUAAAAGUGAGAAAACGAAGGUCUGUGCUUUUAGGGUUUUGAGGAAGACGAUCAGUAUAUAAAGCAGUCGAAAAAAGGCAUACAUAACGAUGUAAAAAGGAAAAAAUAGAAAAUGUCUUUUAAAAAAUAACAGCCUUUUUGAAAAAUGGAUAACUGUCUUUUAAAAAAAUAACCUAUUUUUCGAAAAUGAAUUAUUGCAAUAAUCACGAAAACUGGGGAGAUGAUCGUACCUUUUCGAGAUCAAUCAAUUACAGAUUAAUAGAUAACCGUACUUUUUCGAGAUUUUAUCUGAGAGAUAAAUUUCUAAAAACGAAAAUAACUUACAGUCGUUGAUCUUCAUCUUCUGAGUCUGAAUAUCAUAGACUUAUCCUUGAAUCUGAACUUCUUCAGACUUUAAGUUAUUGAGUCUGGAACGAAUAAGCUCAAAUUGACUUUUCUCCAAAGGUUUUGUGAAGAUGUCCGCUAGUUGACUGAAUCGAGACUUCUCCAUUUUGAACAUGAUCUCUAAUGAAGUGAUGUCGAAUCUCUAUAUGCUUUGCUCUUGAGUGAAGAAUUGGAUUCUUGGUGAGAUUGAUUGCGCUGGUAUUGUCACAUUUGAUCUUGGUGCACGAAUCUUCAAUUCCAAAGUCUCUUUUUCGAGAUUUUAUCCGAGAGAUAAAUUUCUAAAAACGAAAAUAACUUACAGUCGUUGAUCUUCAUCUUCUGAGUCUGAAUAUCAUAGACUUAUCCCUGAAUCUGAACUUCUUCAGACUUUAAGAUAUUGAGUCUGGAACGAAUAAGCUCAAAUUGACUUUUCUCCAAAGGUUUUGUGAAGAUGUCCGCUAGUUGACUAAAUCGAGACUUCUCCAUUUUGAACAUGAUCUCUAAUGAAGUGAUGUCGAAUCUCUAUAUGCUUUACUCUUGAGUGAAGAAUUGGAUUCUUGGUGAGAUUGAUUGCGCUGGUAUUGUCACAUUUGAUCUUGGUGCACGAAUCUUCAAUUCCAAAGUCUCUUAGUUGUUGUUUUAUCCACAUAAUUUGUGAACAACAACUUUCAAGAGCCACAUAUUCUGCUUCUGCUGUAGAUAGAGCUACGGUACUUUGUUUCCUCGAAAACCAUCCCAAGCAAUUGACAAGUGCCCGAGGUGCUCUUCCUAUCAACUCUGCAUCUUGCUAGGUCUGCGUCUGAAUAUCCAAGAAGAGUAAAGUCUCAUUCUUUAGGAUACCAAAGACCUAAAUUUGAAGUAGAUGCAACGUAUUUGAUGAUGCGUUUUGCAUCACUUAAAUGAGAUUCUUUGGGAUCUGAUUGAAAUCUGGCACAAAUACAAACACUAAACAGAAUGUCGAGUCUAGAAGCAGUAAGAUAAAGAAGUGAACCAAUGAUACUCUUGUAUAGCUUCUGGUCAAUUUUCUUUCCUCCUUCAUCUUUGUUCAGCUUUGAGGAACUUGAUAUUGGUAUGUCAAUCUUUUAGCAAUUCUCCAAGCCAAACUUUUUCACAAGUUAUUUAGCAUAUUUUUCUUGGUGAAUGAAAAUUCCAUUUUUCAAUUGUUUUACUUGAAGUCCAAGAAAGAAGGAUAGUUCACCCAUCAUGCUCAUUUCAAACUCAUCCUGUAUAGACUUAGAGAAUUUCUUGCACAAAUUUUUAUUAGGAGAUCCAAAAAUAAUAUCAUCAACAUAAAUUUGAACAAGCAAGAAGUUUUUGUUUUCUCUUUUGAUAAACAGUGUAGUAUCUACUUUACUUUUAACAAAGCCAUUUUGGAUCAAAAACUUACUUAGUCUGUCAUACUAAGCUCGAGGUGCUUGCUUUAGACCAUAUAGCGCAUUUUUUAGUCUGAAUACAGAGUCUGGUUUCCUUGGGUCUUCAAAACCAGGAGGUUGUUCCAUAUAAACUUCCUCUCGGAUAAAUCCAUUUAGGAAAGCACUUUUGACGUCCAUUUGGAAUAACCUGAAAUUCUUAAAACAAGCAAAAGCAAGUAAUAAUCUAAUUGCUUCUAACCUUGCUAUUGGUGCGUAGGUCUCAUCAUAGUCUAUCCCUUCUUCUUGCAUAUAUCCUUUGGCCACGAGUUUUGCUUUGUUCCUUAUGACUUUUCCUUUCUCAUUCAUCUUGUUCCUGAAAACCCAUUUAGCUCCAAUGAUAGAUUUAUCUUUUGGUUUAGGAGUCAAUUUCCAGACAUCAUUUAUACGGAAUUGCCUGAGUUCUUCUUGCAUAGCUCCAAUCCAGCUUUCAUCAGUUAAAGCUUUUUCUAUGCUCUUGGGUUCUAUUUCAGAAAUAAGAGCCACAACACUAGACUCUUCACGCCUUUUGGAUCUUGUACGAAUUCCCUCAUUAAUGUCUCAAAUAAUGAGUUCUUUAGGAUGACUAGACUUGUGCUUCCAGUUGUUGGUUGAUUUGUUAGACUGUUGAUCAUUUUCUUCAUUUGAUUCUUCAACGAUCAUUUGUUGCUGGUCUUCUGAAGUCUGAGCUGCUUCUGGCGAUUUAGACUUUGUAGAGUUUGCAGCAGGUUUAGGUUCUUUAUGUUGAGUUUGAAUCGAUUGAUUUUGCAUAAAGUCUUGAAAUUUAACAUUCAUUGAUUCCUCCACAGAUUGAGUCUUUUUGUUGUAUACUCUGUAGGCUUUGCUGGUGGUUAAAUAUCUAAGGAAGAUGCCUUCGUCUGAUUUUUCUUCAAACUUACCAAUUUGAUCAUUUGCGUUUUUCAAUAUAAAACAUUUGCAUCCAAACACAUGAAAAUAGAAAACAAUUGGCUUCUUUCCUUUGAACAACUCAUAGGGAGUUUUCUCUAGAAUAUGCCUUAAGAAGACUAUUAAUAAUAUAGCAUGCUGUAGAAACUACUUUAGCCCAAAAACGAGAAGAAAUGUUACUUUCAAUUAGAAGAGUUCUAGCCAUUUCUUGCAAAGAUCUAUUCUUCCUUUCCACAUCUCCAUUCUACUCUAGAGUAUAAGGAUAGGAGAAUACAUGCUGAAAACCAGAUUCAUCACAUAAUUUAGCAAAGUCUUGAUUUUCAAACUCACCUCCAUGGUUUGUCUGUAUACUGGAAAUAACAUAUCCUUUCUCAUUUUGAACUUUCUUAGCAAAUUUUAUAAAAAUAAGAAAAUGUUUCAAACUUACUUGCCAGGAAAUAUACCCAAGUAAAUCGUGAAUAAUCAUCCACAAUUACUAGACAGUAUUUCUUACCUCAAAUGCUCUGAGUUCUGGUUGGUCCAAAGAGAUCCAUGUGUAAUAGCUACAGUACACGAUUAAUAAACACUUUAUUUAUUGGUUUGAAUGAAUUUCUUACAUGUUUUCCCAAUACGCAUGGUGUACAUAGGUCAAACUUUUGGUAUGUCAGGUUGGGUAAUCCACGAACAAGCUUCUUUGUAGAGAUCUUGGCAAUUUGCUUCAUGUUGAUGUGCCCAAGCUUUCUGUGCCAUAGAUUUGCUUCCUCUUGAAUUGAGAUUAGACAUUGGGAUUUUUCUGGUUUAAUAUCCAAGAGAUAGAUAUUCCCAUGUCUUUGCCCCGUAAAAGUCUGAGAAGAGUCUUUACUGGUUCCUGAACAUAUUCCUUCUUGAAAGUUGAUUUUGAAACCGGUGUCGCACAACUGGUUAAUACUCAGCAAGUUGUAGUUGAGUCCUUCUACUAAGGAAACGUUACUGAUCGUGAGACUUCCAAUCUUUACAGUUCCGUAUCCCACAAUUCUUCCUUUGCUAUUUCCUCCAAAAGAAACUUUUCCACCAUUAACUUGCACAAGCUUUAUAAAGCAGUUUGAGUCUCCUGUCAUAUGUCUCGAGCAUCCACUAUCCAAGUACCAUUUAGCCUUUUUCUUGAUAGUGACAUGCGUUUAAAAAAGAAACUUAAGCUUUCUUUAGUACCCAUAUUUUCUUGGGUCCAAUGGAGUUAGUGUGAUAUACAGUCUUUGCCCAAACCUUCCUCACAGGUUUCCAAACCAUAAGACAUUCUUUCUCAAAGUGUUCUGAGCUAUUACACUUAGAAUAUUUAAGAGCACUGUGGCCUACAGGUUUUACAAAAAAAAUUUGGAAAUGUUUUUUGUAAAAAUCUUUUGUAGGUCUUUGUUUAAUUCUUUCCUUUACCUUAGGAAAAUCAAUUAGAGGAGUGGUUUCAGCAGUCAUUCCCAAACCCGAUUUGUUGAAUUAAGGUCUUUGUGCUGAAAGAAUCUUUUCUAAUUUCUUAGAUCCUAUAGAAAAUCUUUUAGAAAUACUUGAGAUAUCAUUUUUCAAAAAUGCAUUUUCUUUUGAAAGAUUGUUUGCAUUUUCUUUCAAAGUAAUAACAUUUUUAUCUAAACUUUUGACCUUUUCUUUCCAAAUAAUCUCAUGUUGCUUUAGUGCAGAAUUUUCCCUUUUAAGUUCGGAAAUCCUCUUAAGAGAGGUUUUGAGGCUAAGACACAAUUCAUCAAUAUAUUUGGAGACUUUAGCAGGAAUUUUUAAAUUACUUACCUCUAUUUCACUGUCUGAGUCUGAGUCUGUCUCAGAGUCUGAUUCUGAUUCUGAGUGUGCCAUUAGACAAAAAUUGGCAUAUUCAUCAUCACUUUCUUCAGACUCAGUAUCACUCCAAGUUUCUGCUUUAAAUGAUUUUCGAUAUUUCUCAACUUUUCCUUUCUUUCUUUUCAGGAGAGGACAGUUGGGUAUGAUAUGUCCCUUUUUCUUGCAUUCAAAGCAGAUUACAUCCUUGUCGGAUUCAUCAUCCUCAGCUAAUUUAUUUUGUAGCUUUUGAGAACUUUGUUUCUUCGAAUUGAAUCUUCUUCCUUUUCUAUUCAGCUUUCUGAAUCUUCUUAUCAUAAGAGCAAGCUCUUCAUCAUCCAUAUCGUCUUCAGAAUCUGUGACAUCAGAAUCAUUAUUAGAUUUCAAUGCAAUGGAUUUCUUACCUUUGGGAUCUUCAUUUUCGUUGAUUUGCUCCACUUCAUAAGACUGAACGAUGCCAACCAAUUCGUCAACAGAUAGUGGCAUGAUCCUUUGUGUGUCCCUUAUUGAAGUCUUUACAUGAUUCCAAUCCUUGGAAAGUCCACGCAGUAACUUGUUAAUCUUCAUAGGUCCAAAGAUUGGUUGACAUUGAUAUUCAAGACCAUUCACGAUUUCUGUAAAACGACUAAAUAUGUGAGUGAUAGAUUCUCCUGAUUUCAUCUUGAAUGCUUCAUAAUGACCGAGCAUAAUAUUGAUUCUAGUUUCUUUCACUCGAUCGGUCCCUUCAUAGGUGAUGUGCAAUAUAUCCCAGACUUCUUUAGCUGUUUCACAAGAAGAUAUUCUGUUAUACUCAGUAGGUGAUAAUGCACAAUAUAAGGAAUAAAUUGCUUUUGCAUCAAGAGCUUGUCUCUUGGUUAUCUCUUCUUAAGUCAUUUCACUGGACUCAACAGCUUCUUUUCCUCUUUCUGAGACUAUUGCAGCUUUAGGAAUGAUUCAUUUGUCUACCACGUCCCAUUCCAGAGGAUCCCUUGAUCUUAGGAAUGCCUUCAUUUUAUUUUUCCAUAUGCUGUAAUCCUUUCCAUCAAAAUAUGGCGGUCUGGUGUUGCUUUGUCCUUCAACCAGACCUUGAGCCAACAUACUAGCCAUGGAUCUUUAACUCCGAAGUAAAAACACUUCAACUUAAAUGAAUACGCAAGCUCCGAUACCAAUUGUGAAAGCUAGUACCAGCACCUAGAGGGGGUGAAUAGGUGCGAAAACAAAUUUUGUAGAGUAAAGAUUAUAAUUUUACUUUUGAACCGAUUCUGUUUAGCAAUAGAUUAUGAAAGGAAAUUAGACUCUAACAAACAAAUAUUGAUACAAUCAAAGUAAAGAGCUUAGGGAAGAGAAUAAGAAUACAAAGUUUAGAGUGGUUUGGCUUGAUCCAAGCCUACGUCCACUCUUCCACACUAAUAGUCCACCGGCUAGAUUUCACUAAGAAUCAAAAGAGUUGUUACAGUAUAGCUCUUCCUUGAUUCCACAGUGUAAAGACUCUGUUACACUUUCUCAAGGUCUCACAGAAAUAUGAACGCUCUUUUGAGUACAAGUUUUCGCUCAACAAUUGAAUUGACAAAGAACAAGGAGCUUCGGACUUUGGAAUUCUUUUAUCGCGCACACACUCGAAUAACUGGAACGACUUCCUUAUAUACUCCUCCAUGCAUUCAUAUCUGUUGGCACUUACCAAAGGAGUUCUUCCAAUCUACCCGUUGGACAGAAUCAAUUAGAAAAAUUUCGAGUUUUUUAAAGAAUAUGACGAUAGCUCACCAAUCCUGCUCGCCCAUACAAUCAGGAUUUAGGUUUCCAUAAGUAGAACCUUCCAAAUAUGUUUCGUCAAUCAACGGAUCUAAAUUACCCGAAUUGAAAUCAAAACGAAUAACAGAUUCCAAGAUGCUAUCUCCAGCCGAGAGAUCUUCUUCAGUCGAUAGAAUCAAAUCCUUAACAAGAUACUCAGUUCUGGAUAAGUCUUCUUCGACGGUCUAGAAAUUGUCAAUGAGGAUAGACUCUGAAUCUUGAGUCUGGCAGAUUGGCGAUUUUCAGACUUUGACUAAAGAGUCUGCAAGUCUUCAGACUAGACUGAUGGAAAUUUUUUGUCAUCUUCAAAACACACAAGGAAGUUUUCUCCAACACAUUACAGUCUUGAUGGAAGAUGUCGGUAAUGUAAGAAACGGAAUAAAACGUCAGGUCAUCUAGUUCAAACCCUAUCACUACAGAAAAUACACCAUCAGGUUUGAGGAGUAUUGGCUAGUAGAAUAUGACGUACAUAUAUGGUGUUCCCAUACUACAGAUCGAUCAUGCUGCGUGGAUCCGUCCAAGGUUUUGAGGUUUUCCGUUUUUUGCAAAUUUUCAUCAAUGGCUGGAGGUAUGUUAAUCUUUAUGUUUCCACAAAUCGAUCCCGAAUUUUGUACGAAUUUAUCCGUGAUUGAUAAAUCGGGAUCGUUAGGUUUUAGUUUAUAUUUAAUCUAACACUUUUGCCAAUAUUUAUUUUUGAACAAACAUCAUGUGCAGGCUCAAUCUUCCUAACCCGCAUGAAAUGUGAAAGUCGACGUAGGUAUCUUAACUUGCGAUCGCUCCGAAGAACAUCCUUUUGCUCAAUCGAUUUCGGAAAGGGCUUUGUGCCCGACACGGGAAACUAUUAGGUGAGCGCACAUACCGCGCCUCAUCAGCUAACAAGCUAUUAUCAAACUUAAUUGAAUGAUCUCAUCCAUCGGACGUCUACAAAACAGAGAAAUUCUCUAAGUUUAGUCAUAUUAAACAAUCCCGACAUGCUGUCUACUUGGUUUGGUAUAAAGCAUUGCAGUCAAAGAUGGGAGCCUGUUCAAUGAGGGUUCAUCUUACUCCUUGAUUUCACGGAUAUUUGGUUGAUGCAUGAGUCGUCUGGUUUACCAUGCAGAAUUCUUUCUGUUUUUUUACAUCCUAACUUUUAUAUUAAAAGGCCAAAUUUCAUCUCACCUCAUAUUAUCAAAUUCUCUCAACAUAUGCACAUGAAAAUUGGAAAUGCUUUUCCGAAUUGAAGAAAUAUGUUUCAUAAGGACAACAGAGCAAUGUGUCUUGUGAACAAACAUCAUCAUUGGAUUGGACGUAACGGUUGAUUUCCAACCGACAUAUUGCCCAAAAAGUUAACAUUCAUUAAAAAGAAAUUCUACUAAUGUUUAAUCACAACUUUUCAUGAAUUUCGAGUUUCGACAUUAUUGUAGGCUUUUUAGAUCUAGGUAAACUACUUCUAAGUACCAUCUCACUGCAUCAUCACUGACAUUCUAGCAAAGUGCUACCACGAAUGUGCAUUUCAACCGCUAGAUCUAGUAAACAAGAUUUUUAUACAUAAGAGUUUCAUACAUUUAACGGUCAAAGCGUUUGAAUUUGUGACUCAUGGUGGCUUUAUGAUGCCUAAGUUAGUAGUUAUUACAUAGAGAGAGAGAGAGAGAGAGAGAGAGAGAGAGAGAGAGAGAGAGAGAGAGAGAGGGUAGUUGCGGGUUGGGUGGCAAUUAUGCUAACCUCGGUGGAUGAACGGGCAAUUAUGCAAAGUCUUGUUUAUAUGCUGUUGUCUCACCUGCCAUUUUCAGCAGAAUUAUGGCUUGUGAAUCAGCCAAAGCUAUCUAAGACUUCCUCAAAACCGAGUAUCAAGGAGAUGAAAGGAUUAGAAGUAUGAAGGGGCUAAAUCUGAUCACAGAAUUCAAGAAACUGCAAAUGAAGGAGUCUGAGACAAUUAAGGAGUAUUCUGAUAAGUUGAUAAGCAUUGCAAAUCAGGCAAGAGUUCUAGGCACUGACCUCUCUGAUAAUAGGCUAGUGCAGAAGAUUCUUGUCUCCUUGCCCAAAAGGUUUGAGGCAAGCAUUGCCUCUUUGGAGAAUACCAAGGAUUUGUCUUAGAUCAAGUUGGCAGAAUUGCUAAGUGCUUUGCAAGCACAAGAGCAGAGGAGGUUAAUGAGGGUGGAAGGAAGUACAGAAGGAGCUCUGCUGGCCAAAGAAUAGCAGAAUGUAGGAGGAAAAGUCAAGAAGUGGAAAGGGAAGAAAGGAAAUGGCAGUAGUGGUUCAGAAGCUGCUGCAGGAGAGAAUAGUGUGAGCAACUCCAAGAACAAUUGUGAAAGAUAUUCCUCAUGUCAGCACUGUGGAAAAAAGAAUCAUCCACACUUUAGGUAUUGGAAGAGGCCAAAUGUAAGGUGCAGAAAGUGUCAUAAGCUUGGACACAUUGAGAAGUUCUGUAAAGAGAAGAGAGAUCAACAGCAGGGUGAGGCACAUGCUGCAGUUCAGCAAGAGGUAGAUCAAUUGUUUGUUGCCUCUUGUUUCUCCUCUAGUACUCCGUGUGACAGUUGGCUUGUUGAUAGUGGUUACACAAACCAUAUGACAAGUGAUGAAACACUGUUUAUAAACCUUGACAAGUCAUUGAAGUCAAGAGUGAGGAUUGGGAAUGGGGAGUACUUAGAAGUGAAAGGUAAAGGGACUGUAGCAAUGGAGAGUUGUGCUGGAACUAAGCUGAUUUCUAAUGUGAUGUAUGUGCCUAAAAUUGAUCAGAAUUUGCUGAGUGUGGGGCAGUUGAUAGAAAAGGGAUUUAAGGUGAUAUUUGAAGAGGAGAAGUGUUUGAUUUUUGACUCUAAUGGUCAGGAGUUGUUCAAGAUAAAAAUGCAACAUAAAAGUUUUUCUUUGAAUCCUCUUGAGAAGGAGCAAAUGGCAUUCAAGUGUCAGGCUAAUGACUCGGAAUUAUGGCACAAGAGGUUGGGGCACUUUCAUCAUAAAGGCGUGCUGUUCAUGCAGAGGAAUGAAAUGGCAACUGGGUUACCAAGCCUGGAGGAGCAGAUCACAAGGUGCAAAGCUUGUUUGUUGGGCAAGCAGACAAGACUUCCCUUCAAGAAAUCCACUUGGAGAGCGACAGAGAAGCUGCAGCUGAUUCAUAUGGAUCUAUGUGGUCCACAAGUGACUCCUUCACUAAAUGGCGGCAGGUAUUUCAUUAUUUUCAUUGAUGAUUAUACUAGAAUGUGCUGGAUUUACUUUAUGAAGCAAAAAUUAGAAGUUGCUGAGGUAUUUCUGAAGUUUAAGAAAUGGGUUGAGAACCAAAGUGGCUGCAAGAUUCAGGUCAUUAGAUCUGAUAAUGGAACAGAAUACACUUCACAGAGGUUUAACUCUUUCUGUGAAGAGGCUGGAAUUGAGCAUCAGCUUACUGCUCCUUACUCUCCACAGCAAAAUGGAGUUAGUGAGAGGAAGAAUAGAACAAUUAUGGAGAUGACUAGGUGUCUGCUUUAUGAGAAGAAUCUACCAAAAGAGUUUUGGGCAGAAGCAGCAAACACAACAGUUUUUCUGCUGAAUAGAUUACCUACGAGGGUAUUGGAGAUGAAGACACCUUUUGAAGAUUGGUUUGAUGUCAAGCCAAUUCUAAGAAAUUUGAAGGUGUUUGGCUGUUUGUGUUUUUCUCAUAUUCCACAGGUCAAGAGAGACAAGUUGAGAGAGAAAGCUGAACCUGUGAUUUUUGUUGGCUACAGUUUAGUGUCAAAAGCUUACAUGAUCUAUCAACCACAGACAAGGAAGGUGAUCACUAGCAGGGAUGUUCAAUUCCUAGAAGAUGAGAAAUGGGAUUGGACAAAUGAGCCACAAGGCAAGCACAAAGAGGUCUCAUUGGAACCGGACGAACUGGUGGAUGAUGUUCCAAUUAGAGGUACCAGAUCUUUGACUGAUAUAUAUCAAAGGUGUAGUGUGGCUGUUUUGGAACCUUCGGGUUAUGAGGAAGCUAAAAGCGAUCAGAGGUGGAUGAAUGCAAUGAAGGAAGAGUUGGCUAUGAUAGAAAAGAACCAGACAUGGGAGCUAGUGGAGAGGCCUCAAGAUAGGAAGGUGAUUGGAGUAAAAUGGGUUUUCAAGACCAAAUUUAAUCCUGAUGGCUCAGUGAAUAAGCAUAAGGCCAGGUUGGUGGUGAAGGGAUAUGCACAGGUUUGGGGAGUUGAUUUCUCAGAAACCUUUGCUCCCGUGGCAAGACUUGAUACAAUUAGAAUGAUUCUUGCUUUGGCAGCUCAACAAGGAUGGAAGGUAUAUCAAUUAGAUGUGAAAUCUACAUUUUUGAAUGGAGUGUUGCAGGAGGAGAUUUAUGUUGAGCAGCCAGAAGGCUUUGUCACACCAGGCCAGGAGGAGAAAGUUUAUUUGUUGAGAAAGGCUCUCUAUGGCUUGAGGCAAGCUCCCAGAGCAUGGUACAGUAAGAUGGAUGAGCACUUGUUGGGUCUAGGUUUCAAGAAAAGCCUCAGUGAAUCCACUCUAUAUGUCAAGAAGUUAGUAUCUGACUUAGUGGUGGUGUCUCUUUAUGUGGAUGAUAUGCUGGUGACAGGGAGUAAUAGUGCUCAAAUUACUGCAUUUAAGCAAGAGAUGAUGAAGAUGUUCGAAAUGACUGAUCUUGGUGAGAUGUCAUAUUUUCUAGGAAUGGAAGUUAGGCAGACUCAGAAUGAAGUUUUUUAUCUGUCAAAAGAAGUAUUUGAAGGAGAUCCUAAGCAGAUUCAACAUGGAGGAGUGCAAGAGUGUGAGUACUCCAAUGGGUCAUAAGGAAAAGCUUCAAAAGGAGGAUGGAUCAGCACCUGCGGAUGAAAGAGUUUAUAGAAGUUUGAUUGGCUGUCUUAUGUAUCUCACUGCAACUAGGCCAGACAUCAUGUUUCUUGUAAGUGUCUUAUCUAGGUUUCUUAAUUGUGCAAGUGAGUUGCAUAUGGUAGCUGCAAAGAGGGUGUUGAGGUACUUAAGAGGUACUCUUUCAUAUGGGAUUAAGUUUUGUAGAGUUCAGGAGUUUAAGUUGCAGGGGUAUUCUGACAGUGACUGGGCAGGAUCAAUGGAUGAUAUGAGGAGCACUUCAGGUUAUUGCUUUACAUUUGGGUCGGCAUGUUUUUCCUGGUGUUCAAAGAAGUAGGAAAUAGUGGCUCAAUCAACUGCAGAAGCUGAGUUCAUUGCCGCUACUACAGCUGUGAAUCAAGCAUUAUGGUUGAAGAAGCUAAUGGAUGAUCUGCAUAUGCAGCAAGAAGAAGACAUAGAAGUGUUUGUGGAUAAUCAAGCUACUUUGGCCAUUUCACAAAAUCCGGUAUUUCAUGGAAGGACAAAUCAUUUUAAGGUCAAGUUUUACUUCUUGAGAGAGUGCAAAAGCUGAGAGUGAAACUGGUGUACUACNNNNNNNNNNNNNNNNNNNNNNNNNNNNNNNNNNNNNNNNNNNNNNNNNNNNNNNNNNNNNNNNNNNNNNNNNNNNNNNNNNNNNNNNNNNNNNNNNNNNNNNNNNNNNNNNNNNNNNNNNNNNNNNNNNUGUUCUGUUUUCUUUUCUGUUUUGUUUAGUCAGUUUGUUGGUGUCCUGUUUUCUAUGGGUGGGUUCUUGUUGUUUUACCUUCUCUUCUUAUCUUGUUGGAUGCUUUUUGUGCACGUAUUUAAUAUAUUCUGGUUUGUUGCUGGAUUUGUGGACCAAGUCAGCCGUUCGUGGGCCCGUGGGCACGAGGUUUCAUUCUAUACUGCAUUUAGAACAUUUUCUUUUUUUCCAUUUUUCUGAUCACUAUGCUCUGUUUCUGCUGUCAACUUGUUCUCUGUUUUUGCUGUCAACUUGUUCUCUAUUCUUUAAAAAAAACAACAAAUGAGCUUAGCUUCUUUAGGGAGAACGUUUCAACCAAGGUCACGCCGGCCGCCUUCAACUGGACUGCAUGCCAUGUCCGACGGCGGCUGUCUUCCUCUCCGGCAUGUCCAGGACACGUGUCGAUCACUCAUAGGUAUUGUCAAAUCUGUCGUUAAUCAUCACACCUAAUGUAGAUUCACAGAUAUGACAGCUUGUAAGAACUAUGCGCGACGAAAACUUGAGUCGCUGUUGGAAAAUAAAUGGUGCACAUUGACAAGUAGUAGAAGUCUAUGGCGAGCUCACCGUCUUCUCGUCAACUGGAUCGGAACUAGGAAAGGGAUUAUUGUCAAAACUGAAGGCUUUUUGUGAAGACAUAACGUGGAAAAUCUCCAGGAAAUAUGAUGAAUGGACCGCUUUUCUUCAUACCAUGUUUUUUUAUGUGUGUUCCAACGUUACGUGUAUUUAUGAGAAUUUAUUAACUGGAAAAGUUCAAAUUUUGCCAACUCACAUACUUUGAAAUUUCUGAAAUCCAAAACUUCUGAAAUUUUGCUCACGAUCCAAUAUUUAUAUGUAAAUUUACAUAUUACAUUUUCAUAAUUUUUGAAAAUCUUAAUAAUAUAUUUCAAGUUUUGGUAAUGUUUGCACGUUCUGUCUUUUUUUUUUUUCCUGGAAGAAUUUGCCGCCCUUUAGGAGCUUUAUCCAGAUAUUCCCCUUGGGCUUAUGCAAUAAUAGUAUUGCGAAAAAGGUUUAUUCGGAGUUAUUUGACUAUGCUGCAAGGUAAAUAAUCUUAAGUAGAAGCUUUAAUUAGUACGUCUCUUCUAUUGUUGUAUGAUAUUAUUUAUGCAAGAUUACAAUUCUUCGCAAUGCAUGACACUUAAAAUUGAUGAGAUAGCGUGUGGAUGUUUUCUUUUUAAGGGCAAUAAAUAAACUAGGACCCAUCUUGAUGAGGUAUAAUUUUGGCCACAUGAUAGUUGGACUUUUAUGUCACAUGGUACAAACCACUUGCAAAUGGUACAAACCACUUGCAAUGACUUUGGACUCUUAUGUAUCCGAUAGUGAUACAUAAUAGUGACCUUUAUGGUCUUGGAUUUAGAAUAUAUCCUGUCAUCCAUGAGAACAAGGGAGCUUGUUUAUUAAAGAUAGAAAAUCUCCAUGGGAUGAUCAACUUAACAAAAUCAAAUUCAUAAUUUGUCUCUUUAACCCGAGAGAAAAACUUUAUAAAUAGCCACCUAAUGGAAAAGCAAAAUGUGCCAAGCCAGAGCUACCAAAUACCUCUCCAAUAUUCAUAAUGAGGAAGGCCUUUCUUCUUGCUUGUGCUCUUUUGAUCUCGUUCGCUCUUCUCCUCCUUCCUUCCACCGAAGCUCGAGCACUCCUUCCAGGUGAAGACCUUCCGGGUGAUCUCUCUCUCUCUCUCUCUCUCUCUCUCUCUCUCUCUCAUGUUUCGAAUCGAUGUGAUUGGUCAAAGAAAUACAAUUAAUCUUCUAUCUGAUGAUGUCAGCAAGAAUGGCACCACCGGCGACAGAGUGCUCAAAAUUUCCGCAAAAACCGUGCACACCGGUACGACCUCCAAGCUGUGGUUAUCAGAGACGUUGCCCUCCGGGAGUUAGUCCUACAGAGCCAUGAGACCAUGCAGUUAGAGUAAGCCGCUCGUGACGGCCAAAUUGCAUCAUAAUAAUAUGAAGUACUUUCACGACACCGUCAUCGUGAAUGAAUAAAGAAGCUGAGUGAAGUCAGUCACUUGAUGGAGCCUUUUUUCAAUACCUAAAAAUGAAUUAAGGAUGAAUACUAUGUAGAGGAUGCAAUUUAAUGUAUGAAACGAUAAAGCAAUGAAUGAAUCGUCUAGUUUAUGGUAUGUAUCUUUUGAAAGGAAAAGGGAACAGCGACAGAGCUUGUCACAGGCUUCAUCUUCUCUUUCAAAUUGCAAUAUGAUGAAUUAUCUAGAUGUAAGUGCAAUGAAGUGCUUGUCUAAUCUGUGAAAGUAGCUUCCAGGAGUUCCUGAAUUUCUUGCCUGCCUGGGAUUUUCUUCAUCGAGGAUGGAGAAGUAUCUGUCUCAUCUCUGUUUUCACCACGAAUUUUUCAUAUCUUAGCUUAUUUUGAAAACAAAUAGGUGUGGCUGUUUGGAAGGGAAUGAUUAAUAAGGCAAUCUGUAGCAUUCAUCGCUAAAGAGUAAAGAGUAUAAACUAUGAUGCAAAAAUUUUCCAGUCCGAGAAAUCCUCCAGUAAAAUCGAAGCAACAUAUAUAUGAUCCUUCCAUUCACAGUCAUAUAGUAUAAGGUGCAAGUUCAACAUCUUUGUGUUCUAACCAAAAUUGAGCUUGGUCAAUUGAGGACUUUCCAGCUUGAAGAAGUUAAUAACAGAAAAGAACUCUCGCAGAAAUGGCAGCAGAGUUUCUUCGAAACUGAUAACAACUUGGCAUAUAAUUGGCUUCACAUCAACCAAUACUAGUUAAACGAAGCAGAUAAAUUUGCAUUGCAUUUGAGAGAAAUCAACCACAACAAAAAGAGGUUCUCAAUGUUUCAGGGCAAGCUUUCUCAUUCAGUUCUGAUUUCAUAGAACAAAACCAAUGUCAAAAGAGCCAGACCAUUCCUUGCCAGAAAAUGGCCAAUCUGAAGUCCGUCUGGAUCUUAAACAGCAUAUACCCCAGCAUAAACUUGCAAGAGAAUGAAAGCUUCAUCCAACUGACCAUCCUUCAUUUACUUCAUUUUUUUCUUAUGACUCAACAGUAGACUCAUCUUGAUGUUCCUCUGUACGAGCAAGUCUUGGAUUAACGCGGUGAACCUGAGCCCAGCUGACAUGCAUCUAUCGUUGGAUGAAGCGCGCCGAGUGGAACCCACAUAAUCCUACGAUGCAUGUAAGUCGGGCUAUAUUAUUUACAUACUUGAUGGUUGGACGCUUACGUUACACCCAAUUUUGCCACUGCACUUACGGAGAAAAUUGAGUGGGCAUUGCAAGAUGAUGUACCUAUCAGAUUCUAAUAGGGCCUAUAGUGGGUGAAUUAAAACCUCUCUUUCGUCAACUCACUAGGAUUAACUCAAUUGAGAUAAGGUCUCUACGCACCCUCAAUUACGUUGAUAUAGUGCCAAGUGAAUUGACGACACUGCACAAGAUAUUAUGUUCAUAUCGAGCAUCGUUACACCCAAUUUUGCGACCGCACUUACGGAGAAAAUUGAGUGGGAUUGCAAGAUGAUGUACCUAUCACAUUUUUGCCAAUUGAAUCCUAAAUGUUCUCAUUUUUGCUAAUCGAGUCUAUCCAGAAAGUAUUGAAGUGGACCGGCCAACAUGGCACGGCCGGUGUUGACGUGGAUGAUUGUUGGGAAAAUAUUUUUCUUUCAUUCAUUUUUAUAGCAAUACAAGCGAUCAUUUUUGAGAAAAAAAAAUUUCAAAUUAUCCAUUUUUCGUAAAAUAAACGGAACCUAACACAAAGAAAAUGAGGAAUAAAUCCACCUGACAGAGAAUAUCCUAAAAAAGGGGAAUAAAUAAAAUUAAAAUCUUUAUGCUUGUCACGCGCGAAUUUAGAAUAAGGUAGAGUGACAACGUGGGUAAUCUUUGCGAGAUAUAUAAUUGCGUAAUCAGAAAAAGCAAAACAAGCUUUAUUCCUAAUCCGUUCAUAAGCAUGGGUAAACGGAAGCUACUGAUACCUGGUGGAGCGACAAAGAGGACAUGACUCCCUCCUCUCCGGCCACUUGCCGAUGCACUCUGCAUGGAAGACAUGCUCCCAAUGCGUCCGACCGGCCAUAGACUCGGCUCAGAGCUCCUCACGACAGAUCAAAGGAGCCCUUUCAAUGCCAAUCUUGCGCUGUAAUUCCCCACCCAGCAAGUUCGAAGGCCAUCAUGUCGUCCAACGGCAUCACUGCCGCAACGAGGACUCAGAGACCCGUGGUGACGACGGAUAUAUAUAUUGAUCUUAAUUUGUCAAAUGUGAUAUUGAUUUUGUAAAAUCAUUAUCUGUCAUGUAUGUCAUAAUAGACAUUAAACAAAACAUGUGGAAGAAGAAGAGAAGCUAAAUUAGAGAGUACUAGGAUUAGAGAUUUGCUAAAAUGACUAUGAAAAAUAAUUUGCAGAGUAAAGCUCGCGUGGGAACAGGGAACAUGGCUCGGUGUGACAAGAAAUUUACCCACAUUAAUAUGCUUUGAAGUGCUUUGCUGCAAUCGAAUAAUGUCCAAUGAAGUCACCCAUGUUUAUCCCAAUAUUCAAUUUAUGUUCCCCGAAGAAGAUUAUGCUCUACCUCUUCAGGAAAAAAUUAUUAAAAACAGUAUAGUUUAAAGAGAACACUUAGAAAACUUCGUAAUGAUGCAUACAUACGCAUCUCGUUUUCCUAGGUAAGAUCAUUCUACUGCAAAGAGAGAUGCAUUUCAGCGUGUGCAAUUGUAAUACAGGGUAAUAUUUCUUAAUCAUCUCGAAAUUUGAAAUAAAUUAUUUUUCUUUUGUUAUAUGGAUGGAAAAGCAAAAAGAGGACAAUAAAGAAGACAAUAACUUGAGCGAGGGAGAGUCGCGAGGGAUCAUGGAGGUGAUGUUCCUUUAAUUAGCGAGCCGCAAAAUAACGUUCAUAGCUCGGCACCUAAACUAAUAAUGGAUUACCUUGUUAAUUGUCUUAGUCCAAUUGUGAUUGACUUGCCUUUGAGCAGAUCGAUAAGGUAACUAAACCUGACCUAAAUCACCAUCACUACAUUGCAACACAAGAAAGCGUGAAAAGUAUCAAGUCGGAUGGUGAGAGUGGUGGCUGGUGCCCUUUUCAAAUGACCUUGUCUUUUAACUUGUGGGAACUUUCUUAUGAAUCAUGUAUAGAUUCGGCAUCCCUCGCAAGACCAACAUUAUAGUUGAACAGAUAAAAUUUCAUGCUUAAGGCACGAGCUAGAUGAGUCAAUAUCUCAAGUUCAAAACCCAAUUCAGCAUAAUAUUGUAUGGCUCUCGGUUGAGAAUAAUUUAUUCCUUACUAGUAAGUCUAGAUGGCUUUUUUUUACUAGAUCCAAGUGAACAGCUCUAAAAUAUCAUCUCACUGCAUCAUGACCCACGUUCCGAUAGCUUCGUGGCUCCAAAUUUGUAUUUCUAACAUUUAGCUGGUAAAGUUUUUUAAUAAAUGCAUCUAAUAGUGGAAAUCCCAACACAAUAAAAUAUCUUAUUAACAUGAAAACUGAUCCUACAAAAUCAUUCAAAUCACAUGUCAAGGAUUCAACCUAUACCCUCACUAACAAGUGUCCAAUUUUGUGAUCUGGGUUGGCUCUAUCAUGCUUAAGUCAGUAAAAUAUGAGAGAGAGAGAGAGAGAGAGAGAGAGGGGGGGGGGGGCAUUUGAAAGGGCAAGAGAGAGAAGUUGGAAAGGGAUUCGGGUCAAAACUGAAGGCUUUGUGAUGACAAAGUGUGGAAAAUUUCAAGGGAAAAUGACAAAUGGACCCCUUCUCUUUCUAUCAUGUUUUCAACAUGUGUCGCAAUACCAUUUGGAUUUAUGAGGAUUAAUUGAGGUUGGCACUUGAAAGGGCAAGAGAGAGAAGUUGGAAAGGAAUUCGGGUCAAAACUGAAGGCUUUGUGAUGACAAAGUGUGGAAAAUUUCAAGGGAAAAUGACAAAUGGACCACUUCUCUUUCUAUCAUGAUUUCAACAUGUACAGUUCAAAAAGAAGUAAGAAGAAUCAACUCCACGUGACUUUCAUCUUUUAAUUCAUACUUUAAUCUAAAUUUUUGCGAUUCAGAUCUUCUUAAAAAAUUAAUUCUUAAAACUUUCACAAUACUCAAAUGUUGAUGUGUAAAAAGCAUUUUUUUUUUUUUUUUUGUAACUAUGUGAAAUAUGAAUAAUAAUUCUAAAGUUGGCAAUAUAUGUUCUUUUCUAUAGGAAGUUGCGGGGUUAGCGAUGAUAUCACCUUCUCGGCCUCAUUAAAAAUCUCUUACUCCUUGGCGUUAUCCAAUAAGAAUAUUUGGAGUUGCUUUUAAGACCAUGACCGAUCUUGGCAAGGUACCAUUAUGGUCACUUGAUGCUUGGAUUUUUGCGUCACACGAUACUCGACAACUCGCAACGACUUUGGAGUCAAUUGAAUUUGGCAUUUGUAGACGAUGUAUCGAUCCGAUUGAGACACGUGUGGCUUAGAACAUUUUGGAUUUAGAACAUUUUUCAUUCUUUAUUGACUCGUAAGGACUCAUGAUGAGUGAAAGGAAGCCGAAAAAAAGCCAAUCAGCCGACAACACCAAAACAAGACAACACGCCAAAGGAAGAACACAAAGCAGCACCAAGUGUCUACCUAGGCAAGGCCAACUCAGACGUCCAGGAACGUUGCACUCUUCUGUUUCUUGGGGAAUCCUUCACAUUCUUGAAGGUGCAAGCCCUAUCUUUAAAAACCUUUAGAAGGUGCUUCUUCAUAACCGAAGUAGAAAUCUACACACCCCUGAAGAGAAUAUCGUUUCUAUUCUUCCAAAUGAUGUGGCAGAGUGCUCCAAAAGAGAACCGACCGAUGCAUUUAUAGAACUCCUUGCCCGAGAGCAAGGCCAAAGCCCAACUAAGCAUAUCCUCCCAAGGCUUAUUACUCCAAGGAAGACCACAUCUAGUCUCCCAAAAGAAGGCAACAAUUGAGGUAAUGCGACAACCAAAACAGUUGAGGUAAUGCGAAUCCCACAUACCAAUUGCAUCAUACACAACGUCAAAUUUCUCUGGGAGGUCUUCGAAGUUCUCUUUGGUGUAAUCAAUGGCCAAAUCUGCUCCCAAAUUCCUCAGCAAGUCCAGCUUUCCGGUGCUUGAUGUAGCUGCCACUCUUGAUGCACCAAAGACUUGCUUGGCGAGCUGUGUUUUUGGACAGAGAGAAUCUUAUAUUUAUAUGUAAAAAUAUCACCCAAAACUGGAUCCUAAGAACCGAAACUUCCACAUAUAUAGAUGAAACAAUAAAAUGAUUACAUCCUACGUGUGGUAAUCUCAAGGUCUAAAUUGAAGUAAUAGUUGAGCAGAUUCCAACCCAAUAACUGUUGGGAAAAUAAAUUUCGAAUUGGGUAGAACAAUGAAGUCGGAUCGAGUAAUCAAGUCGGACUUUGAGGCAUGGUAUCACUUUCUUUAAUGAUUUAUUUGCCCCACAAAGUUGCUAAUGGUCACCGACAAAUUUCCUCCAGGAUACAACAAAGUCUCAAAAAUGAGAAUACUAUAUAGCAAUUCUAGUAUUUCUCCAAGGUCUCUCAUGGGAAACAAUUAGAAACAGUGGCUGUAGUUUCUCUCGAAAGAAAAAUGAAAAAAUGGAAGAAGAUAUGUGUUUGAUCUCAAAACAAACAUAUUUUUCUUUUUCUUUCGAAUAAAGGCAACUCUUCAAAAGGUUGCAAAAAAGAACAAAGACAACAUUUCGUAAAAAAGUACGUCUCAAAGGUUACGUUUGAAAUGAUAUAAAAAUUCGGAAUUAAAUAAAUAAAAAAUAAAAAAUAAUUUUAAAUUUUCAUAAACAGUCGCACUGUUUCAACAAGAUUUUAUAGUUAAUAUUUUAUAUAAAUAAAUCCGAAUUUUCUCAAUAAAUAAAAUAAUGAUUGUUGGUUAAUGCCAAAUCUCGUCCACGUGCGCACUCACAUCUUUUCGAUGUGGGACAAGGCAUCUCUACAUUUGUUUUAUAAACAAAUUACCAACAAUCCCCCACUUUUGUUUAUAAAACAAAAACAAAAAUAAAAUGUUAGAAAUAUACAGCCAAAAUUUCCGUGAGAUUAAUAUACAUACAUAAAGGUCUCUUUCGAGUUAAACAUUUACUUAGUGCAAGCAUCUUAAAGCUCUAUCAAAGUGACAAGUAGCUCGGCUUUAAACUUGUACUUUUAUAUAAUAGAACUGGACAUACCGCACAUACACUAACCUCUUGUUUCAGCGAGAAGUUCUAUAUUACUCCGCACUAUUAUGGCAUUGUGCUUGAUCCUGUUUCAUGAGCUCUCUAGAAAGCAACCCUAACUUUCGUAAGAAGCGGCACCACUUCUAAGCUCAUAUAGGUGAAGUAUCUAUCAUGUGUUUCUGUUACUAUCAACACAUUACAAAUUUGUAUCAUACUUCAUUAAGAAUUCAAUUCAACCUACAAAACGUAACAGACAAUAUUGACUUCUCAUAUCAGGGCUACGUCAAUAUCAAACAAUCACAUUCAAUAACUUGUUUUCACCCAUUAAACCUUGUAACUAGUGAUAUUCUAGAAAAAGGUCGGGUUACCAUUAUUGGUGAUUUUAAUUAAAAGGUUUCAGCCCCGUUUCUUAUGAGGUCAUUAUUACCAUGUGUCUUUGUAAAGCCUUUGUCAAAUGAUCGGCAAGAUUAUUACUUGACCUCACGUAAACAAUUGUUAUGGUACCAUCUUUAAUCAAUUGUCUCAUAUACUCAUGUCUUAGAUUAAUAUGUCUAAGAUUUACCAUUAUAGGUGCUAUUAUAGGCUCUUGCCAAAGUAGCCUAACUAUCACAGUGGAUAGAAAUAGGAGGGAUUAGGCCAUAAUUUGAUAUCCAACAACAAAUUCCUAAUCCAUUCGGCUUCUUUCCCAGUUGCUACCAAGCAAUGAUUCAAAUUUCAUAGUUGAGUGAAUUAUGCACACUUGUUUCUUGCUCACCCAACAAACAACACAUUCAUGUAAUAUGAAAAUCCAUAUAGAAGUUUCAUCUCCCAUACUUGUAAUCCAACUAGUAUCGGUGUAUCUUUGUAAUACAACCGAAUAAUUAUCAUAGAACAAUCACAAAUUUUAAGUUCUCUUAAAAUAACCAAAGAAUUCUAAUAAUAGCCUUUCAAUGUUCUAUAUUUGGAUUACUAGUAUAUUUACUCAACUUGCAUAUAUAAAAGUAAUAUCAGGUCUAGUAUAAUGCAUCGCAUACAUUAAACACAUUAAAAACUCUCCACCAAGAAUCAAAUGGAGUAUUUAUAUAUUUGAAAACAAGAUGUUUAAAUAUAUAAAACAUCUUCUCCAUAUAAUCACUUUAGCUCAAAGAAUAACCCCCACUAUUUUUUUUAAUUUUUAAUACUUAAGAUAGUAUCUGUUUCACCCAAAUCUUUCAUUUUGAAAAUGAAAGUCAUAUACUACUUAUUCUCAAUGAUUCCAAUCAUAUUAGUUCCAAAGUCCCUUCAGACAUAACCCCACUUCAAGAAUAUUCCAAGAGGUAAUUAAUCGAAAUUAUGCAUCAUCAAAUUUUCAUCCUCGAUGAAAUACAUACAUCAAAAUAGAAAACCAAUGCAAUUCUACUCUCUUGGCUCAUUUAUGCUAUUCCAUAGAAUCAAAUCUAUGAGGGGCAAGGACAACAAAUAGAACACAUUAGAGCCAAACAAGGGACACUUGAAAAACCCAUUCGGUAUCUCCAAAUUGCCUCCAUAAAUAAAGCACUACAUAUUAGCUCAUGCAAAUAAUGACAUUCUCUAACAAUCCAAUUAAUGAGAGCAAAUCGAGUAUGGAGGUAUCAAAAGCACAUGAACUUGAAUUAAAAGAGGUAAAAAGAAGAUACCGGCCAUUCUAUGAAUGGAAUCAACAACAUCAUAUAAUCCGAAACCUUCUAAAAGAAAUAAUUAGAGCCAUACCUCAUUUCUUCAUGAUAUUGAAUUUCUAGAAGCUCUCAUAUCAUCCUUCUCAAGACCCCACUGACAGUACCGUUGUGUUACAAAUGCAAAUGGAACAACUCUGAGUUGAGCACCGUCAAAUGGCUAACUUUGGCUAAUACCCCUAGGACUGACCGAUAACAUUAUCUUUCUCUUCUAGAUUUCUUGAAAUAUUCCCAAAGCAUCGUCCAGGAAUCCCAGUUUUGUGUAAGAGUCAACCACAGCUCCUCCUACAAUAACAUCAUUUUCUAAACCAACCUUAACAAUUUGGCCAUGAAACAAUUUUGCCAAGCCAACAUCCUUGACAGGUGACUAAAAAAAAAAACUCUGUUGAAAAUUUUCAGCUGAAAUUCGUAAAGCCUGUGGUGUUUGGCAGGUUAUAUUUGACAAAACAACACCACUUGUACGAGACAACCCUUUUUUUUAUUUUUUUAAUCUUAAAAGUGACUGCAUCCAGAUCAUGCAAAUGUUCAACAGGUCGCACGACAGUGCCAUUUGAAAAGGGGCACUCAUAUCCCACAUCACUAGAUCUGGAAAGUUUCAAAACACCAUCCACAACACGAUAUUCAGAACUCGCCGACUUAUCACUGCAAUAAGUCUUGUCCACGCUUUGCAUCCCAUCCAAUGGCACUGUAGCAAGAGGAUCAUCCCAAGCCGCUAUGCCAUUGUGCUUAAAUUUAGAAGACAGUUUAGGUAACUCCAACAGCGUACAGGUUUCUUCCAUUGAGUUUCUCCAUCUUGGAAAGUUCCUUUGAAAGGCUUCUUUCCCCCGCAAAUCAUACCAUAUCUGCUUCAAGGAAACAGGAAUAGGCCAUUCCUGCUCAUACACAUGAAUUAAGUCAAGGAACAACAAGUCCCUCGACUUUGCCAUUUCUCUGUAAUCUCGUCACAAUCUUGAGUAAUUUAGUGAGUUGAGUCAACAUUUGAUCACCUAAAUCCGGAAAGAAAACAUUUCUCUUCUCCGCGCCAACAUUAUGAUAAAAAACACUCCUUCCCACCAAGCGUCCAUGUGAAACGCAUCCACACUCAUUCCAUAUGAGAAGUCACAUGGACCAGUUACGUAAAUAGGCGGCACUGGCCUAAUAGAAGCACGGUAAUCGUGCUGGUCAGCUGUGCAAGAGACUAAUCCAUCCACGGGAGGUGGUACACGUACAAAGUCCACGAGUUUGCCAGAGCCAUCGUCCUCUUUGCGCGUCUCUUCGCAACAAAGAAGGCACCACAACAUUUCAAUUUACGCUACCCUCAAAGAAGGACAUUAUCAAUCAUUAACUGAAAUCCUCCAUCCACUUAUUGAUAGAUUGGCAACUGGAUUGAUGACUAAAACUUCUGUUAUCGUCGUCGUUUGCUUCAGGCUCUCAGCCAUGAAGCAGAGCAGAACAGAGCACGUAGCCCGACGACUUGGGCCCCUGCAGGACGGCACUCCUGUAGUUGCCCCCGUCAGCCCGAAAACUGAGGCGGAAACGGAAGCGUCCCCGACCAGAGUCGCCACCCUCUCUCUAAGUCUCAGUCGAAGUUUCAGUCUCUCUCUGUUUUUUACGUAAGAACAACCGGUCACCAUAGCUUCACGAAACGAACCGACGCCGCUUCCGCCACCCUGCGAAACCGACAAACUGCCACCCGAAUCGGCACCCGCGCCGGUCAAACCGUCGUCCACAAAACCCGCGUCCGCGUCCUUCCCCGCAACGACGCAAAUGACCGAAUCGUACAAUCGCCUCUCGCCUCAUCCCCCAUGCCGCCACCGGGACCGCCCACGUAUACCUCGCCCAGCGUCAUACGCGGAGGCCUCGCCGUGUCACCGAUACCGCACCGCCCCCGCCCUCGCGCCGCGCCACCGGAGACCGAACGUUCCAGAUCGCGGGUCGCCGGUGAUCUGGAACGCGAGCUUAAGCGUCUAGACCGACCGGCGUAAACGGAGAGCAAAAAGGGGGGAAAACCGGCGGUCAAUAGCGGCACGGCUAUACUCGUCGCGAACACCAAAAUGCGCCCGGAAUCUUCAAUGGCCAUCAAACGAGAGGGAGAAGAAAGUUGUGCGUGCGCGUCUGCAAAUCCUUGACCGCGAGGGUAAAUUUUUUUUUUUUAAUUUUUUUAAAUUUUUUUUAAAUUUUUUUUUUCUUUUCCGUCCUUCCUUCCCUCCUUGCUUCCUUCCUUUCCUUCCUCCCUCUUUUCUUCUCUCUUACUUUGUGUCAGACUCUCCUUCCAGCGAUUUUUUUUUUUUUUUUCUCUCUGCCCUUCUUCCACGCACAAACCCACAAUCUCAGCCAACUAGACCAAAGCAGGCUCGAAGUAAACCAAAUUAUCGUCCAAUGCUCACACCAGCAACAGAUUGUCCGCCAAGCAUGCUCAUGAGAGGCCGAGACAUACAACUGGGCGAUAUACGCCAAGACCUUAAGCCUCACCAGCACCUUUUGCUUCCGAUGAUAAACUCUGAUUUCAUUGUUGCAAAAAUUAAAUCCUUAAAAUUGUUGGGAAAAUAAAUUUCGAAUUGGGUAGAACAAUGAAGUCGGAUCGAGUAAUCAAGUCGGACUUUGAGGUGUGGUAUCACUUUCUUUAAGGAUUUAUUUGCCCUACAAAGUUGCUAAUGGUCACCGACAAAUUUCCUCCAGGAUACAACAAAGUCUCAAAAAUGAUAAUACUAUAUAGCAAUUCUAGUAUUUCUCCAAGAUCUCUCAUGGGAAACAAUUAGAAACGGUGGCUGUAGUUUCUCUCGAAAAAAAAAAAUGAAAAAAUGGAAGAAGAUAUGUGUUUGAUCUCAAAACAAACAUAUUUAUCUUUUUCUUUCGAAUAAAGGCAACUCUUCAAAAGGUUGCAAAAAAAGAACAAAGACAACAUUUCGUGAAAAAGUACGUCUCAAAUGUUACGUUUGAAACGAUAUAAAAAUUCGGAAUUAAAUAAAUAAAAAAUAAAAAAUAAUUUUAACUUUUCAUAAACAGUCGCACUGUUUCAACAAGAUUUUAUAGUUAAUAUUUUAUAUAAAUAAAUCCGAAUUUUCUCAAUAAAUAAAAUAAUGAUUGUUGGUUAAUGCCAAAUCUCGUCCACGUGCGCACUCACAUCUUUUCGAUGUGGGACAAGGCAUCUCUACAUUUGUUUUAUAAACAAAUUACCAACAAUAACCAUUGACAUCAUUGUUUCUGUUAUUAGCUUUUCAUUUUUCUUCUCCAGGCAUUGACAGAGCUUAGCAAUUUGCAAUGAUAUACCUGAAUCACAAGGCUACCGAUACCACCAGCACCACCCAAAACCAGGAUGGAUUUGCCAGGCGAGAAGUGAGUCCUCUCGAGGCCUUCGUAAGCGGUUUCAAUGACCAAGGGAAGUGAAGCCGCUUCAGCAAAGCUCAAGUUCUUGGGCUUGAGAGCCAGCAGCCUCUCUUCCACAGCAGUGUACUCAGCCAAAGUGCCAUGUUGCUUCGGGCGGACCAAAGAUAUCUCAUUGAUAUCCCCAUACACUUCGUCCCCAACUUUGAACUUCUUCACUUGAUCCCCGACUUUCACCACCACACCAGCCACGUCGUAGCCCAGCACAAUCUUAAUGGACAUCAAAGAAGAAAGAAAGCCAUAAAAAAAACCAUUCCAAAAAAGUAAUUAGAAGCUAAUAACCAAUUUGUAAUGAUAAUUCUCGAGAAAGUCUUCUGAUAAUCAAGUUCUUAUGCUGGCCAAAAAUCGCUUUUUACAAGUCAUGCUAUCGCAAUUGAUGAUAUGCAAAUCGAUAAGUUCAAGAUCAUAAAAGAUUCUCAUUCAGCAGAAAUCUGUAGUCACGGCCGUUGGACAAAAAGAAAAAAGAUAUUACAUAGUAUGAUGUCUUACGGGAGGUGGGGAGUCGUCGUCCUUUAAGAAGCCGCGAGCUCUCUUGGCAUCAAUGAUAUUUAGGGCAGCAGCAACAUCCUUAACAAGGACCUGGUCUUCCUUAAUCUCAGGAACCCUGACAUCCGAAACUAGCUUGAGGACAUCGUUGGGGUUCCCAAGUUCGGCAUAUACCCAAGCCUUGAUCUUGGAGGGGAUGGUGAAAUCUGAACUGGAAGCCAUUGAAUGAGCGAAAGCCGAGCUAACUAAGCUUGUCAAUCUGUAUAAAGAAUAAGUAACUUCGUAGGGAUUGGUGAGAGUAUAGAAAAGAACAAAGCUUUUCCUUUUUGGUUUUUGGGUAGUUGAAGGGAACCCACCUUGUCAAUCUAUAUAUAGUUUAAGGUAGAGGGUGGAUGAGGUUUAUCAUCAUGGAUUAGCAAGGCUUGACUUUGGUUUAAGCAUUUUGGAUUUGGCAAAGUACAGAGACAUGGAUGGGGUCCAAGUACCUUUUUGUCUAAAUGCAAUCUAGGGGUCAAUUUCAUCACGUCACGAUAAUAGUUUAGACGUUCUUGGUAGAAUAGUCAUCAUAUCUAUACAUGAUAUGCUCUUUAAUCUAUCGCCAGCGUAACAUUUCUAAUCUAUUUCGUAAAUUCAAGUGGGAGCGGCUAGCAUAACAGCUGGUUGAAGAAGGACGGUCAAAAGGUCCAACGCUAACCACAAGUCUUUUUUUGAGGAAAUAGGAAGAAUUCUCUCUGUUUGUUUGGCAGAAAAUGAAAUGAUUUAAAAUACAUUUUCUCAAUAACAAUCAUUUGUAUCACUUAUAAAAAUGAAAUAAUGAAAAAUAUUUUCAUUAUUCAUGAACAUAUUUAGAUAUAAAUUGUUAUCAACCAUGAAAACAUUUUCUAUUAAAUAAUUAUUUCAAGGAUACACGCGAUCAUUUUUAAGAAAAUAUCUUAUAAAUAAUUUAUUUUCCACAAAACAAAUAAAGCUUUGAUAUGUAUUUUCUUUUCUUUUUGCUUCAAUGUUUCCUUUGGCAAGCUCAAAUUUAGAGACAAAAAUCAGAGGUAGGAAUCAAAUUCAAUCUUGGAUUGAUAUAAUUAAUCGAUCAUAAUUCUAGAUAAUUUUGGAUUGAUUCAUCGUGAUCGACUAUUGAUUCUUGCAUAUCUCCAACAUUUCUCCUCAAGCUAGUGGCUUAUAUAUAUCCAAGACGCUUAGCUUGCUUAGUAAAUAUGCAUGUUAUCUUUGAGAUAAUGGCUUGGUAAGGCAGAAGUACAGCGCAAGUGCCACAACUUGGCACGCUGGGACACUUAAGUGCCAUAACUUCCAAACGGUACACUUAAGUGCCACUUUUUUUUUCAAGUGGGACACUUAAGUGCCACCUCCGGCGACCCUUGCCGGAAAUCCUACGUGGCAUUUUUUUAUUAUUAUUUUUCGCCUACGUGGCUCGCCGGAGCUCCAAAUCAGCAUAAAAAAUAAUAAAAAAUUUAAAAAUUUAAAAAUUUUAAUUUUAAAAAAUUUAAAAAUUAAAAAAAAUUUAAAAUUUUAAUUUUAAAAAAUUUUAAAAAUUUAAAAAAAAUUUAAAAAUUUUAAAAAUUUUAAAAAAAAAUUUAAAAAUUUUAAUUUUAAAAAAUUUUAAAAAUUUUAAUUUUAAAAAUUUUAAAAUUUUUAAUUUUAAGAAAUUUAAAAAAUUUAAAAAAAAUAAGAAAAUUUUAAAAAUUUUAAUUUUAAAAAAAAUAAGAAAAUUAUAAAAAAAAAAAAAAAAAAAGGGGGGGGUCGAAGGGGCGGCUUCGAUUUCUUUGCAUGCUCGCAUCCAUGCUCUUGCUCGUCCGUUCAAGACGUGCUAGGGGGGAAGAUGUGGCGCAACGGAAGGAGGACUUGAGAAAGCUAGAGGGCCUGCCCACUCAAUAGGAGAUUUCCAGUUUGUUCGUGUUCCCGAGCAAUCGUCAAUUCCACUAUCUUUCAUCUCUUCCUUUUUUAAUGAUGACGGAAAGGGGCCAGAGACGUGGCCCAGAUGUGAACUUUUCGAACUAUGGGCCCCUGGAUUAUGCGAUGCCGUGGCUCGGCUUGACUGUUGUGCUUGGCUGGUGGGAUCUGAACUAGAUUUGGGNNNNNNNNNNNNNNNNNNNNNNNNNNNNNNNNNNNNNNNNNNNNNNNNNNNNNNNNNNNNNNNNNNNNNNNNNNNNNNNNNNNNNNNNNNNNNNNNNNNNNNNNNNNNNNNNNNNNNNNNNNNNNNNNNNNNNNNNNNNNNNNNNNNNNNNNNNNNNNNNNNNNNNNNNNNNNNNNNNNNNNNNNNNNNNNNNNNNNNNNNNNNNNNNNNNNNNNNNNNNNNNNNNNNNNNNNNNNNNNNNNNNNNNNNNNNNNNNNNNNNNNNNNNNNNNNNNNNNNNNNNNNNNNNNNNNNNNNNNNNNNNNUUUUUUUUUUUAAACUUUAAAUUUUUCUUAAUUUUUUUAAAUUUUUAAUUUUCUUUUUUUUUAAUUUUUUGAAUACUUUAUAAUUUAAUUAAUUUUUAUAUUAAUAAUUACACGUAGACACACGAAACGGCGUCGUUUUUUGCGUUUUCUCCGCCACGUCAGCGUGUAAAACGACGCCGUUUUGGACUAAGGUCGCCGGAAAAUUGCCACGUCAGCCAUUUGGCCGGAUUUUCGCCGGAGUGGCACUUAAGUGUCCCAUUUUGCUCCGAUGAUGGCACUUAAGUGUACCAUUUUAAAGUUAUGGCACUUAAGUGUCCCGGCGUGCCAAGUUAUGGCACUCCAGGUGUCCCGACCUCGGCUUGGUAAAGAUAUCGGGAGUUGUUAUGUGGUUCCAAUUCCAUUUGUCUUGAUAAUCCCUUCUUGAAUUUUUUUUAUUAAUUUUUUACCCCGUCAACAAUAAAACGACGUCAUUUUUGCAUUGUCUAGCCACGUCAGCAUGUAUAACGACACCGUUUUGCACUUAUUUCGCCGGAAAUUGCGCACUUCAGCAUUUUGGCUGGAUGAGCACUUAAGUGAUCCAUUUUGCUUCGAUUUUGGCACUUAAGUGUCACUUUCGUAACUUUUGGCACUUAAGUGUCUAUUUAUGCCAACUUUUGGCACUUGAAGCGAUCUUUUGCCGUUUCUUAGUUGGUAAAUCGUACUCUCCACUAACUAAUUUUAUAAUUUUUUCACUAAUAAAGUUUAGAUUGCGAUAAAAAAAAAAAAAAAAAAGAACCAACAAGCAAUAAUGAUGCUCUUUUGUUGGUAAUCAUACUCUCCACCAACUAAUUUAAUAUUUUUCUGCUAAUAAAAUUUAGAUUGUGAUAGCGCCUAGUCUCUUUUCAAAAGAUGGAUGCGCAGCUUCAAUGUCUUAUUUAAUUUGAAGGCCCUUACUCAAGUAUUUUUAUUGUCCAGUGACGAUGGUACAUGGAGAAAUUGUCAAUCAAUUCUAAAUAUUUUGUACGAAUGACAAUAACAUUUUAACAUUUUCAAUUUUCUCAAUUUAGUCCUAAACUUUUGUACGAAAUUACAAUAUAGUCAUUUUGGCUAAUUUUUAUCAGAACCGCAUAGGAUGAUCAAUAAUAACUUAAUUGUACAUCAGUAAUUUCUGAUAAAAAUUGAUGAGAUGGACAACAUUGAACUUUGUGCAAACGUUUAAGACUAAAUUAUCAAAUUGAAAAGUUCUUGAGUGGAUUGAUAUCGCUACAAUGUAUCUAAGACUUGUUGGAUAAUUUUUUUCCUAUAGUUGUGGAGAAGAAACUUAUUUCAUUAGAAAAUUAGAAGACAACUACUAGAUUUGUGCAUAGUCACCAUGUUACAACUGUAAGGUUGAUUGAAGAUUAUAUUCAACUGCUUAAGUAAAUAAUAUCUCGAGUGAGUCAAUUUAAGAAUAUGAUCCUCGAGUUGGACCAAAUAGAUGAACCAUUGAUAAAACAACAACUUAUAGUGGCAGCAUACAAAUCUGAAGCUUUCAAGGCACAAUAAUGAAGAAAGAAAGGCUAGUCUGCAACUUGAAGGAGAGAGGGAGAGAUAAGGGGACAAAGGAGGCCACCAAGGCUUCAAUCUUCAUCCAAUUGAUCCCCUUGACCAAUUCCCUCCACCAGCUGCCUUCCUUGGCCUCAAAUCAGCCACCAAUGCCUCAAAUACAACAUUUGAAAUGGUCCAAAAGCCAUAGACAAGGGGGAGCUACGAAUUUCUCAAGAAUUUGGCUUCAAUUGGACAUUUAAUCAUUCUUAAUUCAACACAAACCAACCUUUAUAAAAUCAACCAACACCUCAUUGAUCUAAUUGGUAUUUUUCGUCAUCAACUGAUCCCACUUGCUUCCCAAUUGCGCGAUAAAAAAUGGUCCAUGACUUUUUCUGGACAAAAAUAGCCCUAGGACGACUUUUUACCAAAAAGUCUCAGUUUGCAGAAAAAUCUUCAGAGGUGGAGUCGACGUUCCUAAAAUGGCUUGUGACAAGAAAAAACUUUCAAUUUCUGAAAUCGGAUUCAAAUUUGCAGUUAAUUUCAAUCCAGCGCGAUUUUAGCGUGACUUAAGCUAUCGGGUAACUUUUAGAAAUUUUUAGUGCAAAUGACACGUGGUCGAUUUUCUUUGAACCACAAUGAACCUCUUCGACACAUUGGUGACUUUCGGUGGUUGUGAAAAUCUCGAGAUUUCAAAUACGAACGCAAGGUACCAAAACAAUAGAAAAAGCAAAUUAGAGCCAAUCAAUGAGAUUUUUGCAAUUUAGUGGGAUCACUCACGUUUAACCACGCAUCUCGGUCGAACCGACCUAUCUCUGAUCUCUAAUCAAUUUUUAACUGUGCCGUAAUGAUCUUGGCAGAUGAGCACGGUCAAGCGGCCGAUUCUUGGUCGAAUCCUCAAGUCUAUUUGCCAUAAAGUUCUUAAUGGCUUCCAUAUAUAGUCUAGUUAUCUCAUGAGUAAUCAGCUCUAAGAACAGCACUAUAGGCGCAUCAAUUAAAUGCUUGAUUUAUUCAACUAAAAGUAGAAUUGAAAAUCUAUGAUGUCACAACUCUUCCCCUCUUAUAAAAAUUUCGUUCUCAAAAUUUAAACAUUUACAAUACUUAAGCAAAAAUGUGGGGGUACAAACGUCUCAUCGACUCUUCAGUCCCCCGGGUUGCUCCUUCGGUACCGUGGUAUUACCAGACCACUUUGACCAUCGAGAUGGUCUUUGUAUGCAGAACUUGCUCUUUUCUAUCCACAAUCUGAGUCAGGCUUUCAACAUAUGACGCACGGUCAUCCACGUCCAAUUCCUUGAAUUGAGCACGUGAGCCGGGUCAGGCUCAUACUUCCUUAACAUUGACACGUGAAAGACGUCGUGCACUUGCGCCAAUCUUGGCGGCAACGUAAGACGAUACACUAGAGUUGCGAUUCUCUCAAGAAUCUCAAACGGACCUACGUACCUUGGACUCAAUUUUCCAUUCGUGCCAAAGUGCGAAGUUCCCCUCAUUGGUGACACAUUCAAAAAAACGUAAUCACCAACUUAGAAAUCCAAAAGCCUUCGACGCCUAUCUGUGUAGCUUUUCUGACGACUCUGAGUGGUCUUUAAUCUACUUUUGAUCACUGCCAUGGCAUCCACUGAUUAUUGAACCAACUUUGGGCUUGUAAUCUUUCUUUCCCCAACUUCAUUCUAACACACCGAUGUUCUGCACGCUCAGCCAUACAACACUUCAAAUGGAGCCAUUUGGAUACUUUGCUAAUAAAUGUUGUUGUAGGUGAAUUCUACGAGAUGAAGUUGUUUUUCCCAACUUUCCUUGAAGUCUAGUACACAAGCUUGCAACAUAUCUUCAAGGGUUUGAAUUGUCCUCUCAGACUGGCCAUCCGUUUGAGGAUGAUAUGAUGUACUAUUCUGAAGCUUUGUACCUAAAGCACCCUGUAAGCUCUUCCAAAAAGCGGCGGUGAACCUCGGGUCUCGAUCUGAAGUGAUCGUAACCGGCACUCCAUGUAAUCGAACUAUCUAACGCACGUACAACUCAGUGUGCUUAUCCAAGUUAAGAUCCUUUCGCACUACAAUAAAAUGAGCCGACUUUGUCAACCUAUCAACUAUUACCCAAAUCGAAUCAUUACCUCUCUGACUCCUUGGUAACCCGGUCACGAAGUCCAUCGUGAUAUCUUCCUAUUUCCACUUUGGGAUUUCAAGAGGUUACAAGAGUCCUCCCGGCUUGCAAUGCUGAGUUUUAACCUGUUAACACGUCAAACACUUUGCGACAUGUUUGGUGAUGUCCACCUUCAUACCAGACCACCAAUAGUGUUGACAUAGAUUCUAAUACAUCUUGGUACUUCUGGGAUGAAUACUGUAACUACUACGAUGAGCUUCAGAUAAAAUAUCCUCUUUAAGCUUCACAUCGUUAGGUACAACUAAUCGUCCUCGAAACUUUAGUGUUCCAUCUUCAGAAACCUGAAAGUCAACUUUCUUCUCUUCAAUAUCAUCUUGUAAAAUUUUCUGAACAUCUGGGUCUGUCGGUUGAAGUAGCUUGAUCCUGAUCUACACAUUUGGCUCAAUUUUGAGGGUAGUCAUAAGAUGAGAAAGGUGGCCUACCUCAAAUUUGAAUACCAAAUCUCGAGCUCACUCGAUUAGGUUCCACUGCUUAACCAAUAGGUAAGCAAUUGACGACUUUCGACUCAAGGCGUCGACGACCUUGUUCGCCUUUCUUGGGUGAUAUAAAAUAUCACAAUCAUAAUCUUUAAGCAAUUUCAUCCAUCGACGCUGUCUCAUAUUCAAUUCUUUCUGAGAGAAUAGGUACUUGAGACUCUAAUGGUCCAUGAAGAUCUGAAAUUUCUCCUCACACAAGUAAUGUCUCCAAAUCUUCAACGCAAAUAUGAUAGAUGCGAGUUCUAUGUCAUGCAUCGGGUAGUUUAGUUCAUGAGGUUUCAACUAGCAGGAAGCGUAUGCAAUAACCUUACCAUAUUACAUCAAUACACAACCCAGUCCUCUAAACGAUGCAUCACUAUAGAUCUCGUACCCUCCAGGACCAGAUGGAAUUGUCAGCACAGGUGCGGUAGUUAGCUUUUGCUUCAACUCUUGGAAACUAUAUUCACACUUGUCUAUCCAUACGAAUCUCUCAUCUUUCUUCAGGAGUCUUGUCAAAGGCGACGCCAAAGCUAAAAAUCCUUCCACAAACCGUCUGUAGUAACCUGCCAAACCUAGAAAACUUCGGAUUUCUGUCACUGUUGUUGGUUUCAACUAGUUGAUCGCAGCUUCAAUCUUGCUCGGGUCCAUAGAGAUUCCUUCGCCUGAAAUCAUGUGUCCUAAGAACGCAAUACGAGUCAGCCAAAACUCACAUUUGCUAAACUCAGUGUACAACUGAUGAAUCCUCAAGGUCUGGAGCACUAAUCUCAAAUGAUCCCGUGCUCCUCAGCACUCCUUGAAUAUACCAGGAUAUCAUCGAUGAACACGAUCACAGACUGAUCUAGAUAUUCCUUAAAUACUCCGUUCAUCAAAUCCAUGAAAGCAGCUGGAGUAUUCGUUAACCUAAAUGGCAUCACAGUGAACUCGUAUUGACCAUAUCGAGUACGAAAUGUUGACUUUGAAAUGUCUUUUUUCCUAAUCCUCAGCUAAUGAUAUCAUGUCCUCGAGUCGAUUUUCAAAAAUAUCAAUGCUCCUCGUAACUGAUCAAACAAGUCAUCAAUCAUCGGCAAUGGAUACUUGUUCUUGAUCGUCACUUGAUUGAGUUGGCGAUAGUCAAUGCACAAGCACAACAUACCAUCCUUCUUUUUCAUGAAUAGAACUGGUGCUCCCCAAAGUGAUGCACUAGGACGUAUGAAUCCCUUAUCUAAUAAUUCUUGCAUCUUCACCUUUAGUUCCUUCAACUCUGAUAAAGCCAUUUGGUAAGGAGCCUUAGAGAUCGGCUCUGUCUUGGGGGCUAACUCAAUCACGAACUUAAUUUCUCUCUCUGACGGUAAUCCUGGCAAUUCCUUCGGGAAUACAUUUGGGAAUUUUUGCACAACUGAAAUAUCUUCAAUUUUCAACUCGUCAACUAUCGUAUCCACGACAGUUGCCAGGUAACCAUGGCAACCCCCGUCUAAUAAACAGGUUGCCUCAUGCGACGAGAUUAGGGAAAUUGAGAGUCCUCAUCGGUUCUCUACAAACUCGAAGCUCUCACCCUUUAAUGGGUUAAACUGAAUCGACUUGCGAUAGUAGUCCAUUUUAGCUCGUUGCUUGGUGAGCCAGUCCAUGCUAAUUAUCAAAUCAAAGUCAUACAUGGCUAGGACUAAUAAGUCUAUUUUCCUCUCUCGCUCACCAAUCUCUAACUUGCAACCAGAACAACCCAAAGCAGACAACACUUUAUCCUUCAUAGGUGUAGAUAUGCUAACAACAGAUUCCAACAACUCAGGAUUUAUUCCAAUCAACUUAACAUACUGCUCGGCAAUAAAGGAAUGGGUUGCUUCCGGAUCGAAUAAAGCAUAAACAGGAUGGUUGUUCAACGAAACCAUACCAGUGAUCAUGUCAAGCGCGGCCUCUGCCUGACCUUAAGUAAUGGCAUACAUCGUGCCUUGAAUUGGGGGUCGGAGUUGUCCUCCUUGAUGUGCGUUCUGAGACGCAUACCCUCUGAUUUGUCCUAACAGUGGCAGUAGCAGCAACUGCGGUUGUCCUCUUAUUCUUCUCGGACAAUUCCUGGCUAUAUGACCCAGCUAGCCACACUUAAAACAAGUGCCUAGCCUAGAUUAGCAUGGGGUAGAUUCGUGUCGCCUUCCACACAAGCAACAUACACCAUUCUAGUUAGGCCUAGACUUGCCAACUCCACCUUUUCUGCUAGGCGGGAUAUGAAAUCUUCCUCCAACCAUGGGCCUCUUCCCAUGUCGGAUUGCAUCUUUGUUUGCAUUAAAUCUUGACCCAGAUGUGGCGGCUCUCUCAUUCUGAUCUCUCUCGAUCAUCUGGGCCCUCUCAUAUAGGUCAUUGUAACUCCUCAAAUUCAGCGAAAUCAAUGUACUCCUCAAGUCUAGCCUGAAUCUAUCUCUAAACCUUCUCACUCAGUUCACUAGAUUCUCAAUUAGUUCAGGCGCAUAUUGCGAUAGUUUAGCAAACUUCACCUCAUAUUGAUCGACAGCUAGGGAACCUUGGCAAAGAUGUUGAAACUCUGCCAUCUUCAUAUCUCUUGCAGUCUCUGAAAAGUACUUACCAUUAAAAGCCUCAAGGAAGGUGUUCCACUCCGGGACAACACCUUCUGGAAAUACUACUCCUUGGGUGAUUCUCCAUCAAGUAUUUGCAACUCCUUCCAAUUGGUAAGUUGCAAGAACUACCUUUUCAGUUUCAUUGCACAUUAAUAGUGCAAAAGCUUUCUCAAGUCUUUGGAUCCACAAAGCAGCAGCUUCAGGAUCUCCUGCCCCAGAGAACUGAGGCGGAUUCAACUUCAAGAAUUGUUCCACCAACUUGUGAAUCGGUCUCCCAGCGACUAUGAUUCCUAGCUAACCUUCGACGGGUGCGACGGCAGGUGCGGCAGCGGAGGCGGCUUUAGCGACAGCAGGAACAACAGCAGUAACGGUGGCUUGAGCGACAGCUUGAUUAUGGGCCUACUGCCCAAUCAAGUCCCUCAUGGUCUCCAACGACUGCAAGAUCCCGUCUACUUGAGGAUCACUAGGGUUUGCUACCCUAGCACCAACAGUAGGUGGUGCUAUUCCACUAGUGCUAGCCUAUGUUGGCGCCCUACCCCUGCCUCCUCGGGUACCGAUCCUGGUCGAUGUCCUACCUUGAAUUACAAGCCUGACAGAUCUCUUACUCGAAGUUCUCUGCUCCUGCUCACUCAUGGUUUAGUCUUUUUACUGAAACCUGUCUUCCAAAUCCACACCGGAUUAGAAGAUGAGCUAUCCACACUCAACAAACAAUUCUACCACACAAUUAUUACCGACAUGCACUAGUCAUGAAGUUAAAGGCCUUUCCUACUUACUAUCCCAUAUUCAUCGCACAUUAUCACUCCAAUUUCUAACGACCACGCUCUGAUACCACUAAACUGGGACUUCACGUCCCGAUCCUCCGAGCCCAUGCCCAUCCCUUUUUAGUUGAUAUAAUAGGGAUGUCUCAAGAUGCAUCGCCGAUCCAUUCAUUUUAUAUACGCAUGCGGAAGCAGAUACAAAUCCCUAGACGAUAAAAUAAUGGGAUAGGAAAACAGUGCCAUAAAAUUUCGUACCACACUAACCACACUUAUAUAUACACAACACAACCAGUUAUAUAUAAUACAAGCCAAACCAAACUUUGUGUAUCCAAACACAUAAGGUUUAACAAAUAGGGGGUGGGGUUUUCUUAACACUCUAGCUACUCAUCCUCGUCCUCUUCGAUCUCUCAUUCUUUUAGACUCCAGCUGGAGCCUACUGCUGAGUACGCCGAGGAAUCUGGAUCACCAAGCUUAGGGUCCUUCGCAUCCACCACCAAUCCGUCCUUAGGGUUUUUCGUACCCUUUCCAAAAGCAACCUCCAUCACGUACAAAGGUAUAUCAGAUUCCGGUACAUGGCCCACCCUUUGGCCAUUAUGAUAAUAGCGAUACCAUGACUGGUAUUAAUGAGGUACCUUUUUGGUUAACCCUGUAUCAACCCAGACAAUGGAUUUCACCAGUACAUAUUCAAGACCCUUGGGGUACCCAUGUAUCGGGAUGUGAUAGCUCUAUUCUGUGAACUUCUUAGGUUGGCCAAAAUGAUUAGGUGAGGCUGCCAUCUAUGGGCUUGAAAUGUUUAUCUCAUAAUGAGGUGAGAUGAUGUUUCAAUGAGUUCUACCCCCCUUUAGACCCGAUUAAGAAGAAAAUAUGCUCUAAGGGCUGCCUAAGCACAAUUAAGCGUUAAAAGACUUACCUUGGCCUCAGUUCUUUUCUAUAAGUCAGUUAAAUUAAUAAAUACUGACAAUUAUAUCUUCCAAUCAAUCAAGUCGAACCAUUGAUCAAUCGACUUAGUCGAUUACAUGUCAUCAAGACCAUCAUACAAUCAUUUAGAUUAUCCAUUCUCAACUCUUAGUUACGGUCCAACAAGCACGACCUAGAUUUAGUGGUAAUCAUGGCCCCACCAGCAAUUUUCUAGAUUUGGUGGUAAUCACCGCCCUACCUGGCAAUUUUCUAGAUUUUAUGGUAAUCACUGCCCCACUUGGCAAUUUUCUAAACUUGGUGGUAAUCGCGGCCCCACCAGCAAUUUUCUAGAUAAAUAGCCACAUUAUCCAAUUUUUGGGAUAAAUCCCCAUAAUCACUAAUUUCACUCAAUUUUCACAACUCGGUACUCAAAUAAAUAAACAAAUAGCACGAUAGCAAUCAAUAUGAAAUUCCAGUCACCGGCCAUCCCGGUUGAAUUUUCGGAAAAUAAUUAAUUAAUUAAUUAAUUAUGGAAAUUAUUAAAUAAAUGCAAUAAAUAGCAUAAAUGCAAACUUAGGCCCAAUAAAGCCUAAUUGGAAGCCGAGAUGGGCCCGGAAAAUUUUCGAACCACUCUAGUUAAAUACUAGAGCUUGUCUAGGCUCUAAUUGCACUAACUAUCCACCUAACAUGCAUCAGUAAUUAAUUAAAUUCACUAAUCUAAUCUAAUUUAACCAUCUAAUCCAUCUUAGCUUAAACUAAUCAACCCCUAAGCAUAAUUAAACUACUAAGAGAUGAUUUUUUACCAAAAUAAAAAAGCUAUUAAGAGAAGAUUAGUGAGUUAAACUCACUUGUUAAGCGAUCCGGUCGAUUCAAAUCGACGGGGACGCAACGGGGCUAAACUUUCUCCAAAACGGGCCUAGCUUUCGAGGUUGGGAACGUCCUCAAAACGGGCCACGAACAUUAAUGGAAACCCACUUUAUUUGCUUCUGUUCUUGGCUGGUUGGUGGUUGAAAAGGCGGGGUGGUGGCUUGAUUGAGGCGGAAAUGGAUCGAGGGAGCAAAACUGGACCUAGGUGAGACUCGGUGGAGCUCGAACGGUAGCCGGCAGUAGCUCACGGUGAUCCAAGUGUCCACGGCAGCUCGUUGGGCUCGAGUAGGAGGUGGUGAGGCAACGCGGUUGGGCAGAGGGCACGCGUGCGUGUAGUGGUGGCGCGCGAGGACGGCAACGGUGACGGCGGUGCGUGCGGCAGGGAUGUUUGGCUCGAACAACCUCCUUGCUAGUUUUCCUCUAGAAAUCUAAAGCUUUCAAGGCACAACAAUAAAGAAAGAAAGGCUGGUCUACAACUUGAAGGAGAGAGGGAGAGAUAAGGAGACAAUGGGGCCACCAAGGCUUCAAUCUUCAUCCAAUUGGUCCCCUUGACCAAUUCCCUCUACCAGCUACCUUCCUUGGCCUCAAAUCACCCACUAAGGCCUCAAAUACAACCUUUGAAAUGGUCCAAAAGCCAUAGACAAGGGGGAGCUACGAAUUUCUCAAGAAUUUGGUUUCAAUUGGACAUUUAAUCCUUCUUAAUUCAACACAAACUGGCCUUUAUAAAAUUAACCAACACCUCAUUGAUCUUAUUGAUAUUUUUCGUCACCAAUUGAUCCCACUUACUUCCCAAUUGUACGAUCAAAAACGGUCCCUGACUUUUUCUGGACAAAAACGGCCCUAGGACGACUUUUUCCAAAAAAGUCUUGAUUUGCAGAAAAAUCUUCAGAGGCCGAAUCGACGUUCCUAAAAUGUCCUGUGACAUGACAGAACUUUCAAUUUCUGAAAUUGGAUUCAAAUUCGCAGUUAAUUCAAUCCGACGCGAUUUUAGCGUGACCUAAAUUACUGAGUAGCUUUUAGAAAUUUUUAGUGCAAAUGACUUGUGGUCGAUUUUCUUCGAACCACAAUGAAUCUCUUCGACACAUUGGCGACUCUCGGUGGUCGUAAAAAUCUCGAGAUUUCAAAUACGAACAUAGAGUACCAAAACGAUAGAAAAAUCAAACUAGUGCCGAUCGGUGAGAUUUUGCAAUUUAGUGGGAUCACCCACGUUUAACCAUGCAUCUUGGUCAAACCGACCUAUCUCUGAUCUCUAAUCAAUUUUUAACUGUGUCGUAAUGAUCUCGGCAGAUGUGCACGGUCGAGCAACCGAUUCUUGGUGGAAACCGAGAUCCUGAUUGUAUGGGCGAGCAGGAUUGAUGGACUAUCGUCAUGUUCCUUAAAUAGCUCGAAGAUCUUCCUAAUUGAUUAUGUCCAAUGGGUAGAUUGGAAAAAUUCCUUUGGUAAGUGUCAAUGGGUGUGAUGGCAUAAAUGAGUAUAUAAAGAAGACAUUACAGUUGUUCGAGUGCGUGCACGAUAGAAGAAUUCCAAAGUCUGAAACUCCUUGUUCUUAGUCAAUUAAACUGUUGAGUGAAAUUUUGUACGCAAAAGAGAGUAUAUCUUUGAGAGACCUUGAGGAAGUGUAGUAGAGUCUCUACACUGUGGAAUCAAGGAAGAGCUUUACUAUAACAACUCUUUUGUUCAUAGUGAAAUCCAGCCGGUGGGCUGUCAGUGUGGAAGAGUGGACGUAGGCUUGGAUUAAGCCGAACCACUAUAAACUCUGUGUUCAUAUUCUCUUCCCUACGCUCUUUUACUUUGAUCGUAACUCGUUUUGUUUACCAGGGACGAAUUUCCUUUUCAUAAUCUAUUGUUGAGAAGUGCUUCACACUUAUUUCAUAAAAUUAUUUUUGCACAUAUUCACCCCCUCUAGGUGCUCGUACUAGCUUUCACAGUUCUACAACAGUAGCCUUCACGAGCAUGAAGUCGUAUUGCCCACUGCAGAAAAGGUUCACGUAACCCGAAGCUUUAAUAAUUACCAAGUGACUGAGCAGCAACUUCCAACAUUACUUCUCUCUAUCUUCCUCCUCCUAUGCGUCUUAGAGAGAGAGAGACAAAAAGCAGCAUCAGAGCAACGAUGGUGGACUUGCAGUUGGCACGUGUUAGGGAGGGAGAUGCACAUAAGGAUUUAGAGUUUGCUAGUGGCACAUGUGAGGGACGCCGUGCCUAUUCAGUGAUAUAUUAUUGGCAUGUUGAUAGGACUAUAUUUCUUAUUUUAACGUAUUGGUACUUGCACGAUUUAGCUCCCAAUUUUCUCUUGAAUCUUUUUCUUCUUCAGGAGAAGGGAAUAUUCUCUUGAUGUUUUACAUCCAAGGGAUGCCAAGAUUCGCACAAGAUCAAACAAAGCAAUUUAAGGUGUUACUUAGGACCUAGAUUUGUUAUUUUUGCAAAGAAUCGGAAAGAUAGUCAUCACGUGGAGAUUAUCAACAAAGAGAGGUCAUAGAGGGAGGUGGUCAAGCUUGACCAUGGAAUAGCAUGAGAUCCAUAUAAUCCUUGAAAUAAGCUCACAUUAUCAAGUCCAUGCUAGGCUAACAUGGAGUCAAUGAUCCCCUUAACAUGCAUAUUUACAUACAAAUACGCUUUAUAUUCACUAGUACAGCUAAUGAGGUGUAAUUAAUCAAUGAAAUUGUUUUUUUUUAUAACUGUUAAAAGUCAGGUUCUCAGAGAUAACUGAUGAUUAUGCUUAUUAAUAUUUAUAAUAUUAAUAUUUUGUUAAAAAAUGCUUCCAGAUUUUCAAGCGUUUGUUUCAUUAGAAAAUAAAUCAAUUGAGAAAAACAUUUUCUAUAAAGUGAAAAAUAUUCUAAAAUAGGAGAAAAUAUUUUUUAUAUUUUAAAUAAAGAAAAAUAUUUUCCUCAUUCACUCUCUAUUAUUUCACAUAUUUAUUAGCCCUCACUUCUCUUUUUCAAUUUGAAAAUUAUUUUUAUUUUUAUACUUUUUUUUCCUUUUUGCUUUUUUCCUUUCUCGAUCAGUCGUCGGCUACAGUGAUGACAUCAAGCUCGCCGGCCUCUGAUGAGCUCAGACUUGUCCAUUAGGCGUCGGGCCCACUUGCUUUAAAUCAGGGUCCUUAAGGUCAAGCACAAUCAAAUGCAUAUAUAAUAUGUUUAGAAGACACCCUUGCUAGCCCGGGCGUACCGGCGGACGCGAGGGGCAUCUUUAGCGAGCAUCGAUAUAGUAACGCGCCACAUGUAUCUAUUAAAGCUUCGUGCCCCUCCCUCCCUGACCGCCAUUGUAUCUUCUAAAUGAUUUCUUCCGCGCUCUAGGAGCCCUUUCUGUCGCCUGAUCUUCUGCGGCUGUUCUUCUUGUUGGAACUGCCGUGCGUGCGUCAUUUUGAAUCCUCCCUCUUCUUCGGUCAUUGUGGUUUCCGGGUUCCAUCAGAUUCGCCUUCCUUGGAGUAUAUAAAUUCUUAACUCUCGUUUCUACACAAAGAAGGAAAGAAAGCCAGAAAGGUAGAAGAAGUCGAAACGGGGGGAAAUGGAGGAUAGUGCUCUGUGUAGAGCCUCCAAAGCGGUAAAGUGCGUGGUGGCUCCGGAAAUAAAGUCCCUGGUGGCUCGGGUCCGUUGGCACUGCGGCUACAUAAUAUUCUCCGACUGCCACGUUGGCGAACUUAAUGUUGAAGUUAAGAAGCUGGAUGACACAAAGGAUGAGGUGCAGCGUUCCAUCGAUGAUGCUAAAACAACAUGAAGCCGAUCAAAGGCGAGGUGGCGAGAUGGGUGAACGAAGUGGGGAGCGUCGCUGACGAGGUGCGUGACGUGCUGGAUUAUGACAGAGAAGCUAAGAAAACUUGCUUCUAUGGGUGGCUUCCCAACCCAAAGGCGCGAUAUCAUCUCGGCAAAAAGGCGAGCAGGAAGGUCAAGGACAUCCGGGAGCUCAUUGCACGGGGUCAAUUCAAGGAGGUUUACUCCGAGAAUCCUCCGCCAGGGCUUGUUGGCGGUGCUCUCUACGUGAAUUCGUUGGCCGGUGAUGAGGGCGACUUUAUCACCGAUUCGCGAGCUUCCAUCUUUCAGGGCAUAAUGAAAGCUCUGAAUGAUGAGAAGGUGAAAGUGGUUGGGGUCUACGGGCCUGGCGGCGUGGGGAAGACUACGCUGUUGGAGAUAGUCGAGAAUAAACUUAGGCAAGAGAGGGGACCGUUCCGCAUGAUCGUUAAAGCGGAAGUCUCGCGAACUCCGGAUUUAAAUAAUAUCCAAGGCCAGAUUGCUAACGCCUUGAGUCUGAAUCUGAAGGACAAGGAAAGCCAACAGGGAAGAAGAGAUCUUCUGUUUCAGAGAUUGCAGAGGUAUCCAAAUGAGAAGGUUCUCAUAAUAUUGGACGAUCUGUGGGGAGCACUUGAUUUGAAGGCGGUUGGAAUUCCUUUGGGAGAUGAGAGCAGGAACUGCAAAUUGUUGCUCACUUCGAGAGAUAAAAGUGUGCUGGAGCAAAAGCUACAUGCCGAACAAACAUUUCAUCUGACAAGUUUAGAGGAAGACGAAGCUUUCAAGCUAUUUGAAAAGAUAGUCGGCGACAAGCUUAGAGACGAUGAGGAAUUGAAAGUAAAGGCGGUUCAAGUGGCAACCAAGCUUGCAGGUUUGCCUCUUUUGAUUAACUCCGUUGCAAGCACCUUAAAAUGUAGUGAUGUGUCCACGUGGGAAGACAUGUUAAUAAAAAUAGAAUACCCACAUAAUGAGAGAAUAGUGAAGUGGAGUUACGAUCAUUUGGAGAGUGAGGAAGCCAAGUGCUUAUUCUUGCUUUGUGGUCUUAUUGGUGGGACCAUUGAAGUCGAACUUCUGCUAGGACUAGGCAUGGGUUUGGGCUUGUUUGGGGGAUUCGAUAACAAGAUGCAAAGUUCGAGGAAUAGAUUGAAUACGAUGCUCAAUAGCCUCCAUUCCUUUUGUUUGUUACAGGAUGGUGGCGAUGGUAAGGAAAAUGUGACCAUACAUGAUCUUUACAGCGAGGUGGUUGUCUCGAAUGUAUUUAGUGGUCGGAAUUCCUUAAUGAUUAACAACAAUUAUGGCUCAUGGCCAAAGGAAAAGCGUGAGAAAUGCUGGGCAUGCUUAGUUAAUGUUGGCAGUGGUAGGCUUGCUGAGCUAAUGCUGCGUCGGUUUCCCCACGUGAAGAUACUUAUGUUGUCGGAACAAUACGAUAGGGGAGAUUGCAGUAAAAUAGAUUUCACAUACAUGGAGGAGCUCCGAGCCCUCUAUCUUUGCUCCAUGCGUAUCACCAGUUUACCUUCCUCGAUGGAAAUCCUCGGGAAUCUCCAGUCAUUAAGUAUAAAUUGCUAUGUGGGGGAUGUGGCAAAUAUUGGCAAGCUCAAAGCACUGAGGAUUCUCAGCUUUGCAAAGUCUCGAAUUUCUAGGUUGCCUAAAGAAAUUGGGGAACUAACGAAUUUGAGAUCGUUGAAUCUAAACCAUUGCUACUUGCUUAAGAUAAUUGAGCCCGGAGCCCUAAAAGGCUUAAUAAACUUGGAAGAGUUACAUAUGAGGAGAAGCUUUGAUCGAUGGAUGGGCAAGCAUGAAAUGACGUCAAAAUCGUGUGGUGUUGGGCUUGCUAAGUUGAAGAGCUUGACAAAGCUAGCAUCUCUAGAAAUAUUGAUUCGUCAACCCAUCAUACUCUUGGAGGAUGGUGACCUGCCAUUUGGGAACCUGGUCAGAUUUUGGAUCAACAUAGGAAAUCUUGAGGGGUGGGGAUAUGAAUGUUUGGCAGUCAUGAAGCUCAAUUUGGAAGGGUGCAAUAGUAUUCUUUCGAGAAACUAGGUUAAAAAAUCUCUGCAAAAGACUCAAUACUUUUAUUUAUGUGAGUUGAGUGAGUCCAAAGAGAGUGCUCACAAGUUGUGCACCGAAGGAUUCCAAGAUCUGAAGGCUCUCAACAUUAAAGACAGCUGCUCAAUCAAGUACAUUGCCAAUUCAUCCUAUGGCCUCCCUCCUUUUUUUGAAGUUAGAGUCUUUGUUCCUUGAAAAUCUUAUUAAUUUGGAGAAGAUAUGCCAUGGCCCUAUCGCACCAGGGUGCUUCAGCCAUUUAAAAAUUGUGAGUGUUGGACAAUGCCGCCAAUUGAAAUACUUGUGGUGUAUUUUAGAUAUGCAAAGACUUAUCCAAUUGGAAGAGAUUAAAGUGUGGGAAUGUUACUAAAUGCAAUCCAUUGUCACACAUGAUGCCGGAGAAGAUAUAGUUUAUGUUGAUAAUAGAGUUGAGUUGCCUAAUGUAUGCCGUUUGGCAUUGUGUGAGUCACCAAAUAUGACAAGCUUUUGCAGUAAUAUGACGAGCUUUUACAGUAGAGCCGAAAUCACAUCAGAGGAUACUCCUCCUCCCAUCCAGGUAAUUUGUUUUUUUUUCUUAUCAUUUUUUCCCUUGGUCAAUUUGUCCUAUUAGGAUUAGAUGAUAUUGGUUUUCACUCAACGUUAGUACAUAUUGCAUUUUUUUAUUAUUUGUACAAUUUUAUUCACGAUUUGAUUUACAAAUAAAAAAAACAAUCCUCUCAAAUAAAACAUAGACCAUAUUAUAGUUAGAGGGAAGCCUCUUUCCAUGACUUUUUUUUUUUUAAUAAAUUUUCAACAUUAGAUAAUUGCAUUGAUAACUUGGGUUUCUACUGUGACUAAUUUGUUACUUGUAUAACAUUCUUAAUGAGAUGAAAAAAUAGUGUGCUGAACGAAAGAAAGCGAGAAUGAAUCUUGAAUGAUUUAAGAAAAUUCAAUAAUUUCAAAAUGGAGAAAGCGACAUUUAGAGAUUCGAUAAAUGGAUGGUAAGCAAGGAGCCACGUAACAAAGACAAUCCCCAUAAUUCAUGUCUUGUCCAACAUGCAAUUUGUAACUGAUUCCAACAUGUCAUGCCAAGUUGCCAACGUCAAUGUCAGCAUCACUGUGCAAUUGAGCUGCAUUGACAGCAUGAUAGAGGUGAGGAUAUCCUCAUGAAAAUGAUUUCGCUUUUCAUGGAAGAGAAAUUCAUUCUUUUUUGUACUUUAACCCGAGUAUUUCACUUAUUUUCUCAUGAAAAUAGCUUUACUUGCAACAUAACUCACCUUUGAUGAGUUUCAUUGUGGCGCUUGGUCAGGUUCUAUUGCCUCGCUUGAAAUCCUUAGUAAUAAAUGGACUCCUUGGUCUGGAAGAGAUACUCUAUAGUGAACCUUCAUUAAAAUAUAGCGAUUUGACAUUGCUAAAGAUCAGACAAUCUAAAUCCACGUCGAAGAGUAUUAUGAAAUCAAAUUGGAUAUUAUAGCUGCUGAAUUUGGAGUCAAUGGAAAUUGAGAGCUCUCCAACAGAAGUAGUUUUUGACUUGGAGGAGCUAGAAGUCACCAGAGAUGCCGAGAUUCUCUCUCGGCUAACGGAAUUGAGUUUAUCUUGGUUGCCGAACCUGCGGUGCAUAUGGAAACAAGAUGUACAAUUACAAGGAAUAUCAAUAUUUCGGAACCUGAAGAAGCUCUCCAUCAACAGUACGAGGCUGUCAUUUCUCUUUCCGGUGUCUAUGGCUAAAUGUCUUAGAGAAAUUAGAGCCAUUACAGUGAGGGAUUGUCCAAAUAUGAAGGCGGUGAUUGUGGAUGAAGAAGGAAGAGAUGAAGAGAUAGAUGAUAUUAUAGAGUUCCCAUUAUUAGAGCAACUAUCUAUAAGUCGGUGUUCCACGGAGAAAUUCUUCUCAUAUCCUUAUGGAAAAAAAGAGCCAAUGGCCACUACUUCAGAUUCACAAGAUGCUUACUCCGAUUCUUUCUUUGAUCAAAAGGUACAAAUCCAUUCUCUUGAGAUUGUAUCCCUACUAGCCAUAGGCACUUUAAAUUCAUUCUUCCAUUUAUUAGUUAAAGUGUGUUCAUAAUUUAUAAAUACACUAGUAAGAUUCAUUCUUCCAUUUCAUCAAAUAGAUUGGUAGGAUUAGGCCAAAUUUUCAAAAUUUUCAUAACUGCGAUCUGACACAUAAAUCUUAUGAGCAGGUGAGUUUACCAAGCUUAAAGGCGUUAUACUUUCACGAAGUAGGAUCCUUGAAAAGGAUAUGGCAUGGCGAACUUCCGAGAGGUUCCUUAUGCAAAUUAGUCACCCUCUCCCUAGGUUGUUGCUCCAACCUACUCAAUAUCUUCCCCUCCACAAUCAUAGGGAGAUUGCUCAACUUGAAAAGUAUCAAUGUUGAAAAUUGUCCCUCCCUGGAAUCAUUAUUUGAUUGUGGGUCCUUUGAUGCAAAUACUAAGCACACAACGAUUUUGCUCCCUGAAUUGGAACUUUUGACGGUGAUGGAAGUAGGAAAGCUAAGAUGCAUGGUGAAAGGCGACUCCCAAAUGAUUUUGGGUUUUCCUAGUCUAAAAGCUGUCGAUGUUGAAAAUUGCUCCAACAUGAGAUAUCUCUUCCCCAAUUUCAUAGCCACAACGCUAGGGAAACUCGAGAAAAUAAACAUUCGGCAAUGCAAACAAAUGAAGGAAGUGGUUCUCGAGGAAGAAGGUUGUCGAUCAAAGGCAGCUGUGACAAGUUUCCCUUCCUUAACACAACUAAGGAUUUUGCAGUGCCCUAACUUUGGAACGUUCAUCCAAAGUCCUAGAAGUGUCAAGAGGCUGCCUGUGAUGAGUUUCCCUUCCUUAACACAACUAAGUAUUUUGCAGUGCCCUAAUUUUGGAGCGUUCAUCCAAAGUCCUAUAAGCGUCAAGAGGCAGUUAGGCGAGAGGGUUGAAGAAAAUGAUGAAUCACUACAACUAUUCAAUGAUAUGGUCUGCUCUAUCCCUUACUAUGAUCAUUUGUAUUCUUGUGUUAUCAUGUUUUAGAACGAACAAUGUAAUAAAUUUGUCCUACUUAUCCUCCUUUCUCACAUCAUCCUCGUGCAGGUCACAUUUUCCAAUAUAACGAGUCUAAAAAUUGAAUGCCUUCGGUGCAAAGAGUUAUGGAAUAAUAAAAUUCCCAUCGAUUCCUUUCAAAAAUUGGAAUCUCUUAGAUUGAAGGAUUGUGACGACCUCCAACAUGUUGCCCCAUGUUGUAUGUGGAAGAGGCUACAGCACUGUCUCAUAAACCUAGAAGUGAUUUCAUGUUGUUCAAUCGAGAUCAUAUAUGAAAGUGAUGAGACGGAUACAGAGGGUAUUAAAUUGAGGUCGUUGGUUUUGCAUGAUCUUGAAAACUUGGGGUGCAUUUGGCAAUCUGAUGGUCUCCUAAAUGUCUUGCUCCAAAACUUGAGAAAUGUAGAGGUUGUGAGGUGCUCCCGUUUGAAAAUGCUUUUCACUACCUUUACGGCAAAAUUUCUCGGGCAAAUCGAAGAGCUGGUGGUGGAGUCAUGUGAAAAUAUGGAGCUAAUUGCUGGCAAAGAACAAAUGGAAGAAGCAACCGGCACGACAAUCGCCUUCUCCAAGUUAACUGCUCUUAGACUUUUCGAGUUACCGAAAUUUAGGAGCUUCUUACCUAAGAAAUACUCUCUGAAAUUCCCAGGGUAAGAGGACUUCCCAUCCUUGCAAUUCUUGAGUAUAGUAAGUUGUGGAACAGUGGGGGAUCGAGGCACUUUUGACUGGUUAGAUCGUGAGUACCGAGUAAUCAUGGAUGCCAUCCUAAUCAGUUGUCGUAGCUAAUGCACAAUUCUCAGAGGGACCCACAUGAAUGCUACAUCACGUGGCCCUCAACAUACUACUCUCUUCCAUAGUCGCCACAUCUGACGAUUCCUUGGAUCUUCAUUGUCCUCUCCGUUGCCCUCCAUCCACCAACAGGCGCCGCCGAACCCUGACCACUUCCCGACUGCCAACAUUUCCGCCAAGCCGCGAAGAGGUUUGUAAUGCCGGAGUGCUCGAACUUUGGUCAUGACUAUCUGCUUCAACGACUUCAUUCCUCGACGUUGCUUUUGUUAUCUCCUUACUCCUGUCCGAUGUCAAUCGCUGUAGCUAAUCAUUCUCCAUUCAAGUAAACCACAUAUGCUCUAUUUCCGUUUCUAUUGCUACUGUCCCCGGGCAAAUCGAUUGUAAUUAAGGCUGUAUUUAUGAUUUGAACUAGUGCUUCUUGGCCAAGAUGUGUACCACCUGUUUAAUGAAAUUCCUAAACUAAGUCGGUGGGUAUUUUUUAUUCAGUUCUUAACCGAGAAUUCCCUUCAUUACUAGAUUGUUGAUUUAUUCUGGUCAUAUAAGCAUGUUUGAGUUUCGUUUCUUCAUUAUAAAAAAAAAACGUAGGUAUUCAUUUCGAACUUAUUUUGAAUCUGCCGGAACCUUGUCAAUGUAUGCCGAGUCGCCACUGUUGUUGUGGUCCUGAGCUAAUGUUGAUUGGUCCUUGAUUUUAUGCUAUUCCACUCGAGUAAGCAUGUGUAGUGAUAUAAGAAUGUGUUGUGGUGAAUUUCAUGUUUGCUUGGGAAAGAAAUUAUGUCAUGGAUGAAUGAAAUUCUACUGGAAAUUGAUUCGUGAUGCUGACCCUAUCUUGAUAUGUUUGAUUUGGUGUGCUUUUGAUUCCAACCUGAGGCUAGUUUGGUUAUGGGGAUCAUAUAUGUACAUGCUAGGAAAGUAAUAUGGAGAAUCUCAUAGCAUUUAGCACGAAUUCGGGUCAUCAUCUCCUAACUUGAAUAUGCUAGAAUGAAGUACUGCAUGCUGACCAUGAUUGUUUUGUUUAAAUUUGGCACUAGUUUGGUCUUGAAUUGAUGCCAUUUUGAUCAAGUAGACUCAUAUGCGCUUAGAGGAAGAUAUGGCUUCAAUUCAUGUCAAUUGGUCAUCAAAGGAUCACAAUUUGUCUUGUAUGCUCUGUUACAAUUUUGAACGUGUGCUGGAAUUUAUGGAAUACGCAUGACUUAGAUGGAUUUUGACUUAGUUUGGUUGCAUUUUUUGUUGCCUGUGGAUAAGUGAUAUGUGUGUGCAUGAUUAAAUUGAUGAGAUGUGUGCUUGAUAUUGCCAUCGAAGUCUUGGCCUGAUAAAUAAUUUGGAGGACUGAUGUUAAUUGAAGCUUAAUUCCUUAAUUCUUGCAAUUCCAACACAAACCCUCUACUAGUACACAUAUUUUGAAGGUGAUAUGGUAGACUAUCCAGAUACGAGGAAAUCUCUCAACAAAGCUGGUCAAUGAGGCCCUUGAAAUAUCGCAUGUACAACACUUGCCAACAAAGUACAUGUGUUCUCUUCCUUUCCUCCGAUGCUCACCAUUCAAGGCUUAUUUAUGAGAGCUAUUGCCUAAAUCUAAUUGAUCCUUCAAGUGUGCAUUUGUGCCAACAUACCGUCCACAACACCAAUUGCGACCUACUCAUUCAUGAUGUCAUCUCCUUCCUCGGAGUGUUCACCUACCACUACUAUUCAGAAUGAUGUUUGAAAGAUAUGACUUUUGUUUUCCUCCCUCCCUCAUGGAAUUCGCAAAAGCAUGGGGAAGAUUAGUCACCAGCACUACCAGUAACCUGCCCUUGAAAUCCAUUAGGAAUCCAUAUGUUCCAUCAGGACUAGGUGCAUAGUUCCGAUUGUCUCUCCUAUAAACCAUUCUGCAAUAUGGAGGUGCAAAGCUCCAUCUAUCUCCUUGCAGCAGGUCUCUCUGUUGCUAAUAGUAAUUGUUUUUAUGACACUGCUGCUUGUAGCAAGUCUCCCGAUUUGAAAAAGUUCAAUAUUUUCCCUCUAAGAAGUUUAUGCUAUAAAUCUCAAUAUGGAAAACACUUAGCCAAGAAGAACUUGAUGAACCAUUUGAAUUUAUCUUAAUGUCCACACAAUAACAUCAACUCAUCUGAAGCAUUUUACACAACAAUAGCAUUGCGUGACCUUUCCACAACUUGCUUUAAUUAGUAGAGAGUAUCCAUCUAAAUCACAACUUACUUUGUCCUGCUCAUGAAUGCGCAUUCUACUCAUUAUUUUCAAUUUCAGCUACUCAAAACACUGCGAUUUAACCCAAAAUCACUUGAAAAUUUUGUUAUAUAUCAUUGCAUUUGCACACUCUCAUAAUUGAAUGCUACUAAUUUUACAUAGUUUAUCAUGCCAUGAGAGCAUCGGCAUUGGGAAGAGUGGUGGGUGAUCCGAGGAUUUUGCCGCCCACAUCGGGAAACAUUUCAAAGCCAGUCAAAAAACCGACUUUACGGUCUCUGCUCACAUGGAUGGGAUACCGCAUCAGGUGCCCUCUCAUUUCCUUGGGAUCAUGUUGGUCCUCAUCCACAUAAGCUUUCCAAUUCCGUUUGGCUAUUUUGUUCACCCUCUUUACACAUUCAGUGCUUUGAGAUUCCCUGAAGCUGUCCUCUAAAUCUCCUAAGUGCUCCGCCCAAAGCGAUGUCCUAUAACCGUAAACCUGCAUAGCAUAAGUCAACAUAAUUAUACAUAAGCUUAAGUUUGUGAAUGAAUGUCGUUGCACUCGCUCGAGCGUACGCUUUGUAUAUGCUAUUCAGAUGAGCCUAACCCGAUGUAACUAACCUGGCCACGUGGAUGCCUCUUUUUCCUGGCCCAAAUGUGAUGCGGCUGAUAAGCCCCCAUUGCAAUUUAUGUGUCUCUUGAGCCAUCCAGAGAUCUUUGGUUGAUAUUUGCUGAUCCCACGAUCACAUACUCAUCAUCUACUAUCAUCCCUUUGGCACACACAUAUAUCAUGAAUCUGCGAUACUUCUGAACCAACGCCUGCAUAAAUAGAAACAACAACAUGUUUCAAACCAAAGUCUUUUUACCACUCAUGAAGCCAUAGCUCUUAAUGACUUCAUUUGUUUUGCUUUUUUAACAUGUUUGUCAAAGAAAGAAUCCAUGAGAAGCGUAUAGACAUAUAGCACGGCAUUAUUUUCGGAUUGUUGAUUCAUUGCUUGGGAUGAAGGUUGCGAAGAGGACAAGGGCUCCCACUUGCCAAGGCAAUAGAAGUUCAAGUAAUCCAGUGGAUGGUACUUGUGUGACAACCCGGCUUUUUCGAGAGCUUGUGCGAUGAUUUUGUACAUCAUCGUCAUGGUUUGUCCCUGUUCACAUUAUCAAUGCAUGGGUAUGAGAAUAGUGAUUGUUAAUCUUUUUAUAUCAUCAUAUCUCUUGGAGAAAUAUACUAAAAUGACUGAAACAAGGUCAGAUCUCAAAUUUUCCCCCUCAAGCAGCUAGGCUUGGUCUGCUUGGAUCACUUCGUUUUCUGCUUAACUAUGUUCAUCGUGUUAUUAAGUUUCAAUUUGAUAGGACGUUAUAUUUAUUGAUAUCAUGUUAUCGAUAUGCAUGUUUCAUUGCUAUUUCUUUGCAAGAUGAAAGAGUUCAUCCUUGAUCUGACCUGCUAAAAGAGAAUUUCUUGCACGGCAGCACUAUUAGGGACACCCUCCGCCCACAUCAGUAUCACUCUAUAGACACCGAACCGCUCGUUUGCACUGGUCUUGCUUGCGAUCUUCAAUGCCAGCUCCAUCGGAACUAAAUUGUUUGCCCCUGCUUGUCAAAACCAUAUGAAGCAUUGGUUGCCAUCAAAACUCUAACUCAAGAUAUUAGAUGAGCUGAAACAAAACUAGAAAAUCGAGGAAAAAACCUAAAUUUAAAAAGUUCAGAGAGUUGGUCUUUGCUCCCUCUAGGUUUGCGCUCUGGGACAUGAGCAUCUUGCUAAAAUGUCACAUCCCCACCUUUCCUUAAGUGGAAAAUAUGUGUUUGGUACACCCACAUAGUUUGGCCCAACCCCAACACCAUUCUUGCAUAACAGAUUGUCUCUAAUCGGCCUGAAUUGAAUCGAGAUAUUAAGUUUUGGAUAGGGCUUGAGGGGCUUCCGAAGUUGCCAAUUAUUAGGAACUAGUCAUUGAUCGUGUUGCCCGACACAAUCUUGGCCAUUGGUAUAUCCACGACCUGAUGAGCUCGGCCCCAAAUGCAUCUUUGUUCUUCACAUAAGACUCCACCUUCAUUAUUGGCUGCGCUAAGGAGGUAUAAAACCGUUUGUCCCACGGGGUCCUCGCAAUUCGGAAUUAUUAACACUUAAAUUUUGCCAACAAUGCACGGACAAAAUUACGAACAACGAUAAUAGUAAAAAAUUGUCACACGCCAUUGCUGGAACGAGAGAGUUUUUUAUUCCGUGGGGCCCACCACCGAUUUUCCCUUCUCUCUUGAAUUCGGUUAGGAUAGCAAUAACCAGAAAGACGUUUUCGUCAUUUUGAAGCAGGGCACUUUCGUCAUUUGCCCAGAGAAGUAUAUAAUGGAAUUUUUGGCCUUCGUCAUUUGACGAGGAAGUUCUCGAAGCUGCUUCGCGUCCGUAGCCAAUCCCGUCCUCUCUAGCUUCACCGCCGGCCGCCAGCUCCACCGGAAGCCACCGCCGGUCUUCCAUCUCUGGCCACGGCAGACGCACGAAGGAAGGCACACAACACGCGCAGAAGAAACAAAGCUCGAUCCCGGAAUCCAAAGUUCACUGUGGUUGAUUCGAGGUUCGCCAGAGGUGAAUCAACGUCGAUUCCAGUGUUCAAGACUUCGAUUGCGGGUUCCAGUGUCGUCUGGCUGCAGUUCCGAUCGCGUGCUGUUCUAACCGCGAGGCACUCCUUCGGUUCGUUCUUUCACUUCAGUGAUCGGUGGAAGGUUGCCGUAAGUUCGAACCGCAUGGAAAAGGACGCCCCGGCUCAGUUGACUCCCAACCAUCACUUUCGAAUCUUCUCACCACUGAUUGAGCUCUUCCACUUCUUACUCUAAAUCAAGCCCGAGUGUCGUCCUCGCGUCAAGCCCUGGGAAUCAGAAUCAAAGUUGCUCUCGCGUCAAAUGAACGUUUGGAUACUGCUCAGGAGGUGUUCGAUGAUAUGAUAUUUGGUCCUAAAGUGGUGGUGUGAUUAAUUGUCUUCACAUUGCAAGUGGGAUCAUCAAAUUCCAUGAAUUGGACCUUUGAUUGUAUGCGACGACACGAUAUUCUCCCACAGCUAUGUUCGAGAAAGCUGCGAAUUUAAUUAAUGCGAGACAAAGGGUGUAGCGUUCCGUCGAUGAAGCUCAAAACAACACGAAGCCGAUCAAAGCGGGCGUCCAGAAAUGGGUAGACAGGCCCGGAGAUCCUUGCCGAUGAGGCGCGCGGCGUGCUGGACAACGACAGAAGAGCCAAGAAAACUUGCUUCCGCAGGUAGUUUCCCAACCUGAAGGGGCACUAUCGUCUUGGCAGGGUGGCGAGGAAGACAGCCGAGGCCAUCCGGGCACUUGAAUCGCAGAGUGAAUUCCGAAAGGUCUACUACGAGAAUCCUCAGCCAUAAAUCAAUAUAUAAGGACUUAAAAGAUAGUUUUGAUCAUUAUAAUGUAAUUAGGAAUUUUUAAUUGACCAUAUUAAAAUUAUACUCCGUUUCUUUUAAAGAUAGUCUUCUAGUUCACCACCGCCUAAGAGUUGAUAUUUUUAAGCUUUGACUAUCAAGUACGUCUAAUUGAUUAGAUCUCAAUGAUUUUCGAGGGCAAAUCUAUUGCUAUUGGCAUUUUUUUUUAUGUACUUAGUAAAAACUUAAAUAGAACAGUAACUUCAAAUAAAUGAACCAAGUAAUCUCUACUCGGCAUCCAUAAAUUUCAUUGUUUGCUUUAAGUUUUCUCUAAGUACUUUGUUGAUUUCAAUACAAGUCUGAAUUCCUCAUUCAAUUUUUCAGUAGUAUUUUCGAUUUGCUUGCGAUUUCAGUUUCCCACAUUUCGAUUCAAGUCCGAAUCCAAGGGAAGAAGGAACUUUGGAGCCAAUUCCACUUGCAUAGUUCACCGCCUCAGAGGGAUCAAGCCCAAUAAAACCUUCCACUAAGAACGAGAAGACACAAUCAGGACGAUAAUCAUCAAUGCACCGCAGGUAACGAUAAUUAUCGACGCGUCAUUCUGAUAUUUGCAAGAUCAUCUAGAAGCAGUUUUGCCUGGAUAGCAAAACGACUGAACAAGAAGGAAGCAACGGCAGGACAUCAUCACUCGGAGCUUGAAUUCAAGGAAACGGCUGGCGAUGGCAAUGAUCUACAUCUGGCGUGCCUGAAAAUCUUUCUGGUGGGGACAUCGCUAGCCGAAGACAACGAACGUGACUUGGAAUCUUUGUCUACUCCGAGCUCAGCGUCGAGGCAGAGCGAGCAGCCCUUUCUUUGGUCAGAUCAACAACAACAUCCUCGCAUGGCGGCGGAGGGGAGAGAAAAGGGUAGGCUAGGGGAAAAAGCUGAAACGUUGAGGUGAUGGGCUUAUGGGCUGAUGGGUCUGGGCUGGACAAAAAACCAAUGGGUUCCUCUUGUGGGCGGUGCCGGUUGGACCAAAUUGUCCUAUUCUAUUUGUUAUUUAUUUAUAUUUUUAUUAUUCUUUUUCUUUUGUUCUUUUUACUACCAUUCAUCGUUUUGAUGUUCUUUUUUUUUUUAAUUACAAUAAUGCAUACUUAAUUUAUCAACUAAAUUUCAGGUGUCGACAGUUACAAAUAUAUUUACUUUAAUAUAUGAAAAAAAAUAUCAUGCUAUCUAAACAAAUUAUAAGACGUUGUAUUUACUGUUGCGUCAAAUCUUUGAUUACCAAAGGCCAUAUUUGUUUCUUGAUUGACGGGAGAAGUGGGCUAAAAAAUAUGGCACAAUCCAGUUGAGUAGAACAUGCAUGUGUUGAUGAAAUAUCAACCCAUUUAAAAUAACUUGAUUUAUGACUCAUAUUCAUAUUAAGCCUAGAUCCUAUCUCGCCCAUUUUUCUGGUCAAAGUCCCAAAAAUCGCUGUGAAGGAUUAAACAAAAGCAAUACAAGUGAAGAGAGAGAUCAAGAGAAAAAGAGAGAUGGCAAAGAUUCUUUAGUGAAAGAUGAUUCCUUCAUAUUUUUGCUUUCCCUCUUUAGAGGAUUCUUUUUUACUUUACUUAAAAGGUUUCAAAUUAAAGAAAUGAUGAAAAGGUUGAGAAUUCGAAUCCUAUUUAAAAAAUAUAUGACCGCUAGCUUACUUAUGAGGUUACCCUUAAGUAAAUUGUCAUAAUUAUUAGGAUUUUUUCAAUGUCUAAACAAAUUAGUAAAUUAUCACAUCUUCUAAAAUUUCACAAGUGUCUUUUUUAUAUAUCAAUAUAAUAAAUUUAUAUAUAUUUCACUAAUACAGUGAUUGACCAAUUUCUUUGAAAUUUUACAACUUUUUUUGGUAAAAUACCAACUCAAUAAGGAAUCUACCAAACUCUCAAUAAAUCAGUGAAUUAUCAAGUUUUUUCAAGUUGCUAAUUAUUAAACUCUAACAAGACGAGAUUAAAAAAAAAAAGAACAAAUAAAGAUGAGAUAACAUAGGAUAAAGACACGAAAAAGAGUCCAGGAAAAAGCAAAUAUGUGGUGGGCCCACACAGUGGUGUAAGGGAAGAAGGAAUAGUUUUACGAGGAAUUUUUUUCUGGGCCCCACAGGAACAGUUUUCUCUACCACUCUUUCCACUUCCCUCGCACUUGUUGUAGCUGGGGUUGUGUAUAAUCCGGUGAAUCGAUUCCAGAAAAUUAAAAUUGGAAAUCACACGUUAGUUUCAUGGAUCAAUCCGAUAAUCGGAUCGUCGGUCUGGUUUGGUUCUCAAGUGGAUCCAUAAAACCAGUCUUACUAAAAGCUAUUUAAUAGUUAUACAAAGUGUUUGCUAGAAACAUGAAUUUGUUUUACAUAAUAACCAACUAAAAGCCUAAAAUCAAUCACUUGACCUCCACAAAAUUCUCUCAAUCUUUGAAUAGUGAUUAUUUUGCCAAUAAUUGCUACAUGCCAUUACCUGUUCAUGUUCUCAUUUCCUUCUUUUUUUCUUCUAUCGACAUUAGCACAUUUCGCAUUUGCUAAUUUGUCUCAGUCCUCUCUCUUAAGCAAGGCUUGUCUCUACAUGGUUUUUACCAUUUUCAUGAUUGCCUCGGCCUGCUUGUCAAUUGGCUUAAAGUACUCUUCAGUGGCAGACUCCUGCAUAGGUCAGGGGAGAGUUCAAACUGAGAGAGACGAGAUGGAGAUUGGAGCCAUGAAUUUUAGAUUUGCUAAUUUCAAAAAAUUUUAAUAUUAAAACUUAAUAUAUUAUUAUAAUAUAACUAGUCCAGUUCAGGUGGAUGAGUGGGCAGAUCUACCCAUGGAAUUGGAAAAUCGGACCAGUACCCACUGGUUACCAUAAAUUAGAACCAGGAAUCGAACCAGUUCCCUUAAGAGCCACCGAUUCUAGGCAGUUCCGUUCCGGUUUGAAGCGGUCCAAGCGGGUUCCAAUUCCUUUACACACUCCUAAUUCUAGCCCUACAAGGCAAGCAUUAUUUCCUUGUUUCUUUAUAUCCUCUCCUUUUAACCCAAGUCCUAAAACCCACUUUACUCUAUGAAAUGACUCGAUUCGAUUCCAUGGGUCAUGCCAUUAGAAAGAGGGGGACAACCACCUGUUGAAUAGAACCGAAUAUGUGUCGAUACAAUAUCGGCCCUUUAAAAAAGAUUUGAUUUAUGACCUGGAUUCAUAUUAAACCCAGAUUUAAUCUUACCCAUUUGGUGAGUCGAAGUUCCAAAUAUCACAAUGGAAGAUUAGACAUAGAGCAGUACAAGGAGGGGGAGAGAGAUGGAAGGUGAAGGAUGAUUCUUUAGUAUUUUUCUUUUCUAAUUUGGGGAUUCUUUUUCACUUUUUCAAAGUUUCCAAAGUAAAGAAAUGAUGAGAUGCUUGAGGAUUACAAUCCUAUAUGUAAAAGGAUCGGAAAAAUUGUCCAAAAAGUCCUAAACUUAUUGUACUUUUGCGAAGUUGAUUCUAAGCCUUUUUAGUUUUACCAAUAAAGUCCUAAACUUUUGACAAUUUGCCAAUUGAGUCUAUCUAGGUGGUUGGAAAUUGCUAACGUAAACAUCAGGCAUCCUACUUGGCACGCUGUCGUUGAAGUGGACAUUUUUAGUGACAUUUUGAACUUUUCUGGUUUUCUUCUUCUACUUCUUUUUCUUUUUUUCCAUUUCUUUACUUUCUUUUAGCCUAUCCAAGAUCUAACAAGGGUGUCACGACCCUCACUAGAUCUAGUUGAGGGCUCAUGUGCUCUCGCUUAACGUUGCAGCCCUAGCCCAAGCCCUCAACAGCCACGACAAGGGUCACUAUGGCCGUUGAGGAUUGCAAUGCCCUCACCCCAAAAUAGCGAGGAUUGACAUCCGUCACUCUAAAGACCAAAAAAAAGAGUAAAGAAAAAAAAAGUAUAAAAAAAAAAUUAGAAAAAAAAAAGAACUAUUUGUCAUCGUCAACAGCAAUGUGCAUCGACUUGACUAUAGAUGCUAUGCUAAAGAACGAAGAAAUAGAGAUGAGCUGUAGAUGGUAUGCGUAAAGAAACAAGGUGGAUGCACGCAGUGACGUCUUCAUCCUCUGCAGUGGUGCUGGAGCAAGAGGUUCUUUUGAUUUCUUUCGUUGAUCAAUAUCUUGUAAUUUUUUGUCUUAUAUUACCUCCUUUUCGGUAUAGAUCUUGAAUAUCCCAGCUACAUAUGGAACAUAAACCUUUUAAACUAGAAUUUUUUUAUUAGGUUCACGGACAGUAGAAAAACAUCUUCUAAUGCAGCAAUAUAAUAAUUAUAUGUGCAUGAUGACUAUUGGAUUAUAUUGGGUGAUGUAAAUGUAUGGAUUAUAUGUUAGUAUGUUUUCCCAUCGAUUAAAGCUGUUUUUGUUUGGGCAAUUGACCGAAUAAGUGGUUGCAUUUUUUAAAAAUUUGCUGCUGGUAUUCGUAAAACAAUAUGUACAAAUUUGGGACUAAUAUGUCAUUAGAUAUGAUUGUGCACACUUUAAUGUGAUGCUUUCGAGCUUUUUUCAGCAAUUCCUUUUGAAUUUCUAUUUUACUAGGUGUACAUGUAGAUACAUGUACUCUAUUUAUUUUUUUUUUAAAUGUACUAGGAUGAAAGAUAAUCUUUACUUUUAUUUUCCGAUAACUGAGUUUUGACUUCUUCUGGUGCAAUUGAUUAUACAUUUCGAGAUGUAGGGGCUAAAUAAUUUCAUAUACUUUUCAUAUGUCAUUAUCAUAAAUUUACAUCUAAGUAAAAGAAAGAACGAUAUUCACAUAUCAACCAUCCAAUUUAAUUAAAGAAAAUGCACAAAUUAUACAAAGUCCUUAGUAAUUGCCAUCUACAGCGUGAGGUUUACAUAAGACCAAGCUCCACCAUGUGCGACUAUUAACAUCACUCUGUUCUUUUCUUCUGUUUGGUCUGGCGCCGCGUUUGUCUCCCUCCUCCUCCUCUGCGUUCGAGAGAGAGCGAAGAAGGGGAGAGAGAGAGGGAGAGAGAGCAGCAGCAGCAGCAGCAACAGUACAACGAUGGUGACCCAUAUAAUUAAAUUGGGUUCUUUUUUGGAAAGAGGGGUGGUCCGGCUCAACCAUUGAAUAACGUGACAUCCAUAAAAUCCAUGGAGUUAAUGAACCUAUUAACAUAAAUAUAAUUCCAUACAGAUACACUUUAUUUUCACUGGUCCCGUUAAUGAAGUGUAGUUAAUCAAUUAGAUUGGGUUCUUUUUGGAAAAGUGAUGUUCCCAGAAAUAAUAUAUGAUUUUGCUUAGUACUUAAAAAAAAAUAUAUAUAUAUAUAAGCAUCUCCCAUGAACCUUCAGUUUCUUCCAAUGGAAUUACAUACGUUGUUCAAAACGAAUACAUAUUCACAAGAUUAAUAAACAUAGGCGUCUCGUAGAUCUCAUUGGAGAGUACCUCGGGCUUUUUGAACAUCCAACUAAUGGCCAUCAAGUGCGUCUGUCCCUCUGUCUCACACACAUUGGGUAAUUCUCGGAAACAGAUAAGUCCUUGCUCCUGUGGGCGACUCCAGAGACUACGCAAAUACGGUGAUUUAGUCAUGCGCCUUGAGCAAGGAAGAUAGACACACUUAUUACUUGAGCAAUUACUUGGGAUUAAAAGAUAGGUGUCGCUAAGUUUUCUUAGAAGAUAACCGAUCUAACUUAAAAUGAAAGCUCUUAAUUUUUCCUUAGAGAAUAAUUCUUAAUUUCCCAAAUGAAUUGUCUCCUUGUGAUCAUGGUUUUAUAUCACGUUUUUUUUAGAAAAUUCUAUAGUUGCCACAAUUGAUUUUUUCAUCUCAAUAAUAUUCGAAGUUGAUUUUGGCAACUUAGUGUUUUAAACUUGGGAGCUAAGCCCCCUUUCCUUUUCUUUUAACUCCCGGGAAGGGUUGGAGAAUAUUUCUUCCAUACAAGAAAUUAUUACUUAUUUAAAUUCUAACCUUAAUCUCACAAUACCUAUGUUUUUCCAUGUGAGAAAAGAAUUGAGAUGCAAAUUGCGCAUAGUUAGACUGAAAACUACUUUUAUUGAAGUUUAAAUUUGAAUGAUGUGGCAUGAUUAAUCAAAAUCUAAUAGUAGAAAUUCUGGGUCUCGGGAUUGGAAGAACUUUUGGUUGAUGGUCAUGGCAUAUUUGGCAUUAAUUUUUAGAUAAAUAGGGAAAUUGAGCGCAACUCUCAUGGAUAUUAUCUUUAUUACAUUUUGUCAUUGCUUCCGUGCUCAACUGGAGAAUUAUAUUGCUUGAGUUAUAUUUCAUCGUGCUCGCGAGUACUCAACCUACCUAGUCAAUCGAAAAUGUGAGGAAAUCUAGAGUAAUUAAGAUGGAAUAUACUAUGAUAAAAAUGUUGCCUGAGCCGAUGCAGCACUGCCACAUUUUUCAAACUUGAAAAACCAGUGGACUCUCAUUAUUGAUGAAUACUGGGGGGCACACUUUCUUUUCUCGAAAGGCUUGGUGAAGUUGAGGAAAUCACGAAUUAUUUGGUGCGAAUGCCUCACGAGGAUGUUGAGGAAAUUUCCCUAAGUAAUUUUGAAGAUCGACAAAACAUUUCCUUAAGUGUUUAAUAAUUCUGAUAGUAAGUUUUUUCAAGUAGAAACUCUGAUAUGCAUCAUUAGAUGUUAUUCAUCAAACUCAGAUAAUCAGACGUAGGGACUUAUCAACACAUUCUGGUUGUCUAUGAUGAAGAUUGUGUUAUGUUAUGAUAAUCAAGAACAAUGGUAUAAUUUGUACAAGGAUUGUCAAGACAAUACACAUCAUCAAACGUUACGAGAAGAUCUCAGAUCUUCGCACUCAAAUUAUAUGGAGCCCAAUGGCUAGGAAUUUGGCUUGGAUUUCUAGCUAUAAGUAUCGAUUGUCUAGGAGGGAUGGACAUUCACAUAAUCUUUCCUUGAUUGGAUAUUUGAUAUCCAUGCGACAAUCAUCUGGAGACGAGACACACUUUCCAAACAGAGUAAUCUACUUAUGGAAACCUUAUCUAUGUUGUAUGAGUAGCACAAUCAAGGGAGACUCUUAUCCUAGCAAUCCAGAAGGAAUCAAAUUUUCCUAUCCAACGGGUGGAUUGGAUGAUUAAUCCUCAAAGGUUAUGUCCAACAGUCGUUUUGGACAAUAAGGAAAAUAAAAGGAGAUCAUGAUCCUGAAUGAAUUAGGUAUGUGUUAAUGAAAUGUCCAUCCAUUUAAAAUAACUUGAUCUAUGACCCAAAUUCAUAUUAAGCCCAGAUCCUAUCUCGCUCAUUUGGCGAGUCAAAGUCCUAGAAAUCGUUGUUAAAGGUUAAACAAAGAGCAUUACAAGUGAAGAGGGAGAUUGAAAGAAAAGGACGGAUGUUAGAGAUUCUUUAGUAAAAGAUGAUUCUUUCAUCUUUUUUCUUUCCGUCUUUUGACUAUUAUUUUUCACUUUAUUUAAAAGGUUCCAAAUUGAAGAAAUAAUGAAAAGAUUGAGAAUUCGAAUCUUGUUUGGAAAAAUAUAUGACCGCUAACUUACUUAUCAGAUCACCCUUUAGUAAGUUGUCGAUAUUAUCAAGAUUUUGUCAAGUCUAAACAAUUAGUAAAUUAUCAUCUCUUCUAAAGUUUCACAAGCUUUUAUAUAUAUCGGUAAUAUAAUAAAGUAACCUAUAUUUCCCUAAUACGGUGAUUGAUCAAUUUCUUUGAAAUCUCACAACUUUUUUCUGUAAAAUACCAACUCAAUAAGGAACCUACCAACCUCUCAAUAAAUCGGUGAAUUAUCAAGUUUUUUCAAGUUAUUAAUUAUUGAACUAAAAAGAUGAGAGAAAGGGGAAAAAAGGAACAAAAAAGGAUGAGACAACAUAGGAUAAAGACAUGAAAAAGAGUCCAGGGAAAAGCAAAUAUGUGAUGGGCCCACAGAGUCGUGUAAGGGAAGAAGGAACUCAUUUUGCAUUUCCCGCUCUUUCUUCCCACUUUUACGAGGAGUAUAUUUCGUGGGCCUCACAGGAACAUUUUUGUCUUCCACUCCUUCCACUUUCUUCGCACUUACUCUAGCCCUACAAGGCAAGCACUAUUUCCUUGUUUCUUUAUUUCGUCUCCUUUUAACCCGGGUCCUAGAACCCGUUUUACUCUAUGAAAUGACCCGAUUCGAUUCUAUAUGGGUCAUGCCAUAAAAAAAAAAGGGGACAAUCACCUGUCGAAUAGAAUCAAAUAUUAGUUGACAAUAUAUUGACCCUUUUAAAAUGACUUGAUUUAUAACCCGGAUUUAUACUAAACUCAGAUUUGAUCUUAUCUAUUUGGUAGAUUGAAGUCCUAGAUAUCACAAUAAAAGAUUAGACAUAGAGCUGUACAAGGAGGGGGGAUGGCAAGUGAAAGAAGAUUCUUUCGUAUAUUUCUUUUCCAAUUUGAGGAUUCUUUUUCACUUUUUCAAAGUUUUCCAAAGUGAAGAAAUGAUGAGAUGCUUGAGGAUUACAAUCUUGUUUAUAAAAGGAUCGGGAAAACUAUCCAAAAAAUUCUAAACUUAUUGUAUUUUUGCUAAUUCGGUUCUAAGCCUUUUUAAUUUUGCUAAUAAAGUCUUAAACCUUUUGAUAUUUUGCGAAUUAAGUCUAUCCGACGGCCGGAAAUUACUGACAUGAACACUAGGCAUCCUACUUGGCAUGUUGUCAUUGGAGUGGACAUUUUUAAUAACAUUUUUGAACAUUUUUGGUUUUUUUUUCUAUUUCUUUACUUUCUUUUUGGUUUUUGGAGUGAUGGCCGGCCAAAGCAAGGGUGUGCAAGCCAUUGCCUAUGCAAGGGCUGCCAAAUUCUCGCCUAGCCUAGAUCUAAUGAGGGUGUCAUGGUCUUCACCAGAUCUAGGUGAGGACCUGUGCACUCUCGCUUGGUUCAAGGACCUAGCCCAAGCCCUCUACAGCCACAACGAGGGCCGCUAUGGCCGUUGAGGAUUGCAAUGCCCUAACCCAAAACUAGCAAAGAUCGCUGGCCAUCACUCCAAAAAUCAAAAAAAAAAAAAAAAAAGAGUAAAGAAAAGGAAAAAAAAUAAUGAAAAAGUUCAAAAAAAAACUAUUUGUCAUCGUCAAUAGCAAUGUGUGUUGACUAUAGAUGCUAUGAUAAGAACGAAGAAGUAGAGAUGAGCUGUAGAUGGUAUGCUCGACCAUUGAAUAAUUCAUGAAAUACACACGUUAAGUUGAAGGGGAUUAUCACUCGGAUAUUACAUCUCCACUGAAGCAUAUGACAGUGAGAAUCUUCUUGGAGCAUUGAAUUCUCAACUCGCUCCAUCCUCUUUUCUCAAAUUGACCUCCUCCGAACCUUUAGAGAAUAUCUUGACUUCGACAAAUCCCACUAUCUCCUCCCAAAAUGGCCAAGACUCGUGUCAGAUGUGUAGCCAAAUAGCAUUCCCUUUCGUGCUGAUUCCUCAUGACACCCCCGUAUAGCCGGUGCGCAUUGGAGAACGCAGGGGGCAUCUUUUGGAAAUAUAAUACAGUAACGCCACAUAUAUUAACGCCUCGUGCCCCUCUUUCUGAUCACCAUUGUAUCGUCUAAAUGAUUUCUUCCUCGCUCUAGAAGCCCUCUCUUUCACCAAAUCUUCUGCGGCUGUUCUUUUUGUUGGAACCGCCGUGUGCGCGUCAUAUUGAACCUUUCCUCUUCUUCAGUCAUUGUCGUUUCCGGGUUCCAUCGGUUUCGCCUUCCUCGGAGUAUAUAAAUUCUUAACUCUCGUUUCUCCGCAAGAACAAGGAAAGAAAGCCAGAAAGGUAGAAGUCGAAACGGGGGAAAAUGGCAGAGAUUGCUGUGUCUGUAGCUUGCGAAGUGGCAAAGUGCCUGAUGGCUCCGGUCAGUCGGCACUGCGGCUACGUAAUAUUCUCUGACUGCCGCGUUCGACAACUUAAUGUUGAAGUUAAGAAGCUGGGUGACACGAGGGAUGAGGUGCAGCAUUCCAUCGAUGAUGCUCAAAACAACAUGAAGCCGAUCAAAGCCAAGGUUGAGACAUGGGUGAAAGAAGUGGAGACCGUCGCUGACGAGGCACACGAGGUGCUGGAUUACGAUGGAAGAGCUACGAAAACUUGCUUCUACGGGUGGCUUCCCAAUCCGAAGGCACGUUAUUGUCUUGGCAACGAGGCGAGCAAGAUGAUCAAGGAGAUCAAAGAUCUCAUUGAGCAGGGUCAAUUUGAGAGCGUCUACGACGAGAUUUCCCCACCGGGAUGUGUUGGCGGUUCUCUCAACGUGACUCUCAUCGUGAAUUUGUCAGCCGUUGAUGGGGGCGACUUUAUCACCGAUUCGCGAACUUCCAUCUUUCAGGGCAUAAUGAAAGCUCUGGAUGAUGAGAAGCUAAAAGUGAUUGGGGUCCACGGACCGGGCGGCGUGGGGAAGACUACGUUGUUGGAGGAAGUCAAGAAGAAACUCAUGAAAGAGAAUAGAUCGUUCGACAUGAUUAUCAAUGUGGAAGUCUCGCAAACUCCGGACUUGAAUAAUAUCCAAGGCCAGAUCGCUGAUGCCUUGAGUCUGAAUCUGAAGAAAAAGCAAAGCCAACAGGGAAGAAGAGAUCUUUUGUUCCAGAGAUUGCACAGUGAUCCGAAUGAGAAGGUUCUCAUAAUAUUGGACGAUUUGUGGACGGAACUGAAGAAGUUUAUGCGCAAAGAAGAAAUAGGAAAUCUUGGGAUGAAAGAACAGUAGAGAGAUCUUGAGAUGGAAAACUUCUUUCUAUUCUAUUCUUUUCUUGUUUACAAUCACGAGAGUUAGCCUUUUUAUAUACGAUGGCUAUCUCUGGAAACUGUUUUAUAGGUAUUGAACAGUUGAAGAAAUGAAAACUAACUAACUGAAGCAAAAAACUAACUAACUUCCAGAACCGAAGCACACCAAAUUAACUACCGAGACUUGCCAAGACUUGCAACAUUAUACAGAGUGUUCGAAACAGGGUAUCCCAAUAUAGAGCUUCUAGCUCACUUUACAGAUUAUCACUCUAGCUCACUUUACAGAUUAUCACUCUUAUCUUUGUCUUCUUUUUCUUUCUUUGAUACUAACAGUAGCCCCUUUUCUUCUCAUUCUUCUCAGCAGCAUUUAUAUUCUCUACUUCCUCUUCUUCAUAUGUUUUCUCUUCGUUGCUCUUGUAUAUCUUACUUCCCCUGUUCUUACUGAUAUCAGUAAUAGCAUCAGUAGAGCUUUUGUUCUUGCUGUUCUUAACAUCCCCCCUCAAAUUGGGAAUGGGUGAGAAACCAAUUCCUAAUUUGAUUCGUAGCUGAUAGUGUGUAAUACGAGGGAGAGAUUUUGUGAAUAUAUCAGCAAGUUGAUAGUUACUUGGAACAUAUUUCACUUGUAGUGACCCUGAGGAGACUUUUUCCCUAACAAAAUGAAAGUCUACCUCAAUGUGUUUGGUGCGAGCAUGUAAGAUAGGAUUGAUAGUAAGAGAAAUGGCUGAUUUAUUGUCACAAAAGAGCUGUGUUGUACGAGUCAAUGAGCAUCCUAUAUCACGAAGGACAAAGCUGAUCCAGGUAAGUUCGGCAGAUGCAGAAGCAAGAGCACGAUACUCAGCUUCUGUAGAGGAUCGACUGAUUGUGGAUUGUUUCUUUGCUGCCCAAGAUAUGAGAUUGGAGCCAAGGUAUGUACAAAAACCUGUUGUUGAUCUUCUUGUUUCAACACAUCCUGCCCAGUCUGCAUCUGAGAACCCAUACAGGUGGAGAGAGCUUCGAGAGUGAAUGAAGACUCCAAGACUUAUAAUGCCUUUGACAUAUCUCAAAACUCUCUUAAGUUUAUGUAAGUCUGCAAUAGUGGGUUUCUGUAAUUUCUGACACAGCUGAUUUGAAGCAUAUGCAAUGUCAGGUCUUGUUAAAGUCAGCUACUGAAGGCCACCUACUAAGCUUCGAUACUCGACAGGGUUGGAGAGGGGAGCAGAAUCAUUUAUCAGAAUAGUUGGUUUUAGUGAUACAGGGGUGGUAAUUGGUUUGCACUCAAGCAUAUGAGCUUGAGUAAGAAGAUCACUGGCAUAUUUAGUCUGGCAAAGAAACAGGUGAUCAAAAGUAUUUUUAACUUCAAUGCCAAGAAAGUAAUGUAGUGGGCCAAGGUCUUUCAUAUAGAACUGAAGACUUAGAGAAUGGAUAAGGUUGGAAAGUAACUGAGAGGAGCUUCCAGUCAGGAUAAUGUCAUCAACAUAUAGUAGUAGAAGAAUGGUGUCUGUAUCAGUAUGAUAGAUGAAUAAGGAUGGGUCAGUUGAGCUGCAAAAGAACCCAUAUUCAAGCAAAAAGUUGCUGAACUUGUCAAACCAGGCUCGAGGAGCUUGUCGAAGUCCAUAGAGAGACUUCCUGAGGAGACAUACAUGAUGAGGUUUCUUGGGAUCUUGAAAACCAGGAGGCUGCUCCAUGUAAACUAUCUCAUUCAAUGUACCAUGUAAGAAUGCAUUUUUGACAUCUAGUUGAUGGAUUGGCCAGUGUUUCAUCAUGGCUACAGAUAGAACUAUACGAAUUGUAGCAUGUUUGAUGACUGGACUAAAGGUUUCUGUAAAGUCAAUGCCUUCUUCCCGAUGAAACCCUUUAACAACUAGUCGAGCCUUAAGUCUAUCAAGGCUACCAUCAACUGCAAGCUUUGUUUUAAAUACCCACUUACAGCCAAUGACAUUCAUUUGACCAGUUCAAGGGAUUAAUUCCCAAGUUUUAUUCUGAUAAAGUGCAUUCAUCUCUUAUGUCAUUGCUUUAUACCAGCCUUUAUGUGCUAAGGCUGACUUGAUUGUUUUUGGUUCAGUAGGUACUUCAUAUAUAGCAAGACAUGCAUAUCGAGGAUUGGUCUUGAAAAUGCCAGACUUAGACCUAGUCUGCAUAGGGUGAGUAGGUAAUGUACCUUGUGAAUUUGUCUGAUUAUUUGAAGUGUGUUGUUCCAUAUCUGGUCCAUCUGUUGUCUCAGUUAUGGGAACAGGUAUUUCAACUCGUUGUGGAUUAUUCUGAGUGGUGGUGGAGAUUUGAUCCAUAAUGAAUUCAGCUGGAGAAACAGAAACUGCUUGUUCUGUGCAUUCAGGUGAGACCAUUCCAUUUGUUUGCUCAGCUGUGGAUUCUUGUUCCCAACCUGUAUACUGAGAAGUUGAAUGUUUUAUGUGAUCUGUAGUGGAGGAAGCUAGGAACUGCUCUUCUUCUGUCCACAACUUAUACAAGUGUGUGUAGGAGGGGUAAAUUGUUGCUAAUUUCUGAGAGAAAGGGAAGAAAUUCUCAUCAAAUACUACAUGUCGACUAAUGUAGACAUGACCAGUAGUAGGGACAAGACAUCAAUAUCCCUUAUAGUGAUCACUGUAUCCUAGAAAGACACAGGUUAGAGAUCGUGGAUCAAGCUUGUGCUGUGCAUAUGGUCGAAGACAGGGAUAGCAAGCACAGCCAAAGGUUUUGAGAUGAUAAUAUCUUGGCUUAUGCUGAUAUAAUUUGCUGAAGGGAGACUGCAUCUGUAAUUUUUGAGUAGGAAGGAUGUUAACAAUGUAGUUGGCUGUUACAAAUGCAUCUACCCAAAACUUUAAUGGAAUUUUUGCAUGGUAUAGCAUAGCCAAACCAAGUUCAACUAUAUGUCGAUGUUUCCUUUCAGGUAUUCCAUUCUGCUCAGGUGUAUAUGGACAGGAGAUAUGUUGUUGAAUGCCACAGUUCUGUAAGUGAGUUCUGAAUUUUUGGCUAAUAAACUCUCCUCCACCAUCACAUUGGAAAGUCUUGAUUUUACAGCUACGCUGAUUUUCUACUAACUUUUGAAACAUGAGAAAAAUACUAUAGAAAUCUAACUUCAGCUUUAAUGGAUAUAUCCAACUGAACCGAGAGAAAUUGUCAACAAAAAUGACAUAGUACAUGAAACUCUGAAAAGAUUUAACUGGAGAAGGCCCCCAGAUAUCACAGUGAAUUUGUUCUAAAGGUUUUGUAGCUGUAGAAUUUGAUAAUGGAAAAGGUAGAGCAGUACUCUUAGCUAUUUGGCAACUUCUACAUACAGACUGUGGUUCUUUGUUGUACUUAAUCAGAUUUUGAUUCCUCAAAUGCUUCAAGAUAUUCUGAUUUGUGUGAGCCAGUCGUUAAUGCGAGAUACUUUCUACAACAAUUCUUUGUCUUUGAGUGAAGUAGACUUCUGCAGCAUGAGGGUCUACUCUGUACAACCCUCUAACCUUCCUUCCUAGCCUCAUGGUUGUGUUGGUGGUGCUGUCCUUGAUAUACACACCAGUUUUGUUAAAGAUAAAGGAACAGGGGUAAUCAUCAGUUAACUUUGACACUGAUAGAAGAUUUUUCUUAAUCUCAGGAACAAUCAGCACAUCAUGUAGAGGCAAGGCAUCAAUUGCGGUAUUGAGUAUUGCAUUACCAAUGUAUUUGAUAGGUAAACACAGACCAUUGCCUAUCAUGACUGUAUCAGCAUUGUUAUUUUUAGAAAGACUAUGAAGUAUACCAGCAUUAGAGGUAAUAUGGGCUGUUGCUCCAGUGUCUGGAUACCAUUCUUGAUCAUUUGCCUCCUCAAUAUGUAGUGCUGCUAAUGCUGUUGGUAUCUCCUCAGCUUGUUAGGAGUUAUCAAAUCGAUACCAACAAUGUAAGGCAUCAUGACCAGGCCUCUUACAGAUUUGACACUCAAGUCGAGUGUGUUCUGCUGCUUUCUCCACCUGCACCUUUUUGUGAAGAGUUGAAUUUGAUGCAGGAUAUGACCUGGUAUCAGAAUACCUUUGUGCUAAUACAUUGUAUGGUCUAAAUCCUUGAACAGGACCCAAGCCAUAGGAGGUAUUGAGUUGUUUGAACUACUGAUAUUCUUGUUCAUAGUUUGAGUUAUUAUUUCUGUAACUCAUGUUUCUUCCAGGAUAACCAAAGUUCCUGUAUCUGGCAUUAUAUGUUCUUCCUCUUUCAUAAUUUCUUCCUCCAUGAUUAUUUGUUCUUGAUCCUCUAAGGAUAGUAUUCUGUUGUAUAUAUUCUCUGUCAGCCUCUUCUUUAUGUAUAGCUUCAGUUUUCCUCUGGCCAUAGUAAGCUAGGUUAGGACUGAACUGAUUUAAAGAGUAAUUCUGUAACCUGGCUUCGAAUCUUUCUAAGUGUGAGAUUACUUCAUCAUAUUUUGGUUGGGGCUUUAAGCAAUAGAUUGUAGUUUUAAAACUUUCAUACUCAGAUCCCAGGCCUUCCAGAACUCCAAAUAGUUUUGUGAUUUCAUCAACUGGUUUUCCUAUGGCAUUCAAUUGAUCACAUAUUGACUUGUACUCCCUGAGGUAUGCUGAUAAUGUUCGUUCACGUUUCUGGCAAGCCUGCAGUUUUCCUCUUAACUCGAACUCCUUAGCUACUGACUUUUGUGUAAACCGAUUUAGCAGAGUUUGCCAAACUUCAUAAGCAGCAUUUAAGCCAAUUAUCAAGCUGAGUAUAUUUUCCGAUACAGCACCACUAAUCCAAGAAGAUACAAGCUAAUCUGUUUUUAUCCAGUCAUUAUAAUCAGGAUUAGGAACCUCAGAAGUUUGACCUCCUUCUUCGACCUCCAAUGUCUUUGCAGGUGGUGGAAUUUCCCCAUUCACAAAACCAAACAGAUCUUGGCUCCUCAAGAAUCUAUAGAAUUGAGCUUGCCAUAGAAGGAAAUUAUCCUCAGCUAAUUUGAUGGUAACAAAAUUCGAGAUAUUAACAUGAAUAGGAAAUGGAUAUCUCAAACUUCUUGCUGCCAUUCUAUUCUUCCUAAUCUUUGAUCAACUCUAGUUGCAGACACGAAUUCUACUGGUUUGCAGUACGCUGCUACAAGUAUAUUGCUAAUGAAGAUUUAGAUGUGGAUGAAAAGUACCAACUCACAGAUCUUGUUGGCAGAUAUAGAUAUCUUUAGAGAUCAAUGAAGCUUCGAAUCUAACUUCGAUCUAAUGUAGAUUUAACUAUUUUGUGCAGCAUCAAGAUGAUUUCUUUAGGAUGCAGAAGCUCUAAUACCAUGAAGGAGUUUAUGCGCAAAGAAGAAAUAGGAAAUCUUGGGAUGAAAGAACAGUAGAGAGAUCUUGAGAUGGAAAACUUCUUUCUAUUCUUUUCUUUUCUUGUUUACAAUCACGAGAGUUAGCCUUUUUAUAUACGAUGGCUAUCUCUGGAAACUGUUUUACAGGUAUUGAACAGUUGAAGAAAUGAAAACUAACUAACUGAAGCAAAAAACUAACUUCCAGAACUGAAGUAUACCAGAUUAACUACCAAGACUUGCCAAGACUUGCAGCAUUAUACAGAGUGUUCGAAACAGGGUAUCCCAAUAUAGAGCUUCUAGCUCACUCUACAGAUUAUCACUCUAGCUCACUUUACAGAUUAUCACUCUUAUCUUUGUCUUCUUUUUCUUUCUUUGAUACUAACAGUAGCCCCUUUUUCUUCUCAUUCUUCUCAGCAGCAUUUAUAUUCUCUACUUCCUCUUCUUCAUAUGUUUUCUCUUCGUUGCUCUUGUAUAUCUUACUUCCCCUGUUCUUACCGAUAUCAGUAAUAGCAUCAGUAGAGCUUCUAUUCUUGCUGUUCUUAACAGGAACUUGAUUUGAAGUCAGUCGGAAUUCCUUCGGGAGACGAGAGCAGGGGAUGCAAGUUGCUGGUAGCAUCAAGAUUUAAAGAUGUCUUGGAGCAAAAGAUGCAUGCGGAUAAAACAUUUCGUCUUGAAGGUUUAAACAACGACGAAGCUUUUAGGCUAUUUGAAAAGAUAGUUGGCGACAACCUCAAAGACGAGGAAUUGAAACCAAUAGCAGCUCAAGUGGUCGAGAAGCUCGCAGGUUUGCCUCUUUUGAUUAUCUCCAUCGCAAGCACUUUGAAAUAUAGCCGUGUGUCUGCAUGGAAAGACGCAUUGAUAAAAAUAGAGGACUCAAAUAUAGAAACCAUAGUAAAGCUGAGUUAUGACCAUCUGAAGAGUGAGGACGCCAAGUCCUUAUUCUUGCUCUAUGGUCUUAUUGGUGGGACCAUUGAAGUCGAACUUCUGCUGGGACUAGGCAUGGGGUUGGGCUUGUUUGAGGGAUUCAAUAACACGGUAGAAGAUUCAAGAAAUAGAUUGAAUACUAUGCUCGAUAGCCUCCGUUCUGUUUGUUUGUUGCAAGAUGAUGGUGAUGACAUGGAAACUGUGACCAUACAUGAUCUUUAUAGUGAGGUGGUCGUCUCAACUCCAUUUAGAAGUCAGAAUUCCUUAAUGAUGAACAACUAUUAUGUUUCGUGGCCAAAAGAAAAGCUUGAGAAAUGUUGGGCAAUAUGCCUUGUUAAUGAUUACGGUGAUAGCCUUGCUGAAAAAAUGCGGUGUGCGUUUCCCGACUUGAAGAUAUUCAUGUUGUCUCAGAUAGGGUUGUUCGAGGCACCUAUACACCCACAUGAUGUGAGAGAUUGCUGUGGACUAGAUUUCACAAGCAUGGAGCAGCUCCAAGUCCUAUAUCUUCGCUUCAUACAUAUCACCAGUUUACGUUCCUCGAUUGGCACCCUCAGGAACCUCCACUCAUUAUACUUAGACUAUUGCAUUGUGGACAAUGUGGCAAUUCUUGGCAAGCUCAAAACAUUGCAGAUUCUCAGCUUGGCAGGAUCUCAAAUUUUUAAGCUGCCUAAAGAAAUUGGGGAACUUAGGAAUCUGAGAUCGUUGAAUCUAGAUGAUUGUGACUUGCUUAAGAUAAUCGAGCCUGGUGCCCUGAAAGGCUUAGUCAACUUGGAAGAGUUAUAUAUGAGGGGAAGCUUUAGUCGAUGGAUAGUCGAUGAUGAAAUACCAGCGGAAUCGUAUAAUGGUAGGCUUGCUGAGUUGAAGAGCUUGAGAAAGCUGGCCUCUUUAGAAAUAUCAAUUCAUGAUCCCAUCAUACUCUUAAAAGAUGAUGACCUGCCAUUUGGGAACCUAAGUAGAUUUUGGAUCGACAUAGGAAAUGCUUACGGAAGGGGAUUUCAUGGUUUGAGAACCAUGAAACUCCAAUUGGAAGAAUGCAAUGGUAUUCUCUCAAAAGAAUGGGUUCAGAAAACUUUGCAAAAAACUCAAUACUUAUAUUUGGAUGGAUUGGGAGAGUUCAAGGAGAAUGCUCACGAGUUGUGCAUUCGAGGAUUUACGCAACUGAUGCAUCUCGACAUUCAGAACAGCCCCUCAAUCAAGUACAUCGUCAGUUCAUUAAAUGACCUUCUCACUGCAUUUAUGGAUUUAGAGUCUUUG
rnacentral:lncRNA from 1 species